AGUAUUAAGGUAAACCUAACCAUAGCAUGAAACAUUGACACGGCACAUUAUAAAGAGUUCAAUCCAAAUUUUAUAGUAACACUAUUAUAUUUAAAUAGUGAUUAUUCUAACACAUGGAUAAUUAAUUAAGGCACCAGGUUGCGCUUGUGACCAGGAAAGACAAACUUAUGAACUUGCAAGCAUGGUAAUCAGAUCGACAUCCACACAAUGUCAAUAUGAACAUUGUCUUGAUACAACUUUAUUUGUAUUUUAUUUCAGAAUUUAAACAACUAGUUUGGGCGGGUCACACACGACGUUGUGUGACACUUUAUUUGUCACCGCUGCAUCGACAUAUCCAUCGACUAAACAACGGUGAUCCAACUAUAUAUUACUAGAGACCUUUCCUUAUCAGUAGGCACCAACUCCGGUGCCAACGCUGAAUGGCACACUAGUGGUGGUUCUAUACAAGGGCACAUUGACACGGCACAUCGUUGGCAGGGUACGGAGCGCAAUGGAAGUCAUCACCUCAAGCUGAGCUAUCUGGUGUGGAUGCAAAAAGGUACCCUGUGCCAAUUGUUGUUGUUGAGGUUGUUGCCCGAGUUGCUGCUGCGACUGCUGUUGGGGUUGGGAAACGCAUUGGCCCAACUAUUGCGGUUGCUGCUGCUGAGUUUGGAUGGAACCCUGAACCUGUUGUUGUUCUUGCAGGACGAUGGAGUAGAUGAUAGCACGGAUUGCCUCAUAGCGGGAUUGCUGGGGGAUUUGCGGCAACUGCUGGCAACAUUGUUGUUGCAUCACAUGGCAACUGCUCUGCUGCAACAUUUGCGACCUAGCAAGACUUUGUGGCAUUGCCACAGGGCUGCAUUGCUGCUGGAGGAAUACCUUGCAUGGGUUUAGUUGCUGCAAGAUAGAUGGAUGAACAAAUGGUAUUUGUUGUUGCGGUAGAACUGAUUGUUGUUGUUGCGAAAAUGGUGGUUGUUGCGGUAGUACUGGUUGUUGUUGUUGCGAAAAUGGUGGUUGUUGCUGUGAAAAUGGUGGUAGUUGUUGCUGCGAAAAUGAUGGUUGUUGCGGUAGAACUGGUUGUUGUUGCUGCAAAAAUGGUGGUUGUUGCUAUGAAAAUGGUGGUUGUUGCGAUAGAACUGGUUGUUGUUGCUGUGAAAAUGGUGGUUGUUGCUGUGAAAAUGGUGGUUGUUGUUGCUGUGAAUAUGGUGGUUGUUGUUGCUGCGAAAAUGGUGGUUGUUGUUGCUGCGAUAAUGGUGGUUGUUGUUGUUGCUGUGAACAUGGUUGCUGUUGUGGAAAUGGUUGUGGUUGUUGUUGGAUAGGUUGUUCUUGUUGUUGGUGCCAUAAUGUUUGUUGUGGUGGUAAUGGUUGUUGCUGCGAUGGUCUCUCCAAACCAGGGAUGUGGCUAUUCUCCAUUUGUGCAAUGGCACUUGUCGCCGCAACGGCGAGGAGGGCAAAGAUGAGGAAGGUCUUCAUGGUGGAUUGGUGUUAACUAGUGUUGCUUGGUUUUGAUGCUUGUGCUUGUGACGAUCUUUAUACUUCAUGCCUAUUUAUAGUAGCCCGGGCACCACCUUUUUCUUCUUUGCAUUAGCUUUAAUAAUUUUGUUUGGAUGCAAAAAUGAUUUUUGGUACAAUGUGUUAGGUUGCACUAGCUACACGCGUACUUUUGGAUUGAUCAUCAAAGUUGCUUUUUAGUUGUGCAUAUGAUCACACAUAAAGUACAGAAACCUUGAUGUUUGGUAUAUAUGACUCACCUUAUUCACUUUACAUGUCACACACUUAUCUGGAUAGUAUCACUUUUGCAACCGAGUUUGGAACCUUGUAUAGGCUGUCAUCCAUAAACAAGAAAGGCAAAACUUGUGUAGGACUAAGUGUAGAACUAACUUUGUAUUUUUCCUCUAAAAUGAUUAGAUGAACCGACGCCUAUAGAGCAUGACAUGACUCAUCGAAUUCCCUUUACAUGUAAAGGAUGGUAAUUGCUUACAAGCUACUCCUACUAGCAUAUAUCCGGUCCUAACUCUUGACACGUCAUCAUCAGUUUCGCCUAUUUUUUUAGAUAAAUCAUCAGUUUCAUCUAUUUGUGAAGGGUUUUUUUGGGGGAAAUGAUAGUUUUUUUAUGCUAGGGGGAUUUUUUUGGGGGGGGGGGAUGACGCUAGGGGGAAAUGAUAGAUGGGGCUGGAACAGAGGCCCCCAGCCUGGAGCGAGAGAUUAGGCCCAACAUAAGUGCCGUGUGUUAGGGCACCAAUUCGAUUUGGGCUAUAGUUCUCGUAGGCCCCAACGACACAAGCCCAGCCCACACUCCGCGGAUCUGCGUCCCUCCCUUCCUCGUCCUCCUCGCCGGCCGGACCGCUCGCCGUCGCAGCCUCUCCCGGACGCCCACCGCUCGCGGCCCCUCCACGUACCUCCGCGGCAGCGGAGACGUCAGCCUCCCUCCCACCCUCAACAUCCGGCCCCCCACCACCACCACCACCGCUCGACAAAAAAGGUCACUUUUGAAGCUCCUCCGUCGAUUGUGGGCCGUACGUCGACGGCAGCCACUCCGACCUCCCCAUCAACACAAGGUAUCGAUUUGUUUCGUCUGUCUCUUCCAACGAUUCAAUGCACAUAAAUCCGAGAGGCAGACCCAUCUCCAUGCUAGCUGCACGGAUUAGGAGGGUCAGGCAUCAGAAUUCAGCUGGGAAGCCUGACAGUAAUGUACAUUUGUGGCUUUAGUAGCUGAAUAUAACUAUGUGCUUUCUGAGAAUUUCACUUCAAAAGUUCCAAUAAUCAUCAAAUUUCCCCCUAUGCGCGCUAAGCAGGUGGACCAUAUAUUUCUCAUGUCGACGAACGAAAAAACAAAACUCCACAACUAGAAGUCUAUGAUAUUGACACGGAACCGUGCUGUAGGGUCGCAAGUAAAAAUAUGAAAAGCAUGCCUAAUAAGCGAGAUGACGCAGUUCCUGACCGCCCCGCUACGACUAUUGGUUCCAGCGUGGCGUUUGAAUUAUGCCGCGCUAGAUGUCUUUUGUCCGGCGAGGAACAAGUGGGGUCAAGCGUGCUUCGGCAAUUCCCGCCGUCAGAAGACUUCCUUGUAGUCCGGUGUAGAGGUGAGGUUGUGGGGAGAUACAUCGACUAGCACUACUAGGGAAAAGGCUAGCAGCAGCGCGGGUUUUAGAUGUAUCAGUAGUGCGGGUACCCGCGCUACUAAUACGGCGCUACAGCUAACUCAUAGCAGUAACGCGUGAGCACCCGCGCUACUGCUACACAAGUGUAGCAGCAGCGCGGUUAUGAGAAGCUCGCUACCGCUAGUAGCGCUAGCGCUCUUUGGCCGGACGCUCUACUGCUAUUGAGGCGCUGCUGCUAACUUUUGUACACUCGCUACUGGUAAUUUAAGUAGUUUUUUGGCAUAUUUGUUUUGUAUUUGAACCGGCUUUGUAGAAGAAUCUUUAGCACAUAGAAAUGUCAUCAUGAUACACAUACAAAUGCCUGCGAGACCACAAAUGUAAUCAUAGCAUGUACAUACAAAUAGUCUCUUCAUAAUCAUCAUCCAACACAAAGUGAUAUCUUGUCAUCAUCUCGAAAAUAGCAAUACAUGCAAGUCUCGAAUACUUGCAACUACAACAACGUCAUCCAUCUAAACAAAGGUAUACGCAAGAAGUGCUAUCACUAUGAGUGAGAGCGGAACCAUGCAGUACAUGAGGUGGCGGUUAUGAGUCCUCUCUUGCGCUAGCGUGAACCUCAAGUAACUAGCUUCUCCUUCUUGUCUGCUUUUGAAGCCUUUAUGGCUGGCGCCCGUGAACCCAUUCACUUGCGCCUGACACUCAUGCCACUCGUUGUACACCCCCGGAACCUUCCCUUUGUACACGACAUAGCAUUUCCAUCUCGCCAUCAAGAAACUAGGUACCUGUUAGAGAUGCAUGUUCAUGAAGAGGAUGUACAAUCAUAUAUAUGCAACAAAAUAUACUAGAGCAACACUAAGAAAGAAAGGUUAGCAACUAGAUGCAACAUAUACAUUACGCAAAUUAAUUAACUAGAGGUACGCAGGUCAUCGUACGCAAACUAACAAAGUAGCGUUACGCAAGUUUGGCAGGGACCAUGGACAUCACAAAGUUUCAUCGCUACAAAAAGUAUACAAGUUCAACCGACACAUAUCAUCAUCAUCGGCAUCAUAAAUCACUAGAAGUUCCAUCCUUCCAUAUCAUCGAGGACGAACCCUAGCUGCUUGAACGGCGUGAGGUCUAGACGUUGCAUGCCUAUGCGAGUUCGGACGUCAGCUCGCGAUAUAGGGCCGUGGUGGAACAUCCCCUUCUCAUCGACGACUUCUUUCAUGAUGAUCAUCGCAAUGUCGCUUUGGAUGCGAAAGAAGUCAUCUCUAAGUUUAUAAUUCGCUUCUCCAUGAGAUUCUAGCCACUUGUGGAUAUGAUCAUCAUUUCUGCUGUUAAUGCGAAGCUUUUGGUGAUCCGUGUUGAACUGAAUCAUGAGAUGGACGAUGUAGAAUCCAUCCUUCUUGCUUGGUUUUGGGACGUGGAUGCAGGAGAAGUUAGUUUUAUGCGCGAAACCCAUCUUCUUGUUCCUUUGUUUCCUGAUAUGCACGUGGCCACCUCUAAAGUUGAAGCCUUGGAGAGCAUCAUCUAGAAUAUUCAUUAUGUGGGUGUAGUCCUUUUUCUCGUAGUCUCUAGAAGGGUCAAAAUACACGGCGUGGGAGACUUGCGGGUAAAGAAUGAUAAGGACGGCGCGCCCGUUGCUGCGGGGAAAAGACACCUCAAAUUAUUCCCCAUAUGAGAGAGAAGGAAUGAUUGAAAUGUACGAAAGGGUUGUCCGGAACUGACUUACUUUGGAUGAUAAGGCACGAGGACAAUUUCCCGGUCCUUAUUCUGUACCAUGAAGUUUUGGAGGUACUCCCUAGCAGUUUCACGCUCAAAGUCGCCGAGACUCAAGAAAGACUCGUGCAUGUAGUACGGAUCCGCCACACAGAUUUGCGAGACUUCUUCACUCUUCACGACGGAGCUCAUAUGUAGCGCAAAAAGGCGGACGAUAGUAAAAUCAAGCCGCCUUGUUAGAAACAUCUCAAAGAUAUGGUCAAACCGCAGGAAGAACACCUCCGUGGGCCGUGUGUCGACGUAGCACUUCCCCUCAGGCACACGAGCUGCGUAUGUCGGAUAUCCUGGAUCCUUUGAGGCUAGUAGGCUUUUCUCAGUCGACAGCACGUGGUCGUGCAGUCUCCUGAGAUUCCCUGAUAGUGCCUCCAGCGGUUUCGGCGGUAGCAUCGGCUCGCCCGUGAGAUGGAACAUGACCGCACCUUUCACGGGUACACGCUCUUCAGAAUGCAUCGUCUGGCUGCUGUGUGCUCUGGCUUGUUUGGAGGCAGUUACCUUCCCCAAUCUCUUCCUCUCCUUUUUCUUGGGCACACCUUCCAGACCCUUCCUUAACCCCUGCCCAAGUGUUCCCGGGCUAAGUAUUGUACGACCCUCACGCCCGGCUAGUUGAGCCUGUGUUGAGGCGGCAUCUUCAGGCGUGUCCUGUGAGGAUUUCAUGAAGAGAGACUUUUUGCAUUCCAUGGUACGGCCCUGCCCGGGCAUAUCAUCCAUAUCCUCAUUAGCAAGCUGAUAGCCCGAUUCGUCAUAUGGUUGACUCAUCAUAUCUAUGUCACAGUCAUACGCGUUUGUAUUGAGGUAAUCCAUCGGGUCGACCUCCGUCUCAUCAUCCAUUCUCUGUUCUACAGGAGAAAUUACAUCAGCCAGUACUAUUGCACCCCCUUCAUCAUGUCGUCCGCCGCUCUCACACGGCACUACUACAGGAGCUGGUAAUUGCGUAGGUGGGGUGGUGGUCUCCGCACAUGCUUGCUGAUGUGUGGUAGUUAUUGGUGUGCUCUCGGCCGGCUCCAGACGAAUAAGAUUCUUCGGCCAUAGCAGCACCCAACCCUUGCAGCGUCCAAUCCGCGGCGGGGUCUCGUCGUCCGCUCCCACCUGCUGUACUGGAGGAGGCAAAUCCUCGUGCCCCGAUUUCACACUGGUCAAGCUAACCCUGAAGUGCCCAGCGGGGAUCGGCUGGUUGUGGAAUGUGCGUUGAGAGGGGUCCAUUAUCAUCCCCUUUCCCACGUCCACCUUCUGGCCUUUGAUCAAGUAGAGUAUGGUGCAUGGGGUUUCUUUCGCCUGCAAACACAUAUGUCUGUGGUGUAAAACAACCGAAAGGCAACAAAAAUGGAAUAUUAUAUAUAUAUAUAUGUUGGUGCGACAUGUAAUUACCGUGACGGCGUCGAGCUCAGCCAAAGACGAAGGCCCACCUAGCGCGCCUGAGACUGAGGACGGGCUGCUAUGAGCUGGAGCGGCUGCGAGAGGAGGCCCGGUUGCUUGAGCAAGUGAUGGUGCGAUGGUGUUGUUCAUGGAGUUGCUCGCGACGAAACUGGGCAUUGGGAAAUCAUGUACCGUCUUGUCUGGAUUUUCCUUCGCCCAGUUGAUGAUAACUGGAACCAAGUUAGUAGCGAAAUCAUUUCUGCAGGCAUUUACAGCUGCAUUGACUGCCUGCUGUAGCAACUCAUAUUUGUCCUUGGCUGCUUUUUUCGCGUCCUCGGCUGCUUUUUUCUCGACCGCAAGCUUCACCUUUGCGUCGAUGUCCGCCUAACUAAACUUCUUUUUCUGCUUCUUGGCCUCCGGGCCGUCGUUGUAAAACACCUUCCACGUGGCGCCGUCUCCAGCGCCGUGCACACGACCAUAUUGCGGCCGCUGGUCCAACGGGAGUCCCUUAAGUUCGUUCAAGGCCCAGUUGAGAGGUGUGUCCCACUUGGGCCUCAUCGGAGAAGUAGGGCUUUCGGCUGCAAGCCGGUGUUGCUUCUCCAGUAGUCUAAUCAAUUUCCUCGUGAUCUUGUCCGUGUAAAAAACCUUUUUCUCCUUGUCCCACUUGUAGCGGGCCCUGAUGAAGUCAUGCUCCAAGGGGUUGGUGAACUUCGCGAAGGGGUCUGGGAGACCCGCGGCUUCACGUUCCGCGUCCUCCUUAUCCCAUAUGGGCCUUUUACCGAGGUAGCCACGGCUUCCGAGGCGAUGCUUCCCCAUGUUCCGGAGCUGAAGGCUUUUGAAUUUCGCAGCCUUAGCCUUGGCUGCCUUGGUAGCGCAAGUGUCCUUGAACUUUUCGAACUCCUCUUCCGUAAGUGUCGGAUUUUCCUCCAGAAUCUUGGACAGGGGUUCAUCAGCCUCAAUAGCUCGUUUCACCCUCCCUUUCCAGGAGGCCAAAUCAUUGCUGAACAUGCCCAUGGCGUGAUUGUUAAUCUUUUUCAUCUUCGGAUCAUCCCACGGUUGUUCUAUGUUAUCAUCCCGGUCGGGGAACUUGAAUCUCUUCUGCAACUUCGUUAGGAGCAACUGCGUCAAAUGUUCUUUACUCCUUAAGUCAUCAUCGUUGAUGCUCGCGCAUUCCCGUAGGAUGCAUCCUACUUGGUUCCCAUAGCACUUGCGAGGUUCUUCCGGCUCUAACGGCUCAAACUUUCCAGGUGCCAUCUUUGUGAUCACAAGUCGUCCAAUCCCUAGUUUGUUAGGUUUUCGUAUCCUCUGCUUCUUAUGCUUCCUCUUUUCGGUAUCGGCAUCGGGGCCGGUACCUUCCCCGCCGGUCUCGGCGCCGCCAUCGGUGCCGGCGCCGUCGGUGCCGGCACCGUAGGUGUCGAUGUCGGCGUCAGUACCAUCAUCGAGGCCGACCUGCAAACCUUGCUUAGCAGUCAAAUAGUCGAGGUACUCUUGUUCACCCUCAUAAUCCAUCUCGUCUGCAUCUUGGUCAGAAGGCCCAGUUUCUUCGUUGUUCGACAUGUUUCCUAUGAUUAAGUGGCCUCAUUUAUUUCUAAAAGUAUGAAUAAAUGAGAAAUGACAUAAAAAGAAAUCUAUGUGCCAACACUCGAUAUGCCAACUAUGUAGCACAAAUCAUGCCUUUAUUCACGGGAAAUUUCGGCAUGACCUUUGCUAAAAAAUGGACAUAUCGAGCGCCUGAAAUUCACCGAAACGGAAAUGAAUCAACAUUCCUGCGCAACAUAGGCCACUCGGAUCAUUUUCCAAACAUGACAUGUCCAAAACAUGACAUAUGCACAUAUCACAUGUCCAGUUCAAAUUUCCAUAUAAAUUCAGCUAAUUCAUAACUAAAUAGAUAACCUAAUUAAUUAACAUGAAGANNNNNNNNNNNNNNNNNNNNNNNNNNNNNNNNNNNNNNNNNNNNNNNNNNNNNNNNNNNNNNNNNNNNNNNNNNNNNNNNNNNNNNNNNNNNNNNNNNNNNNNNNNNNNNNNNNNNNNNNNNNNNNNNNNNNNNNNNNNNNNNNNNNNNNNNNNNNNNNNNNNNNNNNNNNNNNNNNNNNNNNNNNNNNNNNNNNNNNNNNNNNNNNNNNNNNNNNNNNNNNNNNNNNNNNNNNGGGGGCGAGCGACAUGGUCGGGGGCGAGCACGCCGGAGUCGGGGUCGAGAGCGGGACAGGGGCGAGCGCCGGGGCUGGCACCGGCGCCGGCAGGGUCGGGGGCGAGCGCCGGGGCCGGGUCGGGCACGGCGGAGCGACGGGGGCCGGAGAGAGAGUGGGGAUUUGGGGGGAAAUGGCGGGAUGAAGCUGGGCGAGUGCGAAUUUUGGGUUAAGUGGACGUAGCAGUAGCGGGUUAUGUCAAAACGCGCUGCUACUAUAUUCUGUAGCGGCAGCGGUUUAUGAGAAACACGCUACUACUAUGGUGCGUAGCUGCAGCGCUUUAUGGGAAACUCGCUACUACUAUGGUGCGUAGCGGCAGCGGUUUAUGAGAAACACGCUACUACUAAGAUCUAGCAGCAGCGGUUUUGUGGAAACGCGCUGCUACUGCCGUCGCUACUGCCAGGUUUCCUUUUUCUUUUCCUUUAUUUUAUCCCACUUUUAUUUCCCGAGGGCAAUGAACGAAGGGAGGGCGAUAUAUAUUGCAUCAUUUGACGGUUAAAUAUGUAUGCAAAAUAGGAACAUAUAUAUUACACAUCAUUGGACCCAUGCAUAAUAAUGACUAAGUGUGUAUACAAAUUAAAUAGGAACAUAUAUAUAUUACACAUCAUUGGACCCAUAACAUACGUUUCCUCAGUGCUGACGUUUUCGUUUUUGAGUCAGCUUCUUUCCCUUCUUGUUCGUCGAAGAAUAAUUGAGCCCCUCAUUGUGACUUUGCCUUUUCCAUGGAGUACGAUUUUUCUUAGGUAAUGUAGUAUUGAUUCUUCUUUUGACGUAUACUUCAUCAUCAUCAUCAUCUUCCCUCAUUGGGUUGCUGUACUGAUCAUAGUCUUCCUCGUUGGCGACUCCAUCCAUUCCAAUGAUGUUCCUUUUGCCUCUCCUCACGACAACACGGCUGGGAUUGCGCGGGUCAGUUAUGAAGAAACAUUGUGUCACGUGCUUAGCGUGUACCCAUGGCUCGUUUUUUGCGAUAGCGUUCAUGGUAGCGCUCUUGGCGUCGGGUAUAGUCAUGGUAGUGAACAUCCGGCUUUCUCUUUCGACAUUCUUAGCCCAUCUGACACGGAACAUCAUCGUGCUGUGCAGUCCAGAGUAGUCAAGCUCCCAGAUCUCCUCGACCCUUCCAUAAAAUCGUUCAGUUGUGCCGUUGUCGCUGCCGGUCAUGCAUUCCAUCGUCACCCCUGAGUUCUGAUCAUCACUGUCCAUAUCUUUUGCCUCUGUGUAGAAUGUGUAUCCGUUGAUAUCAUAUGCCUGAUAGGUUACGAGGUUGGGCGAGGGGCCAUGUGCUAAGGCGUAUAUGAGCAAUCCGUCCUUAGAGCCCUCCUCCGGUGGAUUAGCAAUAAUAUGCUCUUUGAACCAAUGCAGGAAAGUGGAGUUGUGCUCUCUAGUAACUUCGGCGUCCGUCCUGCAUACCCCCCGGUCACGAUACUUCUUUGUGAUAAUUUCUUUGUGCAGUGCCACGAAAGGAUCUACCUCGUCUAGGUGUUGUAGCACUACCAAGUUUGCUCUGUCAAAGUCGCUGCGUCGAUCUGAGUAUGCCACGUGCAGUUCCCUGCGACCGUUGCAGUGACCAUCUCCUUUGAGCCUCCCAUCGUGCUUGUUAACGGGCAAACCAACACUAACACCAGGCGGCUGGUCUGCGCCAUAUAAAAAAUUCUCACAGAAAGAGAUGCACUCUUGUGCCAAAUAGCCCUGGACGAUGCUUCCAUCCGGACGGGACAUGUUACGAACGAAUCCUUUGAUGAUCCCAUUCAUCCACUCAAACGGGAUCAUGUUGUGCAGGAAUGACGGCCCCAGGUCUAUUAUGUCAUCCACAAUAUGGACACACAGAUGCACCAUCACGUCGAAGAACGCGGGCGGGAAGUACAUCUCAAGCUCAUUCAGUAUCACAACGAUCUCUUCCUGUAGCCUUUGGAGCUGCUUCACACUGAUCGACUUUCGAGAGAUGACAUCGAAAAAGUUGCAGAGACCAAUAAGCGUGUCACGGACGUGCUUGUCCAUUAUCCCUCUAAGGGCAACAGGUAGUAUCUGCGUCAUCAUCACAUGACAGUCAUGAGACUUCAUCCCGCUGAACCUUUUCUUGUCCGUGUCUAGAUAUCUGCUUAUCUUGCCACAGUAACCGGAACUAACUUUCACUCCGGUAAGGCACUUAAAGAAUUGAUUGAUCUCAGCCUGACUUAAGGUGAAGCAAGAGGGGGGGCAAUAAUCUUCUUUCUUUAAUUUCUUGCCCUUCUUCUCCCGUGCCUCUGUCUUCGUCUCUGUCUCGUCUGACAUUUUACGGGGCGGCAUCUGCAGAUCUUCCCUGAUUUUCAAAUCUUGCAAGUCUUUUCUUGCCUUCGGCCCAUCCUUGGUCUUAUCCGGCAUGUUCAUCAGUGUUGCGAGCAAGCUCUCAAGGACAUUCUUACAGAUAUGCAUUUGAUCAAGGCAAUGAGGUGUAUCGAGUUUGUGCCAGUACUCCAAGUCCCAGAACACGACCUCGUCUUCCAUACCUUCAGCAGCGGCUCCGGCGCCUUUCUCAUCGUCUUUCCCGGCGCGGGGCACUCAUUCCAGUUUUUCAAUAGCUCAUCGAUUUCGGCACCGCUCCGCUUACGUGGAGGUCCUCGAUGCUCAGCGUGACCAUUGAAUAGAUCUCCACGGUUUCUCCACGGGUCGUCCUGUUCAAGCCAUCUUCGAUGCCCCAUGUACAUGAUUUUCGCAGACCCGCCAUCUUUCCUUGACGUUAGCUGCUGAGACGUUGUAUCAUCCAUGCACCGCGUGCAUCCGCAAUAUCCAUGGCACACCUGGCCUGCCACAUAUCCGUAACCGAGAUAGUCCUGCACUGUCGUGAUCAGCGCGGCUCUCAUGUUGAAAUACUCACCUUUGCUGGCGUCCCAUGUCUUGGCCGGUGUUUUCCAUAACGUGUCUAACUCCUCUUGAAGUAGCCCCAGAUACAAAUUAAUAUUAUUUCCUGGUUGUUUCGGCCCUUGAAUAAGCAUGCUCAUGUGAAUGUACUUCGAUUUCAUACACAACCAGGGGGGGAGGUUGUACAUCCAUACAAACACGGGCCAUGUACUAUGGUUGGUGUUCUAGUUGCCAAAUGGAUUCAUGCCAUCGGUACACGCGCCGAGCACGAUGUUCCUUGCAUCACAUUCAAAAUACCGUUAGAAGCUGUUCAACGCUCUCCACUGGCUUCCAUCCUUCACGUGUCUCAGCUUCGGAUCAUCUCCAUCGUCGGGCUUCUUCCUCUCCGCGUGCCAGCGCAUUAGCUUUGCUUCCUUGGGAUCUACAAAAUACCUCUGAAGACGGGGAGUGAUCGGUAAGUACCAUACAACUUUCUGGGGACAUUUCUUCCCGGCCUUCUUGUAUCGAGAAGCAUUGCACACCGGACAGCUUGUUUUUUCCGCGUGCUCCUUCCGAUAAAUUAUGCAAUCGUUGAUGCAUGCAUGGUAUCUAACGUGUGGCAGAUCAAGAGGGCACACGAUCUUCUUGGCCUCAUCAACACUAGUAGGACAUAGAUUACCCGCGGGAAGAAUAUCCUUUAGGUACUUGAGAUGGUCAUCGAGGCUAGUGUCGGUCCAUUUGUUUUUAGCCUUCGUCUUCAGGAGUUGGAGCGUGAAACUCAACCGGGUCACCUCAGGAUUGCAACCAUCAUACAAUGGAGUGUUCGAGUCUACCACCAGUUGCUCCAGCUUAGCCUCCUCUCUAGAAGCAGCUCUCUCAGUACUCGUCUCCUUGCGAAGCAAUGCUUGAACAUGAGGGUCCCGCACAAUUGAACUUAGUACCGACGAACUCUGCUGCGUGGAGUCCAUGUCGUUCUCUCCGCCGCCAUGUCCGGCCCCUUCUCCUCCGCCAUGUCCGGCCACUUCUCCGCUGCCAUGUCCGGCCUCUUCCCCGCCGCCAUUAUCGAUCAUCUCUUCGUCUUGCCCCGUGUCAUCAUUGCCUGCCCCGUCGGCAUCCUCAACAUCUUCAUCCUCAUCUUCAAUUAUCCACCGAGUAUAGCCAUCCAUGAAACCAGUCAUGAGCAGGUGCGCUUCGACACGACCAUCGUCAUGGGGGUCGAGCCAAACUAUUCCUUUGCAUUUUCAACACGGACAUAAAACCUCUGUCCGGUUAUUUUCUUUCAUGUCUUGCACCGCCGACCGCAACCACCUGUCCACCAUUGUUCCACUGACCAUCGUCAACUCUGCACGGUAAUAAUAAAAAAAUUGAUUGUAAAAAUGCAUGCAUGCAUCAAAGUCAUAAAAAAAUUUGGCAUGACCUUCCCUAAAAAUAGGACAUAUAUGGAUCUAGAGUUUGCCCGAAAUUCGCCGAAACGAAAAUAAAUCGACAUUUCGGCAAAACAUAGGCAACUCAAAAGCACAAUUUGGCGGCGUCAACUCAUGCCACAGACACAAUUUCCACAAACAUAUCACACAUACACAUAAACACAUUUCCAUUUUGCAAAAGCAUGAAAUUUUCAUCACCUCUAUCUCGAUGGCCGGAGAUGAUGUUGUAGGGAGAUCAAAAGUGCACAAAGCUAUUCUUGACAAAGAUAGAUCUAGUUAGGGGGCAAAUAGGUCACUUAACUAAAUCCUACAUCUACCUAGCUACCUAAUUUGGAAGGAGACAACUUCAACUAGUGGAGGGGGAGGAAAAAGAGAAAGAAGAUGCAUUAAUUAAUGGAGGUGGUGUAGUUAUGUAGGAGUAAUGAAGAGAGAGAAGGUGGAUAGAGAANNNNNNNNNNNNNNNNNNNNNNNNNNNNNNNNNNNNNNNNNNNNNNNNNNNNNNNNNNNNNNNNNNNNNNNNNNNNNNNNNNNNNNNNNNNNNNNNNNNNNNNNNNNNNNNNNNNNNNNNNNNNNNNNNNNNNNNNNNNNNNNNNNNNNNNNNNNNNNNNNNNNNNNNNNNNNNNNNNNNNNNNNNNNNNNNNNNNNNNNNNNNNNNNNNNNNNNNNNNNNNNNNNNNNNNNNNNNNNNNNNNNNNNNNNNNNNNNNNNNNNNNNNNNNNNNNNNUGUGGUGGAGGGAAGAGAGGAGAGGGGGAGGUAGGGGGGAAGGGAAAAAAGGAAGGGGGAGGGGAGGGACGGGUUGGGGGUUGGUGGGGUUAGCAGUAGCGCGGGAGAUAAAACGCGCUGCUGCUAAGAACUUAGCAGCUGCGCGCUUUGCGGUAAGGCGCUACUGCUAACUGGGACAAAAAAUUGUGGCAAUUUGAAACUUACCAGCAGCGAUCUCGAGGAAACCGCGCUACUACUACGUACUUAGCAGUAGCGCUGUUAUUGCGACCGCGCUACUGCUACUUAGAGUUGGGGGAACACCGCCGGUCGAUAUUUGUAGCAGCGCGUUUCUUGUCGAGCGCGCUACUGCUAAAUCUUUAUCAGUAGCGAGUUUACGUAACCCGCGCUACAACUACUUAGCAGCAGCGCUCUAUUUUGAACCGCGCUGCUGCUAAGAUUCUGUGUAUAGGCUUUUCCCUAGUAGUGUAGGAAGGAAUGACCACAUGAAUGAGCAUACGUAUGAUGUGAUUAAGUCUCUCGAUUGGGUAUCUGGUGCCUUAUGUACGGUGUCUUCUUUUUGUCAAGCUAUGACAUCUUUCAGUUUGAGUGUCUGAUAUUAGGGUUGCAUACGUUUUGUUAUUCAGUUGCCUGUUGUGAACUCUACGGUUAUAUCAUCUCGAUGUGUGAGUCAAUGUGUUUGAACCAAUGUAGAGUUUCAUGUGAAUGUUACAAGUGUGAUUGAUAUGUUCAUGUUAUCCGCGGUUGCCUUGGUAAGAAACUGAAAGAGCAAACCGUUAUCGUGCUAGGACAAAAGUCAUCACUCAAUAUAAGUGCUUCUCUAGAACAGCCACACCUUGUGAAAGAAGAUGGCAAACACCCAAUCAUGUCUGGUUCGAUAUGGGCGUGGCUAUGGGUAGCUUAUAGCGACAUGGAAGCCAGCAUCGCUGGAAGAAACGCCCGGGUGGGCCGGCCUAGAGACAUUUCUUGAUAUCUACCCUUAGUUUUGUUUUUCUGCCCUUCUUUCUUUAUAUUUAUAUUUUUCCCGACAUGUUCACUACUUGAUGCUCAACUGGGAUCUCAUCCUUCACAAAUACGGAGAGCCAUUAUUGUUAGAGUUAAUCUUGACAUGUGUGUAUGUGCAUGUGUGCAUUGCAUGUUAGUGGUCUAGAGAUGGCCGGGUCGAUGCGUCUGUUCUGUGCUGGAGUGAGUCCAGCAGUUUGUUUUGGUCAGGUCGUGGUGGCUAGAGCCAUUCUAGGAGAGGAUCAAGUCAAGUUGUUAGCUGAACUCGGCUGGGUAGUGUUUGGCCGUUGAGGAUAGGCUGUACUAGUGGUGGGCAUGGCCGUGCAUAUAGCUAGCGAUUAGUUACACUAGUAGAAAACCACCCAUUAGUCCCGGUUCGUAAGGGCCUUUAGUCUCGGUUCAGGAACCGGGACUAAUGGGUCGUUACUAAUACCUCCACCCAUUAGCCCCGGUUCAAACACGAACCGGGACCAAUGUGCCUCCACGUGGCCCUGUGCGGCGAGCCCAGUCAGGGGGCCUUUGGUCCCGGCUGGUGGCUCCAACCGGGACCAAAAGGCAUCCACGCGUCUGCAUUCUAGUGGUUUCUGGUUUUUGUUUUUUUUUUGAAAGGAGGGGGGUUGGGGGUUUUGGGGAGUUAAUUUAGGUGUUUCGUAUAUUGUGUUAACUAGCUAAUUAAUAGAGAGAAGUGUCCUCUCUUAUGUCCGUGCUUGGUCGACGCUACGUAGUAUAUAUACAUAAGUAAUCGAGAGAACCAUUCAGUACAGAAGUUCGUCAUGCAUACCGAGAGAAGUGAUCGAUCGACCUCUCCUUCUCCGAGAGAUUGGUCGAACAACAAGUUUUUUACUGGCUACAUACAUGUACAAUAUGUAUAAGAUCUCUUAAUUACAAACCCAUAGCAUUUGAAAUCAACUUCCACAUGGUAUUCUCCGGCUUUACUGAUGACGUGUUCAAGAAAGAAUCCCGCUAAUUCCUCUUGAAUUGCUUUCAUGCGAUCUGGUUCUAGGAGUUCACCCCGCAUCUGCCACGUCUAAUUAAUUUGAAGAAGGGGGUUAAUUAAUACAUAUAUAUGAAUGAAACUCAACAGAAAAUGAUGGUGUAAUAAAAUGAAAUUGUGAAUAUUAUUGCUUACGCACUUCAUAUUGUCUUCUAGAGUAGCCCCGCUUGUUUCUCAAAGUUGCGUUGUGGAUGAACUCGCACACGUAGUAUCCACAAAAAUCAUUCCCUUCCUCCUGUCACAAGCACUUUACGAGAAACAGAGGUCAAUCAAACUGAUAAUGAAGCAUUAUAAAUGGCAUUGAUGAAAGUAUAGCUAUAGAAUCAACGGGAGAUGCACGCAACUAGCUAGCCAGUAGUACUUACUUUCGGGUAUACAUAUCGCAGCUCCUUCGGCAGUCCCGGAGCUUGUGCGGUGAACUGUUUCCGAACCCUGCAAGACAAAGAAAAUAAUUAUUAUUACUUGAGAUAUCAGGAAAUGAACAAAAAGUUGCCGAUAUGGUGCGAUAAUGAUCGAUUGAACUUACUUGCUGAGCAUUUCAGUCAUGUCCACAUAGGUGCUGGGAUCUUUCCGUCUCGAGUCUAAGACGGUUACUAGUCCACGCUCAAGCUUAAUCUCCAGAAGAAUAUAGUGGUACCUGCGCACGCGUGCAUAACUCAUCAAUUACAUUAACCUCGCUCGAGUAAUAAGGGAAACCGAAUAUGCACACGACAGUAACACUCACGGGCCGUUGUAAGGAAAGAGUAUGGUAUCUUUGUUUUGAUUUUUGAUCAACGAUUGUAGCAAGUUGUCCUCGGCCUCUUCGACGUUCUUUUCAACCAGAAAUACAUCUAUGAUAUUUGUGUUAAUGAACCCAAUAUCAUAAAUUUUUUGUUUUUUGCACUCGACGAUCUUCAAUCUGCAUAAUAUAUUGAGGAUAAUUAAUUAUAAAUACAUGCAAUGAAAGAUCCGAGCUAUAUAUAGAGACUUAAUGUCAGAAAUAGUACUUACAUGCAGUAGCAAAAGACCAUUAAUUUAUCGAGGGCCUUUUGAUUGAAGAACUCAAAGAACUCCUCAAAUGGAACACACAACAGAUCAUUUGAAAUGAGGUCGUGCUCCUCUUUAAUAUUCAAAUACAAACUGUUCGUCCCCUCAGACUCUCUGCAGGUUUUCAUGUACCAAUUAUGGAAUCUUCGCAUCAUUAUUGUCAGAGAUUUUUCAUCUUUGACGAGAGGCUUCCCGUACUCGUAUCUGAAUACGUCCACCUCCAUGAAAUCAGGAAGUGCAUCGUCAGGCAGGUAAUCUUCAAGAUUGCCAUAACCGGCCACCGUCCCCGGAGGAUUAGACACAUUGAGCGGGGGGCACGAUUGCUGUGCUUGUUCGCCGAGCUGGGCAAUUUUUUUCCCCUUUGCUCGUUGUUCUUUUGACCUUUUAUCAUUGACAGUAGUUCCCGACCGCUUGGCUUGGAGAUAUGUCUGUUCAGUAAUGCGCUCAUAGUUGGUUCUCGGCGGAGACUUUGGUGGUUUCCUCAGGGCAUCGAGAGUGCGCUUUGCUUUCACCGGAUCUACCUUCUCCUCCGGAGGUGGAUGUCUCUUUGCUUUCACCCCUUCAAAGAACUCCUUCACGUGGGCCUGCACGAUCGUAUUGUUUUCCUCCUUGGUCCUCUCGUACGGUAACUUCUCUAGAGGCUUUAGAGGUGGACCGUAUCUGUAUUGCCUCUCUCUUCUUGUGCUGCUAGACGCCGGAGCAGACGGAGCGGCUGUGGCGUCUGUCUUCUUCCGUGCUUGCUUAUGAGGCGGAGGAGAAGGACUACGACGCGCCGGAGCAGCCGGGGCGGCGGCGGGUCUCUUCCGCCCUUGCUGGCGAGGCGGAGAGGAGGAGGCGGAGUGCCGCCACAUGCCGGAGAAGGAGGCGGAGUGCCGCCAUGCGUGCCCUGAUCGUCACUCGCCGGAGGAGGAGGCGGUGGAGGAGGCGGAGUGCCGCCACGCGUGCCCUGAUCGUCACUCGCCGGAGGAGGACGCGGUGGAGGAGGCGGAGUGCCCUGACUCGCUGAAAGAGGAGGAGGAGGCGGAGGCGUCCAGUUCAGAAGGUUGAUGAGCUCCUUCUGCCAUAGGCAUGGAGUCUUCAGAGCAGAACCCAGCCUAGUCUCCCCUUCACCGGUAGUGUGCUCAAGCACGAGGUCCUCAAAUCCCUCCGUUAUUUCAUCCACCAUCACCUUAGCAAAUCCUUCUGGAAUUGGCUGGCAGUGAUAAGUUGUGCCGGGUCCACUAGGAUAAACUUGGCCAACAGCCGCCUUGACCUUCAAAUUCAUCCAUCACACAAUAAUGUGGCAAUUUUGAGACUCCGUGAUACCAUCCACGGGAUAGCUGGCAGGAGCCGUCAAGACAUGCUCCGGCUGAAGCAGCUCAGUGGAAGCCACGCUGCUUCUCUGCUGAGAUGGCGGGGUAGCUUCGGGGGAAGCUUCGGCAGGUCGUUUGUUGUGAUCUGCUGCUUCUUGUUCCUCUAGCCCCAUUACCCUUUCGUGCAGCGCCUGCAUUUGGUCCUGCUCCAGUUUCUUCCUCCUCUCGUAGGCUUUGUAAACGCCUGCGUCCAGAAAACCAACCUUCCACGGAAUGGAGCCUGGCGUGCCUCGUGUCCGUCCAGGGUGCUCGGGAUUCCCAAGGGCCAUUGUGAGCUCGUCCUUCUCCCUGUUUGGAAGGAACGUCCCUCGUUGUGCUGCAUCGAUAUAGUGUCGAAGGUUCUUGACUGGUGUUUGCAGUUGCUCGUCCGUCCACUGACGCUUCCCUGUUACAGGGUCCAAGGUUCCGCCAGCCCCGAAGACCCAAGUCCGGCAACGGUCUGGCCAGCGCAUUGUCUCUGGUUCGAUUCCUUUUUCAAGCAGAUCAUGCUCAGCCUUGGACCACUUAGGCCGGGCUUUGAGGUAGCCACCUGACUCCGUGCGAUGGUGAAGCUUCUUCUUCGCAGCAUUUUUCUUGUUUGUCUCCGACAUCGUCUUACUCUUUUCCGAUGUCUUGUGGGCCACAAAUGCGGGCCAGUGAUCUUUGAUCUUCUCAUAUUUGCUGAUGAAUUCUGGUGUCUUUUUUUUCUCGAGAAACUGGUUCAGCUCUUUCCUCCACCUCCUCAUUAGGCUUGCCAUCUUCUUAAGAGCACAAGACUUGAUUAAUUGCUCUUUAACUGGCUUCUCCGGAUCCUCCUCUGGCGGUAGGGUGAAAUUUGCCUUCAGCUCAGUCCAAAGAUCUUCUUUCUGCAUAUCAUUGACAUAAGACACCUCAGGGUCUUCAUCCUUAGCAGGCUUAUACCAUUGCUGGAUGCUGAUCGGGAUCUUGUCCCUAACAAGAACCCCGCACUGAGCAGAAAAUGCCUUCCUUGUCCGGAUGGGUUCAAUCGGUUCGCCGUCGGGCGCGAUUUCUAUGAUCUCAAACUUUUCAUCCGAGAUCAACUUUUUCUUCGGGCCUCGUCUCCUUACCGAAGUUGUGCUCGAUCCGGAGGGCUAGAAAUUAUAAGGAAGAAAGACGACAGUAAUUAAUAUGUGUACAUAUACCAAAACAAUGGAUGCAUCAAUUAACUAGUCAGCACGGGCUUAACUAAUAUAUAUAUACCUGGCCGGACUCGGUUCGGUGACCGGAGCAGUCAGCACGGUCUCCUUGUACCUCCAUUGUGUCACCGGAGCCAUCAUGAACAUAGUCCUCCUCUUGUACCGGCAUUAAUGGGUCGAAGCCAUCAUAAACAUAGCCCUCUUCUUCAUCCAGUCCUUCCAGCUGACCAUCGGUGUCGAUGAGAAAUGACGCAACAUCAUCACUUCCAUUUGCGAUUAUGUCCCCCAACAUCGCUUCUGUUUCUUCGUCUCGGGAGUGCUCCAUAGUUUCUGCAAAUAUUUACAACAUGUCAAUUAUUAUUCAAACAUGGUACAAAUGGAUAUAUAUAUAUAUAUAUAUAUAUAUAUAUAUAUAUAUAUAUGAAAAUGGAUUGGUACUCCUAGGAGUACAUACUCUCACCUACACCCGUCAUCGUUGGAAACAUUCAUCCCGCUAACUACUAAAAAAAGAGCUAACUAACUACGGAUAAAGCCUUUGGAUUUAAAAAUUAGUUGAACCGCUUCCUUUUUUUUCAGCUCUCGUAGGCGUGCCUUCCAGGGAUUCCAUUUGAAACGGCGUUCUCAUCUCUUGCCAGCACCCAUGAACAUAAAAAAACAGAGCAUCGGCUCGCCUCCGCCCCGCCGACUGACCGGAAGACUUGGUCGACAUGGCCGACGAUGAUCCCCGUGCUUCUUCCCUCGCAAACUAGGCUUCAACCACCACGUCCAUCAAUCAGAGGAAGAUUGAUUCAUCAUCUGUAGUUUGCGAGGGUACGUGCAAUUGAUGUUUCCCGAUUUUUCUGUUCGGCUACCACAACCGUGUUCAUGUUCCCGCUGACCCCUUGAUCCAUUCCUGUCCAGUAUGUCAUCGUCCGAGAAGAAAAUAGGACGGAGAUGAUUGAUCGGCCAGAUUGAUCGGCCAAGUCUACUAGUACCACUGGUGGAAAAAAGGCCUUUGGUCGCGGUUCGCAACUGCCAUUAGUCGCGGUUGCGCAACCGCGACCAAAUAAGCGCGACUAAAGCCCCCCACCUUUAGUCGCGGCUGCUUAAGAACCGCGACUAAAGGCCCGUCCAUGUGGGCGCCAGGCGGCCGUCGGGACGGAGGACCUUUAGUCGCGGUUCUUCUGGCCAACCGCGACUAAAGGCCGCCACAGGUUUAGGGUUUUAGCCCCCCCCCUAAACCUGUUUUCUGUUUAAUUUGUAUUGUUUUAUUUCUUUUGUGCUUUAUUUUAAUUUUGAAGGAGUUUCAUAUAUUCUACGGUACUACAUACAUGCAUAUGAAUGUACAAUUUCAAAUAAAUUUGAAAUUAGAACCAAAAAGAAUUCAAGAGGAAUAUACAAUAUAUAUUCAAUAUCAUCGGAUGACCAUAUACAAUUUUGAACAAGUUUCCAUACAUGAUUUAAUGCAUAUAAAGUUCUACGUCCUCGUAAUAGUGUUCUCCUUUAGGAUGGAGGACUUCCCUGCUGAACCAUCCAGCUAGUUCCUCUUGAAGUGGUCGGAAGCGAGCUUCUGGACUAAGCAUCCACCGGAGGUUAUUCCUCUGAGCAUUGGUAUCACUCGGAACCCGCUCAGAGGUGUAUCUCCGGAUCAUCUCACAGACAUAGUAUCCACAUAGAUUGGUCUCCGGUGGCUGAAUAUCCCCAGCAUUCUUAGCCACUGACCUUUUGAAUUCUAGCUCUUUUUUGAAUUCACCGACCUUUGUAUCUACGAACCGUCUCCAAACCCUACGAGGCAAAGAAAAUUAAAUGAACAAGAGAGUUAUUAGUUACUUGAUAUUAGGAAAUGAACGAAAUAGGCCGAUUGAUAUAGAGCGCAAAUGAAUGAAAAUAAUUACUUCUGCAGCAUUCUUCUCAUGCCGCCCCAAAGCUUUGGAUCCAUAUUCACAGAGUCGUGGACGAGACAUUCUGAGGUGUUAACUUUAAUUACUAGCAGAAUCCAGUGGAACCUGCGGACACGAUACAUGCACAGUACGUCAUGCAUAACUCAUCGAUUAGCCGGCCACAUACCAUGCAUGGAGUAAACAAAAGAGAAUGUGCUCAAGACACAAACACUCACCCAAAAUGGUAAGGAAAUAGAAUAUCACUUUUGAGUUCCUGCUUUGUAAGAAACUGCCACAGGUCUACCUCCACGUCGGCGGGGUGACGCUCCAACACAUGUCCAUUAACGAUGUGUGGGUCAAUGAACCCAACAUCAUGGAUGUUCCUUACUCUGCAUUCCUUAAUCUUCAUUCUGCAUGUAUAAUAGCGGACACAACAAUAUAGUUAGGACAUAUAUAUAGUGCAGGCAAUAUGAACGAGAUGGGGUAGAAAUUAAUAAAUCACUUACAGAACGUAGCAACUGAUGAUAGAUUUAUCGAGCUCGCGCAGAUUGAAAAGCUGGAACAAUUCACUCAGUUCAAUUUGUACAUAGUAAUGUUUGAAGUGAUGCUCAUGUCUAACUUCCGCAUAAAUAUAUUCUUUGGCGUUUUUAUUUUUUAUGUAACCCUUGUACCAUUUCAGCAGACCUUUCAUUUGUGGAGGUAGAUCCUUUUCCUGCGCAGGCUCGACGAGAGGCCCAUUCUUGACAUAUGUAAUUACUACCUCCUUCACUGGCGCCUCAUCAAGGCCUAACAGUUCACGAAGAGUAAUACCUAAGUUGGCCGCUUGUUCUAUGGCACUCGUUACAGUCAAUCCCUGUGCUGCCGCAGCUUGUAUGAUCUCGGGGGCAUCCGGACAGAAGGCUUCCACUAUAAGCGGGGCAAUCGAUUGUUUACUUUGUUCCCCGAGCUGGGCAACUUGUUUCCCGCUUUUUUUACUUUCGGCCUUCUCCCGCUCUUUGUUCUCCUUGAACAUGAGUGCCUGCCUGCGAAGUUCACGUGCAUAGUCGUUAGGCAGAUUCUUCGCGGCUUGGGACGGUGUGCUCAAAAAUGACUUAGCCCACUUGUUUUGCUCAUCAGAAAAUACUGGCUUGGGCUCGAGCUCUCUUUUCUUCUUGCAGUCCGCCUUCCAUUUCUCCAAAUCAGCAGCCGCGGCCGCGUCGACUUCCUCGGCACUACGUUCCCAAGGCCUUGUGGGGAGAGGCUUCAGUGAUGGCUCCGGUACCUUUGUGGUCUUAGGUACAUAAGGGUCCGGGUUAAUAAUCCAGGACUGCUUCUGCUUCUUUGCCGGAGGUGGAUUGGGGGGCGGCGUCUGAUCACCCGCCGGACGAGGACUGGGGGGCGGCGGCUGAUCACCCGCCGGACGUUGUGGACUGGGGGGCGGCGUCGGCUGACGUGACGGAGGUGUAGGUGAACCGCCACCACCACCACCACCACCACCACCGCCACCGCCACCACCACCACCGUAGGGGGGUGGACUUGUUGUCCUUGGCGCCUCGCCUGGAAACUUGAUAAACUUCUUUUGCCAUAGAAUGAAAUGGCGCUUGACAUCUCCAAGUCUUUUCUCCCCUUCAGGUGUAGCAAUGUCAAUCUCCAGGUCCUCAAACCCUUGGACUAUGUCCUCCACCGUGACACGAGCAUAGCCAUCUUGAAUGGGGUUGUUGUGGUGGAGUGCUCCAGGUAAACAUGGUAAAGCACUGCCGAUGGCUACCUUCAUGGACAUGUUCCCGAUAGGAUAAUACAGAUGACAUUCUUCUCCGCUGCUGGCUUCCGAGAUCUGCUGGAUGAUCUUCAUGCUGCACCCGAGCUGCAUCUCUUUCGGCUACUAGUACACUCAUGGUUUUCUUCAUCACAUCCAUUUCCGAUGCCAACCGCGCCACAACAUCUGCUUCCCGAUCCACCUUUCUCUUACGGCUUCUGUAACCGUACGGGUCAUCGUUCUGGGGGAACCCUAUUUUCCACGGAAUGUGCCCCAUGCCUCGUACACGUCCUCCGUGUUCAGGAUUCCCGAGGGAUUUUGUCAGCGCGUCGUUCUCUCUGUUGAACUUGAUCUUCCCCUGUUGAGCAUCCCUCAUUGCGUUAAUAAGGGCUUGGGUGGGUUUAAUUAAUUUGCCCCGGUAAACACACUCCCCUGUCUCCGGGUUCAGCGUUCCCCCAUGCCCGUACCACCAACUUUUGGCCCUUGGGUCCCAUCCCUCCGUACCUGCACGGAUUCCUCGCGCCCUCAGCUCGUUCUCCAUCUUCUCCAACCUAGGCACCCAAAUGCGAUACCCUCCUGGCCCCAUAACAUGAUUGUACUCCUUCUUAGCCGCAUUUUCCUUAUUUUUUCGAUAUUUGAAUGAACUGCUCCGAUUUCUUUUGCUUCACAAAUUCUGGCCAAUCAUGUUUCAGUUUCUCAUAUUGUCCUUUGAAAUCCGGAGUCUUGUUCUGCUUGACAAAGUCAUGGGCUAGAUUUUGCUUGAAUUUCCGGAAUGCGUCGGCCAUCUUAUGAAGAGCGAACUGUUUGACUAGCCUCCUCCUCUCCUUGUUUUCUUCAAUCUUGUUACCCUCCUCAUCGAAUUUGUUGUAUUCCGGAGGUAGAACGAAAUGUUCCAUAAGCUUCUUGAAGCAAUCUUUUUUUGUUCUCUUAUCGACAAAAGUGAAACCAUCAAUUCGUGCCUUCUUUGGCUCAUUCCACUCCUGGACGGUGAUCGAGACGUUGUCUCUAACAAUGGCUCCGCAUUGGCUGACAAACUUGGUGGCGUUCUUGCGGGGCUCCAGCGGCCUGCCGGUUGCACUGUCGACAACCUCGAUGGUGCAUGUUUCUCCUUGUUUCAUCGUCUUGGUUGCGCCACGCUUUGACGACGUACUCGAUUGUUUCGACGAUCCGGCCGAGGGCUAAAAUAAGAAAGAGUCGCGCGCGUUAGUACACACAUAUUUAUUCAAAUCAGUUAGUUUGUAUCACCAGAGGCUCAAUGUAUAUAUAUACCUCGGCGCCGGAGGUGGUUGCUACAUCCAUUUGAAGAUCGUCGUUUAUCGACGUUUGUUCGGCAUCAUCUUGCUGACGGCGCCCUUCAUCUUCACCGUCAAGGUUCAGAUAAGAAGAGAUAUCAUCUUCUUCUUCUCCGGUCGGCACAUAUAGAAUAUCGCCGUUUAUGAUGCCGAACAUAUGUGCUUCACCGUCCGGAUCAUAGUUGUCCAUAAUCGGGUCAGCUCUAUCGUCCGCCAUUAUGUCAGUCCUGAAAACAUGUAGUAAAAACAAAUUAAUUAAGUGAAGAAGGGGGGCGGUGGCGGUGGCGGUGGCGAAAGGGUGGUGGCAAAAGGAGGGGGCGAGGAAGGGGUGGGAGAGGGUGUCGCGGUAGAGCGCGAGACGGGGCGGCACGAACGUCAUUUUGUGAAGAAACUUUGCAAGCAAUUAAACAUUUGUCAAUGUUUGGUAAAAAAAAUACAGGUAGCGUCUGUUGCUCCUAAUGAUUGGAAACGGUUUCCAAUUGCCAACGAGGAUUUAGAUCGACUACUACUACUAGUUGCAUUGCUCCCCAUCGGGACGAUGUUGCUCCUAAUCCCCUCCUUUGGAAUCUAUAGUACUAGUGCAUACUAGCUGGCCGUUGACCGUUGUUGCUCAUCGCGUUUUCUCAAAGUCCACUGAUUUUGCUCAGGGCCAGUUCGGAGAUUUUGCUGGUCCACUGAUUUUGGAUCAACGCCGGGAUGGCAUGGGCGCUCGGCGAUGAUGCGAAGUAGACUUGCACAGGCAACGUGAUGUACAUGGAUGUGUCAGUACGGUACGCUCGGCGAUGCCACGGUAUGGAUGACUUCUCGAGUGGAGAUUGGAGAACCAAGUUCGCCGGUGAAACGUCGGCUCCUGAUCAGAUCUGGGGGUCGCGAACUAGCGAUUGGAUCUCGGAAGGGAGUUAGGAAAGCGAACAGACGUGCGUUCAAGGCUACAACUUUUUUUUUCAGGAUCUUGAAAACAGCUACGCGUUCAAGGCCCGGUCCUGAUUUUGCUCAUCUACCCGGGGCGGCGUUCGCACUGCGCGAGGGCCGACUCCGCGGGGUGCUGCCGCGUCGCCUCGUCGACGCUGAGCGAGUUGGCGAGGACCGUGUACAUGGUCGGCACGUCGCCGGCGGAGAGGGUCAUGCUGUCCCCGACCAGCGGCGGCCACGGACGGGGAGGGCGGCGGCGGUGACUGGGAAGGAAUGAUAGGAGAGGAAGGAAGGUCGCGUGGGGUUGAGGGCGGNNNNNNNNNNGGCGAGGAGGGACUCCUUGGCGGAGAGGCGCUCCGUCUCGCGGGCGUAGCUGGCAGCGGGCUCCCACGCCUGCGCGUACACGUCGUCCCGCCGUGCGUUCAAGGCUACAACUUUUUUUUUUAGGAUCUUGAAAACAACUACGCGUUCAAGGCCGGCCCGGUCCUGAUUUUGCUCAUCUACCCGGGGCGGCGUUCGCACUGCGCGAGGGCCGACUCCGCGGGGUGCUGCCGCGUCGCCUCGUCGACGCUGAGCGAGUUGGCGAGCACCGUGUACAUGGUCGGCACGUCGCCGGCGGAGAGGGUCAUGCUGUCCCCGACCAGCGGCGGCCACGGACGGGGAGGGCGGCGGCGGUGACUGGGAAGGAAUGAUCGGAGAGGAAGGAAGGUCGCGUGGGGUUGAGGGCGGGCGAGCGAGGCGGCAGUACCGAGGCUGGCCGGCGGCGCGCGCGCGGUGGGCGAGGGCGACGGCGGGCGGCGUCGAGGGCGAGGGCGACGGCGGGCGGCGUCGAGGGCGCGGCAGAGACGAACAGGCGAGAAACGGCGGGCGGCGUCGAGGGAGCCUUGUAUUUAUAGCCCCCCCNNNNNNNNNNNNNNNNNNNNNNNNNNNNNNNNNNNNNNNNNNNNNNNNNNNNNNNNNNNNNNNNNNNNNNNNNNNNNNNNNNNNNNNNNNNNNNNNNNNNNNNNNNNNNNNNNNNNNNNNNNNNNNNNNNNNNNNNNNNNNNNNNNNNNNNNNNNNNNNNNNNNNNNNNNNNNNNNNNNNNNNNNNNNNNNNNNNNNNNNNNNNNNNNNNNNNNNNNNNNNNNNNNNNNNNNNNNNNNNNNNNNNNNNNNNNNNNNNNNNNNNNNNNNNNNNNNNNNNNNNNNNNNNNNNNNNNNNNNNNNNNNNNNNNNNNNNNNNNNNNNNNNNNNNNNNNNNNNNNNNNNNNNNNNNNNNNNNNNNNNNNNNNNNNNNNNNNNNNNNNNNNNNNNNNNNNNNNNNNNNNNNNNNNNNNNNNNNNNNNNNNNNNNNNNNNNNNNNNNNNNNNNNNNNNNNNNNNNNNNNNNNNNNNNNNNNNNNNNNNNNNNNNNNNNNNNNNNNNNNNNNNNNNNNNNNNNNNNNNNNNNNNNNNNNNNNNNNNNNNNNNNNNNNNNNNNNNNNNNNNNNNNNNNNNNNNNNNNNNNNNNNNNNNNNNNNNNNNNNNNNNNNNNNNNNNNNNNNNNNNNNNNNNNNNNNNNNNNNNNNNNNNNNNNNNNNNNNNNNNNNNNNNNNNNNNNNNNNNNNNNNNNNNNNNNNNNNNNNNNNNNNNNNNNNNNNNNNNNNNNNNNNNNNNNNNNNNNNNNNNNNNNNNNNNNNNNNNNNNNNNNNNNNNNNNNNNNNNNNNNNNNNNNNNNNNNNNNNNNNNNNNNNNNNNNNNNNNNNNNNNNNNNNNNNNNNNNNNNNNNNNNNNNNNNNNNNNNNNNNNNNNNNNNNNNNNNNNNNNNNNNNNNNNNNNNNNNNNNNNNNNNNNNNNNNNNNNNNNNNNNNNNNNNNNNNNNNNNNNNNNNNNNNNNNNNNNNNNNNNNNNNNNNNNNNNNNNNNNNNNNNNNNNNNNNNNNNNNNNNNNNNNNNNNNNNNNNNNNNNNNNNNNNNNNNNNNNNNNNNNNNNNNNNNCGAGGAAGACCAAUCGGCUUAAGGUCAGGAACAAAGUCAACACAAAACUCAAUUACCUCCUCAUUUCCAUAGCCCUUGGCGAUGCUUCCUUCUGGCCUAGCACGGUUACGAACAUAUUUCUUUAAUACUCCCAUGAACCUCUCGAAGGGGAACAUAUUGUGUAGAAAUACAGGACCGAGAACGAAAAUCUCUUCGACUAGGUGAACCAGGAGGUGCGUCAUAAUAUUGAAGAAGGAUGGCGGGAACACCAACUCGAAACUGACAAGACAUUGGAUCACAUCGUUCUGUAACCAUGGUAGAACUUCUGGAUUGAUUACCUUCUGAGAGAUUGCAUUGAGGAAUGCACAUAGCUUCACAAUGGCUACUCGAACAUUUUCCGGCAGGAGCCCCCUCAAAGCAAUCGGAAGCAAUUGCGUCAUAAUCACGUGGCAGUCGUGAGACUUCAGGUUUUGGAACUUUUUCUCCGCCAUGUUUAUUAUUCCUUUUAUAUUGGACGAGAAUCCAGACGGGACCUUCAUACUGCUCAGGCAUUCAAAAAAGAUGACCUUCUCUUCUUUGGUCAGAGCGUAGCUGGCACGACCUUGAAACCAUUCCGGAUGCCGGUCAUCAGGGUCUUUCAAACGUUGCUGGUCCUGCCGUGCUUCCUUUGUAUCAUUUGUCUUCCCAUACACGCCCAAGAAGCUUAGGAGGUUCACGCAAAUAUUCUUCGUAACGUGCAUCACGUCGAUUGCAGAGCGGACAUCUAGGACUUUCCAAUAUUCUAGCUCCCAGAAUAUAGAUUUCUUCUUCCACAUGGCUGCGUUCCCGUCUGCUCCCUUCGGAACUGAUUGUCCGCCAGGACCCUUUCCAAAGAUGACUUUCAAAUCCUUGACCAUAUCAAAUACCUCAGCACCAGUGCAUUCCGCAGGCUUCGGCCGGUGAUCUGCCUUGCCGUUGUAAUGCUUGCCUUUCUUUCUUACUGGAUGAAUUUUCGGAAGAAAUCGAUGAUGCCCAAGGUACACGUUCUUCUUACAAUUUGGCAAAUGUACACUUUCAGUCUCAUGUAAGCAGUGCGUGCAUGCAUUGUAUCCCUUAUUUGACAGUCCCGAAAGGUUACUAAGAGCAGGCCAAUCGUUGAUGGUUACGAAAAGCAACGCUCGUAGGUCAAAUUCCUCUUGUUUGUGCUCAUCCCACACACGGACACCACCCCACAGCUGUAAAAGUUCAUCAACUAAUGGCCUUAGGUACACAUCGAUGUCGUUGCCGGGUUGCUUCGGACCUUGGAUGAGCACUGGCAUCAUAAUGAACUUCCGCUUCAUGCACAACCAAGAAGGAAGGUUGUAGAUGCAUAGAGUCACGGGCCAGGUGCUAUGGCUGGAGCUCUGCUCGCCAAAAGGAUUCAUGCCAUCCGUACUUAGAGCAAAUCUUAUGUUCCUUGCGUCAGCUGCAAAAUCUUUGAACCAUCUGUCGAUCUUUCUCCAUUGCGUUCCAUCUGCGGUGUGUCUCAACUCCCCGUCCGACUUACGGUCCUCUUUGUGCCAUCGCAACAACUUGGCAUGCUCUUUGUUCCUGAACAGACGUUUCAACCGUGGUAUUAUAGGAGCAUACCACAUCACCUUGGCGGGAACCCUCUUCCUGGGUUUCUGGCCCUCAACAUCGUCACCAGGGUCAUCGCCUCUGAUCUUAUAACGCAAUGCAGUGCAUAUCGGGCAUUCAUUCAAAUUCUCGUAUUCACCGCGGUAGAGGAUGCAGUCGUUGAUGCAUGCAUGUAUCUUCAGAACCUCUAAACCUAGAGGGCAGACAACCUUCUUUGCUUCGUACGUACUGGCGGGCAACUCGUUAUCCUUUGGAAACAUACUCUUCAACAUUUUCAGCAAGUUUUCAAAUGCCGAGUCAGCUACACCUGCCUCUGCCUUCCAUUUCAGCAAAUCCAGUGUGCAGCCCAGCUUUUUCAGACCAUCAUCGCAUCCGGGGUACAGCGCCUUUCUGUGAUCCUCUAACAUGCGAUCCAAAUUCUCCCUCUCCUUUUCAGUUUCGCAGCGUCUCCGUGCAUCAGCAAUGGUCCGACCAAGAUCAUCAACGGGAUCAUCACGUGCCUCUUCUUCACCUUCCCCUUCACCUUCAGCAUCCUCCAUGAAAGUAUCACCGAGAUGAGCAAGAUAGCUUUCAUCGAUGAAAUCAUCCCCUUCUUCAUCUUCUUCCAUUAUAACCCCUCUUUCUCCAUGCUUGGUCCAACAAUUAUAGCUUGGCAUGAAACCGUGCCGAAGCAGAUGCAUGUGAACAUCUCUUGAGGAAGAGUAACCCUUCUGAUUCUUACAGAUAACACAUGGACAGAUAACAAAAAACCCCUGCUUGUUCGCAUUAGCCACUACGAGGAAAUCUUUCAAACCCGUAGUGAACUCGCCGGAGAGUCGGUUACCGUACAUCCAUUGCCGAUUCAUCUGCAUUAUUAUAAUAUAAAAUAUAUAAUUAACCAUCAUGCAUUUGUUAAACUAACUAGCUACAAACAAUAUAAAUUAAACAAUGAACUGCACACAUGCAUAUUUUAUCAAUGACACAUCAAAGGUUCAUCAAGUUGCUAACCGCGAUCGAGGAGUGUGGCUCCAACACUUCAUGUCAUGUUUGUUUCAUGCUCUUGGGGCAUUUCAUCAAACACCUUAUGUGCAUAAGAGGAACCAAAAGCAAACCUACACCCACUUGUGAAGAGAAUGGCUCCAAAUGGCUAAGUGUUGGCUGCUGGAUGGGUAUAUAUAGGGGAGGGGCUUUAGUUGCGGUUGGCUUGGCAAACCGUGACUAAAGGUGCCCGAAGGCCUUUAGUCGCGGUUGUCCUGGCCAACCGCGACUAAAGACCCUCACGUGCGCCAGCUGGCCACCGAGCGCCCUGAGCCCAGGCCUUUGGUCGCGGUUCACCUCCAGAACCGCGACUAAAGGUCCCAUUAGUCGCGGUUCCUACAGCUUCGCGACUUAUGGGGCUGGACGGAAGCUUGUUUUUCCACCAGUGUACUAGGUAAGGUGUCGUUCCAGUCAAAUUGAUGAAUUCAUCUUUUGUUACCUUUGUUAUAGGAAUAUAGGCUGCAUUUAUUAGUCAUAUCGAGCUCUCAAGGAGUCAAGAUCUUGUUAACUUACUAAUAAUUUCUAUAUACCUGCAGCGUUAUGGCCUAUGGUGCAGGGCAAAGACAACAAGGACGACAUGCGGCGGCGACGUGGCCAUGGUGAAGCUACUUCGUCCGGCUACCCCAUGGUUGGCGUGUCUGCCGUCCUCUCAAUCUAUCACACGUACGUCCGGUGCAUGCAUGGUGUCGGGCCGAAGAGCACACAAAUCUACAUCCAGGCCCUGGGCACUAGCAACCGCUGAUGCACUUAGCCACUUACCAAUGUAUUCCUAUUGUACGUAUAUAAUAAAGUGGUUAGUACGUCGACGUAGAAAUAGUUAGUAGCUUGCUUUGCACUCACACAAUCGAGUCAUGAUUGUUACUGAUGAUCAAAAUUUUAUGUAUUUUUUAUGCCGGAUGGGUUUACUACUUCUUCUUCGGUUGUAUAUAAAGCUUCCAAAAAAUUAGUAUAUAAUCCUCCAGAAUAAAUCAGUAUAUAGUCCUCCAAAAAAAUGAGUAUAUACACUUUGUAACGCAGCAUAUACCCCAUAAAAAAUGUAGUAUAACGCUGCAGAAAUAAGACAUACUCCUUUUCUAGUUGCAUAUACCCAAUCACAAAACUACACUGAAAUAAUUAGUAGUACAUACUCCUUUUCUAUUUUGGAAAGGAACGUCCAUUUCCCUCUUCAACAAGUGCUUUAUUUUUCUAGGGGUAGCCUUGUGUUUUUACUGCCAUGCGACGACAUUACAAAAUGUAUUACACCCAUUAUUCAUCUAAUUUUUUAUAUACCCUUUUAUGCAUACUUUGAAUUUAUCACUCAUUUGGGCGACCAGCCCGCUCUCUCAUUGCAGCGACUCGACUCUCACAUAAAGCCAGUAUAUACUCACGUAAAAAAAAGCAGUAUAGACUCCCUUACUGAAAAAGAACUAUAUACUCCCCUACCAAAAAAAGUAGUAUAUGCUCCAUUACCAAAAAGGCAGUAUAUACUCAUAUACAAAAGGUGGUAUAUACUGUCUUCCCAAAGUAGUAUAUAUCUUUUUCCUUGCGUUAGAGAAGUAGUAUAACCAGAACAGAUAGUUCAUACUUGUGUGCUGAAAAAAGUAGUAUAUAAAUAUAUAUGUAAGAGUGAGUAUGGUAGAUAUGUAUCGGUCCUUACAAAAAAAAUCAACCACUGUUAUUGUUUAUUUGCACCGAACUAACCUUAUCUGUAUGCUAGGAUCCUUGAAUCUCUCAAUCUGUUGAUGCACAUGCAUGCGUCGGCCGGUGGAGCAAUUAGCAACUAGAUCUAAUAACUGCCAACCUGUUCAGUCCAUGGGAGUACAUACUCCUGGGAGUAUAAAAGAGGAGUCUAUAUAUAUAUAUAUAUAUAUAUAUAUAUACGGUGGCGCUAUUGUGUGCGUGAGCGCAGAUUUACUUAUCGUGCGCGCCGGUCAUUGCGUGCGCCACUCGUAUUCCUAAUGAUGGUAAAAUUCCUGGCAGAAAUAGUAAUAUAAUUUAAUUGGUUACUGCCUGCCACCACCACGGUAGCGAUUUAAUUGGUUAGGUCUACUAGUAAAAAUGCAUAGCAGAAAAAGUAAAAGAGCUAAAAGUAUUACUGUUGGAUGCAUCGGUCCCCGCUUCGACUGCCUACUAGUAAAACACCUCAUAAAAGUAGUAAUAGGAUUACCCUACACGCAUCAGCCCCUUGCCAUACUUGUGAACAGGUAAACUUCAUGUGAAGAAUAGUACUGGAUGGUAACUGUGUUACCAUAGAACGGACACUUGCUAUUAGCUAGCUACAUGGUAAUUUUAUUACCGCUAACUUUCAUCGGUUUAAUACCUAAUCAUGUUACCACUUAUUUUCUUAGUAGUAUUGGAUGGUAACUAUGUUACCACAUGACGAAAAAAUUGCUAUUAGCUAAUAGCUACACGGUAAUUGCAUUACCACUCAUGUGUAGAAGCAUGAUACACGGUCUUUUUUCCAAUUACGUUUGGUCGAAGACGCAAGGGUUUGCUAAUCGCUAAAGUGGGGUCGAAGCAGUAAUAAGUUUCCAACCGUUACCAUGUUUCUUAAGGUAUGUUACGUAUGGGCGCAAGACAUGUUCUUUAAUAGGAGCGGGACAACGGUUGCUUAGACGGAGAAUGGCGCGCAGUCUGGCCGGAGCGUAGAAUUAGACUUCUGCGCUCAGGCUUAGUUUAGCACGUCUAUAUAUAUAUAUAUAUAUAUAUAUAUAUAUAUACAUACAUGUUAGUGGCCUCGACGCUGCUUCUCUAGGGUUUGGGGUCGCCUCGACACAACGCUUCAAGGGUUUGGGGUGGCCUCGACGACAACGUUUUUUUAACUUGAUAAAUUUGGGUGGCCUCGAGAGAGUUAAUUUGUCGGGUAGGGGCGCGGCGGGAGGGGGUAGGAGACCAACAUCGUUUUCUCUCUAGGGUUUGGGUGUCCUCGAGAGUUAUCGGGGAGGGGGUAUCGGUACCACCCCCUAGCUCGUGUUGAAGUUUCUUCUUUCUCCUCUAUUCCUUUCUUUCUUCUUCUCCUCUUCUUUUUCUUCUUCUCCCUCGAGAAAGGAAAAUANNNNNNNNNNNNNNNNNNNNNNNNNNNNNNNNNNNNNNNNNNNNNNNNNNNNNNNNNNNNNNNNNNNNNNNNNNNNNNNNNNNNNNNNNNNNNNNNNNNNNNNNNNNNNNNNNNNNNNNNNNNNNNNNNNNNNNNNNNNNNNNNNNNNNNNNNNNNNNNNNNNNNNNNNNNNNNNNNNNNNNNNNNNNNNNNNNNNNNNNNNNNNNNNNNNNNNNNNNNNNNNNNNNNNNNNNNNNNNNNNNNNNNNNNNNNNNNNNNNNNNNNNNNNNNNNNNNNNNNNNNNNNNNNNNNNNNNNNNNNNNNNNNNNNNNNNNNNNNNNNNNNNNNNNNNNNNNNNNNNNNNNNNNNNNNNNNNNNNNNNNNNNNNNNNNNNNNNNNNNNNNNNNNNNNNNNNNNNNNNNNNNNNNNNNNNNNNNNNNNNNNNNNNNNNNNNNNNNNNNNNNNNNNNNNNNNNNNNNNNNNNNNNNNNNNNNNNNNNNNNNNNNNNNNNNNNNNNNNNNNNNNNNNNNNNNNNNNNNNNNNNNNNNNNNNNNNNNNNNNNNNNNNNNNNNNNNNNNNNNNNNNNNNNNNNNNNNNNNNNNNNNNNNNNNNNNNNNNNNNNNNNNNNNNNNNNNNNNNNNNNNNNNNNNNNNNNNNNNNNNNNNNNNNNNNNNNNNNNNNNNNNNNNNNNNNNNNNNNNNNNNNNNNNNNNNNNNNNNNNNNNNNNNNNNNNNNNNNNNNNNNNNNNNNNNNNNNNNNNNNNNNNNNNNNNNNNNNNNNNNNNNNNNNNNNNNNNNNNNNNNNNNNNNNNNNNNNNNNNNNNNNNNNNNNNNNNNNNNNNNNNNNNNNNNNNNNNNNNNNNNNNNNNNNNNNNNNNNNNNNNNNNNNNNNNNNNNNNNNNNNNNNNNNNNNNNNNNNNNNNNNNNNNNNNNNNNNNNNNNNNNNNNNNNNNNNNNNNNNNNNNNNNNNNNNNNNNNNNNNNNNNNNNNNNNNNNNNNNNNNNNNNNNNNNNNNNNNNNNNNNNNNNNNNNNNNNNNNNNNNNNNNNNNNNNNNNNNNNNNNNNNNNNNNNNNNNNNNNNNNNNNNNNNNNNNNNNUGAAAACACUUUUUUUUGUUUUCUUUCUUGCUUUAUUUAUUUUAUUUUGUUUCUACUUGCAAUAAAAUACUUAUUGUUGUUUUUUUGUUUUGUUUUCUGCAUUAUUUAUUUUCUUUUGUUUUUUGCUUUAUUUUUUAAUUCUUUUUGCUUUUAGUUUUAGGAAAAUUAUAAACUUUCUAUUAGUGCCAUUACUUUUCAAAUUUGAAAACACUUUUUUGUUUUUUAGUUUUCUUUCUUGCUUUAUUUAUUUUAUUUUGUUUCUACUUACAACAAAAUACUUAUUGUUGCUAUUUUUAAUUAUUACGAAGGCCAAACCAUAAGACAUUAAAGCAUUUCAAAUGAACUCUGAAAAAGUUGAAAGUUGGCAUGGUAUCAUAAAUUGACCCACACAUAGCAUGUGCAUGUACAAAACGGACAAUGUUAUCAUACUCGUCAGUUACAAAGUUGGCAUGGUAUCAUCAUAAUAGUUGCGGGAGAAAGUCUUCACUUUUUCUUCGCUUGUGUCAUUUGCUUAUUGCGCCGUAACCAUGGAUAAUCUUCAUCGUUUAUCAGGAUGCUGGGGUCAGCCUUGACUUUAAAGGGAGGAAUUUCAUGAAACUUUUCAUAAUCUUCAGACAUGUCUGUCUUGUCCUCCUCUCCCACGAUGUCCCUUUUUCCUGAAAGAACUAUGUGGCGCUUUGGCUCAUCGUAUGAUGUAUUCGCUUCCUUAUCUUUUCUCUUUCUUGGUCUGGUAGACAUGUCCAUCACAUAGAUAACCUGUGCCACAUCAUUGGCUAGGACGAACGGUUCGUCAGUGUACCCAAGAUUUUUCGGAUCCACUGUUGUCGUUCCGUACUGUGGGUCUACAUGUACCCCGCCUCCUGACAGAUUGACCCAUUUGCACUUAAACAAAGGGACCUUAAAAUCAUGUCCUUAGUCAAGUUCCCAUAUGUCCACUAUGUAACCAUAAUAUGUGUCCUUUCCCCUCUCGGUUGUUGCAUCAAAGCGGACACCGCUGUUUUGGUUGGUGCUCUUUUGAUCUUGGUUAAUCGUGUAAAAUGUCUUCCCAUUUAUCUCAUAUCCUUUCCAAAUCGUAACAGUCGAAGAUGGUCCCCUGGAUAACAAGUACAUCUCAUCACAAACAGCGUUGUCACCUCUGAUACGUGCUUCCAACCAACUGCUGAAAGUCCUGAUGUGUUCACAUGUAAUUCAGUCGUCGCACUGCUCCGGGUGUUUGGAGCGCAGACUGUUCUUGUGUUCAUCCACAUACGGGGUCACCAAGGUAGAGUUCUGUAGAACUGUGUAGUGUGCUUGAGACCAAGAAUAUCUGUCCCUGCAUAUUAUUGAGUCCCUUCCAAGCAUGCCUUUUCCAGUCAGUCUCCCCUCAUACCGCGAUUUAGGGAGACCUAUCUUCUUAUGGCCAGGAAUGAAGUCAACACAAAACCCGAUGACAUCCUCUGUUUGAUGGCCCAUGGAGAUGCUUCCUUCUGGCCUAGCGCGAUGAGGGACAUAUUUCUUUAGGACUCCCAUGAACCUCUCAAAGGGGUACAUAUUGUGUAGAAAUACGGGGCCCAAAAUGACAAUCUCGUCAACUAGAUGAACUAGGACGUGCGUCAUGAUAUUGAAGAAGGAUGGUGGGAACACCAGCUCGAAACUGACAAGACAUUGCACCACAUCACUCCUUAGCCUUGGUAUGAUUUCUGGAUCGAUCACCUUCUGAGAGAUUGCAUUGAGGAAUGCACAUAGCUUCACAAUGGCUAAUCGGACGUUUUCCGGUAGAAGCCCCCUCAAUGCAACCGGAAGCAGUUGUGUCAUAAUCACGUGGCAGUCAUGAGACUUUAGGUUCUGAAACUUUUUCUUUGCCAUAUUUAUUAUUCCUUUUAUAUUCGACGAGAAGCCAGUCGGGACCUUCAUACUAAGCAGGCAUUCAAAGAAGAUUUCCUUCUCUUCUUUGGUAAGAGCAUAGCUGGCAGGACCUUCAUACUGCUUUGGAGGCAUGCCGUCUUUUUCGUGCAAAUGUUGCAGGUCCUCCCGUGCCUCAGCUGUAUCUUUUGUCUUCCCAUACACGCCCAAGAAGCCUAGCAGGUUCACGCAAAGGUUCUUCGUCACGUGCAUCACGUCGAUCGAAGAGCGGACCUCUAGGUCUUUCUAGUAGGGUAGGUCCCAAAAUAUAGAUUUCUUCUUCCACAUGGGUGCGUGUCCCCCAACGUCACUCGGAACAGCUAGUCUGCCGGGACCCUUUCCAAAGAUUACGUGUAAAUCAUUGACCAUAGCAAGUACGUGACCACCGGUACGCAUGGCGGGCUUCUUCCGGUGAUCUGCCUCGCCUUUGAAAUGCUUGCCUUUCUUUCGACAUUGAUGGUUGGUCGGAAGAAAUCGACGAUGGCCCAGGUACACAUUCUUCCUACAGCUUGCCAGGUAUAUACUAACGGUGUCAAGUAAACAGUGCGUGCAUGCGUGGUAUCCCUUGUUUGUCUGUCCUAAAAGGUUACUGAGAGCAGGCCAAUCGUUGAUGGUCACGAACAGCAACGCCUUUAGGUUAAAUUUCUCCUGUUUGUGCUCAUCCCACGUACGUACACCGUUUCCAUUCCACAGCUGUAAAAGUUCUUCAACUAAUGGCCUUAGGUACACAUCAAUGUCAUUGCCGGGUUGCUUAGGGCCUUGGAUGAGAACUGGCAUCAUAAUGAACUUCCGCUUCAUGCACAUCCAAGGAGGAAGGUUAUACAUACAUAGAGUCACGGGCCAGGUGCUGUGAUUGCUGCUCUGCUCCCCGAAAGGAUUAAUGCCAUCCGCACUUAAAGCAAACCAUACGUUCCUUGGCUCACUUGCAAACUCAUCCCAGUACUUUCUCUCAUUUUUCUCCAUUGCGACCCGUCAGCGGGUGCUCUCAACUUCCCGUCUUUCUUACGGUCCUCACUAUGCCAUCGCAUCAACUUGGCAUGCUCUCCGUUUCUGAACAGACGUUUCAACCGUGGUAUUAUAGGAGCAUACCACAUCACCACUACUAGGGAAAAGCCUAUACAUAGAAUCUUACCAGCAGCGCUCUUCAAAAUACAACGCUACUGCUACUUAGCAGCAGCGCGUGUCUGCCAAACACGCUGCUGACUUGGAAGUAGCAGUAGCGGGUGCAUCGCAUACAGCGCUACUGCUAUAGUUGCCAUGACCUUGCCCCCCCCCCCCCNNNNNNNNNNNNNNNNNNNNNNNNNNNNNNNNNNNNNNNNNNNNNNNNNNNNNNNNNNNNNNNNNNNNNNNNNNNNNNNNNNNNNNNNNNNNNNNNNNNNNNNNNNNNNNNNNNNNNNNNNNNNNNNNNNNNNNNNNNNNNNNNNNNNNNNNNNNNNNNNNNNNNNNNNNNNNNNNNNNNNNNNNNNNNNNNNNNNNNNNNNNNNNNNNNNNNNNNNNNNNNNNNNNNNNNNNNNNGCAAACGCGCUACAACUAUCCCUACCUUAUCCCCAUGCGCACGACCGGCCCUCUCACUCACACUCUCACUCUCGCCCACGUCAACCGUCGUCGUCCGUCGCCGCCGCCGCCGCCUUCGUCCGUCCGCCGCCGAGGUACUCCCCUCCUUCCGUCCCUCCUCCAUCCUCCUUGCACAUCCUCCCUCCGCCUGUGGCCGCCCCUCCUUCCUCCGCCGCUGCCCUCCUCCCUCCGCCUGCGGCCGCCCCUCCUCCCUCCUCCGACGGCAGCCCUCCUCCCACCGCCCUCGACCUCGCUGCCCCUAGCUACCUCUCCGUCGCCCCCCACCCCUGCCACUAGUUAGUACUAGAUUUAGUAGUAGUAGAUGUUAAUUUAGGGUUAGCUAGUACUAGAUGUUGCUUAGUUAGUACUAGAUUUUUAGUAGUAGUAGUGGUAGUUGAACUACUUUAGUUGUAGUUGAACUAGUUUAGUAAGUAAAUUAAUAAACGAGUUGAACUAGUUGAAUUAAUAGAACUAAUCUAUUUUUAGUAAGAUAAUUAAUAUAACUAGUUGAACUACUUUAUUUUUAGAAAGAACUAAUUUUUUUCUAUUUAUAUUAAGUUUAUAUUUAGUAAGAACUAGUUGAAUUAAUAAAACUAGUUGAACAUGUCAUGUUUGUUGUUAGUGAUAACUUAUAUGGUUUCAGGUGACCUCCGUCGUCCCCGUCACCGACCCCCUCCGACAUCCCCGUCGUCGUCCCAGUCACCGACCCCCUCCGACAUCGAGGUGAGACCAGCCAAAUAUCCUUGUAUAUCUUGUGUUGUUGCUCAAAUUGGAUAUGUGGUUGCCCAAGUGGCCGUUCAUGUAGUUUACAUCUCCGAGUGGCCUAUGUUUUGCCGGAGUGUUGAUUAAUUUCCGUUCCGACAAAUUUCAGGCGCUCGAUAUGUCCUUUUUUAGCAAAGGUCAUGCCGGAUUUUGUCGUGAAUUCUGGUAUGACUUGUGCUAGAAUAUGUACAAGUUUAAUCUUUGAAUUAUGAUUGUAGGAAAUGUCGUACUCGGACGACGAAGGUCUCCCGGGGGAGUGUAGCUGGUGCCACGACGAUCGAGGUAUGUGCGAUAGGUUCGUUCGGCUGGACGAAGAUCGGCGCUUCAACAUUAAGCUCGAGGAGACCUUCGAUUGUGAAAUGGUACGCAACAACGACAAGUGUUUUUUCUCCAUUAAGCAUGACUUCAACUAUUUCAACGUCUAAUUUUCAUAUUUUACAAUUCGACUAGCUUAUCCCAUGCCAUGCAAGACGCUAUGUCUUGGAGAGGAUGGGUUUUGAAGACCAUGAAAAUUUCAAAACAAAGAAAAUACACCUAAGGACCCAUCAUGAUAUGGAUUUUGAAGUAAACCUGUGCAAUGCUCAGAGCGCAACCCAUUUUGGUUGCCAAAAUUGGGAAGCACUUUGCAAAAUGUAUGGUUUUUAUGAGGGUAUGAUUGUCACCAUGGAUCUUGGUGAUCCUGACAGUGAGGAAGACAAUAUGGACAUUUGGGUCCUUGUUGAUACGCUUCCGAUUGUACCGCUAUGUGACUUUCUCAAACAUAGUUAUUAACUAAUUUAUAUUGUUUAUUUCAAAAUAGUUGAUAGCUUAUUUCCAUUGACAGCUUAUUUUGAUUCUUCAAAGACUGUGCGGAAGAUGGUAGAUAAAACCCACUACACCGAAGGCACCCAAUUAACGUAUAAGGAGAAAAAUCAUCUGAUCGCAUUUUGUACUCUUCUUGAGAAUUACAAUGACUAUAAUCGAACUCCUCCAGAUUAUGGUGAAUAUGUGCCACUAGUGCAUGUGUUGAACAACGAUAACUUAUCUGGAGAUACCCUGGUAAGAUUUUUUACUAUUACGACAUCCGUGUAUUUUUUGCAUACUUCUAAAACUAGUACAUCAUUGCUAACUACGAAGUUAUUAUUAUGUUUUUCAACAGAAACUCCCGAUGGAUUGUGUGCCUCAUCUGAUGUCUCUGCAUGGUCGCCUCUCAGUUCUGAACAUACUGCCAGGUAAAUCUACAGAGCUCACCUAUGCAUAUCAGAUUUCUAAAACCCGUGAACACAUGAUCAUCAGAGAAUGGAAGAAAUGUAUGGACAUUCGCAAGGAGGUUCUUGGAAGUAACAUUCAGCGAAACGUAAGAAUGGGAGACAGGCUAAUCUCCAUUCUCCAUAAUGGAGAGUCAGGGGCUAUCUUGUUUUUUGUUAUUUUACCUUAGAAAAUGUAGUAGGUCUUAAUCGAAUGUAAUAGGUCCUAUGAGGUACAAUAUGUUUAUUAUGUGGUAAUGUGUUAGAGUUGAUAAUGAUGAUCUUGAGGAGGUGUUAUGUGAUGUCAAUGAUGAAAACGAUGAUAUUGAGGAGGUGUUAUAUGACAAUGAUGUAUUAUGAUGCUAAGUUGUUAAUGAUAUGAUGAUGAUGAUGAUAUUAUUAUAUCAUUGGGUGAAAGAACCGUGGAUUAGUUUCAAGUGGAUGGACAUCCACUUGAAACUAGUCCACGGUUCUUUCACCCCAUGAUGUAAUAACUCAUUAUGAUGUAAAAACAAUCUCUAAAUUCCUGUUGUAUGAAAACUUGUGUAAGGGUGUAUGAAUACAACAUGAAAAAGAAAAGAAAUAAAAUACUAAAUAAUAGUAGUAGCGCGGGUAAGGAGAAGCGCUACUACUAAUUACCAGUAGCGAUGUUCUAAAGAACCGCUGCUACUAAGUCAAUUUAGCAGUAGCGCGUGUCAAGACGCGCUAUUGCUAAGCAUUAGCUGUAGCGCCUUAUCAGUAGCGCUCCUGCCCGCGCUACUGAUAGGCCCAAAACCCGCGCUGCUGCUAGGCUUUUCCCUAGUAGUGCACCUUCGCAGGAACCCUCUUCCUGGGGGGCUCGCCGUCAACAUCACCAGGGUCAUCUCGUCUGAUCUUAUACCAUAAUGCACCGCAUACCAGGCAUGCGUUCAGAUCCUUAUAUGCACCGCGGUAGAGGAUGCAGUCAUUAGGGCAUGCAGGUAUCUUCUGCACCUCCAAUCCUAGAGGGCAUACGACCUUCUUUGCUGCGUAUGUACUGUCGGGCAAUUCGUUAUCCUUUGGAAGCUUCUUCUUCAAUAUUUUCAGUAGCUUCUCAAAUCCUUUGUCAGGCACAGCAUUCUCUUAAAGGAAAUAUGCCCUAGAGGCAAUAAUAAAGUUAUUAUUUAUUUCCUCAUAUCAUGAUAAAUGUUUAUUAUUCAUGCUAGAAUUGUAUUAACCGGAAACAUGAUACAUGUGUGAAUACAUAGACAAAACUAUAGUCACUAGUAUGCCUCUACUUGACUAGCUCAUUAAUCAAAGAUGGUUAUGUUUCCUGACCAUAGACAUGUGUUGUCAUUUGAUUAGUGGGAUCACAUCAUUAAGAGAAUGAUGUGAUUGACAUGACCCAUUCUGUUAGCCCAGCACUUGAUCGUUUAGUAUACUGCUAUUGCUUUCUUCAUGACUUAUACAAAGUUCCUGCAACUAUGAGAUUGUGCAACUCCCGUUUACCGGAAGAACACUUUGUGUGCUACCAAACAUCACAACGUAACUGGGUGAUUAUAAAGGUGCUCUACAGGUGUUUCCGAAGGUACAUGUUGGGUUGGCAUAAUUCGAGAUUAGGAUUUGUCACUCCGAUUGUCGGAGAGGUAUCUCUGGGCCCUCUCGGAAAUACUCAUCACAUAAGCCUUGCAAGCAUGUAACUAAUGAGUUAGUUAUGAGAUGACGUAUUACGAAACGAGUAAAGAGACUUGCCGGUAACGAGAUUGAACUAGGUAUUGGAUACCGACGAUCAAAUCUCGGGCAAGUAACAUACCGAUGACAAAGGGAACAAAGUAUGUUGUUAUGCGGUUUGACCGAUAAAGAUCUUCGUAGAAUAUGUAGGAACCAAUAUGGGCAUCCAGGUCCCGCUAUUGGUUAUUGACCGAGAAUGGUUUUAGGUCAUGACUACAUAGUUCUCAAACCCGUAGGGUCCGCACGCUUAACUUUUUGAUGAUAGUUUUAUUAUGAGUUUAUAAGUUUUGAUGUACCAAAGUUUGUUCGGAGUUCCGGAUGUGAUCACGGAUAUGAUGAGGAGUCUCGGAAUGCUUGAGCCAUAAAGAUUGAUAUAUUGGACGACUAUAUUCGGACACCGGAAAGGUUCCGGGAGUUUUCGGAGAAAACCGGAGUGCCCGGGGGGUUACCGAAACCCCCCGGGAGAGUUAAUGGGCCACAUGGGCCUAGGUGGGAAGAGAAAGGGGCGGCCAGGGUGAGCCGCGCGCCCCCUCUCCCUCUAGUCCGAAUUGGACUAGGAGGGGGGGCGGCGCCCCCUUUCCUUCCCCCCCUCUCUUCCUUCCUUCCCCCUCCUAGUAGGAGUAGGAAAGGAGGAAUCCUACUCCUACUAGGAGGAGGAUUCCUCCUCCCUUGCGCGCCCCAAGGGGCCGGCCGGCCUCCCCCUCCCUCCUUUAUAUACGGGGGCAGGGGGCACCCCAUAGACACACAAGUUGAUCUACGGAUCGUUCCUUAGCCGUGUGCGGUGCCCCCUUCCACCAUAUUCCACCUCGGUCAUAUCGUCGCGAAGCUUAGGCGAAGUCCUGCGCCGGUAGAACAUCAAGAUCGUCACCACGCCGUCGUGCUGACGGAACUCUCCCUCGACACUCGGCUGGAUCGGAGUUCGAGGGACGUCAUCGAGCUGAAUGUGUGCUGAACUCGGAGGCUCCGUACGUUCGGUUCUUGGAUCGGUCGGAUCGUGAAGACGUAUGACUACAUCAACCGCGUUGUCAUAACGCUUCCGCUUACGGUCUACGAGGGUACAUGGACAUACACUCUCCCCUCUCGUUGCUAUGUCAUCACCAUGAUCUUGCGUGUGCGUAGGAAAAUUUUGAAAUUACUACGUUCCCCGACAGUGGUAUCAGAGCCUAGGUUUUAUGCGUUGAUGUUAUAUGCACGAGUAGAACACAAGUGAGUUGUGGACGAUAUAAGUCAUACUGCCUACCAGUGUGUCAUACUUUGGUUCAGCGGUAUUGUGAGAUGAAGCGGCCCGGACCGACAUUACGGGUACGCUUACGCGAGACUAGUUUCACCGUUAUGAGCACUCGUGCUUAAAGGUGGCUGGCGGGUGUCUGUCUCUCUCACUUUAGUUGAACCGAGUGUGGCUACGCCCGGCCCUUGUGAAGGUUAAAACGGAGUCUAUUUGACAAACUAUCGUUGUGGUUUUGAUGCGUAGGUAAGAACGGUUCUUGCUAAGCCCGUAGCAUCCACGUAAAAUUUGCAACAACAAAGUAGAGGACGUCUAACUUGUUUUUGCAGGGCAUGUUGUGAUAUGAUAUGGUCAAGACGUGAUGCUAUAUUUUAUUGUAUGAGAUGAUCAUGUUUUGUAACCGAAGUUAUCGGCAACUGGCUGGAGCCAUAUGGUUGUCGCUUUAUUGUAUGAAAUGCAAACGCCCUGUAAUUGCUUUACUUUAUCUCUAAGCGGUAGCGAUAGUCGUAGAAGCAAUAGAUGGCGUAAACGACAACGAUGCUACGAUGGAGAUCAAGGUGUCGCGCCGGUGACGAUGGUGAUCAUGACGGUGCUUCGAAGAUGGAGAUCACAAGCACAAGAUGAUGAUGGCCAUAUCAUAUCACUUAUAUUGAUUGCAUGUGAUGUUUAUCCUUUAUGCAUCUUAUCUUGCUUUGAUUGACGGUAGCAUUUUAAGAUGAUCUCUCACUAAAAUUAUCAAGUAGUGUUCUCCCUGAGUAUGCACCGUUGCCAAAGUUCAUCGUGCCGAGACACCACGUGAUGAUCGGGUGUGAUAAGCUCUACGUCCAUCUACAACGGGUGCAAGCCAGUUUUGCACACGCAGAAUACUCAGGUUAAACUUGACGAGCCUAGCAUAUGCAGAUAUGGCCUCGGAACACAGAGACCGAAAGGUCGAGCGUGAAUCAUAUAGUAGAUAUGAUCAACAUAAUGAUGUUCACCAUUGAAAACUACUCCAUCUCACGUGAUGAUCGGUUAUGGUUUAGUUGAUUUGGAUCACGUGAUCACUUAGAUGACUAGAGAGAUGUCUGUCUAUGUGGGAGUUCUUAAGUAAUAUGAUUAAUUGAACUUAAAUUUAUCAUGAACUUAGUACCUGAUAGUAUCUUGCUUGUCUAUGUUUGUUUGUAGAUAGAUGGCUCGUGCUGUUGUUCCGUUGAAUUUUAAUGCGUUCCUUGAGAAAGCAAAGUUGAAAGAUGAUGGUAGCAAUUACACGGACUGGGUCCGUAACCUGAGGAUUAUCCUCAUUGUUGCACAGAAGAGUUACGUCCUGGAAGCACCGCUGGGUGCCAGGCCUGCUGCUGAUGCAACUGACGACGUUAAGAACGUCUGGCAGAGCAAAGCUGAUGACUACUCUAUAGUUCAGUGUGCCAUGCUUUACGGCUUAGAACCGGGUCUUCAACGACGUUUUGAACGUCAUGGAGCAUAUGAGAUGUUCCAGGAGUUGAAGUUAAUAUUUCAAGCAAAUGCCCGGAUUGAGAGAUAUGAAGUCUCCAAUAAGUUCUAUAGCUGCAAGAUGGAGGAGAAUAGUUCUGUCAGUGAACAUAUACUCAGAAUGUCUGGGUAUAACAAUCACUUGAUUCAACUGGGAGUUAAUCUUCCUGAUGAUAGUGUCAUUGACAGAAUUCUUCAAUCACUGCCACCAAGCUACAAGAGCUUUGUGAUGAACUAUAAUAUGCAAGGGAUGAACAAGACUAUUCCCGAGCUCUUCGCGAUGCUGAAAGCCGCAGAGGUAGAAAUCAAGAAGGAGCAUCAAGUGUUGAUGGUCAACAAGACCACUAGUUUCAAGAAGAAGGGCAAAGGAAAGAAGAAGGGGAACUUCAAAAAGAACGGCAAGCAAGUUGCUGCUCAAGAGAAGAAACCCAAGUCUGGACCUAAGCCUGAAACUGAGUGCUUCUACUGCAAGCAGACUGGUCACUGGAAGCGGAACUGCCCCAAGUAUUUGGCGGAUAAGAAGGAUGGCAAAGUAAACAAAGGUAUAUGUGAUAUACAUGUUAUUGAUGUGUACCUAACUAGAGCUCGUAGUAGCACCUGGGUAUUUGAUACUGGUUCUGUUGCUAAUAUUUGCAACUCGAAACAGGGACUACGGAAUAAGCGAGCACUGGCCAAGGACGAGGUGACGAUGCGCGUGGAAAACGGUUCCAAAGUCGAUGUGAUCGCGGUCGGCACGCUACCUCUACAUCUACCAUCGGGAUUAGUUUUAGACCUAAAUAAUUGUUAUUUGGUGCCAGCGUUGAGCAUGAACAUUAUAUCUGGAUCUUGUUUGAUGCAAGACGGUUAUUCAUUUAAAUCAGAGAAUAAUGGUUGUUCUAUUUAUAUGAGUAAUAUCUUUUAUGGUCAUGCACCCUUGAAGAGUGGUCUAUUUUUAUUGAAUCUCGAUAGUAGUGAUACACAUAUUCAUAUUGUAGAAGCCAAAAGAUGCAGAGUUGAUAAUGAUAGUGCAACUUAUUUGUGGCACUGCCGUUUGGGUCAUAUCGGUGUACAACGCAUGAAGAAACUCCAUACUGAUGGACUUCUGGAAUCACUUGAUUAUGAAUCACUUGGUACUUGCGAACCGUGCCUUAUGGGCAAGAUGACUAAAACACCGUUCUCCGGAACUAUGGAGAGAGCAACAGAUUUGUUGGAAAUCAUACAUACAGAUGUAUGUGGUCCGAUGAAUGUUGAGGCUCGUGGCGGAUAUCAUUAUUUUCUCACCUUCACUGAUGAUUUAAGCAGAUAUGGGUAUAUCUACUUAAUGAAGUACAAGUCUGAAACAUUUGAAAAGUUCAAAGAAUUUCAGAGUGAAGUAGAAAAUCAUCGUAACAAGAAAAUAAAGUUUCUACGAUCUGACCGUGGAGGAGAAUAUUUGAGUUACGAGUUUGGUUUACAUUUGAAACAAUGCGGAAUAGUUUCGCAACUCACGCCACCUGGAACACCACAACGAAAUGGUGUGUCCAAACGUCGUACUCGUACUUUACUUGAUAUGGUGCGAUCUAUGAUGUCUCUUACCGAUUUACCGCUAUCGUUUUGGGGUUAUGCUUUAGAGACGGCCGCAUUCACGUUAAAUAGGGCACCAUCAAAAUCCGUUGAGAUGACGCCUUAUGAACUGUGGUUUGGCAAGAAACCAAAGUUGUCGUUUCUUAAAGUUUGGGGCUGCGGUACUUAUGUGAAGAAACUUCAACCAGAUAAGCUCGAACCCAAAUCGGAGAAAUGUGUCUUCGUAGGAUACCCAAAGGAGACUAUUGGGUACACCUUCUAUCACAGAUCUGAAGGCAAGAUUUUCGUUGCUAAAUUCGGAUCCUUUCUAGAGAAGGAAUUUCUCUCGAAAGAAGUGAGUGGGAGGAAAGUAGAACUUGAUGAGAUAACUGUAUCUACUCCCUUAUUGGAAGGUAGUUCAUCACGAGAACUGGUUCCCAUGACAACUACACCAAUUAUUGAGGAAGCUAAUAAUAUUGAUCAUGAAACUUCAGAUCAAGUUUCUGCUGAACCUCGUAGGUCUACCAGAGUAAGAUCCGCACCAGAGUGGUACGGUAAUCCUAUUCUGGAAGUCAUGUUACUUGACCAUGAUGAACCUACGAACUAUGAGGAACCGAUGAUGAGCCCAGAUUCCGCAAAAUGGCUAGAGGCCAUGAAAUCUGAGAUGGGAUCCAUGGAUGAAAACAAAGUAUGGACUUUGGUUGACUUGCCCGAUGAUCGGCAAGCCAUUGAGAAUAAAUGGAUCUUUAAGAAGAAGACUGACGCUGAUGGUAAUGUUACUGUCUAUAAAGCUCGACUUGUUGCGAAAGGUUUUCGACAAGUUCAAGGGGUUGACUAUGAUGAGACUUUCUCACCCGUAGCGAUGCUUAAGUCUGUCCGAAUCAUGUUGGCUAUUGCUGCAUUUCAUGAUUAUGAAAUUUGGCAAAUGGAUGUCAAAACUGCAUUCUUGAAUGGAUUUCUAGAAGAAGAGUUGUAUAUGAUGCAGCCGGAAGGUUUUGUUGAUCCAAAAGGUGCUGACAAAGUGUGUAAGCUCCAAUGUUCCAUUUAUGGACUGGUGCAAGCAUCUCGGAGUUGGAAUAAACGUUUUGACAGUGUGAUCAAGGCAUAUGGUUUUAUACAGACUUUUGGAGAAGCCUGUAUUUACAAGAAAGUGAGUGGGAGCUCUGUAGCAUUUCUAGUUUUAUAUGUUGAUGACAUAUUAUUAAUUGGAAAUGAUAUAGAAUUUCUGGAGAGCAUAAAGGGAUACUUGAAUAAAAGUUUUUCAAUGAAAGACCUCGGUGAAGCUGCUUACAUAUUGGGCAUCAAGAUCUAUAGAGAUAGAUCAAGACGCUUAAUAGGACUUUCACAAAGCACAUACCUUGACAAAAUUUUGAAAAAGUUCAAAAUGGAUCAGGCAAAGAAAGGAUUCUUGCCUGUGCUACAAGGUGUGAAGUUGAGUCAAACUCAAUGCCCGACCACAUCAGAAGAUAGAGAGAAAAUGAAAAAUGUUCCCUAUGCUUCAGCCAUAGGCUCUAUCAUGUAUGCAAUGCUGUGUACCAGACUUGACGUAUGCUUAGCAAUAAGCUUGGCAGGAAGGUACCAAAGUAAUCCAGGAGUGGAUCACUGGACAGCGGUCAAGAACAUCCUUAAAUACCUGAAAAGGACUAAGGAUAUAUUUCUCGUAUAUGUAGGUGACAAAGAGCUCGUCGUAAAUGGUUACGUCGAUGCAAGCUUUGACACUGAUCCAGACGAUUCUAAAUCGCAAACCGGAUACGUGUUUAUAUUAAACGGUGGAGCUGUAAGUUGGUGCAGUUCUAAACAAAGCGUCGUGGCGGGAUCUACAUGUGAAGCGGAGUACAUAGCUGCUUCUGAAGCAGCAAAUGAAGGAGUCUGGAUGAAGGAGUUCAUUUCCGAUCUAGGUGUCAUACCUAGUGCAUCGGGACCAAUGAAGAUCUUCUGUGACAAUACAGGUGCAAUUGCUUUGGCAAAGGAAUCCAGAUUUCACAAGAGGACCAAGCACAUCACGAGACGCUUAAAUUCCAUUCGGGACCAAGUCCAAGUGGGAGACAUACAGAUUUGCAAGAUACAUACGGAUCUGAAUAUUGCAGACCCGUUGACUAAGCAUCUCUCACGAGCAAAACAUGAUCAGCACCAAGACUCCAUGGGUGUUAGAAUCAUUAUUGUGUAAUCUAGAUUAUUGACUCUAGUGCAAGUGGGAGACUAAAGGAAAUAUGCCCUAGAGGCAAUAAUAAAGUUAUUAUUUAUUUCCUCAUAUCAUGAUAAAUGUUUAUUAUUCAUGCUAGAAUUGUAUUAACCGGAAACAUGAUACAUGUGUGAAUACAUAGACAAAACUAUAGUCACUAGUAUGCCUCUACUUGACUAGCUCAUUAAUCAAAGAUGGUUAUGUUUCCUGACCAUAGACAUGUGUUGUCAUUUGAUUAGUGGGAUCACAUCAUUAAGAGAAUGAUGUGAUUGACAUGACCCAUUCUGUUAGCCUAGCACUUGAUCGUUUAGUAUACUGCUAUUGCUUUCUUCAUGACUUAUACAAAGUUCCUGCAACUAUGAGAUUGUGCAACUCCCGUUUACCAAAAGAACACUUUGUGUGCUACCAAACGUCACAACGUAACUGGGUGAUUAUAAAGGUUCUCUACAGGUGUUUCCGAAGGUACAUGUUGGGUUGGCAUAAUUCGAGAUUAGGAUUUGUCACUCCGAUUGUCGGAGAGGUAUCUUUGGGCCCUCUCGGUAAUACUCAUCACAUAAGCCUUGCAAGCAUGUAACUAAUGAGUUAGUUAUGAGAUGACGUAUUACGGAACGAGUAAAGAGACUUGCCGGUAACGAGAUUGAACUAGGUAUUGGAUACCAACGAUCAAAUCUCGGGCAAGUAACAUACCGAUGACAAAGGGAACAAAGUAUGUUGUUAUGCGGUUUGACCGAUAAAGAUCUUCAUAGAAUAUGUAGGAACCAAUAUGGGCAUCCAGGUCCCGCUAUUGGUUAUUGACCGAGAAUGGUUUUAGGUCAUGACUACAUAGUUCUCGAACCCGUAGGGUCCGCACGCUUAACGUUUCGAUGAUAGUUUUAUUAUGAGUUUAUAAGUUUUGAUGUACCGAAGUUUGUUCGGAGUCCCAGAUGUGAUCACAGACAUGACGAGGAGUCUUGGAAUGGUCGAGACAUAAAGAUUGAUAUAUUGGACGACUAUAUUCGGACACCGGAAAGGUUCCGGGAGUUUUCGGAGAAAACCGGAGUGCCGGGGGGGUUACCGGAACCCCCCGGGAGAGUUAAUGGGCCACAUGGGCCUAGGUGGGAAGAGAGAGGUGCGGCCAGGGUGGGCCGCGCGCCCCCUCUCCCUCUAGUUCGAAUUGGACUAGGAGGGGGGGCGGCGCCCCCCUUUCCUUCCCCCCCUCUCUUCCUUCCUUCCCCCUCCUAGUAGGAGUAGGAAAGGAGGAAUCCUACUCCUACUAGGAGGAGGAUUCCUCCUCCCUUGGAGCGCCCCAAGGGGCUGGCCGGCCUCCCCCUCCCUCCUUUAUAUACGAGGGCAGGGGGCACCCCAUAGACACACAAGUUGAACUACGGAUCGUUCCUUAGCCGUGUGCGGUGCCCCCUUCCACCAUAUUCCACCUCGGUCAUAUUGUCGCGAAGCUUAGGCGAAGCCCUGCGCCGGUAGAACAUCAAGAUCGUCACCACGCCGUCGUGCUGACGGAACUCUCCCUCGACACUCGGCUGGAUCGGAGUUCGAGGGACGUCAUCGAGCUGAACAUCUGCUGAACUCGGAGGCUCCGUACGUUAGGUGCUUGGAUCGGUCGGAUCGUGAAGACGUACGACUACAUCAACCGCGUUGUCAUAACGCUUCCGCUUACGGUCUACGAGGGUACGUGGACAUACACUCUCCCCUCUCGUUGCUAUUUCAUCACCAUGAUCUUGCUUGUGCGUAGGAAAAUUUUGAAAUUACUACGUUCCCCAACAUCUCUGCCUUCCACUGCAGCAAUUCCAGUACGGUACCGAGCUUUGUGUUGCCAUCUUCGCAAUUGGGGUACAACCCUUUUUUUUGGUCCUCUAGCAUGCGAUCGAACUUCAGCUUCUCCUUUUGACUUUUGCAUUGCGUCCUUGCAUCGACAAUGACCCGGCGGAGAUCAUCAUCAUCGGGCACAUCGUCUGGUUCCUCUUGAUCUUCAGCAGCUUCGCCUGUUGCAGCAUCAUCGUGCACAUCGUCUGGUUCCUCUUGAUCUUCAGGAGCAUCACCGUAUUCAGGGGCACAUAGUUGUCAUCGUACUCUUCUUCACCGUCUUCCAUCAUAACCCCUAUUUCUCCGUGCCUCAUCCAAACAUUAUAGUGUGGCAUGAAACCCUUGUAAAGCAGGUGGGUGUGGAGGAUUUUCCGGUCAGAGUAAGACUUCGUAUUCCCACAUAUAGGACAUGGACAACACAUAAAACCAUUCUGCUUGUUUGCCUCAGCCACUUCGAGAAAAUCAUGCACGCGCUUAAUGUACUCGGAGGUGUGUCUUGAACCGUACAUCCAUUGCCGGUUCAUCUGCGUGCAUUAUAUAAUGAAGUGACCAAAUUAAUAGAAGUUCAUCAUCACAUUAAAACCAAAGUACAUACAUAGUUCUCAUCUAACAACAUAAAGCUCUGCAGAGCAUCUAAAUUAAUUAAACCAUACACUGAAACUAUGUAAAACAUUUCAAUGCGAAAACAAAUGCAACCAUAAUCGCAACCAAUGUAACAACUGAUCCAACGGCAUAAUGAUACCAAGCCUCAGUAUGAAUGGCAUAUUUUCUAAUCUUUCUAAUCUUCAAGCGCAUUGCAUCCAUCUUGAUCUUGUGAUCAUCGACGACAUCCCCAACAUGCAACUCCAAUAUCAUCUUCUCCUCCUCAAUUUUUCUAAUUUUUUCCUUCAAGAAAUUGUUUUCUUCUUCAACUGAAUUUAACCUCUCGACAAUAGGGUCGGUUGGAAUUUCCGGUUCAACAACCUCCUAGAUAAAUAAAAUCUAUGUCACGUUGGUCGGCAUAAUUGUCAUAAACAAUAAAUGAACCAAUAGUUAUGAAAAGAUAAUAUAUACCACAUCCGAAUCAUAGACAGGACGAGGGCCGACGGGGGCGGAUACCAAAACCAUCGCACUAUAUAAGAUGCAAUAAUAAAAGUAAGAAAAUAAUACAAGUAUCUAUCUAAACAUACAAGUAAGAAUAUUUUUCCUUUCAGAAAGAAGAUAAGAACAAGAGGCUCACCACGGUGGUGCCGGCGAUGAGAUCGGCGCGGGUGAUCGACGACGAUGAAGACAAGGACGGGGCGUGACGGACCGCUAAACCUAGACAAAUAUUGAGGAAAAUGGAGCUUGGCGGUCGAGCUUGGAGGGGAGAAAGCUUAAGUAGUGUGGCUCGGGCAUUCCAUCGAACACCUCGUGUGCAUAGGAGGUGAGCUAGAGCACCACAAAGCUCUCCCCUCGCCGGCCACGAAAAACAGAGCACUGGGAGUGCUCUGCUCGCGAGCGGGGGGUAUAUAUAGGCACCACCAUUGGUCCCGGUUGGUCGCACGAACCGGGACUAAAGGUUGGCCUUUGGUCCCGGUUCGUGCCACCAACUGGGACCAAUGGUGGUGGGCCAGGAGCGAGGCCCAUUGGUCCCGGUUCGUCCCUCCAACCGGGACCAAAAGGUCCAGACAAACCGGGACCAAUGGCCCACGUGUUGGGUUUCGUAGUAAUUUCAAAAAAUUUCCUACGCACACGCAAGAUCAUGUGAUGCAUAGCAACGAGGGGAGAGUGUUGUCUACGUACCCAACGCAGACCGACUGCGGAAGCGAUGACACGACGUAGAGGAAGUAGUCGUACGUCUUCACGAUCCAACCGAUCAAGCACCGAAACUACGGCACCUCCGAGUUCGAGCACACGUUCAGCUCGAUGACGAUCCCCGGACUCCGAUCCAGCAAAGUGUCGGGGAAGAGUUCCGUCAGCACGACGGCGUGGUGACGAUCUUGAUGAACUACAGCAGCAGGGCUUCGCCUAAACUCCGCUACAGUAUUAUCGAGGUAUAUGGUGGCAGGGGCACCGCACACGGCUAAGGAAUAGAUCACGUGGAUCAACUUGUGUGUAUAGAGGUGCCCCCUGCCUCCGUAUAUAAAGGAGGAGAGGAGGGGAGGCUGGCCGGCCAAGGAGGGGAGGCGCAGGAGAGUCCUACUCCCUCUGGGAGUAGGAUUCCCCCCAAUCCUAGUCCAACUAGGAUUCCUCGGAGGGGAAGGGAGAGAGGGGGGCCGGCCACCUUCUCCUAGUCCUAAUAGGACUAGGGGAGGGGGAAGUGGCGCAGCCACCUUGGGCUGCCCCUUUCUCCUUUCCACUAAGGCCCAUGAAGGCCCAUAUGGCUCCCGGGGGGUUCCGGUAAUCCUCCCGGUACUCCGGUAAAAUCCCGAUUUCACCCGGAACACUUCCGAUGUCCAAACAUAGGCUUCCAAUAUAUCAAUCUUUAUGUCUCGACCGUUUCGAGACUCCUCGUCAUGUCCAUGAUCACAUCCGGGACUCCAAACAACCUUCGGUACAUCAAAAUGCAUAAACUCAUAAUGUAACUGUCAUCGUAACCUUAAGCGUGCGGACCCUACGGGUUCGAGAACAAUGUAGACAUGACCGAGACACGUCUCCGGUCAAUAACCAAUAGCGGGACCUGGAUGCCCAUAUUGGCUCCUACAUAUUCUACGAAGAUCUUUAUCGGUCAGACCGCAUAACAACAUACGUUGUUCCCUUUGUCAUCGGUACGUUACUUGCCCGAGAUUCGAUCGUCGGUAUCCAAUACCUAGUUCAAUCUCGUCACCGGCAAGUCUCUUUACUCGUUCUAUAAUGCAUCAUCCCGUAACCAACUCAUUGGUCACAUUGCUUGCAAGGCUUAUAAUGAUGUGCAUUACCGAGAGGGCCCAGAGAUACCUCUCCGACAAUCGGAGUGACAAAACCUAAUCUCGAAAUACGCCAACUCAACAUGUACCUUCGGAGACACCUGUAGUACUCCUUUAUAAUCACCCAGUUAAGUUGUGACGUUUGGUAGUACCCAAAGUGUUCCUCCGGUAAACGGGAGUUGCAUAAUCUCAUAGUUACAGGAACAUGUAUAAGUCAUGAAGAAAGCAAUAGCAACAUACUAAACGAUCAAGUGCUAAGCUAACGGAAUGGGUGAAGUCAAUCACAUCAUUCUCCUAAUGAUGUGACCCCGUUAAUCAAAUGACAACUCUUUUGUCCAUGGCUAGGAAACAUAACCAUCUUUGAUAAACGAGCUAGUCAAGUAGAGGCAUACUAGUGACACUAUGUUUGUCUAUGUAUUCACACAUGUAUUAUGUUUCUGGUUAAUACAAUUCUAGCAUGAAUAAUAAACAUUUAUCAUGAAAUAAGGAAAUAAAUAAUAACUUUAUUAUUGCCUCUAGGGCAUAUUUCCUUCAGUCUCCCACUUGCACUAGAGUCAAUAAUCUAGUUCACAUCGUCAUGUGAUUUAACAACAAUAUUCAUAUCUGUAUAUGAUUAACACCCAUAGUUCACAUUAUCAUGUGACCAACACCCAAAGGGUUUACUAGAGUAAAUAAUCUAGUUCACAUCUCUAUGUGAUUAACACCCAAAGAGUACUAAGGUGUGAUCAUGUUUUGCUCGUGAAAGAAGCUUAGUCAAUGGGUCUGUCACAUUCAGAGCCGUAUGCAUUUUGCAAAUAUUUUAUGUCUACAAUGCUCUGCACGGUGCUACUCUAGCAAUUGCUCCCACUUUCAAUAUGUAUCCAGAUUGAGACUUAGAGUCAUCUGGAUCGGUGUGAAAACUUGCACCGAGGUAACUUUUACGACGGGCUCUUUUAUCACCUCCAUAAUCGAGAAAUAUUUCCUUAGUCCUCACUAAGGAUAUUCUUGACCAAUGUCGAGUGAUCUACUCCUAGAUCACUAUUGUACUCCCUUGUCAAAUACUGAGCAAGGUAUACAAUAGUUCUGGUACAUAGCAUAGCAUACUUUAUAGAACCUAUGACUGAGGCAUAGGGAAUGACUUUUCAUUUUUUCUAUUUUCUGUUGUGGUCGGGAUUUGAGUCUUACUCAAUUUCAUACCUUUGCAACACAGGCAAGAACUCUUUCUUUGACUGUUCCAUUUUGAACUAUUUCAAAAUCUUGCCAAGGUAUGUACUCAUUGAAAAUCUUAUCAAGCGUCUUGAUCUAUCUCAAUAUAUCUUGAUGCUCAAUAUGUAAGUAGCUUUUACUGAGGUCUUUUCCUUUUAAAGAACUCCUUUAAAACACUCCUUUAUGCUUUGCAGAAAAAUUCUACAUCAUUUCUGAUCAACAAUAUGUCACUCGUAUAUACUAAUCAGAAAGGCUAUAGUGCUCCCACUCACUUUAUUGUAAAUACAGGCUUCUCAAAAAGUCUGUAUAAAACCAUAUGCUUUGAUCAACUCAUCAAAGCGUAUAUUCCAACUCCGAGAGGCUUGCACCAGUCCAUAGAUGGAUCGCUGGAGCUUGCACAUUUUUUUAGCACCUUUAGGAUUGACAAAACCUUCUGGUUGCAUCAUAUACAACUCUUCUUUAAUAAAUCCAUUAAGGAAUGCAGUUUUGAUAUCCAUUUGCCAGAUUUCAUAAAAUGUGGCAAUUGCUAACAUGAUUCAGACAGACUUAAGAAUCGAUACGAGUGAGAAAAUCUCAUCGUAUUCAACACCUUGAACUUGUUGAAAACCUUUCGCAACAAGUCGAGCUUGGUAGAUAGUAACACUACUAUCAGUGUCCGUCUUCCUCUUGAAGAUCCAUUCAUUUAACAUGGCUUGCUGAUCAUCGAGCAAGUCAAUCAAAGUCCAUACUUUGUUCUCAUACAUGGAUCAUAUCUCAGAUUUUAUGGCCUCGAGCCAUUUCGCGGAAUCUGGGCUCAUCAUCGCUUCUUCAUAGUUCGUAGGUUCAUCAUGAUCUAGUAUCAUGACUUCCAGAAUAGGAUUACCGUACCAUUCUGGUGCGGAUCUUACUCUGGUUGAUCUACGAGGUUCAUCAGUAUCUUGAUCUGAAGUUUCAUGAUCAUUAUCAUUGGCUUCCUCACUAACUGGUGUAGGUGUCACUGAAACAGUUUUCUGUGAUGAACUACUUUCCAGUAAGGGAGCAGGUACAGUUACCUCGUCAAGUUCUACUUUCCUCCCACUCACUUCUUUCGAGAGAAACUCCUUCUCUAGAAAGGAUCCAUUCUUAGCAACGAAUGUCUUGCCUUCGGAUCUGUGAUAGAAGGUGUACCCAAUAGUCUCCUUUGGGUAUCCUAUGAAGACACAUUUCUCCGAUUUGGGUUCGAGCUUAUCAGGUUGAAGCUUUUUCACAUAAGCAUCGCAGCCCCAAACUUUAAGAAACGACAACUUUGGUUUCUUGCCAAACCACAGUUCAUAAGGCGUCGUCUCAACGGAUUUUGAUGGUGCCCUAUUUAACGUGAAUGCGGCCGUCUCUAAAGCAUAUCCCCAAAAUGAUAGCGGUAAAUCAGUAAGAGACAUCAUAGAUCGCACCAUAUCUAGUAAAGUACGAUUACGAUGUUCGGACACACCAUUACGCUGUGGUGUUCCGGGUGGCGUGAGUUGCGAAACUAUUCCACAGUUUUUCAAAUGUACACCAAACUCGUAACUCAAAUAUUCUCCUCCACGAUCAGAUCGUAGAAACUUUAUUUUCUUGUUACGAUGAUUUUCAACUUCACUCUGAAAUUCUUUGAAAUUUUCAAAUGUUUCAGACUUAUGUUUCAUUAAGUAGAUAUACCCAUAUCUGCUUAAAUCAUCUGUGAAGGUGAGAAAAUAACGAUAUCCGCCACGAGCCUCAGUAUUCAUCGGGCCACAUACAUCGGUAUGUAUGAUUUCCAACAAAUCUGUUGCUCUCUCCAUAGUACCGGAGAACGGUGUUUUAGUCAUCUUGCCCAUGAGGCACGGUUCGCAAGUACCAAGUGAUUCAUAAUCAAGUGGUUCCAAAAGUCCAUCAGUAUGGAGUUUCUUCAUGCGCUUUAUACCGAUAUGACCUAAACGACAGUGCCACAAAUAAGUUGCACUUUCAUUAUCAACUCUGCAUCUUUUGGCUUCAACAUUAUGAAUAUGUGUAUUACUACUAUCGAGAUCCAACAAACCAUUUUCAUUGGGUGUAUGACCAUAGAAGGUUUUAUUCAUGUAAACAGAACAACAAUUAUUCUCUAACUUACAUGAAUAACCGUAUUGCAAUAAACAUGAUCAAAUCAUAUUCAUGCUCAACGCAAACACCAAAUAACACUUAUUUAGGUUUAACACUAAUCCCAAAAGUAUAGGGAGUGUGCGAUGAUGAUCAUAUCAAUCUUGGAACUAUUUCCAACACACAUCGUCACUUCACCCUUUAACUAGUCUCUGUUUAUUCUGCAACUCCCGUUUCGAGUUACUAAUCUUAGCAACUGAACUAAUAUCAAAUACUGAGGGGUUGCUAUAAACACUAGUAACGUACACAUCAAUAACAUGUAUAUCAAAUAUACUUAUGUUCACUUUGCCAUCCUUCUUAUCCGCCAAUCACUUGGGGUAGUACCUCUUCCAGUGACCAGUCUCUUUGAAGUAGAAGCACUUAGUCUCAGGCUUAGGACCAGACUUGGGUUUCUUCACUUGAGCAGCAACUUGCUUGCCGUUCUUCUUGAAGUUCCCUUUCUUUCCCUUUGCCCUUUUCUUGAAACUAGUGAUCUUGUUAACCAUCAACACUUGAUGCUCUUUCUUGAUUUCUACCUUCGUUGAUUUCAGCAUCAUGAAGAGCUUGGGAAUCGUUUUCGUCAUCCCUUGCAUACUAUAGUUCAUCACGAAGUUCUAGUAACUUAGUGAUGGUGACUAGAGAAUUCUGUCAAUCACUAUCUUACCUGGAAGAUUAACUCCCACUUGAUUCAAGCGAUUGAAAUACCCAGACAAUCUGAGCACAUGCUCACUAGUUGAGCGAUUCUCCUCCAUCUUUUAGCUAUAGAACUUGUUGGAGACUUCAUAUCUCUCAACUCGGGUAUUUGCUUGAAAUAUUAACUUCAAUUCCUGGAACAUCUCAUAUGGUCCAUGACGUUCAAAACGUCUUUGAAGUCCCGAUUCUAAGCCGUUAAGCAUGGUGCACUAAACUAUCAAGUAGUCAUCAUCUUGAGCUAGCCAGACGUUCAUAACUUCUGCAUCUGCUCCUGCAAUAGGUCUGUCACCUAGCGGUGCAUUAAGGACAUAAUUCUUCUGUGCAGCACUGAGGAUAAACCUCAGAUCACGGAUCGAAUCCGCAUCAUUGCUACUAACAUUUUUCAACACAAUAUUCUCUAGGAACAUAUCAAAAUAAACAUAUGAAAGCAACAACGCGAGCUAUUGAUCUACAACAUAAUUUGCAAAAUACUACUAGGACUAAGUUCAUGAUAAAUUAAAGUUCAAUUAAUCAUAUUACUUAAGAACUCCCACUUAGAUAGACAUCCCUCUAAUCCUCUAAGUGAUCACGUGAUCCAAAUCAACUAAACCAUGUCCGAUCAUCACGUGAGAUGGAGUAGUUUCAAUGGUGAACAUCACUAUGUUGAUCAUAUCUACUAUAUGAUUCACGCUCGACCUUUCGGUCUCUGUGUUCCGAGGCCAUAUCUGUAUAUGCUAGGCUCGUCAAGUAUAACCUGAGUAUUCCGCGCGUGCAACUGUUUUGCACCCGUUGUAUUUGAACGUAGAGCCUAUCACACCCGAUCAUCACGUGGUGUCUCAGCACGACGAACUUUGGCAACGGUGCAUACUCAGGGAGAACACUUCUUGAUAAUUUAGUGAGAGAUCAUCUUAUAAUGCUACCAUCAAUAAAAGCAAGAUAAGAUGCAUAAAAAGAUAAACAUCACAUGCAAUCAAUAUAAGUGAUAUGAUAUGGCCAUCAUCAUCGUGUGCUUGUGAUCUCCAUCUCCGAAGCACCGUCAUGAUCACCAUCGUCACCGGCGCGACACCUUGAUCUCCAUCGUAGCAUCGUUGUCGUCUCGCCAAUCUUAUGCUUCCACGACUAUCACUACUGUUUAGUAAUAAAGUAAAGCAUUACAUCGCGAUUGCAUUGCAUACAAUAAAGCGACAACCAUAUGGCUCCUGCCAGUUGCCGAUAACUCGGUUACAAAACAUGAUCAUCUCAUACAAUAAAAUUCAGCAUCAUGCCUUGACCAUAUCACAUCACAACAUGCCCUGCAAAAACAAGUUAGACGUCCUCUACUUUGUUGUUGCAUGUUUUACGUGGCUGCUACGGGCUUAAGUAAGAACCAAUCUCACCUACGCAUCAAAACCACAACGAUAGUUUGUCAAAUAGACUCCGUUUUAACCUUCUCAAGGACCGGGCGUAGCCAUACUCGGUUCAACUAAAGUUGGAGAGACAGUCGCCCGCAAGCCAUCCAUGUGCAAAGCACGUCGAGGGAACCGGUCUCGCGUAAGCGUACGCGUAAGGUUGGUCCAGGUCGUCUCGUCCAACAAUACCGCCGAACCAAAGUAUGACAUGCUGGUAGGCAGUAUGACUUGUAUCGUCCACAACUCACUUGUGUUCUACUCGUGCAUAUAACAUCAACAUAAAUAACCUAGGCUCGGAUGCCACUGUUGGGUUUCGUAGUAAUUUCAAAAAAUUUCCUACGCACACGCAAGAUCAUGUGAAGCAUAGCAACGAGGGGAGAGUGUUGUCUACGUACCCAACGCAGACCAACUGCGGAAGCGAUGACACGACGUAGAGGAAGUAGUCGUACGUCUUCACGAUCCAACCGAUCAAGCACCGAAACUACGGCACCUCCGAGUUCGAGCACACGUUCAGCUCGAUGACGAUCCCCGGACUCCGAUCCAGCAAAGUGUCGGGGAAGAGUUCCGUCAGCACGACGGCGUGGUGACGAUCUUGAUGAACUACAGCAGCAGGGCUUCGCCUAAACUCCACUACAGUAUUAUCGAGGUAUAUGGUGGCAGGGGGCACCGCACACGACUAAGGAAUAGAUCACGUGGAUCAACUUGUGUGUAUAGAGGUGCCCCCUGCCUCCGUAUAUAAAGGAGGAGAGGAGGGGAGGCUGGCCGGCCAAGGAGGGGAGGCGCAGGAGAGUCCUACUCCCUCUAGGAGUAGGAUUCCCCCCAAUCCUAGUCCAACUAGGAUUCCUCGGAGGGGAAGGGAGAGAGGGGGGCCCGCAGCCACCUUGGGCUGCCCCUUUCUCCUUUCCACUAAGGCCCAUGAAGGCCCAUAUGGCUCCCGGGGGGUUCCGGUAACCCUCCCGGUACUCCGGUAAAAUCCCGAUUUCACCCGGAACACUUCCGAUGUCCAAACAUAGGCUUCCAAUAUAUCAAUCUUUACGUCUUGACCAUUUUGAGACUCCUCGUCAUGUCCGUGAUCACAUCCGGGACUCCGAACAACCUUCGGUACAUCAAAAUGCAUAAACUCAUAAUGUAACUGUCAUCGUAACCUUAAGCGUGCGGACCCUACGGGUUCGAGAACAAUGUAGACAUGACCGAGACACGUCUCCGGUCAAUAACCAAUAGCGGGACCUGGAUGCCCAUAUUGGCUCCUACAUAUUCUACGAAGAUCUUUAUCGGUCAGACCGCAUAACAACAUACGUUGUUCCCUUUGUCAUCGGUAUGUUACUUGCCCGAGAUUCGAUCGUCGGUAUCCAAUACCUAGUUCAAUCUCGUCACCGGCAAGUCUCUUUACUCGUUCUAUAAUGCAUCAUCCCGUAACCAACUCAUUGGUCACAUUGCUUGCAAGGCUUAUAAUGAUGUGCAUUACCGAGAGGGCCCAGAGAUACCUCUCCGACAAUCGGAGUGACAAAACCUAAUCUCGAAAUACGCCAACUCAACAUGUACCUUCGGAGACACCUGUAGUACUCCUUUAUAAUCACCCAGUUACGUUGUGACGUUUGGUAGUACCCAAAGUGUUCCUCCGGUAAACGGGAGUUGCAUAAUCUCAUAGUUACAGAAACAUGUAUAAGUCAUGAAGAAAGCAAUAGCAACAUACUAAACGAUCAAGUGCUAAGCUAACGGAAUGGGUGAAGUCAAUCACAUCAUUCUCCUAAUGAUGCGACCCCGUUAAUCAAAUGACAACUCUUUUGUCCAUGGCUAGGAAACAUAACCAUCUUUGAUAAACGAGCUAGUCAAGUAGAGGCAUACUAGUGACACUAUGUUUGUCUAUGUAUUCACACAUGUAUUAUGUUUCCGGUUAAUACAAUUCUAGCAUGAAUAAUAAACAUUUAUCAUGAAAUAAGGAAAUAAAUAAUAACUUUAUUGUUGCCUCUAGGGCAUAUUUCCUUCACCACGUGGCCCGGCCGGCCCCCGGGGCUCAAGAACCAGGUCCAAUGCCCCCAUUGGUCCCGGUUUUGGAUUGAACCGGGACUAAUGGGCUGGACCGGCCUGGACCAUCGCCCCCUUUUCUACUAGUGUUAGUGCAUGGUGGUUAGUGAAGUUAGUGGAGCAUGGUGUGAGUGCGUGGGUCAUGGUUGAGUGCCAGACUUUGUAUAAAUUGUCAUUUGAGUCAAUGAGAAAAUGUAAGGCCGAGAGGGCCAGUGCAAAGAUGUAGCAUUUGUGGUAGCCAAGGGAGAUUAACUGGGCAAAGCUAUGUGUUCUUCCUUGGUCUAUGCGUGUGUGUGUUCUGUGUGUGUUCUCUCUCUGCGUCCUUGUGUUCAUGGGAGUGUUUUUGAGAGAAGCCAGAAGAGAGAGUUGUGAGAGGCAGCUCGAGGUAGAAGAAGGAGCGGUGCUGCUCCGAGAGGAGGCGGCGCCAACAAUUAUUGACGAAAGGGAUAUUAUAUUGCGCAAGGUAUAAUCAGACGCGUCGGGGAUGGAGCGACUACACACAUAUGGGAUCACAACUGGAUUAUGAGGGAAAGCUAUAAGAGGCCAAUAAAUAAGUUAGUGCAGAUCCCCCCUCAGAAACAUUUUAUGUAUACACGUUAACAUUUCCCAGAUAUAUGAUUAAUAUUUUUAGAAAACUUCUAUUUUUUAUGUGUACUUUUUAUACAUUUUGUAAUAUCAGAAAUAGUUUUUAUAGAAGGUUUAACAUUUUUCAAAUACAUGAUUACCUUUUUGUAAACUUAUAUUGUUUGACGUUUACUUUUUUCCAUAGACAUAGUGAGGGGUUAUAUCUAAGGAAUAGGCCCAAGUACAUGUAGGCACAACCAAAGGCCCAUGUUAAUCAAGGAUGUUCCACAAGACAAAUGGGAAAACACACCGGGGCUAAUGGAGCUACAAGGCCAAGGCAUCGGAUACAAGGGGAGAGUCAACUGUGUACAGUCAGAUUACACAACCCUUAACAGACAAGACUCAUCAGUUGGUCCACUAUAGGAAUCAGGUCAUUUGCCGUCAGCCGAGAACAGAUGCGAAGGCUUUGCCGUGAGCAAGUUGACGACAAACACAAUCAGCAAAGACUAUAUCAGCAAAGAGCUAAUUUGACGUCAACUUUUCAUCGCGCUGAUGACAAAGACUUUGCCGUCAAUUAAACUAUGUGUUUGUCGUCUGUAGAAAAAACACAAAUGGCAAAGAAAUUAAACAAAUGGUCAUUUUAUAAUAAUUUUUCGAAAUGUAUAUAGUGUAUUUUAAAAUGUUAAAUAUGUAUCAAGAAUUAUUUCAUAAAUAUACAGAAGAUGUACAACGUGUAUGAAAAUUAUGUAGACAUCAGAACAUAUUAUAGAAAUGUUAAUCUUGUAUUUAAAAAUGUUAAAUACACAUAAAUAAAAAUGUUUUUGAUGUACAUAAAAAAAUUGUACAUCGUGUGUGAACAAAGUAUGCAUUGAAAAAAAAAUCUUGUUGGAAAGAAAAUCUCGUGCUAUAUACGAAAAUGUAAAAGGUGUAUGAAAAUAAUUAGAUAUAUGCUUAACGAAAAAAAGGAAAGAAGGCGCAAAAAAAUCCGAUCAACACCAAGAUAGGAACAAGAAAACCUGAAGAAGACCAUUGAAAAAAAAGAAAAGAAUACAAGAAAGAGGAAAAAAAACAAAAAAAUGAAGAAGCUGAUGCAGAACAGGGAACUUGGUGAAAACGAAUAAAAAUUGAUGAAAACCGAGAAGAAAAACAAGAAAACUGAAGCAAAAAAAUAAUAAAAAUAUGUAAAAAAAUGAUGAAACAUUGCAAAACACUGAAAUACUAUGAAAACCAAAGGAAGAAAAGACUCAAAAAGAAGAACAUACAGCGAGCGAAUGAACAACAACUGAGUGAACGAGCGACCAUGCGAGAACACGUUAAUUGUCCGGCCCAUACUUGUGGACUCCAGAGGCGAGCCAGAAUAGGCGAGAUAUAGCUAUGACGAUUUGAUACCCUUCACAGCUUCACGAAUGCUAUAUCUCGCUCACAGCGAAAGUAUAUUUUGUCUGGCCUGAAGGUGCAAGAAUAGCAUCAGGUCGCUGUAAGGUUUGUGAUCCUACAAUGAGAGCUCCGAUAAGAUUAAAGUUCAUUUUUCUGACAACCUUUGGUCGUUCGUUCGCGCUCAGGUCGUCCGCUCACUCGAUUCCACGUACUAGUUUGGUUAUGUUGUUUUUUUCAUUUUGUUCUUUUUUUGUUUCUUCACUGGCUUUCUUUGGUUUUUAUAUCGGUUUUCUUUGUUUCCUUCACGUUUUAUUCCUGUUUUCCUUUUUACUGGUUUAUUUAUUCCUUUUUUUCUUUGUUUCUUUCUUGGUUUUCUUUGUUUUUCUUUCUUUUGAUGUCAAUCUUUUUACAUACGCAUUCAACAAUUUCCGUAUACAUCAGAAACAUUUUAUGUAUACACAUUAACAUUUCCCAGAUAUAUGAUUAAUAUUUUUGGAAAACCUCUAUUUUUUAUGUGUACUUUUUGAUACAUUUUGUAUAUAUCAGAAAUAUUUUUUUAGAAGGUUUAACAUUUUUUUAAAUACAUGAUUACCUUUUUGUAAACUUAUAUUGUUUGACGUUUAUUUUUUUCCAUAGACAUAGUGAGGGGUUAUAUCUAAGGAAUAGGCCCAAGUACAUAUAUGGCACAACCAAAGACCCAUGUUAAUCAAGGAUGUGGUCCACAAAACAAAUGGGGAAACACACGGGGGCCAAUGGAGCUACAAGGCCAAAGCAUCGGAUAUAAGGGGAGAAUAAGUGUGUACAGUCGGAUUACACAACACUUGACAGACAAGACUCAUUAGUUGGUCCACUAUAGGAAUCGAGUAAUUUGCCGUCAGCCGAGAACAGACUCGAAGUCUUUGCCGUCAGCAAGUUGAUGACAAACACAGUGAGCAAAGACUAUAUCGGCAAAGAGCUAAUUUGACGUUAACUUUUCAUCCGCUGAUGACAAAGACUUUGCCGUCAAUUAAACUAUGUGUUUGUCGUCUGUAGAAAAAACACAAAUGGCAAAGAAAAGCAUCUUUGCCAUCAGCAACUGAUUCACAUGUGUCGUCAGCCAGACUCGUCUUGUCACUAGCCUCAAACAUCACAGAUGGCAAAGAUUUUUUUUUAUUUUUAAAAUUCCGCGUCGACCACCCUAUCGCUCGUGCAGCCACCGCCUGGCCGCGCUCGCCUCCCUGCUCACAUGCCCUGCCAGCUUGCGCCGUUGCCAUCCGGCAGCGCUCGCCCGACCCUGCUCAUCGCCCGGCCGAGCUCGCCCGCCCUGCUCGGUCGCGUCGUCGGCAGCUGCCCUGCUUGCACACGUACCUGCCCAGCCUUGCUCAUACCGCCGGCCACCCUGCUCGCUAGAGAAAGGAAGGCGAGAGAGGAGGCUCGGGGGAGAAAGAAAAAACAAAGGAGAGAGAGAGGAUGCUACCACUGCCACAUCACCAAUACGCAUGAUCGAUCUGCAAGAUGUGCUCUCUCUUUUGCCGCCUCUGAUGGCAAAGUAUGUCUUUAUCGUCUAUAAUAAGAUUACAAACAGCAAAGUGAGCUCUUUGCCGUCUGUAAAAAAACGGACGACAAACAAACUUUGUUGUCAGCUGCCGACGGCAAAAAGUGCUCUUUACCGCAGCCUCGAUGAGAAGCUGAAGGCAAAGUGCCCCACAGACGGCAAAUUAGUUGAUUCCUGGGUGGUUAUGAGCAAGACAGGAGCAAUAACCCUAUCUACACUCGGUCAUCUGGAAGACAGGAGUAGUCGAACCAUCUAUAGUCGGCUACAUCUGAGGUUACCGUGACCCUUACGAUGCAUUCAUUAUCGCCGUUACUCAAUGGAGUAGUUAAAUACGUCAGUUAGCAAUAAUAAUAGCCACGAACAGUCAAUCAUGCAUGUGACCAUCAAUAGCAUUUAUACCAACCCAUUACGGCACUUCCUCCUAGCACACUCUAUAUAAGCCAGGAGUAGGACAUGAGAGUGAGGGAUGAACUCUCUCACAGUAUAACCUACGCCAAGAGCAGGAACACCACAUGAAUAGAGAUUACCUCCACCAACGUACUCCCAUCCGUUUUAUGUACCGAUCAAUGUAUAUAAUGGCUUCUACAUUCACAUCCCGUAGUAUUGUCAGGAUUAUAUCCACGACAGAAACUAUAUUUUGUUAUACAUCAAGAACAUUUUAUAUAUAAAUAUUUACAAUUUUUUAAAUACAUGAUUAAUAUUUUUUCAAACAUAUAUUUUGUAUGUCUCCUUUUCAUAAUCUUUGAUCCCUGGAAGUUUCAGAUUUUUUCCGAUUUGUUCUCAUUUUUUUAUGAAUUUACUGUUCAUGAGGGUGUAGGGGCACCCAGGAGCUGUUAGGCAUAAUAUUUCUGCUGUUGUUGUCAUCAUCAAGGGGAAUGAGAAGGGUUGAAGUUUUCGUUUUCUUUGAGGGGGAAAUCAGAGUUGGGGGCUGGAAGUGAGUGAUUAGGCCCAACAUAAGCGCUGUGUGUGUGUGUCUCGUCACGGGCACCAAAUUCGAACUGGGCUAUUGUUUUCUGAGAACCCAACGUCACAAGCCCAACCAACAGUCUGCCGAUCUGCAUCUUCCUCUCCUUGUCCAUCCUCCUCGUUGGCCGGACCGCCUCGAGCCACGGCCGCUCCCUGGCGCAGCGUCCUCCCCUUCCUCUCCACCCCCAAAUUCUCUUGUAUCCUCUUCUGAUCUCCUUCCUUACUUCCUCUCGCUGAUGGUCUCCACAAGAAGGUCUCCGAGCUCCUCGGAGGGUUCCGGCUGUACGUCGACGCAGCCUCUCCGACCUCCCCAUGAACAUGAGCUAUCGACCCUGAAAGCCUGUCUCUUCCAUGAUUCGAUUCACAUGAAUUCACGAGCCGCAUGAAUCAUGAAGGUCAUGGAGCAGAAUUCAGUCGUGUAGCCUGACAGUGAUGUACAUUUGUGGCUUUUCUGGCUAAAUAGCUCUGUACCCUAUGUGGAUGCCACUUCAAAUAAUCGUCAAAAUAAUUCUCCUGCACGCGUUAUACAAAUGGCGAAGAAGAAGUUCGCGUGGAACAUUUCGUUUCUUAUUGAUGUCCGAGAGAAAAGCUCCUAGGAAGUUCAUCCGCUCGGUGGAUUAUAAGUUUAAGUUUGUUACAACAUCCAAUCAUCCAUAUAAUCUCUGUGUUUCUUCUGUUUUCUACCAGUCAUAUAUCAUAUGUGCAUCAGAGGAAAAAUGCUUUCAGCAGUCAUGUUGGAGCGCGCAUACCAAGUUCCCACAUUGCAAAUAUGAUCCUAGCCAUUAAUAUGUUUCAUUCCACAUUUUCUUGAUCUAAUUUCUAAAUGAUUGGACAACCUGUUAUAGUCUUAUAGAAUUAUGAGCCGCCAAAUCCACAUUUCUCUUGGUCUAAUUUCUAAAUGAUAAUGUGCAGCAUCUAUCUCCUGGUGAACCUUUUUUUCUUGCGACUGUAUCUCCUGAUGAACCUAGUUUUCUCUAGGUAGCACAAUAAUUGUACUGGUUUGAUGUAAAGGACAUAAAUACAAGGGAAUAAAUUGGAAGCUUAUUUCAAAUUAACUAGCUAGUGGUGUUUGUGAAGUUCAAGAAAAAGCUGGUCUUUUUCUCGACAAAUAAUUUAACAUGCAAAGAAUCAAUAAAUGUAUUUGCAAGAAAGCAAACAUAAUUAACGAUAAAACUGGUUUAUUGUCACUGUAGACAACGGUAGUAGUUGGAACUAGAUACAAACCAAUAAAAAACAAGAUCUCAAAUCUCCAACCAAUAAAGAGUUCAACCCAAAUUUUACAGUAACACCAUUAUAUUCAAAUAGUGAUUAUUCCAACACAUGGAUAAUUAAUUAAGGCACCAGGUUGCCCUUGUGACUAGGAAAGACAAACUUAUGAACUUGCAAGCAUGGCAAUCAGAUCGACAUCCACACAAUGCCAAUAUGAACAUUGUCUUGAUACAACUUUAUUUUUAUUUUAUUUCAGAAUUUAAACAACUAGUAUGGGCGGGUCACACACGACAUUGUGUGACACUUUAUUUGUCACCGCUGCAUCGACAUAUCCAUCGACUAAACAACGGUGAUCCAACUAUAUAUUACUAGAGACCUUUCCUUAUUAGUAGGAACCAACUCCGGUGCCAACACCGAAUGGCACACUAGUGGUGGUUCUAUACAACGGCACAUUGACACGGCACAUCGUUGGCAGGGUACGGAGCGCAAUGGAAGUCAUCACCUCAAGCUGAGCUAUCUGGUGUGGCUGCAAAAAGGUACCUUGUGCCAAUUGUUGUUGUUGAGGUUGUUGCCCGAGUUGUUGUUGUGACUGCUGUUGGGGUUGGGAAACACAUUGGCCCAACUGUUGGGGUUGCUGCUGAGGAGUUUGGAUGGAACCCUGAACCUGUUGUUGUUCUUGCAGGAUGAUGGAGUAGAUGAUAGCACGGAUUGCCUCAUAGCGGGAUUGCUGGGGGAUUUGCGGCAACUGCUGGCAACAUUGUUGUUGCAUCACAUGGCAACUGCUCUGCUGCAACAUUUGCGACCUAGCAAGACUUUGUGGCAUUGCCACAGGGCUGCAUUGCUGCUGGAGGAAUACCUUGCAUGGGUUUAGCUGCUGCAAGAUAGAUGGAUGAACAAAUGGUAUUUGUUGUUGCGGUAGAACUAGUUGUUGUUGUUGCUGCGAAAAUGGUGGUUGUUGCGGUAGACUUGGUUGUUGUUGUUGCAAAAAUGGUGGUUGUUGCUGUAGUACUAUUUGUUGUUGUUGCGAAAACGGUGAUUGUUGCUGUGAAAAUGGUGGUAGUUGUUGCUGUGAAAAUGAUGGUUGUUGCGGUAGAACUGGUUGUUGUUGCUGCGAAAAUGGUGGUUGUUGUUGUGAAAAUGGUGGUUGUUGUUGCUGCGAAAAUGGUGGUUGUUGUUGUGAAAANNNNNNNNNNNNNNNNNNNNNNNNNNNNNNNNNNNNNNNNNNNNNNNNNNNNNNNNNNNNNNNNNNNNNNNNNNNNNNNNNNNNNNNNNNNNNNNNNNNNNNNNNNNNNNNNNNNNNNNNNNNNNNNNNNNNNNNNNNNNNNNNNNNNNNNNNNNNNNNNNNNNNNNNNNNNNNNNNNNNNNNNNNNNNNNNNNNNNNNNNNNNUGGUUGUUGUUGCUGCGAUAAUGGUUGUUGUUGUUGCUGCGAAAAUGGUGGUUGUUGUUGUGAAAAUGGUGGUUGUUGUUGCUGCGAUAAUGGUUGUUGUUGUUGUUGCUGUGAACAUGGUUGCUGUUGUGAAAAUGGUUGUGGUUGUUGUUGGAUGGGUUGUUGUUGUUGGUGGUGCGAUAAUGUUUGUUGUGGUGGUAAUGGUUGUUGCUGCGAUGGUCUCUCCAAACCAGGGAUGUGGCUAUUCUCCAUUUGUGCAAUGGCACUUGUCGCCACAAUGGCGAGGAGAGCAAAGAUGAGGAAGGUCUUCAUGGUGGAUUGGUGUUAACCAGUGUUGCUUGGUUUUGAUGCUUGUGCUUGUGAUGAUCUUUAUACUUCAUGCCUAUUUAUAGUAGCCCGGGCACCACCUCUUUUCUUCUUUGCAUUAGCUUUAAUAAUUCUGUUUGGAUGCAUCUAAAAUGAUUUUUGGUACAAUGUGUUAGGUUGCACUAGCUACACGCGUACUUUUGGAUUGAUCAUCAAAGUUGCUUUUUAGUUGUGCAUAUGAUCACACACAAAGUACAGAAACCUUGAUGUUUGGUACAUAUGACUCACCUUAUUCACUUUACAUGUCACACACUUAUCUGGAUAGUAUCACUUUUGCAACCGAGUUUGGAACCUUGUAUAGGCUGUCAUCCAUAAACAAGAAAGGCAAAACUUGUGUAGGACUAAGUUUGCAAUCGGAGGGUUCUUCUAGACUCGAUUUCUUUUCGUAAAACUAACUUUGUAUUUUUCCUCUAAGAUGAUAAGAUGAACCGACGCCUAUAGAGCAUGACAUGACUCAUCGAAUUCCCUUUACAUGUAAAGGAUGGUAAUUGCUUACAAGCUACUCCUACUAGCAUAUAUCCGGUUCCAAGCCUAGACACGUCAUCAUCAGUUUCGUCUAUUUUUUUAGAUAAAUCAUCAGUUCUAUCUAUUUGUGAAGGGUUUUUUUGGGGGGAAAUGAUAGUUUUUUUAUGCUAGGGGGGUUUUUUNNNNNNNNNNNNNNNNNNNNNNNNNNNNNNNNNNNNNNNNNNNNNNNNNNNNNNNNNNNNNNNNNNNNNNNNNNNNNNNNNNNNNNNNNNNNNNNNNNNNNNNNNNNNNNNNNNNNNNNNNNNNNNNNNNNNNNNNNNNNNNNNNNNNNNNNNNNNNNNNNNNNNNNNNNNNNNNNNNNNNNNNNNNNNNNNNNNNNNNNNNNNNNNNNNNNNNNNNNNNNNNNNNNNNNNNNNNNNNNNNNNNNNNNNNNNNNNNNNNNNNNNNNNNNNNNNNNNNNNNNNNNNNNNNNNNNNNNNNNNNNNNNNNNNNNNNNNNNNNNNNNNNNNNNNNNNNNNNNNNNNNNNNNNNNNNNNNNNNNNNNNNNNNNNNNNNNNNNNNNNNNNNNNNNNNNNNNNNNNNNNNNNNNNNNNNNNNNNNNNNNNNNNNNNNNNNNNNNNNNNNNNNNNNNNNNNNNNNNNNNNNNNNNNNNNNNNNNNNNNNNNNNNNNNNNNNNNNNNNNNNNNNNNNNNNNNNNNNNNNNNNNNNNNNNNNNNNNNNNNNNNNNNNNNNNNNNNNNNNNNNNNNNNNNNNNNNNNNNNNNNNNNNNNNNNNNNNNNNNNNNNNNNNNNNNNNNNGCCGCCACCGCUCGACAAAAAAGGUCACUUUUGUAGCUCCCCCGUCGAUUGCGGGCCGUACGUCGACGGCAGCCACUCCGACCUCCCCGUCAACACAAGGUAUCGAUCUGUUUCGUCUGUCUCUUCCAGCGAUUCAAUGCACAUAAAUCCGAGAGGCAGACCCAUCUCCAUGCUAGCUGCACGGAUCAGGAGGGUCAGGCAUCAGAAUUCAGCUGGGAAGCCUGACACUAAUGUACAUUUGUGGCUUUAGUAGCUGAAUAUAACUAUGUGUUUUCUGAGAAUUUCACUUCAAAAGUUCCAAUAAUCAUCAAAUUUCCGCCUAUGCGCGCUAAGCAGGUGGACCAUAUAUUUCUCAUGUCGACGAACGAAAAAACAAAACUCCACAACUAGAAGUCUAUGAUAUUGACACGGAACCGUGCUGUAGGGUCGCAAGUAAAAAUAUGAAAAGCAUGCCUAACACUACUAGGAAAAGGGCUAUAGAUGGAAUUGACACUAAUGACGCACCAGACAUGUGGUGCGCCAUUAGUAUAUACUAAUGGCGCACCAUCUUCUGAUGCGCCAUUAGUGUUGAAAUUACUAAUGGCGCACCCUGCCCACGGUGCGCCAUUAGUACCAAUUUUUUUUUGAACUAGUGCGCCUGUCCAAACAUACUAAUGGCGCAUCCGCUGGUGGUGCGCCAUUACUAGUUGUAACUAGUAAUGGUGCACCAGCCAGAGGGUGCGCCACUAAAGUUAUUUUUUUUAUUAUUGUUUUUAUUCCUUUUUUUGCAAAAGUACUAAUGGCGCACUCACACGCGGUGCGCCAUUACUAGUUCAAACUAGUAAUGGCGCACCGUGGCAGAGUGCGCCAUUAGUAUGUUUUUUUUUCAAAACUACUAAUGGCGCACCACCUGGUGGUGCGCCAUUAGUAACCUGGAUUACUAAUGGCGCAUUUGUUGCUGGUGCGCCAUUAGUAAGUGGGCAGCAACAAGAUAUUUUGGACAGCCUCUCCUCCCACACUCACUUUCUCCCCAUUUCAUUCUCUCCACCGCCUCCUCAUGUCUCGGGUGCCUCCUCUUUUUCACCUCAUUUCCACCAUAGAUUCAUUCAAAUUAAGUGGUUAAGUUACCUUGUUUUGCUAGGUAAGUAAGGGGGGAAGCUAUAUUUAUGUUGUUCUCCCUACAACAGUGUGCACAUGCACUUUUUAUGGCCUAGCUAGAUCUAUGUAUGUUCGUGGUGUUGCAUAUGUUUGUGGUGUUGCAUAUGUGUUUGUGUUUGAAGGUGUACCGGUAUUUGAAAUGCGAUAGUUGCCAAUAUUUUGCCGGAAUGUUGAUUCAUUUCCGUUUCGGCGAGAAUUUUGGCAUUAAGCAUUCUUUUUGGUCCUAUUUUUAGGGAAAGUCAUGCCAAAUUUUUUCUUGGUUCUAAAAUAUCGUUUUGCUCUACCCCGCAGGCGACCAUGGUCCGCACGAUGACCGAAGGCAUCGUGAAUAGGUUUUUGAGGUCCACGAAGGCCGAGAUGCUUCAAAAGAACGAGACGGAGAUAAGAUGUCCGUGUCGAAGAUGCAAGCUGAAUAGCCUUAUUGCGGACCCGGAUUCCGGGCAGGUGCGGGACCACCUGCUCUUGCGUGGUUUCAUGGAUGGCUGUCGGUGGCAAGGUGAUGAAGAUGACUACGAAGUCGUCCAUGGGGGCCGGGCAAGAAAUGAGGAAGGGCAGCAAGACAACCACCGCGGCUCGGGGGGGCGAGAAGAAGAAGAAUCCCCAGGAGAUGAUCACGACGGUGAUGUUGUACACAGUCAUCAUGUAGAAGAUGCAGGACAUGAUGAUGAUGCCGGCGGAGCAGACGACGCUGGACCAUCGAUGGGCUGGGUGCAGGACCCUCAUAUUCAAGAGCUGCUUCUCAAGCAGACGGAUAACGCAAGAGCUGCCGCCCGAGAGAAAGCCAAGAUGGAUCAACUUGAGUUAGACGCGGUUACUCCAUUGUAUGAAGGAUGCAGGCCCGAGGAUACCCGCCUGAAAGUAACACUCAUGGCUCUGGAGAUGAAGGUAAAACACAAAAUGACCGACGCAUGCUUCGACGAGAACAUGUCAUUCUGGCACGAACGUCUUCCCAAAGGGAACAAGUGCCCGACCAGUUUGGAGGAGGCGAAGAAAAUCGUGUGUCCUCUGGAUUUACCGCACGUGAAAUACCAUGUGUGCAUGAACAAUUGCAUCAUUUAUCGGGACGAGCACGCGGAGUCUACCAUAUGUCCGGUGUGCGGUGUCACUCGAUACAAGAAGGGGAAGAAAGCUCCUCGAAAAGUGGUGUGGUACUUUCCGAUCACUCCUCGUCUGCAGCGGUAUUUCGCGGACCCUAAGGUAGCAAAGCUCCUGCGUUGGCACGCGGAUAGGGAGGAGAAGAAGCGAGAAGAUGACGCAAAUGAUACGGAGAUAGAUAAAAAAGACAAGAUGCUGAGUCACCCUAAGGAUGCGAGCCAGUGGCAAGCGUUGAACUUCGAAUAACCAGAAUUUGGGAACGAUCCAAGGAACAUCGUGCUGGGCGCGAGCACCGGUGGAGUCAAUCCGUUUGGCAGCCAGAGAAGCACACAUAGCACCUGGCCUGUGUUUGUGUGGAUGUACAACCUUCCCCCCUGGUUGUGCAUGAAGAGGAAGUACAUUCACAUGAGUAUGCUAAUUGAAGGGCCGAAACAACCAGGGAACGACAUCAAUCUGUAUCUGGGGCUGCUGAAAGAGGAGCUUGACACGCUGUGGAAAACGCCCACCAAUACGUGGGACGCCGCAGAGAAAGAAUAUUUCCCUAUGAGAGCCGCACUGCUCACGACGGUGCACGACUAUCUCGGUUACGGAUAUCUUGCGGGGCAGGUAGUCCACGGAUUUUCUGGAUGCGUAAGGUGCAUGGAUGACACAACGUAUCGCCAGCUAGAUAGAGACGAUGACCCGUGGAGGAAACGCAAGGAUCUGUUCGAUGGUGAAACCAAACCCCGAAAACGCCCGUGUACGAGGAGCGGCGAGGAAAUAGACAAGCUGUUGAAAAAUCGGAAAGACUGCCCACUGCCGGGAAAGAAGCAAAAGGUGCCAGAGCCGGGAAAGAAGCGAAAGGCGCCAGAGCCGCUGCUGAAGCUAUGGAAAACGAGGUCUGUUUUCUGGGACUUGCCGUACUGGAAGAUCCACCGUGUGCCUCACAGCCUUGAUGUCAUGCAUAUCACGAAGAACGUGUGCGAGAGUCUGCUUGGUACCCUGCUCAACAUGCCAGAGAGGACCAAAGAUGGGCCGAAAGCGAGGGCAGACUUGAAAUCAAUGGGCAUCAGGCAGGAGCUUCACGCUAUAUAUGAUGAUGAUGAUGAUGAUGAUGAUGAUGAUGAGGCGAAGCAGGACACAGAAAGUCGUCGCAAAGGCAAAAAGGCCAAGAAGACCGGAAAUGACUACCCUCCCGCGUGCUUCACUCUAAGUCAGGAGGAGAUCGAGCAGUUUUUCACCUGCCUCCUAGGAGUAAAACUUCCUUACGGUUACGCGGGGAAGAUAAGCAGAUACCUAGACCCAGCGAAGCAGAAGUUCAGCGGGAUGAAGUCUCACGAUUGUCACAUGCUGAUGACGCAGAUACUUCCAGUUGCAAUCCGUGGGAUCAUGGACGCGCACGUCCGUGAAACGCUAUUUGGCCUAUGCAACUUCUUCGACGUCAUCUCUCAGAAGUCGAUUGGCAUGAGGCAACUCAGAAGGCUACAGGAAGAGAUCGUGGUGAUACUAUGCGAGCUUGAGAUGUACUUCCCGCCCGCAUUCUUCGAUGUUAUGGUGCAUCUGCUGGUCCAUAUAGUGGGGGAUAUCAUCCAACUCGGGCCGAUGUUCCUGCACAGCAUGAUGCCGUUCGAAAGGAUGAAUGGUGUCAUCAAAGGAUACGUUCGCAACAUGUCACGUCCAGAAGGAAGCAUAGCCAGGGGCUUUCUGACCGAAGAGUGCAUCUACUAGUGCGCGAAUUAUCUAGGCAUCGAGAACCCCGUUGGUCUGCCCGUCAACAGGCACCUCGGCAGGCUCGCUGGAUGGGGUCACCGUGAGGGUCGCCGCGAAAUGCAUGUCGACUUCGAGGGUCGACUCGCCGACUUUGAAAGAGCAAACCUAGUCGCGCUACAACACAUAGACGUGGUCGAUGCUUGGGUGGUAGAGCACAAAACCUUUAUUAAGAAGACGUACAAUGACCGAGGCCAACAGAGGACGGACGGAGAUAUACUCAAAGAGCACAACUCAUGUUUCACGCGUUGGUUCAAGCAGAAGCUUCUGUCGUACCCUUUACAUGAGGAUUCUUCCGCGGAAGAACAACUCAUAUUCGCCUUGUCACAGGGCGCCGAGCACAACCUGAUGACCUAUGAGGCGUACGAUAUCAACGGCUACACAUUCUACACCGAGGCCAAGGACAUGAAGAGCGAUGGUUAUCAGAACUCCGGGGUAACGAUGGAAUCCUACACCGGUAACGACAAGGACAGAUACUACGGAAGGAUCGAGGAGAUCUGGGAGCUGAGCUAUGCUGGAGAGAAGGUCCCGAUGUUCCGUGUCAGAUGGGCCAAGAACGUCAUAAAAGAAGACCGGUAUUUCACCACCAUGGUUAUACCCGGAGCCAAAUCCAAGACCGCGAGCGCAAACGUCACCGCGAAAAAUGAGCCAUGGGUACUGGCUUCCCAAGUGGACCAAUGCUUCUUCAUUACCGACCCGCCAAAGCCCAGUCGUGUUGUCGUGAGGAGAGGCAAAAGGAAGAUCAUCGGAAUGGAUGGAGUAGCCAAUGAGCAAGACUUCGACAAGUACGGCGACCCGAGGAUCGAACAUGACGACGAUGAUGAAGUAGCAGCAUACACCACAAGAAGAAGCAGGACCACCCUACCUAAAGGACGUCCGUUCCACAGAAGAACUCCAUUUGCGAAAAAGAAGGGCAAGAAGAUUGUGAACAGAUAGCUAGCUAAGAUCGAUUGUAUUUAAAUCGUAGCCUUCAUUUCUCGAUUGUAUUUCAUGGGUACUUUUUGAACUAUCAUGAAUAUUUUUAAAUUUAAUGGACACUCGAUCUCGAUCCCCCUCCAUCUCGAUCGCUAUCCCACCUCGCCAGAUCCGGUCCCCCUCGCCGCCAAGCACCCCCCCAGCCCACCGGCCGCCGCCGCCGACCCCCCGCACCCUCGAUUCCCCUACCCAACCGCCGCCGCCGACCCACCGCACCCCGCGCACCCUCCCCUGCUCCACCAGCAUUACUGUUUGAUGAUAUUUUUAAAAAAAUUAUUAUUGUCUUAUAAAAAAAUAUUACUGUUAUGAUUUAAACAAGUUUGAACAUAUUUAAACACAAAUAAGUAUCAAACAGGUUUUUAAAUGCUAAAAAAAAUUUGUGGAGCCUGGGAGUCGAACCCAGGACCUCCUGGUGUGAGAACUGGCUGCUGACCAGUCGAGCUAGUAGAGGGGACUUGAUGUGGAUCAAUUCUGGUGGUACAUAACCUGUUGGCUCGAGUUGAAAUAAAAAAAAUACUAAUGGCGCACCACGGUGAGGUGCGCCAUUAGUAUGGAUGUACUUAUGGCGCACCGAGGGGUGGUGCGCCAUUAGUAUUGUGCCCGAUCCCUUCCCUCUCCCCCUUCGCCCGAUCCCCCCUUCCCUCUCCCCCUUGCCAGUUCCCUCUCCCUCGAUCCACCGCCGCCGCCGCCGCUGCCCUGACCCACUGCGCCGCAGCCGCCCACGCGCCCCCGCCGCCUCCCUCUCCCCUUCCUCCCCCUCGAGCCCGCGCCGUCCGCCCAAACCUAACCCGACGCCGUCCGCCGCGCCCGCUCCACCGCCGCCGCCCUGCCUCUCCGCCCUCUCCCUCCCUCNNNNNNNNNNNNNNNNNNNNNNNNNNNNNNNNNNNNNNNNNNNNNNNNNNNNNNNNNNNNNNNNNNNNNNNNNNNNNNNNNNNNNNNNNNNNNNNNNNNNNNNNNNNNNNNNNNNNNNNNNNNNNNNNNNNNNNNNNNNNNNNNNNNNNNCGUCGCCCCGCCGCCCCGACACCACCGUCCGUCGCCCCGCCGCCCCGCCGCCCCUCUCGCAGCAAGGUAUGCGGCUGGUUCGUCCCCUGUCAUGGUUCUCUCUUCGUUUAUUUUCCUGAAAUCUCUGCUGUUCAUUGGCCGAUGAUGUCUUACAAGUAAAAUAUCUGGCAAACUUGUGCUGUAAACUGUACAUUGCUGAGGCUGUGGGCAACCUGUUCUUCUCUUUGCCAUACUAGUGCUUUUGUUCAUUGGCCGAUGAUGUCUCUGUUGGUUUACGUCCCCGGCAAAUUAGGUACCCGUGAACCAUUUAUAGGCCCAACUUUCUUACUCUCAAUGACCACAAUGUGCUUAUUUUGUUAGGAUUGUGCAUUUGCGCGAUUUGUGCAGUGCUUAUUUGUUGGCACCUCACCAGCUUUCAAAUUCAGCAUUUGUAACACAGUUCAAUUUGAUCUAAGGGCCUAUCUUGUCUCAUUUCCAACAUGUAAUAAACUUCCCCCGAGGCCAUAGAUGAGAAUACUUCUUUCAGUACAUUUUGCUGAUUUCUCACUGUUGAAUACUUCAUUUCUGUUUGCCUUUGGCCAAAGAUGCAUUCAGUUCUUUCUGCCCUUAGCGGUUUGAUUCAAGUUUGUCAGGUUCUGUUAACUAAAAAGGUUCAGAUUCAGAAACAUUGUUGGACUACUAGGAAGUUGGACUACUAGGAACAUGUUUAGAUUCAGGUUCUGUUAACUAAAAAAGUUCAGGUUCUGUUAACUAAAAAAGUUCAGAUUCAGAAACCUGUAAUUUCUACUUUUAUGCCUCUGUUACUCCAGUCAAAAUUUUAUGUUUGAUGCCCAUGGUAGUUGAGCUCUCACCUCACCUCACGCAACAUGCAUGAUGCCACAAUGUCUAGUAUGUACUGCCAAGCAACUGGCAAAUAAUUAUAACUUAGAAUAAAUAAAUCUGAUGUAAGAUAAGCAUGGCAUGAGCUUUAAUUAAAUAGCAUAAUACACGUUGGUAGUCCAUCUCUCUCAAAAAAAAUACAUGUUGGUAGCAGAAAAAAAUACAUGUUGGUAGCAGAAAUUUUUUUGAGCCCUUAUUAGCUACUCACACUAUUUGCCCCGCAGUUUCUCUGUCAUGGCUACCAAGUGAUUGACGGUGGGCUAGAAAAAUAAAACCACCAAACUAUCAGUAAAAGAUGUGAACCAACAUCUUUCAUUGUUAUGCAUAUCAAACACCAAGGGUUAUUUUCACUUAAAGUUUUAGAAUGGGUGCAUUACAAUUCAGUCUGAUAUCUAAUAAGACACUCUGGGCUGAUAUAAUUAUGGAACAGAACCAACCAUGAUAAAUAAAAGGUGAUGUUGUCUAUGCAUUACCAAAAAUGUAUCUUUGUGAACAAAUAAAUUGGUACCAACAGCAAUGCCAUCUUACUGUAGAAUUAGAAUACAUGGACAUGAUCAGCUCAGCUCCCAAACUGCCAUUCAUCACAUCAAUUUCCCCUUAUGUAACUCCAGUCAAAAUUUUAUGUUGGUCUACCUAGUAGAUGCCCAUGGUUUGAUUUUAUGUUUGUUCCUAUCAAUACAAAUGCUGAGCUAUGUUCCAUUUUUACUGUUCUUUGUGAUAGUUUUUGCAACUUUACUUCCCAUCUUAAGGCAAGCCCCAUUUUUACUGUUCUUUGUUAGCAGAGCUGCUUGUUUCUAAGAACUUUGAUACUAUUUGGAUCAAAGUUAAAUGAGCACAUAGAUGACAAAAAAAAGUUCAGAUUGUAAAAUGUUCAUUUUGCUGCUAGUGCCCAUUUUGAGUAAUUGCUUAGAGGGAUGAUCCUGUGUGAGCUGGUGGAGUGAUUUGUUUUCUACAUAAAGCUCUUUAGUCAGGCUGGUUUUCGUGAAAUACACAUGAAGCUUCACCAGCUCCUGUGGGUGUGGGAUCCAUGUGACAUGUGACAUUGCAUCCAUGUCCACCUGGGAUAAUGAUUUUGCAUGUACCCCGAGAGGCCCUUAAGUUUGCCGGAAUGUCGAUUAACUUCCGUUCCGGCAAAUUCGGGUACUCCAUAUGUCCUAUUUUCAGCAAAGGUCAUGCUGAAAUUUUCCGUGAAUUUUAGCAUGACUUUGCAAAAAAUAGGACAUAUGGGGUACUUGUGACUAAUGCAUGGGCCGGGGUAUCAUAGUAGUUAAUUAAGUAGGAUCAAGUGCCCCGGCGUACUUGUGACUGAUGCAUGGCUUUUAGGGUGCCUCGGUGUUGAUAAAAACCGAAAUGAUGAAAGCUUAGGCUUUUAGGGUGCCUCGGCGUCGAAAAACCCUCAAUGAUAAAAGCUUAGGUCUUAGGAUGCCUCGGUGUCGACAAACCCUAAAUGAUGAGACCAUGUCUUGUUCCUUGACAAUAACCAACUUUUUGACCAAACUUUGUUUCUAUUUAGAGAGAAACAUGGCCCACAACGAUGAGGCCGGGGGUUCGGGCGGCAAGGCAUUCUGGGAGCUGUCCCAGGAGAUGGAGGAACAACCUCACUUGUAUGAGGCCGCCGCCUUCCCCACCGAUCCUGAGACCACUGAUGGUGCCGCCGAGGAUGACCACACUGAUGCCACCACUGAUGGUGCCGCCGAGGAUGCCACCACUGAUGAUGGCAGCGCCCGCACAGAUGGCAGCCAACCGAAGAGGCAACGGAAGGACCGACGCCCGAUCGUGCUCCUCACCCUCAAGGAGGAAGUUACUGAAGUGGACUCCAACGGGUAUCCAACGGCGCCCGAACGAAUAGUCAAGGGGUACUCGCUUCAGCUCGGGUGCAUUGUCCGGAGCACCGUCUCGAUCAACACCGAGAACCUGAGGCAUCCUGACCGAGGGAAUUUGUGCCACCUCCUCUUCACGAAGCUGCACGAAUGAUACAAGUUCCCCGCUGAAUUUGCAAACAGAAGCCUCAAAGGGAAUAAAGUGAACAAUGCUGCCCUCACGAAGAUGAGCAAGGCCCUGUCUACUUGGAAAAGCAAUGUGAAGAAAAUGAUCGAUAAAGGUGAGAGUUAUCAGAAGAUCAAGGAGAAAAAUCCUUCGAUCACCAAAGAUGACUACAAUGACUUCAAGAUCAAUUGCUCGAGCACCGCAAGCUCCCAAUCAAGUGAGUGGGGGAAACAAAUGCGGGAGCUGAACAUAGGGGAACACACACUCGGUCCCGACGGUUACAGAGUGGCGGAGCCUAUAUGGGACAAGGAGGAGGCGGACCGUGCCGAGCAAGGCCUACCGCCCCUCUUCGAGAAAUACAGCGGUAACAAGCAGACCAGGAACUUUGUCAGGGCCCGGUACAAGAAGGACCCGAAAACAAAGGAGCUUACCACGGAUCCGAAGACCAGGCAGCUUGAGCUUGUUCUGGUAAGGAAUACACCCCCGCGUAAUUAGCUCCAUAUGGUUGCAUUCUAAUUAAUGAAGCCAAAUUUCUAAAUGGUUCACAUUCCUUCCGCAGGCGACUGAAAGCAGUAGCGCGGGGUCGACUAAGAGCAACCCUUGGGACACCACUCUAAAUAGGGCGAUGAAUGUAAUGAAGAAGAAGGAUAAGCUCAGUAAGCCGACGUCAGCUGGUCGUGUGGCCGGCAAAGGCUUGUCGACAAAAUGGGGGUCAUACUAUACCGCUGGUGUGCGGAAGGAGAAAAAGACCAGCUCGGAAAGCCAGGCGCGAGAGGAUCAAGAACUCAAGGAACAGGUGACGCGGAUUCCGGAGAUUGUCCAAGAGCAAGUGGAACAAUGACUCGGAGCGACGAUCACCGCCAUUGUGCCUACCUUGAUCUCGGGGUUGAGUGCGUGGAUUGCGGGCGGCCAACAGGGGCCGCCCCCGAUUCCUAGCUUCACGGCCAGCAACUCGCAUAAUGCGAUGGCGGGGCCAUUGGUGCCUCCGGCGGAGGCGGCAUUGGUGUCUCCGACGCCGGCACGGGAGCUUAAUGCACCCGGGUGUACGCCGGCCGGCACCUCUGCAGCAAGCGGCCCCUCCGUCAACUGCACGCCCGCCGUUGGCGGUGCGUCGACAUUAGCCGAGCUCGACGCCAUCAACACGGUAACUAAUUAAGCCUCUCUCGGCCGAGGACUUCAUCUCCUUGCCUUUGACUAGGCAUCCCUGACGCCCUACAUGUUUUCGCAGGGCGCCGCCGACGUUCCGUGCACUCUCCUCCACUUCGUGAACAACGAGUUGGUCGAUGUCGCCAAGGGCAAAAUCGUUCAACCGGCAACCCCUUGUUCCACGGUACCCAGAUGCCACCCAACUUGUUUAGGGUUCAACUGGUUCGGGUGUUGCCAGGCUGCGACGACUUGUUACCUCUGAUUCGACCCGUUGGGGCCGACGAUGAAGACGUGAUGACCCUCAGCGCCUGCCUGAGCUGGCCCCUAGUUUGGCCGAAGAGCCAGAUUCGUUUGGGGGCGGGGGACACCACCCCAAAGACAACACCGCCAGUCGUGCUGGUGCCAAGUCGGCCCCAUGGCAAGACCGCCGUAACGGUGCCGGACAUCCCUAUGCCACUGGAUCCAAACAUGCAUAUGGCACAGGAUCAGAAUGACGACGACAACGACGAUGAUACAUUUGGCAACGUCGAUCAGUACUUUGCCGAUCAUGGGUACGAUGGCGACUUCAUGGGGCCUCCUUCUCAAGAACCAAACCCAACAAAAGACGUGUGCGAUCUAGCUGGUACCGCAGAGAAGCCAAGUUGCAACAGGCGCCGUCUGGCGUUCAGCUCUCAGGAGACGCCUCCAGCUGCCGACUUCACCGAUCCUCAGAUAGGCGAGGUGCGAAAUAUUAUCAGCCCCAACACACUCAAGAAGGCGGUCUGUGAGCAGAACUCGGUCCCAUUACAGGAGAAGAAGAAGGCACGCAAAAGAAAGACUAAGAAGGGUGCGAGCCAGCCGGCACCGAGUACGAUCCGUGCUCAGGACGGGCCACCUUCACCGCAGGAUAUCUCGAGGAGGGUGCAUGUGGCGGGUAGGGCGAUGCUACCGACAAAUAUGCUCAAUGCUGCAACCGGUGCUAUGCGGAGUCUGCAUGACAGUGUUCUUGCUUUGGAGAAGCGGCGUCUCAGAGAGAAGGAUGUGGCAUACCCGGUUUUCGCGGCCAAGGUGCCAAAGGGCAAGGGCUUUGUGGAUAACUCCAUCGGGCGUACGAUCGUCCUGCGUUUUGAUGACAUCCACGCUAUGUUGAACCUUCAUCCGCUGCACUACACCUUCGUUCGGCUAUUUUCGCUGAGUAUGGAGAUGCGGAUCAUUCGCGACAAGACCCCGGACAUCGUGAUAGUCGACCCCUUCUACAUGCGUGCCAAGAUCUUGGGCAGCGCUGGGGACCGGCAAGUCGCGAGUUCUUACCUCGAAGGCAUCAUUCUGGCAAACCAAGAUAAGGAUAACUUCCUCGUGCCUUACUUUCCCGAGUAAGUCCUCCCCUCAACCGGCCCGUAACAUAUGAAUUCUUACAUUUCGAUCGUUUUUCUUUUAACAUUCCGUGUUUUUUGCAGUGACACACGUUGCACGCUCAUCCUCCUAAGCCCCAAAUAUUCCAUGGCCACAUAUUUCGACCCGGACUGUUAGUCGAACGUAGACUACACAAAUGUCAAGAAGGUUCUUGAUGAUGUUCUCCCCGGCUAUGCCAAAUCUGGAGGCACCUUCACCAGGCCUAAUCGUAAGUACGGCAAGCAUGUUUUCUCCCACAAUACGAUGUUCUACUGCGUCAAGCAGCCGCCUGGUGGUCAGAAGGGUGCCUACUACGCCAUCCAUCACAUGCGGGCGAUCGUACGGGACCAUCAUCAACUUCUGCUACCGAGUAAACUCAAAGAUUGGGCAAAGAGCGUGUCGGCAAUCGAGGACGCGGACCUCCGACAAGAAUUCUUUCGCAUCCAGUCGGAGUUUGCGGAAAUCAUCCAUCAAGAUGUCCUUCGUACCUCGGGGCAGUUCUACCUCAACAAUCAACCGUCCAAUAGUGACAUCGACAUAAUGCUACAAAUGCAGGCUGACAACGACCGUUAUUUCAUGACUCCCACGAUAGACGGCGGCUUCAUCCACGCUCCGGUCCCUUGAGUCGAGUCGAAAGCAGUGAUGCUGUGUCUAGUUCUGAAACAUCGAUUGGCUCAUGUUGUAAUUAAACUUUAAUGAACUUGUAGUAUGUCUCUUUGGUUUCGAGAGUCGUUCAACUUAGAUGUAAUCGAUGCUAUUAAUGUCUUGCUUUUCUCUUCCGAUUGUUCUGUUGCAUACUUAUAUAUUGCUUAUGUAUUGUCUGUGAAUUGGUACUAACGUUUCGUUUGGCUAGUGCAUAGCGAUGCCGACGUAUGUCGUGUACAAGGGUAAGGUUCCCGUAGUCUACGAUGACUGGGAGGAGUGUCGGAGACAGGUUCACCGAUUCAGCGGUAACAGUUACAAAGGGUACACCACUAGGGCCGAGGCCGAAUCUAGAUACGCCCGCUAUCUAGCGGGAGAGGGGAGGGAGCGUUGGAGGAACCGGAUGAAGACGAGUUUCAUCGUGAUGAUGCUCAUCGUGAUGACCGCAGCUCUCUUCUAUGUGAUGGUAGUUUAGAUGAUCGAUAUCGACUUGUAAUGUGAAGACAAACUCGCUACUCGCGGUCUCGAGACUUGUAAUAUAAUGUUCUAUCUUUGUUCGGUCUUUUUAAUUCGGAGACUAAUAUGAUGAAUUGUAUUCGGAGACUAAUAUGAUGAAUUGUAUUCAAAGACUAAUCUUCUAUUGUAUUCGAUGAAUCUGUUGUUGAUGUGUGCUGUCUAUAUUUUGUCAAAUUAUACAUUUUGUAACCUGUGCAAAAAACAGAAAAUAAAAAAUAAAAAAAACCUAAUAUUCAUACUAAUGACGCAUCACAUGAUAGUGCGCCAUUAGUAUGACAGUGCAUACUAAUGGCGCAUCACUGGGCAGUGCGCCAUUAGUAUGCCGCGGUUACUAAUGGCGCAUCCAGCGGUGGUGCGCCAUUAGUAUGCCAAAGCACCUGGGUAUACAUGGCCCCUGGGAGGCAUACUAAUGGCGCACCCUUGCCUAUACUAAUGGCGCACGCGCGGUGCGCCAUUAGUAUACCAGAUACUAAUGGCGCACCAGGUGGUGCGCCAUUAGUAAAAAUUACUAAUGGCGUGCUAUUAAUGGCGCACCACAGAUGCGCCAUUAAUGGCCAUUUUAGGUGCGCCAUUAGUAGGGGUUUUUCUAGUAGUGUAAUAAGCGAGAUGACGCAGUUCCUGACCGCCCCGCUACCACUACUGGUUCCAGCGUGGCGUUUGAAUUAUGCCGCGCUAGAUGCCUUUUGUCCAGCGAGGAACAAGUGGGGUCAAGCGUGCUUUGGCAAUUCCCGCCGUCAGAAGACUUCCUUGUAGUCCGGUGUAGAGGUGAGGUUGUAGGGAGAUGCAUCGACUAGGAAGGAGUGGCCACAUGAACGAGCAUAUGUAUGAUGUGAUUAAGUCUCUCGAUCGGGUAUCUGGUGCCUUACGUACGGUGUCUUAUUUUUGUCAAGCUAUGACAUCUUUCAGUUUGAGUGUCUGAUAUUAGGGUUGCAUACGUUUUGUUAUUCAGUUGCCUGUUGUCAACUCUAUGGUUAUAUCACCUCGAUGUGUGAGUCAAUGUGUUUGAACCAAUGUAGAGUUUCAUGUGAAUGUUACAAGUGUGAUUGAUAUCUUCAUGUUAUAACCGCAGUUGCCUUGGUAAGAAAUUGAAAGAGCAAACCGUUAUCGUGUUAGGAAAAAAGUCAUCGCUCAAUAUAAGUUGCUUCUCUAGAACAACCACACCUUUCCCUCAAAAAAAAGAACAACCACACCUUGUGAAAGAAGAUGGCAAACACCCAAUUAUGUCUGGUUAGAUAUGGGCAUGGCUAUGGGUAGCUUAUAGCGACACGGAAGCUAGCAUCGCCUGAAGAAACACCCGGAUGGGCCGGCCUAGAGACAAAUUUCUUCAUUUCUACCCUUAGUUUUGUUUUUCUGCCCUUUUUUCUUUAUAUUUUAUAUUUUUCCCGACAUGUUCACUACUUGAUGCUCAACUGGGAUCUCAUCUGAUGCGGAGCAUCCUAUGGACAUCACCAUGUCAAGAGUCCGUUCGGCAAGUGACACGUGUGACAUCUACUUCUCAUACAUAAAGGUGAAUCUUCUCCUUUACACGUGUUUACUUGACCCCUUCGAGGAUGGUAUACUACUUGACACUUCUCCCGUGUGCAUGCAUAGGUAUUGUCGGAGCUUCAUGGAUGUCGAGGAGGAGUGCAAGCGCCAAGGAAUGACUACACCGUCCGCGAGGGAAGCAUGGAAGAGAAGGAGGAAGAGAACCUGGCUACUCCAGAACGAGCGGUACUACUGCCCACUCCAAGCGGUACUACCGCCGAGGCCACCCAAGCGGCACUACCGCCCAGCAUCCGCCCUUCUACUGCUCAACCCGACAAACUCCAGUGAUCGAGCGGUGUAAGUCCGGUACUACUGCCCCUCCAAGCGGUACUACCGCUCAAGCGGUACUACCACCCAUGAGUCCGGUACUACCGCCCUGCCUCUGCCCAGCCGUGGGCCUUUGGCCUUGUAUCCCUCUCCCACUUACCCCUUCGUGGCUUAGACUAUAAAUAGGCCACCUCCACCUCCUUUCUAGGGUUAGCACAGAUUUAGCUCAUUUUGAGAUAGAGCUUUGCUCAUCCAUACGGAUCUACUCCUCGUGAGAGACCGCGACCUCUUCGGAGAAGAUCCAUCUUGGAUUCAAGACCCCCUCGUGGGAAGAUCCGUCUAGGAUACCAACAAGACCUCCUCUUGGAGAUGAACCUUACCUUGUAUCUUUCCCUUUGUUGUUCAUGUACCCUUGUGGAUCUUGUGUGUUUGAUUGUCUAGUGGAUGUGUGAUUGGACUUGUACUUGAGUGUUUCCCCUUGUGAUUUCUCUCCGUUCUUCCACGUGUUCUUCAUAGGGAUCCGCUCCAAACGUGAAAGAUCGGCCUCUAGGGUUCUAGCCUACAUCAUCUUGGAUCAGAGCAAGGUUGAUCACGGAUUUGGAGCCCCUACCCCUCUUUUUCUAGCCUUCUUUUGCUUGCUUUCGUCCUAAAAUCCCCACAAAAAAUAGCCCCAAUUUUUUUGUGAUUUGUUCGUUUGAUGAUUUUUUGUUGAUUUUGAUCCAUGGAUUUGCUUGGUUUUGAGUGGAUCUAGCAUCUCUCCAAGUUUCCCCACCUUCCAUCCACGAAAUCCAUCCAAUUUUGCCCCUGAAAUCAUCCUUUUCCGCCCCAAAUUCGCCCCGAUUUCGAUCUGUGAAUUUUCCCGACACGAGCGGUACUACCGCCCUCGAAGCGGUACUACCGCCCUCGAAGCGGUACUACCGCUGAGCACCACAAGCGGUACUACCACCCUCCCAAGCUAUGACGCCCGGAUAAUUAAGCUACAGUAAUCCCCUUCUAAUGGUGCCAUGUCAUCACAUUACUGUUGCUAAUCCUCGCUUGAUCCAAAUCUUAGUUCAAACUCAAAUUCAAAUUAAAGACCAAAAUUCAAAUUUCUCAAGCAUGCAAAAUAAAAUGUUCAAAGUGUGGCAAAUAAUCGCUGGAUAUUUGUCAUGUUGCAAACAACCUCUUUUGAAUUCUCAAAAUGCCCCUGGGAAUUAAUUUUUGGUCCAGUAGUAAAUUAAAUGGCAUUUGCAAAAUAAAGAAUUGUUUAUUUAACUCCAAUUGCCUCCAAACUUUAUGUGCCACUCCAAAAUAUUUGUGGCUCUGUCUAAGAUCGCCAAGGAAUUAAAAGGGCACUUCCCAUAUUUUCCCUAAGUAAAUAGUGUGCCCAAAAUAUUCUCUUAACCAUCUCUAUUUUUUUAAAUAAAAAAAGGCGAAGAAGAACUCCCCCGGGCCUCGGGCCACUCCCACUUACCAGCCCACCUAAGCCGGCCCACUCCCCCGCUCCCCUAGCCUAUAGGCCACGGCCGACCGAACCCUAACCCCGCAUGAUCCCCCCACUCCCCACUCCUCUCCCCUCUCGAUCCGAUCUGGAUCGGACCGAAACCGGCGCAAUUGGUCGAUCCAUGUAUAAAGUAAAAAUAACUAGGCCCAAUUGGUCGAUCCAUGACAGUUUUCGUGACGGUACUUCCACGUCUGUCAUGAGGGGGCUACCCUACUUGGCCCCAAAUGGAUCUUGCUAAUUGGUGACGGUUUCCGUGAUAGAUUUCUGGAACGUCACCAGAAAUCCGUCAUUGAUUAACAGAUUUCCGCACAAUCCCCCCACUCCCCACUCCUCUUCCCUCCUGAUCCGAUCUGGAUCGGACCGAAAUCGGCGCCGCGACGCCAACCGCCGUCGCUGGAGGCGUCCCCGACUCCACGCCGGGCCGCCCCGUCACUGGACCUCCUCCCCGUCGCCACUCGUCACUCGCUGGACCGCCUCGUCCCCACCAAUGCCGCCCCCACCCCAACGUCCCCGACGCCUUCGCCGUCGGCACCGCCCCAAUGUCGCCGCCACCCGACGCCGGCGCCCUCGACAUCGCCACCCCGAGCCCACUGCCACCCCUACGCUCCGCUAUGAGCCCCUCGCUGAUUCCCCCUCCUUCCCGUCGUCGUAGGUGGCUGCGCGCGUCGUUGGCCAUCGUGGCCGCGCUCCGGCCGUUCCCCAUCCGUGCGCUGGCCUCGCCUUCCUCGGAUUGCAAACAUUGAACUUUUCCCCUCGGGUUCAUCUAUCUGACAGACGUUCGGGACCAGAAAAACUUUCCCGGAUGUUUCCCCCUUCGCCAGUAUCACCUAGCACCGCGUUAGAACACUUCUAGCCCCGCUUAUUGUCUUGUUAUGCAUAUGUUUGCGUGUAUUUACUGUUUCUUCCCCCUCUUCUUCUCCGGUAGACCUCGAGACCGUUGCUGAUGCCCCUGUGGUCGACUACGUCGACGGCGACCCUCCUUGUCUGAGCAACGAGGCAAGCCCCCCCUUUGAUCAUCCCGAUAUCGCCCAUUCCAUUCUCUAAUGCUUGCACUAGAUUUUCUACUGUAUUUGAUUGCUCCUAUUCUGAUGCAUAGCAUGCUUUUCUACCUGCUGUUGUACCUUACCUGCUUAUCCUAAACUGCUUAGUAUAGGUUGGCUAGUGAUCCAUCAGUGACCCCCACCUUGUCUUUGUUGCCCCUGCUUCAUCAUUGACGACUCGAUCAACGUGAUCGACGACCGGAGCCUGACACCUCACAUCACAUCACGCCCCUUUUUGUUGCUCGACUCUGCAGAGUUACCAUCGAGUGCCGAGGGUGGAACCUCAUACAUCACUCCUUAUGAGAUCUCUGUAGUGUAGCUAUUCGGUCGUGGUCAUCGAGGGUGGUUCCUCCUUCACCAUUCCUAAUACGGCUCUGUCGUGCAACACCUCAAGUGUGAACCUCGAGGGUGGUUCCUCUUACGUUCACCUUGAUGAUUACAUCGAGUGGAAUCCACCGGGGGUGAUUCCUCGGAUUUUCCCCUUUAUGUCUGGACACACAGUUACCUUGACUUCACUUGAGACCGUUUUGAAAGCCGGGCAGGCCCGGAGAGCACCCGUGCGGUGUGACGGUGGCGGCUGGCUGUUUAGCGGUAUCACCCGGGAGGGGGUGAUAGCUCCGGACUUGUCCCGACAGCCGUCACUUCUUUUAAUAAUGCACUAACAGGUUUGGGUAUUUUUUCUAAGUUCACUAACCACGACGCUAGAAUAGUUAUGGGUCUCGAUGUUGCAGUAUCAGCCGAAGCUUUCUCAGACGUCCAGUUCAGCAUUGUGGCCGGGCCGAAUCAUGCCAUCCACUUCACGGGUGGUGCUGGUAUCCCCUUGCGCACAACGACCCAGAGUGCAACGGGCGAUGGGCCCAGACCCCGGAGUGCUUAGGAUGUAGACCGGCAGGGACCUCUCUGCUGAGCCUAGGUAGGGCAGCUACGUGUUGAUCUUCCGAGGCCGGGCAUUGACCCCAGAAAGGUGUGUCCUUCCAGAGUGAUCGAGCGUGUUGGGUAACGUGGUGCCCCCCUGCAGGGAAGAUUAUCUAUUAAUAGCCGUGUCCACGGUAACGGACGUUCAAACUUAUAUCUUGAUCUUAUACAACUACAAAUGGAUACUUGAGAUAUGUGGCUCCGGGAUUGCUUUCUCGCAGGGAGUCGAGGAAGGAUCUCUGGGCGUUGUUGUCACAACAUGCUUGUUAAUUAAACUGCUAUUCUUUACUCUUCUACAUGCUGCAAGAUGCUUGGAGCUACUUGAAGAUGCUAGUCUUCAUGAGGCUAGGCCUUCCCCUCUAUUCUGGCAUUCUGCAGUUCAGUCCACAGAUACAACCCUUCCAUUUGAUACCAAUGCAUACUUAGUAUAGAUCUGAUGCUUGCGAGUACUUUGGAUGAGUACUCACGGUUGCUUUGCUACCCCAUUUCCCCCUUCUUUCUUCUUUCCGGUUGACGCAACCAAAUGGUGGAUCCCUGGAGCCAGAUGCCAGCGCUGAUAGAUGCUACUAUGUGAAGAUCGCCGACGACCAGGAGUAGUUAGGAGGUCCCAAGCAGGAGGCCUUGCCUCUUCGAUCAUUGUUGCUUUUGUGCUAGCCUUCUUAAGGCAUCUUUGUUUAACUUAUGUCUGUACUCAGAUAUUGUUGCUUCCGCUGACUCUUGUGUAUCGAGCUAUGUAUUCAAGCCCUCGAGGCCCCUGGCUUGUAAUAUAAAGCUUGUAUUAUUUUGAUUUGUGUCUAUAGUUGUGUUGUGAUAUCUUCCCGUGAGUCCCUGAUCUUGAUCAUACACAUUUGCGUGCAUGAUUAGUGUACGAUUGAAUCGGGGACGUCACAAGUUGGUAUCAGAGCCGACUGUUUGUAGGAUCCCCCUUUCCAACUCCUUGGCUGAAGUUGAGUCUAGUCUUUGAAAAAAAUUGUUUUACUAACAUGGUUGUGUGGCUUACGGGCCCAUGUCGCCAUUGGGUGGUAUUAGGAUCUUUUACUCCUCGACCUUUACUCUGGGACUCUAAUCGCUCUUCUAUUCGGGUUAAAUGGUCUCGCAAACUAUAACUCUAGGUUCUCGUAAAUACUUUCUCCCGGAGAGCCCCUUCAUUCCAGAUGAUGGCCUGCUUCACCAGAUGAUUUCGAAGAUACCCUUCUGUAAUUUCCUGAGACUUUUGUACUCAUUGCUUUUGCAGUUCCCUACCUCUGAUAUAUCCUUACGGAUAACUUCAUACACUUGUCAUUCAUACAAUCAUUCCUAGUUGCUCUUGUUUUUACAAGAUACAUUGAAUUAUUCUCCGACUUUUAAGAAUCCCUUGCUUACUGCCCUGCAGUUCCUUGCCGCAUGAAUACCCCUACGGAUAAUUACUCGCACUUGCCGAGUAUCCGUUCGUCCAUAGUUGUUCAUGUGUUUCACAACAUUCUUUGGAAAGCUAUUUGAUCUUUUCAAAAAUCCUCAGUAGCCUAUUACUCUUGUUCCUCCUUACCUACUUACAGUAUGGUUACUUCCAUUUGUCUAGCAAUAUUCUUUAAAAUCCUUUGCGAUUGACAUCCUUACCCUAUUGUUUCAACAUGUGUGUGAAUGCACGCAAUCAUCAAUUGUUCCCUGGAAUUGUCCUUCUGGCUCAGACGUUACCCCGGACACGAGCUGGUGUUCGACAAAACAAACCUUGAUUGAUUUUGAAUCUAUGUCUAUACAACUUAAUUGUCUUUGAUCAGAGCCUCUGCUUUUGAUCCCCCAUUUUGAAAAUCAUAAUCCCCUUUGCAUUCGAGCAUAGAAUUAGUCAGUUGUUUCUAUAACCUGACCUCCUUGAAUUCUUUCUUCUUCUGGUUGAGUAUCGAUACUCACAUCAGAUCCAUUGUGGACCUCCAGGUCCUUUGUUGGUUUUUAUCCGACAGCAUCCUUCAUAUUCAGUAACCUUGUGAGCCUUUCCUCGAAUACACAAUGCCUUUGGUAAAUUGUAUCCCCCACUCUCGUCAACCAUACUCUGCUUCCGGGCUUGAGUUAUUUACUCGUGAAGUUUGUGGUAUAUGUUCCUAAUAUGUCCCUAUGGGUUGAAUCUAUGUCUUCCCUAAAUCUGUGUGAACCCUACGACUCAUACUCUACUGGUGUUAUGCCAGAUAAAAUCUCAACAGUACGGCUUCGUUGAAAAUGAGAAGUGAAUGAAAGGUUAUGCAUCGAAGAAGUGGGAGUCGACCUUGAGCCUUGUGUUCAUGCCCAUGGACACGAUGUGGAACUUAACAUGGAAGCUUCUUUUUAUAAUAAUAGCCCCCUAGCGAUAAGUACAUCUUGUAUCCAUGUGUGGUCCAUUGCAAUCGUGGUUCCGACCAUAUUGUUCUUGUUUGAUCCAUUUAUCGGACAAGUUAAAGUACUUGUCUUCUUCAAAUUGUUUCACAUGUUCAACCUCUACAUUGAUAUACCUUCGAGCAUUAUCCUCUGGUAUCUCGAGAAUAUCACGGAACUACAUAACUUCUUAUGAGUUCUUGAUCAACUAUUAUUUCUCACUGAUUCAAAUUUUUCACUAGUUGGGAGUUGUUAGACACUCGAGAAUACAGUUAACUGAUUCAAGUCUACGCUUUCCUUUCCAUUGUUCUGUUUAAUCUUUCUGGUAACCUAUCUUAUCUGAGAACUGAUAAUUCCCUGCUUAUGUAAACACCUCGGUGUACAAGCUCUGUCUGUAAGACCUUGUUACUAUUGUUGAGGACAUUCCGAUAGCUACCGAUGGACGAGAACUUUGCCUAUUGGUCCGCCUCAUCUUAACGAGCAGGAAAAUGGUUCUCUUUGUCCCUCUCCCUUGGUACCAACGUUGUUGCCAACAUAACUGACAAGUUGUCCUCUGACCUGCCUUGCUAUCAUGACCAUGCAAAAUGCUAGCGCCCUUCCUGCUUUUAACCCACAAGGUGGGCCUGAGGGAGUCCUGGACUAGGCGGUGUCCGGACAGCCGGACUAUCAUCGUCCGCCGGACUCCAAGACUACGAAGAUACAAGAUUGAAGACUCCGUCCCGUGUCUGGAUGGGACUUUCCUUGGCGUGGAAGGCAAGCUUGGAAAUACGGAUAUGUAGAUCUCCUACCAUUGUAACCGACUCUGUGUAACCCUAGCCUCCUCCGGUGUCUAUAUAAACCGGAGGGCUUUAGUCCGUAGGACACAACAUACAUUACAACAAUCAUACCAUAGGCUAGCUUUAGGGUUUAGCCUCCUUGAUCUCGUGGUAGAUCCACUCUUGUACUACCCAUAUCAUCAAUAUUAAUCAAGCAGGAUGUAGGGUUUUACCUCCAUCGAGAGGGCCCGAACCUGGGUAAAACAUCGUGUCCCUCGUCUCCGGUUACCAUCCGCCUAGACGCACAGUUCGGGACCCCCUACCUGAGAUCCGCCGAUUUUGACACCGACAUUGGUGCUUUUAUUGAGAGUUCCUCUGUGUCGUCACCAAUAGGCUCGAUGGCAUCUUCAACCAACAACGCUGUCCAGGGUGAGACUUUUCUCCCCGGACAGAUCUUUGUAUUCGGCGGCUUCGCACUGCGGGCUAAUUCGUUUGGCCAUCGGAGCAGAUCGAAAGCUACGCCCCUGGCCGUCAGGUCAGAUUCGGAAGUCUCAACUUCACGGCCGACGUCCGCGGAGACUUGAUCUUCGACGGGCUCGAGCCACAGCCAAGCGCGCCGCACUGUUACGAUGGGCAUGAUCUAGCUCUGUCGCCGAACAGUGCCUUGGUGGCCGCCCACGAAUCCGCUUCGGCCUUUAGUCCGGGGCCGAUCGCCCAGACCGAGGAACGGUGGAUGGACACCGCCUCGGGGGCUUCAACUUCCACGGCGAUGGAGCCGAACACUAAUCUUGUCCCUCGCAAAACUCGUGAUUCCGAGGUGCCGGACUCCUUGCCGGACUCCGAAGCUCCCACGCCCCUACCAACCGAAUCGGAUUGGGCGCCGGUUAUGGAAUUCACCGCCGCGGACAUCUUCCAAUACUCGCCUUUUGGCGACAUCCUGAAUUCGCUAAAGCAUCUCUCGUUAUCAGGAGAGCCCUGGCCGGACUAUGGCCAGGAUGGUUGGGAUACGGACGACGAAGAAAUUCAGAGCCCACCCACCACCCACUUUGUAGCCACUGUCGACGAUCUAACCGACAUGCUAGACUACGACUCCGAAGACAUCAACGCUAUGGACGACAAUGCCAGAGACGAACAGGAACCAGCGCCUACAGGGCACUGGAAGACCACCUCGUCAUAUGACAUAUACAUGGUGGAUACCCCAAAAGACGGGGACGGCGAAGAAACAGCGGAGGCAUAUUCUUUAAAGAAACAGCCCAAGCGCCGGCAUCAGCGGCGCUGCUCUAAAUCCCGCCACGGCAAGAAUGGAGAUUCCAGCACAGGAGAUAAUAAUACCCCAGAAAGUGCCGAAGAUAACCCCCUCCAGCAAGACUCAGCGCAGGAGGAUGCAGAAGCAAGCCCUCACGAGAAGGCGGCAGACAAAGAGGUUGAGGAUUACAACUAUAUGCCUCCCUCCGAAGACGAGGCAAGCCUCAACGAUGACGAAUUCGUCGUGCCCGAGGAUCCCGUCGAACAAGAGCGUUUUAAACGCAGGCUUAUGACCACGGCAAAUAGCCUAAAGAAAAAGCAGCAGCAGCUUCAAGCUGAUCAGGACCUGCUGGCCGAUCGAUGGACCGAGGUCCUCGCGGCCGAAGAGUAUAAACUCGAAUGCCCCUCCAAAAGCUAUCCAGGACGCAAGCUGCUCCCCCGAUUAGAGGAGGAAGCAUACAUACCUCCAUCACCAGCGCACGAUACGGCUGACCGACCACCCCGUGGUCGUGACAGAGAGGCAUCCAGGCCCCCAACCAAGACCGUACCCCGGCAUCGCUCGAAAAGUAUGAAGCCAAGAGGGAACGCGCCGGACUUGCGAGAUAUAUUGGAGGACAAAGCAAGGCAAUCCAGAUCCAUCUACGGAUCACGGGGGUGCCCCACGACCCAUGACGAAUACCGUCGCGCCGGAUACAAUAACCCCGGCCGGGCCGAACACAGCAGACAACGCUCUCUCGAGUUGCAUCGUGAUAUUGCUCAAUAUAGAGGCGCCGCACACCCGCUAUGCUUCACAGACGAAGUAAUGGAUCAUCAAAUCCCUGAAGGGUUUAAACCCGUAAACAUCGAAUCCUACGAUGGCACAACAGACCCUGCGGUUUGGAUCGAAGAUUACCUUCUCCACAUCCAUAUGGCCCGCGGCGACGAUCUACAUACCAUCAAGUACCUCCCACUCAAGCUUAAAGGACCAGCUCGGCAUUGGCUCAACAGCUUGCUCGCAGAGUCAAUUGGGUGUUGGGAAGACCUAGAAGCCGCAUUCCUUGAUAACUUCCAGGGCACGUAUGUGCGACCACCAGACGCCGAUGACCUAAGUCACAUCAUUCAGCAGCCAGACGAAUCGGCCAGACAAUUCUGGACACGGUUCUUGACAAAGAAAAAUCAAAUCGUCGACUGUCCGGAUGCAGAGGCCCUUGCAGCCUUCAAACAUAACACCCGCGACGAAUGGCUAGCCCGGCACCUGGGGCGGGAAAAGCCGAAAUCCAUGGCAGCCCUCACAUCAUUAAUGACCCGCUUUUGCGUGGGAGAGGAUAGCUGGCUAGCUCGCAGCAACAAUCUCCGUAAAAAUUCUGGCAGUCCAGACACCAAGAACAAUAAUGGCAGGUCACGUCGAAACAAAAACAAACGCCGCAUCAACGGCAAUGAUAAGGAGGAUACGGCAGUCAACGCCGGAUUCCGAGGCUCUAAACCCGGUCAACGGAAGAAGCCAUUCAAAAGAACCACUCCGGGUCCGUCUAAUUUGGACCGAAUACUCGACCGCUUAUGCCAGAUACAUGGCACCCCUGAAAAGCCAGCUAAUCACACUAAUAGAGACUGCUGGGUGUUCAAGCAGGCAGGUAAGUUAAUUGCCGAAAACAAUGACAAGGGGCUAAACAGCGAGGACGAGGAGGAGACCCGACCGCCGAACAAUAGAGGACAAAAGGGUUUUCCCCCACAAGUGCGGACGGUGAACAUGAUCUACGCGACCCAUAUACCCAAUUGGGAGAGGAAGCGUGCACUAAGGGACGUCUAUGCGAUGGAGCCAGUCGCCCCGAAGUACAAUCCAUGGUCCUCUUGUCCGAUCACUUUCGAUCGAAGAGACCAUCCGACCAGCAUACGCCAUGGCGGAUUCGCCGCAUUGGUUCUAGACACAAUCGUCGAUGGAUUUCACCUCACGAGAGUCCUGAUGGACGGCGGUAGUAGCCUGAACCUGCUUUAUCAGGACACAGUGUGCAAAAUGGGCAUAGACCCCUCAAGGAUUAAACCUACAAAGACAACCUUUAACAGUGUCAUACCAGGUGUGGAAGCCAACUGUACAGGCUCAGUCACACUGGAAGUGGUCUUCGGAUCCCCGGACAAUUUCCGGAGCGAGGAGUUAAUCUUCGACAUAGUCCCGUUUCGCAGCGGCUAUCACGCUCUGCUCGGACGAAUCGCGUUCGCAAAAUUCAACGCGGUGCCGCAUUGUGCAUACCUCAAGCUCAAGAUGCCAGGCCCUCAUGGAGUCAUCACGGUCAAUGGGAAUACGGAACGCUCCCUCCGAACGGAGGAACAUACAGCGGCUCUCACGGCAGAAGUACAGAGCAGCCUUUUAAGGCAAUUCUCGAGUCCGGCCAUUAAACGGCCGGAUACAUCAAAGCGCGCCCGAAGCAAUACCAACCAAGACCACCUGGCGUGAUCAGAGCACGCGUAGCAAUGCGGCCCCAACCCCCGCCCGCGCGUGAUUGCAAGAAUAACCCUCCGCGUACAUCAUUACGCUUUGGAGAUACCAUGGGCGCAGGGGAAGGGGCACGAUCACAACGGACCCAGAGUGCAGUUCGACCGCACCAGGGGCUCGCAAGUGUGCCCCCUUUUUUUUAUUGUUAUUUUCCCUCUUUGUGUACACAGGACUCCGUUAGCCAGAGGCCCUAUCCGGCGGUGAACCUGCCGAACUCAUGAUGCAAUAACCAGGGAAGAAAGAACGCUGCGACGAACACUCAGGUGGUCUCAAUUACAAGCAUUAAAUUCGAUUAUAUACACCAAGUCCGCAGCUUACCCUUGGAGGGGGACAUGUUUAAUUAGUCCAAAUCCCUUGCUUACCACACUAUUUGUAUCAGUCCGCACUCAUAGCAGACUUUCUUUCAUAAAUAAUGCAGCACCUUUUUGACUGCAAUUACAUUACCUUUUAUAUAUAUAUGCUCAUUACAUGACAUCUUGCACCCGUAUAUUUUGGUACGGCCUAAUACACCAGGGGCUUAUGUUCCCCACAUUAUGGUGUGAUAAGUCCGAACACUUUCGUAAGUGCAGCACCCCGAACUUAUAGCACUAUAUGAAUCGGCUCCGAAUCAUGUCUUGGGUCAAUAGUUGGGUUUGCCCGGCUCCCACGUUUUGGUGCCUUACGUUCCGUUCUGUCGGCUAAGGUGGCACUGGGAGAACCACUGCGAUUGCGCCCCGGUUGAGCCGGGCGAGCACCUCAGUGGAGAAAGCUAAAACUGACCGGCAUGAUAAGGCGAGAGACUGGUCGCUGUUCGAGAGGUUUUUUCGGGUCCUUAAAGACUCACGCCACUUCGAGCGAAGUUCCGGACCAUGUCUGACGAAGGCGUGGAUAGCGCCCCGGAUUCGGCCUUUCGGAUACCAGGGGCUUCGCCGAAAUUUAAAAUUAUAGAAUUCUAUGGCUAAGUGAGAGUGUUCAAGCAUUAUAAGUCCGGUCGCCUUGUUCGUUGUGUUGAGCACCUCCCUAGAUGGACCCAAAAAUGGGAAUAAGAGUGCUCAAGUUUAUCCCGAACACCCCAGCACUCGUGGCUCGGGGGCUGAAGCCAAUGACUUUCCAUCUCUCAGAUUUUAUAAACGGCCGCACAGAAGGUAAUAUUUUAAAUUAAAACAAGCGUUGCUCAUGGCGCAUCUGAACGAAGUUUUCAGCGCACAGGAUAAUACAUAGCGAGUUCACUCAAAGAUUACAUUUCUAGGGCACUCAUCCGCAAUAUCGCGGGCUCCCUUCAGGACAGUUUUAUAAUACAUUUCAGGCGUGCGAUACUCCUUGCCCGGCGGCGGUGGGUCUGUGAGAAGCUUCUCCGCAUCCAACCUGCCCCAAUGCACCUUUGUGCGGGCAAGGGCCCGACGAGCACCUUCAAUACAGGCGGAGCGCUUGAUGACCUCCACCCAGGGGCAUGCAUCCACCAGCCGCCGCACGAGGCCGAAGUAGCUACCAAGCAUGACCUGUUCAGGCCACAGCCGGACUAUAAGGCCCUUCAUGGCCUCUUCAGCUACCUUGUGGAGUUCGACCAGCUGCUUCAGCUGGUCGCUUGGGGGCACCGGAUGGCCUGCCUCAGCGUACUAAGACCAGAAGACCUUCUCCGUUGAGCUCCCCUCCUCGCCACGAUAGAAUGCGGCGGCAUCGGAGGCACUACACGGCAGAUCUGCAAACACCCCUGGAGAGCUCCGAAUGCGGGUAAUUGUCAGGUAGUUUACAUUAACAUGCUUGCUUUGCAUGAAAAAUGCCUUACCCGCCGCUAUCUUCUUUACAUCUUCAACCUCCUGAAGGGCCUUACGGGCCUCGGCCUUGGCGGACUUGGCACUUUCGAGAGCCGAGGCAAGCUCGGACUCUCGAGUCUUGGAGCCUCCUGCUUUUCUCGCUCCGCCCGUUCCGCGACCGCACUGCGUUCAGCCGCGGACACAGCCUCCUUCAGGGCUGCCACCUCGUUCGUGGCCCCUGCAAUACCCAUAUUAUCCUUGUUAAUUUUAUUGCAACCAAAAUCCUUUUCCGUAAGGUGACUAUUCAAAGCGGUGUUACUCACCUUCUUUGUCCUCGAGCUGCUUCUUGGCAGUGCCGAGCUCUUGCUCGGACCGCUCGAGAUCCUGCUUCAACACAUCGACCUCCGCCGUCAGUGCGGCAGAGGUCAGUAGCGCAGCCUGCAAACCCAUAUUGACAUAUUUUAAGCAACCCUGCGUAUAUCUUGUUAGAUCCUCAGUCCGGCUUUUCUUUCCGAACACCGAACUGAGCAUCAAGGGCUACUGUCUAUGCGGUAUUACAUUACAUAAUUUUAACUUCUUACCUCAAAGCCUGUUAGAAGGCUGCUGCAGGCUUCGGUCAGCCCGCUCUUGGCGAGCUAAACCUUUUGAAUCACCGCACUCAUGUUAGUGCGAUGUUUUUCCUCGAUGGAAGCGCCUUCAAGCGCCUCCAACAAGUUAUCCGGCGCCUCCGGUUGGACGGAGGUCGCCGGUGUCAAGGUCUUGCCCUUCUUUCGAAGGGGCCGCCCGCCGGACUCUAGAACCACUGCGGGUUCCGAUGUAGAGUCCGGCACAAAGUCUGGGAGGCAGCCUGACGACGCCUCCGGAGCCUCCUCCUGAUGGGUCCCUCUCUGGGAUCCCACCUCGGCGUCCCCGUCGGCGCGGGGGGUAGAGGCGGUCGGAAGUGAAUCCACAUCUAACGGGGCCAACGACCCGCUCGAUGAAGCGGGGAGAUCAUCAUCGGCCGGACUACGGACAGAACGCGGCAUUAGAAGGACACUACGCGACACGAAAGAAAUUGCAUAUCAUGGAUCCGGAUACUUACGAUCUUGUCGGACGCCUGGCCCUUGGAGGCCACUCAUCCUCGCCAACGGUGGUGUUGGCGAAACUGUCCGGGGGGAUAGUCCUCCCCCUCUUGGACCCUUCGGCCUCCCCUAUUGGGAAAGCCUUCCACUUCUUCUCUCCCUCCUCCGAGAGAGAGUCCUCUUCCUCCUCCUCGUCUUUGGGGGAGGAGUCCGCCUCGUCGUCGGACGCCUAAUUGCGGGAACUCUUUCGAGUCCCCGCGGCCACCUUCUUGGCCUUCUUCUCCGGCACCACGUGCGGUGCCGGAACCAGCAGCCCUGCUAAACGGGCGUUCUCUGGGUCUUCAGGCAUGGGAGCCGGGCUGAUGAGCUGCUUGGCCUUCUCCAUCCAUUCCUAUCAAAGGAAAAGAGAGAUUGAAACCCUCUUAGAAUCAGUUUAAUUACCACAAGUGUCCCGUAACGUGGUUGAAUCACUUACCUCGUCAGCCGGAUGCUGCGAGCGAAAUCCGUGAUCUUCCGUCGCGGAUGCGGGGGCUUCGGCGCCCUUAAACAGCACCCUCCAGGCGCCUUCGUAUGUCGUAUCGAAGAGCCCGCUCAGCGCCUGGUGCUGUUCCGGAUUGAACUCCCACAGAUUGAAUACCCGUUCUUGGCAUGGGAGAAUCCGGCGGAUGAGCAUGACUUGGACCACGUCGACGAGCCUGAGCUUAUUGCUCACCAGCUUCUGGAUGCAGGCUCGGAGUCCCGUCACCUCCUUCGGAUUUCCCCACAGCAAGCCCUUCUCUUUCCAGGAGGUGAACUGCGUGGGGACGCCAGAUCUAAACUCGGGGGCCGCCGCCCAUGUGGGCUUGCGCAGCUCGGUGAUGUAGAACCAACCCGAUUGCCACCCCUUGACGGAGUCCACGAAGGCCCCUUCGAGCCAAAGGACGUUGGGCAACUUACCCAACAUGGCGCCUCCGCAUUCCGCUUGCGUGCCCUUCACAACCUUCGGCCUCCCCUAUUGGGGAAGCCUUCCUCUUCUUCUCUCCCUCCUCCGGGAGAGAGUCCUCUUCCUCCUCCUCGUCUUCGGGGGAGGAGUCCGCCUCGUCGUCAGACGCCUGAUUGCGGGAACUCUUUCGAGUCCCCGCGGCCACCUUCUUGGACUUCUUCUCCGGCACCACGUGCGGUGCCGGAACCAGCAGCCCUGCUAAACGGGCGUUCUCUGGGUCUUCAGGCAUGGGAGCCGGGCUGAUGAGCUGCUUGGCCUUCUCCAUCCAUUCCUGUCAAAGGAAAAGAGAGAUUGAAACCCUCUUAGAAUCAGUUUAAUUACCACAAGUGUCCCAUAACGGGGUUGAAUCACUUACCUCGUCAACCGGAUGCUGCGAGCGAAAUCCGUGAUCUUCCGUCGCGGAUGCGGGUGCUUCGGCGCCCUUAAACAGCACCCUCCAGGCGCCUUCGUAUGUCGUAUCGAAGAGCCCGCUCAGCGCCUGGUGCUGUUCCGGAUUGAACUCCCACAGAUUGAAUGCCCGUUCUUGGCAUGGGAGAAUCCGGCGGAUGAGCAUGACUUGGACCACGUCGACGAGCCUGAGCUUAUUGCUCACCAGCUUCUGGAUGCAGGCUCGGAGUCCCGUCACCUCCUUCGGAUUGCCCCACAGCAAGCCCUUCUCUUUCCAGGAGGUGAACUGCGUGGGGACGCCAGAUCUAAACUCGGGGGCCGCCGCCCAUGUGGGCUUGCGCAGCUCGGUGAUGUAGAACCAACCCGAUUGCCACCCCUUGACGGAGUCCACGAAGGCCCCUUCGAGCCAAAGGACGUUGGGCAACUUACCCAACAUGGCGCCUCCGCAUUCCGCUUGCGUGCCCUUCACAACCUUCGGCUUGACGUUGAAGGUCUUGAGCCACAGGCCGAAGUGGGGCCGGAUGCAGAGGAAGGCCUUGCACACGACGAUAAACGCCGAGAUGUUGAGGAUGAAGUUCGGCGCCAGAUCGUGGAAAUCCAGGCCGUAGUAAAACAUGAUCCCCCGGACGAAUGGGUGGAGUGGAAAGCCCAGUCCGCGGAGGAAGUGGGGAAGGAAGACGACCCUCUCAUGGGGCCCAGGGGUAGGGAUGAGCUGCCCCUCGUCGGGCAGCCGAUGCGCGAUAUCGCCGGAAAGGUAUCCGGCGCUGCGAAGCUUGGUGAUAUGCUCCUCCUUAACGGUGGAGUCCAACCAUUUGCCUCCCGCUCCGGACAUAUUCGGAGAAGGUCGGGGCGAGAUGCGCGAGCUUGGGCGUUGGAGCUUGAGUGCACGGAGAUGGAUAAGCAAAGGAGGAAGAAGGCGUAGGUGAGAAGGUAAAUCCUUAUCCCUUAUAUAUAGGCGGACGAAAACUAUGCGUCCCCACCGGCCUGAUAAAACUCGCUUAUCUCCCAAGCGCCACCAUCAAUGGCGCGGUUGGGUUACCCACGUCCGUAUUGAUGGGAAUCCCGGAAUAAGGGGAACACAAUCUCUGCUUCGACAAGACGUGCCAAGGAAACCGCUUCGCUAAACGUGCUGAGGUGGUAUAGUAAAAAACGAUUCAAACAAAGGCUUGGUAGCGGUGUGAUGUCACGCCGCAUAAUACGUCAGCAGAUUGGACUGGUGUACAUUUUAUUCUCUCUACGGUGGAAUGUGGAAUUUAUUUUGCAGAGCCGGACACUAUCCUGGUGUUCAUGAUCUUCUCUGGAUUAUUCAAGGGAGGAACCCGCCUUGCAAUGCCGAACAUUAUGCGCGCCGGACUUAUCGUCAUUGAAGCCUGGUUCAGGGGCUACUGAGGGAGUCCUGGACUAGGGGGUGUCCGGACAGCCGGACUAUCAUCGUCCGCCGGACUCCAAGACUACGAAGAUACAAGAUUGAAGACUCCGUCCCGUGUCCAGAUGAGAUUUUCCUUGGCGUGGAAGGCAAGCUUGGCAAUACGGAUAUGUAGAUCUCCUACCAUUGUAACCGACUCUGUGUAACCCUAGCCUCCUCCGGUGUCUAUAUAAACCGGAGGGCUUUAGUCCGUAGGACACAACAUACAUUACAACAAUCAUACCAUAGGCUAGCUUUAGGGUUUAGCCUCCUUGAUCUCGUGGUAGAUCCACUCUUGUACUACCCAUAUCAUCAAUAUUAAUCAAGCAGGACGUAGGGUUUUACCUCCAUCGAGAGGGCCCGAACCUAGGUAAAACAUCGUGUCCCUCGUCUCCUGUUACCAUCCGCCUAGAUGCACAGUUCGGGACCCCCUACCCGAGAUCCGCCGGUUUUGACACCGACAGGGCCCAUAACCCACAGUUCCACAGGAUCGAAACCUGACUCAUGUACAUCCCUGUUUUUCAAAGUUGUUCCUCGCGCUUGGAUUCGUAUGUAAUUCACGAGCCACCUUCCUUGUGAUCUGUUCUGGUAUCAGAUGCAAUACUUAUUCCCAUUGCUCUAAACCCCUUUCACCUUCUUACCUUGCUCUCGAUGACUAUCCUGAAUUCCAACUCAAGAGAUGCCUCUAUGCCAUGUUGAGGUACCUAUCUUGUGUUGAGCUCCAUCCCUCCCGAGUCUUUCCCCCUUACUCACCCCUUAAAUCUCGAGACGAUAUUUCUUGUAGUGGAGGAGAAUUGUGACGCCCAAAUAAUUAAGCUACAGUAAUCCCCUUUUAAUGGUUCCAUGUCAUCACAUUACUAUUGCUAAUCCUCGCUUGAUCCAAAUCUUAGUUCAAACUAAUAUUCAAAUUAAAGACCAAAAUUCAAAUUUCUCAAGCAUGCAUAAUAAAAUGUUCAAAGUGUGGCAAAUAAUCCCUGGAUAUUUGUCAUGUUGGAAACAACCUCCUUAGAAUUUUCAAAAUGCCCCUGGGAGUUAAUUUUUGGUCAAGUAGUAAAUUAAAUGGCAUUUGCAAAACAAAUAAUUAUUUAUUUAACUCCAAUUGCCUCCUGUCGUGGGAAACGAACACCUAUGGGGCAGGGCCCCUUUUCGGUCUGGCAAGGGAGCGGAGGGCACACGAAGAGCAGAUCGAGGCGAAGCACGCGGGGGAAUUUUACCCAGCUUCGGAGCUCUCCGGAGAGAUAAAACUCCUACUGCUGCUUUGUGUUUCUAUUCUGUUCUUGCUCAAGAGUGUGGGUGUGUUGUAGUUUCGAAUGAGUCGAACCCCUUCUACGUGCGCAUGGGCCUCCUUUUUAUAGUCUAAAGGGGUCACCGACAGGUGGCAGCAUAGAGAGAGGGGUAAAAAAGUAAAAACGCGGGUUGGUACAACCGCUAUCAACAGUGCCCCCUACCUAACUCUGACAGCAGGGGACAAGGGCAUUUAAUGCCCAUCCGGUCGCCCAAACAGUGCAGGAAGUGACCGUUAGGGGCGCCACCAAUCGCCACGAUGGCCUCCUAGUCAUCUUCACUUGCCACCUCGCACCGCUUGGCUGCACAGCUACCCGCCACGUGCACCGGGAGCGAUCCUGCGGCGACACGUCAUCGGAUGCGCUGGAGCAUGGGCGCAGAGUUGUGGCUUUGCCGCGGCAAGCGCCUUGCCGCGGUCACUAUCUUGUUGCACCCGCAAGCUUGCCGCUCGCCGGGUCUUGGUUGGCCUUCCCGGCAAGAUCCUCCUGCCGGGGUCUUGUCCUUCCCGGCAAGCUUCUCUUGCCGGGGCUUCGUCUUCACAGUUAACACUUUGUUCUUGAAUGGCAGUAAAUAGGAAUGACGAAGGAUCUUGGCGGACGCCCGGCAAGCCUUGCCGCAGGACGCUGCGCCUGCCCGUGCACAAGUUCGGGGUACUAAGGUACCCCUACUUUAGUACACCGACUGGAGCCCCCGGGCCUGGGCCAUACACGGUGCUGAGCGCUGUUGGGCCAGGCCCAAAACAGGACACGGGCACGCGCGGCCUGGGUCCUAACUAAAUCCACUCCGUAUCCACCGCGUCCUCCCGUAACGGCACGCGUCAAUCGCGGCGUCGUGGGAGAGAUCGUGGGUGGAAGACGUUCGCGCGUAUCCACAGCCUGAUGGAGGGGUUUACCCUCCAUUUUAAGUUAAUGGAGGGCGAUCUCCUCUCCGUCAAGGUCUUCGGGUGCUUCGACACUCGGGCGAAGUGCUGCGUGGACAGCUCCUCCGAUAGCAAAGGCUCCCCCUCGAGCGAGAGCGACAAGGAGGAGAGCAACAGCGAUGAUGAGGGUAGCGGGCGGCGGGAUGGCGGGCCCGACUAGGUGUCGGGCGCCGCUUCGUGCGUCACCGGUGACCCCAUCAUCCGUGUCGCCGGCUCCUUGAACUCCCCGGGGUCGUCUCCUUGGGCGGCUGGCGUAGGGAGGCUGCGGAAGGGGAAGAGGGCUGGCGACAAGGCCGUCAAAUCGGAGUACGAGGGCGUAGUGCCCUCGACAGCGUGCUGACGUCCUGCCGCCCCAUCUUCGAGCCCCGCUUCCAGCGCCGCCAUCACCGUCCGGCCUUCGGACGGCCCCCGGGAUGUUCUCUUGGUGUCUUCGCCUAGGCGCCUCUUUUGCCCUUUUCGCCUCCUUGACCUACAUCCUGAAGAGAGGGACAGGAAAGGGAUUACGGGCAUCUUAUCUUUUUAAUUUGUAAGCCUUCGGGCCCUAGUCGCAUCUAAAACUUGUAACCCUCUCUUUCAUGUUUUUCAUCCUCUAUGGACUGUACCUGAGUGUGAUGUUUUUUUAAUGAAAAAGGGAUGCUUGCCGGGUUAUUUGUCUCAUGGGUUGAACCCACGCCAAGGAGCAAAUCCUUGGUAUCCCUCGGACAGGCAUUUCAUCUCCCGCCAACAGGCCCUGCCGCCUUCCCACGUCGCUCGACCUUUCUCACGCCUUUGACGGAGGCGGGAACGAGGUGGGUGCGGCCUCCUCAUUUCAUCCCUUUGCUGCUGUGACUACGACCAAACUUGGCCCCGGGAACGAGCCCCAGGGCCUAGAGUUGAGGGAGCACGGCAGUUUUCGGGAAGAAACGCGGUUUCGCAUUCCCCAGUCCAUAAGAGGAUGCAUGAUGAGGGACGAAAGACUUAUCUGAUAUCGCAGCCCCCGGCAACUCUGGCUUGCCGUGGAUGAAUCUUGGUACUCGCAGCCCCCAGCAACACUGGCUUGCCGGGGCCCAGGUGCCGGCGCGCCCUUCUUCUCCUUUCCUUGUCGCUGUUAUUUCAGUUAUGAGAACAAUUUAGUCAGUGCCGCAAUAAGUUACUCUUGUAAUAUAACUUUAUUCUGGGCAAUGCUUGUUAUGUUACAUCCUUUAUUUGAUUCCAUUCCUUGUAUGUUUGUACCCUUACGCUUUUACGGAACUUGCCGGUGCAAACACGCUUGCCACGAGCGCUGAGUGCAAAACAUCAGCAGCCUUCUAGCGGUGUUGCCUCCGGCAAGAAACCUUGUCGGGGCUAGUCGCAGCACACUUUCAUUGUUGAGCGGACUCAAAACAAAGUAAGGGUGCAACUUAACCACGAGCCGGUUCCUCUGCGCACAGGUUUUCCAUACAAGGCAUGGUCGUUCAAGGAAUAUAACUUAAAAAUUUAAAACUGACUGUGCUUAAACUUCGGCAACUUAGCUUUUUUGUUGUUUGUGUCCNNNNNNNNNNNNNNNNNNNNNNNNNNNNNNNNNNNNNNNNNNNNNNNNNNNNNNNNNNNNNNNNNNNNNNNNNNNNNNNNNNNNNNNNNNNNNNNNNNNNNNNNNNNNNNNNNNNNNNNNNNNNNNNNNNNNNNNNNNNNNNNNNNNNNNNNNNNNNNNNNNNNNNNNNNNNNNNNNNNNNNNNNNNNNNNNNNNNNNNNNNNNNNNNNNNNNNNNNNNNNNNNNNNNNNNNNNNNNNNNNNNNNNNNNNNNNNNNNNNNNNNNNNNNNNNNNNNNNNNNNNNNNNNNNNNNNNNNNNNUGUGGGCGCAGGAAUCUUCUCUUUGAGAAAAAGGAAGAAGAGAAAAUAAAGUUAUGGAGCCUUAAGGCUUGUUAUUGCUUACCGGGGGCAAGUUCUGCACAAAGUGUCAGUGUAUACAUGCUAAAAAGAAAAAGGCAUGAAUUUUGACAAUAUGUACUAAACAUAUGAUCUUUAUUUAUGCACGGGAUCUGCGCCCGGCUUUGUACAAAGGGUUACAUGCAACAACGGCAAGGCUUGUACAAAAGGUGGUUGCCAGGACAGCAGGUUCCGGCAACCGCGCCUUAUGGGUAAAACUUACGAAGAUGAUCUAUGUUCUAGGAGUUGCUCACCGGAAUGCCAUCUUCGGUCUCAAGGCGGACAGCGCCAGGCCUAGUGACUCGCUUUACCCGAUAAGGGCCUUCCCACUUCGGCGUCAACUUGUUGGAAUUCUUGGCAGAUUGAACGCGCCGAAGAACAAGGUCACCUUCCUCGAAGCUUCUGGCAUUAACUUCGCGGCUAUGGUAGCGGCGCAAAGCUUGCUGGUAGCGAGCAGCUCGUACAGCAGCCUGAAGACGAUCCUCCUCGAGGAGCAGCGCGUCAUCUUGCCGCAGCUGCUCUUGCUCAAGCUCAUCAUAAGCGAGCACUCGAGGCGAUCCGUAUACGAGUUCUGUGGGGAGAACUGCCUCUGCUCCAUAGACAAGAGCAAAAGGUGUCUGGCCAGUGGCUCGAUUUGGCGUCGUCCUGAUCGACCAAAGAACCACCUGUAGCUCCUCGAUCCAAUUUCUUCCGCACUUGUGCAGCCUGUCGAAAGUUCUGGUCUUGAGCCCACGCAGCACUUCAGCGUUUGCCCUCUCCGCUUGACCGUUGCUUCUCGGGUGAGCAACAGAAGCGAAGCAGAUCUUGGCGCCAAGAUCUUGGACGUACUGCAUGAAGGUGCAGCUCGUGAAUUGUGUGUUGUUGUCGGUGAUGAUCCUAUUAGGGACUCCGGAACGGCAAACAAUUGACCUGAAGAACUUGACUGUUGACUGUGCUGUCACCUUCCUCACUGGCUCCACCUCCGGCCACUUCGUGAACUUGUCGAUGGCCACGUACAAGUACUCGAAGCCCCCGACAGCUCGGGGAAAAGGGCCAAGGAUAUCAAGCCCCCAGACUGAAAAUGGCCAGGAUAAAGGGAUUGUUUGGAGAGCUUGAGCUGGUUGAUGAAUCUGUUUGGAGUGGAACUGGCACGCUUCACACUUGGUUACUUGUGCAGUCGCAUCCUGGAGGGCUGUUGGCCAAAAGCAACCUUGCCGGAAGGCUUUACUGGCAAGUGCUCUUGCGCCAAUGUGGUGGCCACAUAUGCCUCCAUGUAUCUCCGCCAACAGCUCUUGUCCUUCUUCCCGGGAAAUGCACUUCAAUUUCACUCCGUUGAAUCUUCUUCUGUACAGUAUGUCAUCGACAAACUGAUACAUACUUGAUUGUCGGGCUACUUUCUCUGCUUCUUCUUGCUCUUCGGGAAGUUCUCCUGUUUGAAGGAAAUGGACGAUCUGCUGUGCCCAUGCCGGAGCUUGUGGCUCGACGACAAGGACUAAAGGCGCAAAUGCUGCUGCGGGAACAUCCGCUUCUACGGCAAGAAUAUGAGAUCCUGCCGGAGCGUGAUGCUCCCCGGCAAGCGUGCCGGGGCACAGCUUGUCGGGAGCGUCUGCUUCAACGAAACAAACCCUAGGGCUUGUCGGAGCAGACUGCUCCUCAGCACUUUCUAUGUUGAUCCUGGGGACCUUCUUGGCGGCGGCUUCGGGGAGCUCUGCCGGAAAGUAGUCGCCAGUAACCAACUUUCUCUUCUUGCUCUGUCCAGUUGAUGGUGUUACAGAUGGCUGAGUCAGCUUGAGCACAAAAAUACCUGGUUCCACAGGUAACUUGAGUGCGGUGCACUUUGACAGGCCGUCUGCAAUGUCAUUCUGAGCUCUUGGAACAUGUUCCAUCUGCAGGCCGUCAAAAUGCUCUUCCAGCUUCCUCACUUCAUCAAUGUAGGCCUCCAUCAGCGGACUCUGAUAAUCUGUGUUAACUUGGCGGACGACAAGCUGUGAGUCACCCCUGACAAUAAGCUUCUUGAUCCCAAGUUCUGUCGUGAUCCUGAGUCCGGCAAGCAGGCCCUCAUAUUCUGCAGUAUUGUUUGUUGCUUGCUCCUUGGGAAAGUGCAUUUGGAUCAUGUACUUGAGGUGCUCUCCGGUGGGUGCGACAAGUAACACACCCGCACCGGCGCCUUGCAGCGAGAAAGCACCAUCAAAGUACAUGAUCCAUUCCCUGUUUGCUUCCUUGACGGGGAUCCUCGUCUCCGGAGUUUCUUCAUCUGGUGUUGGCGUCCACUCCACUAUGAAUUCUGCCAAUGCUCGGCUCUGGAUAGUUGAAGUACUUUCAAACUUGAGGCCAAAGCUUGACAGUUCCAGUGCCCACUCGACAAUCCUGCCUGUUGCUUCUGGAUUUUGCAAUAUCCUCUUCAACGGAAAGCGAGUGACAACUGUGAUCUGAUGUGCUUGAAAAUAAUGGCGCAGCUUCCUCGAGGCCAUGAGAAGGCCGAAAAGCAACUUUUGCACUCCAGAGUAUCUUGAUCUAGCCACCUGCAGAAGGGAGCUGACAAAAUAAACUGGGUGCUGCACCAUCUUCUUUUGUUUCUCUGCCUGCGGCUGCACAGACUCAUCCUUGUCGGGACCAGAGCUUGACGGAGAAGCCCCCUGCUUGUCGCUGGACUCGCUUGCCGCGGCCGCUGGCUCAUCAUCUGCCUCCCUCUCUGCUACUAACGCAGCACUAACCACUUGAUUGGUUGCUGCUAGAUACAGCAGCAACUUCUCUUGCGGCUUAGGUGCGACAAGUACUGGAGUGGAGGAUAGGUAUCUCUUCAAGUCCUGUAGCGCAGCCUCCGCUUCUGGAGUCCAUUUCAUUGGACCUGCCUUUUUCAAAAUUUUGAAAAACGGCAGGGCGCGCUCAGCAGACUUAGAGAUGAACCUACUGAGAGCAGCAACGCAGCCGGCAAGCCUUCGCACAUCCUUGAGGCGCUUCGGGGCUUCAAUCUGCUCGAUGGCCUUGAUCUUGUCGGGGUUGGCUUCGAUCCCCCUCUGGGACACGAAGAACCCGAGAAGCUUGCCGGAAGGAACUCCAAACACGCACUUCUCAGGGUUCAACUUGAGAUUGAUCUUGCGCAGAUUUGCAAAAGUCUCAUCCAAAUCUUGGAUCAAAGUUUCUCUAUCUUUGCUCUUGACCACUAUAUCAUCCAUGUAUGCUUCUACAUUCCUGUGCAGCUGUGGCUCAAAAGCAUGACUGACUAGUCUUGCAAACGUUGAACCAGCAUUCUUUAGUCUGAAAGGCAUUCAUACAAAGCAGUACGUGCCACAUGGAGUAAUGAAUGCGGUGUUCUCUUCAUCCUCUUUUGCCAUGAAAAUCUGAUGGUAUCCUGAGUAUGCAUCAAGAAAUGAAAGCAGAUCACAUCCUGCCGUGGAGUCGACAAUCCGGUCAAUGCGCGGCAAGGGAAAUGGAUCUUUGGGACAAGCUUUAUUAACAUCCGUGAAGUCAAUACAAAGCCUCCACUUCCCAUUCACCUUGCGCACAAUUACUGGAUUGGCUAACCACGUUGGAUGGAGUACUCCUCGGACGAGGCCUGUUGCUUCCAACUUCUUGAUCUCUUCUGCUAUGAACUCUUGGCGUUCCGCCGCUUGCUUCUUGACUCUCUACUUGACGGGCCGCGCGUGAGGACAGACGGCAAGGUGGUGCUCAAUUACUUUCCUGGGAACACCGGGGAUGUCAGAUGGUUGCCAUGCAAACACAUUGACAUUCGCCCGCAGGAAAGCAACGAGCGCGCUUUCCUAUUUAGGGUCAAGCGUGGCACUGAUGGUGAAGGUACCACUAGUGCCGUCCUCCUUGGCGGCCACUUUCUUGGUAUCAGGUGUCGCUAUCUUUGCCCUCUUGCACUUGCCGGUGGAGCUCGAUGGUGCGUCCUCGACGGUAGCACAGCACUCCGAAGAGGUGCGCUUGCCGGAGUGGGCAUCAGAGCUACUCUUGCCGGACUUGGUCUUCUUCUUCUUCCCCCCGGGAGCUUCAGCGGCAAGUGGUUUGUGCUCUGCUGCGGCUGCUGCUUCCUGGUAGAUCUUGUCGGUGCAGAUAAGCGCAUCCUUCUUGUCGCCUUGGACAGAAAUGACGCUUAUCGGACCGGGCAUCUUGACCACGUUGUAAGCAUAAUGAGAGGCUGCCAUGAACUUGGAAAGCGCUGGACGGCCGAGUAUCCCAUUGUAGGGCAACGGGAAAUCAGCAACAUCAAAUGUGACUCUCUCUGUCCUGAAGUUCAGUUUGCUGCCAAAUGUCACUGGUAGUGUAAUCUUCCCCUUGGGCUUGCUCCUUCCCGGGUUGAUUCCUUGAAAGGUACCAGUUUCUUCGAGCUCGCUGUCGGGGAUCUGGAGCUUGUUGAGCACCGCGGAAGAGAUCAGAUUUAGGCCGGCCCCACCGUCAACCAACAUCUUCGUGACCUUGAGGUUGCGGAUGGUUGGCGAAACCAACAUCGGCAAGCACCCGACCGCAGUGAUGCGAUCAGGGUGAUCCUCAACAUCAAAGACGAUGGGCGUACUGGACCACUUCAGGGGCUUGCGCGAUUCGACUGAUGGUUCAGCUGCAUUUACCUCCCGCACCCACUGCUUGAGUUGGCGGUGCGAGGUGUGCAGAGAAGCACCGCCGUCAACGCACAAAACCUCUGUUGCCUUCUGAAACUCUUGCUCGUCGGUCUCAUCCUCGUCCAUCUCAUCAUCCUCAUCUUCAUCUUCGUCCUUGUCACGGCCACGGGGAGGUCUGUCUCCUUGCCGCUGCUUGGCCUUGCCGCGGCGCCCUCCCCGGGCGGGACGCUUCUUGCCGGAUCCUCCGCCACCUUCCUGGGCCUUCUCCUUGUCGCGACGCUCGUAUUCAGCUUUCUGUAGUUCUGCCAUUUGCUCAACCUUCUUGCAUGCUUGGAGGUCAUGGCCCUUGGUGCGAUGGAUCUUGCAGUACUGCUUGCCGGAACAAUCCUGCUUGUCGGCGGCCACCACAGCCUCGCCGGAGUCACCAGCUUUGGCCUUGUCGGCGCCGCCUCCGUUGCCGGACUGCUCAACAACUAGCACAUCCUUAGCCUUUCUCUUUCUAUUAUUCCGCCUCCGGUUCUUCUUUGCCGGAGGGACGUCCUCAUUGUCCGAUCCUUCUGCUCCUGCAUUCUCUCCGGGAAGUUUCCUCCCCUCUUCAGCUCGUGCACACUUGUCAGCCAGAGCAUAUAGCUCGCUGACAUCUCUAAUCUUGCACAUCGCCAUCUCCUCCCUCAUCCUGCGGUUACGCACGUUCUGAUGGAAUGCGCUGAUAACCGCGGCAGGGUGGACGUCUGGGAUGUUGCGCUGCACCUGGCUGAAUCUCUGUAUGUACUUGCGCAGGGGUUCUCCUUCUUUCUGGGCGAGCAGAUGAAGAUUGCUCUCCUGACCAUGGGGUUUGUGGCCGCCUGUGAAGGCGCCGACAAACUGAUGGCACAGGUCCGCCCACGAAGAGAUGGAGUUGUCCGGCAAGUGCAUGAGCCAAGAUCUGACGUUGGGCUUGAGCACCAGCGGGAAGUAGUUGGCGAGGAUCUUCUCGUCGCGCCCCCCGGCAGCCUGCACCGCGAUGGUGUAGACGCUGAGGAACUCUGAUGGAUGUAUCCUGCCAUCGUACUUCUCGGGUAUGUCCGGCUUGAAGUUCUUGGUACUGGGCCACUGGACUUGCCGCAGCUCACGGGUGAACGCAGGGUAACCUGCCGCGUACGGCAAGUCGCCUGGUUCCCCUGGCGCAUGCAUAUCGACAGUGGGCCCAGCGCACUGGUCAGAUUAAUGUCGCGCUUCUCUUCUGCGCUCGAUGCGAGUACGAGCGUCUCUGUGUCGUCGUUCUUGGAGAACUUGGCGUUGAUCGCGGCGAGCUCGCGGGUCCGACGACGCGGUGGAGUCGGUGUCGAGGUUGGAACGGCGAGUUGGCGAUCAUGGCCUUCGGGGCGGGGAGUGCACGGUGGUGGCACCCCCAGCGGUCUUGUCGGUGUCGGCUUGCGCCCGGGCGUCUUGCCGGGGCUUUCGAUGUGCUCGGUUGCCGGGGCUUGUCGCCGUUGGCGAAGCCGAUGAGGCUUUGGAUGGUGAUCCUCCAGUCGUCGAUCUUGUCUGGCGCUGGAGGGUAAUCUAGAAGCAGCUGGGCUCGGGCCAGCGCUUCCUCUGGAGUCUUGGGCGGCGGUGGCGAGCGACGCGAGGUGCGGGAUAUGCUCAAACUUCUAACAGUGUUAGAAGGAGCAACAUCUCGCCCAGGCGACCGUACUUCGCUCGUGCCAGCGUGUUGACGUGUAUGUUGGCCUUGAGCGUCCCGCGAUCCGCCGGCUUGGCCUUGUUCCAACACGAGCACGGUGCUAGGAGUACCGUGGCAUUGCCGAUCUUGCACCUCCUGGGAGGGGUACGGUGGAUGUACAGACGCUGAAGCUUGCGGGGCCUUGUCCUCGGACCUGGUGACGAUGUGAGUCCCCCCGUCGGCGCCCGCUCCUCCGCCGGCGUCCACCCCACCACCCGUUUGCUCCGGUGGCGGUAGGAUAGUCGCAAACGGAGUGGCCACCUCCGAAGCCUUCUUCUUCGGUGGCAUGUCGAUGAAGAUGUUGAUGUAGCGCGCAGAUGCCGGAUCAGGUACGCACAACCUCGACGCCCACCUACCUGGCGCGCCAAAGAUGUCGUGGGAAACGAACACCUAUGGGGCAGGGCCCCUUUUCGGUCCAGCAAGGGAGCGGAGGGCGCACGAAGAGCAGAUCGAGGCGGAGCACGCGGGGGAAUUUUACCCAGCUUCGGAGCUCUCCGGAGAGAUAAAACUCCUACUGCUGCUUUGUGUUUCUAUUCUGUUCUUGCUCAAGAGCGUGGGUGUGUUGUAGUUUUGAAUGUGUCGAACCCCUUCUACGUGUGCAUGGGCCUCCUUUUUAUAGUCUAAAGGGGUCAGCGACAGGUGGCAGCGUAGAGAGAGGGGUAAAAAAGUAAAAACGCGGGUUGGUACAACCGCUAUCAACAGUGGCCCCUACCUAACUCUGACGGCAGGGGACAAGGGCAUUUAAUGCCCGUCCGGUCGCCCAAACAGUGCAGGAAGCGACCGUUAGGGGCGCCACCGAUCGCCAUGAUGGCCUCCUAGUCAUCUUCACUUGCCACCUCGCACCGCUUGGCUGCACAGCUACCCGCCACGUGCACCGGGAGCGAUCCUGCGGCGACACGUCGUCGGAUGCGCUGGAGCGUGGGCGCAGAGUUGUGGCUUCGCUGUAGCAAGCGCCUUGCCGCGGUCACUAUCUUGUCGCACCCGCAAGCUUGCCGCUCGCCGGGUCUUGGUUGGCCUUCCCGGCAAGCUCCUCUUGCCGGGGUCUUGUCCUUCCCGGCAAGCUUCUCUUGUCGGGGCUUCGUCUUCACAGUUAACACUUUGUUCUUGAAUGGCAGUAAAUAGGAAUGACGAAGGAUCUUGGCGGACGCCCGGCAAGCCUUGCCGCAGGACGCUGCGACUGCCCGUGCACAAGUUCGGGGUACUAAGGUACCCCUACUUUAGUACACCGACACCUCCAAACUUUAUGUGGCACUGCAAAAUAUUUGUGGCUCUGUCUAAGAUUGCCAAGGAAUUAAAAGGGGAACUUAACAUAUUUUUCCUAAGUAAAUAGUGUGCCCAAAAUAUUCUCUUAACCAUCUCUGUUUUUUUUAAUAAAAAAAGGCGAAUAAGAACUCGCCCGGGCCUCGGCCUACUCCCACUUACCAGCCCACCUAAGCCGGCCCACUCCCCCGCUCCCAUGGCCUAUAGGCCAUGCUCAACCGAACCCUAACCCCGCACGAUCCCCCCACUCCCCACUUCUCUCCCCUCCCGAUCCAAUCUGGAUCGGACCGAAACUGGCGCCCCGACGCCAACCGCCGUCGCUGGAGGCAUCCCCGACUCCACGCUGGGCCACCCCAUCACCUGACCUCCUCCCCGUCGUCGCUCGUCACUCGCUGGACCGCCUCGUCCCCACCAACGCCGCCCCGAGCCCAACGUCCCUGUCGUCGUCGCCGUCGGCAUCGCCCCGAUGUCGCCACCACCCGACGCCGGCGCCCUCGACAUCGCCACCCCGAGCCCACUGCCACCCCUACGCUCCACUGUGAGCCCCUCGCCGAUUCCCCCUCCUUCCUGUCAUCGUAGGUGGCCGCAUGCGCUGUUGGCCACCGUGGCCGCGCUCCGGCCGUUCCCCAUCCGUGUGCUAGCCUCGCCUUCCCCGGCUGCGGCCACCAGCCUCCUCGUCGCGCUCCCGCCUUCGCCCACACCUGCCCCUGUACGCCCAGCCGCUGCUGCUCGCCGGAUCCGCAUGUUCGCCCCCUAGCUUCGUCUCCGGCCGUCGAGUCCGCACCCGAUGCCGGCGCCCCAGCGCGUCCAUGCGCCCGUACGGGCGGGCGCCCACGCCCAUGCCCCUCCGCCCGUUAGCCCGCCCCGCUAAGGCCUGGGCACCUAACCAAGGGGCCCCACGCCCCUGUGUAAUAAAAAAGAUUUAAAAAAAAUAAAUAUAAAUAUAAUUAGUUAAUUAGUUAAUUAAUUGUAUAGUUAAUUAACUAACUUAAUUAACCUUGCUUAGUUAGCCUAAUGAACUAGUUUAGUUAAUUUAAAUCUGUUAGAUAGGUCUAUGAGAGAACGACCCCACAUGUCAGUUUAACCAGUCAACACUCUUUUGACUGCUGACAUCAUGAUGACGUCAGGCUGACAUCAUAAUUCCAAUUUUGAAUUAAUAAUAAUUUCAGAAUAUUAUUAAAACUUUGAAAAAUCAUAGAAAAUAAACCGUAUCUCGGAUGGAAGUUGCUUGGAACGACGAGACAAAUCCGAAUGCGCAGUUCGUUCAUCUGUCACGCGUCCCUAGCAUAGCAAACGUUGAACUUUUCCCCUCCGGUUCAUCUGUCUGAUAGACGUCCGGAACCGGGAAAACUUUCCCGGAUGUUUCCCCCUUCGCCAGUAUCACCUAGCACCUCGUUAGAACACUUCUAGCCCCGCUUAUUGUCUUGUUAUGCAUAUGUUUGCGUGUAUUUACUGUUUCUUCCCCCUCUUCUUCUCCGGUAGACCUCGAGACCGCUGAUGAUGCCCCUGUGAUCGACUACGUCGACGACGACCCUCCUUGUUUGAGCAACCAGGCAAGCCCACCCUUUGAUCAUCCCGAUAUCGCCCAUUCCAUUCUCUCAUGCUUGCACUAGAUUUUGCUACUGUAUUUGACUGCUCCUAUUCUGAUGCAUAGCCUGCUUUUGUACCUGCUAUUGUAACUUACCUGCUUAUCCUAAAUUUCUUAGUACAGGUUGGCUAGUGAUCCAUCAGUGACCCCCACCUUGUCUUUGUUGCCCCUGCUUCAUCAUCGACGACUCGAUCAACGUGAUCGACGACCGGAGCCUGACACCUCACAUCACAUCACGCCCCUUUUUCUUGCUCGACUCUGCAGAGUUACCAUCGAGUGCCGAGGGUGGAACCUCAUACAUCGCUCCUGAUGAGAUCUCUGUAGUGUAGCUAUUCGGUCGUGGUCAUCGAGGGUGGUUCCUCCUUCACCAUUCCUAAUACGGCUCUGUCGUGCAACACCUCAAGUGUGAACCUCGAGGGUGGUUCCUCUUACGUUCACCUUGAUGAUUACAUCAACUGGAAUCCACCGGGGGUGAUUCCUCGGAUUUUCCCCUUGAUGUCUGGACACAUAGUUACCUUGAUACUUGAGACCGUUGUGAAAGCCGGGCGAGCCCGGAGAGCACCCGUGCGAUGUGACGGUGGCGGCUGGCUGUUUAGCGGUAUCACCCGGGAGGGGUGAUAGCUCCGGACUUGUCCCGACAUCCGUCACUUCUUUUAAUAAUGCACUAACACGUUUGUGUAUUUGUUCUGAGUUGGCCUCUGGCCUUUACGCACUAACCACCACGCGAGAAUAGUUAUGGGCCUCGACGUUGCAGUAUCUUUCGAAGCUUUGUCAGACGUCCAGUUCAGCAUUGUGGCCGGGCCGGAUCGUGCCAUCCACUUCACCGGUGGUGCUGGUAUCCCCUUGUGCACAACGACCCGGAGUGCAAUGGGCGAUGGGCCCAGACCCCGGAGUGCUUAGGAUGUAGACCGGCGGGGACCUCUCUACUGAGCCUAGGUAGGGCUGCGACGUGUUGAUCUUCCGAGGCUGGGCAUUGACCCCAGAAAGGUGUGUCCGGCCAGAGUGAUCGAGCGUGUUGGGUAACGUGGUGCGCCCCUGCAGGGAAGAUUAUCUAUUAAUAGCCGUGUCCAUGGUAACGUACCUUCAGACUUAUAUCUUGAUCUUAUACAACUACAAAUGGAUACUUGAGAUAUGUGGCUCCGGGAUUGCUUUCUCGCAGGGAGUCGAGGAAGGAUCUCUGGGCGUUGUUGUUAAAACAUGCUUGUUAAUUAAACUGCUAUUCUUUACUCUUCUACAUGCUGCAAGAUGCUUGGAGCUGCUUGAAGAUGCUAGUCUUUGUUUGGCUAGGCCUUCCCCUCUAUUCUGGCAUUCUGCAAUUCAGUCCACAGAUACAACCCUUCCAUUUGAUACCAAUGCAUACUUAGUAUAGAUCUGAUGCUUGCGAGUACUUUGGAUGUGUACUCGCGGUUGCUUUGCUACCCCUUUUCCCCCUUCUUUCUUCUUUCCGGUUGACGCAACCAUAUGGUGGAUCCUUGGAGCCAGAUGCCACCGCCGAUGGAUGCUAGUACGUGAAGAUCGCCGACGACCAGGAGUAGUUAGGAGGUCCUAGGCAGGAGGCCUUGCCUCUUCGAUCGUUGUUGCUUUUGUGCUAGCCUUCUUAAGGCAUCCUUAUUUAACUUAUGUCUGUACUCAGCUAUUGUUGCUUCCGCUAACUCUUGUGUAUCGAGCUAUGUAUUCGAGCUCUCGAGGCCCCUGGCUUGUAAUAUAAAGCUUGUAUUAUUUUGAUUUGUGUCUAGAGUUGUGUUGUGAUAUCUUCCCGUGAGUCCCUGAUCUUGAUCGUACAUAUUGGCGUGCAUGAUUAGUGUACGAUUGAAUCAGGGGCGUCACACAAGCGGUACUACUGCCCCACCCAGUUUCAGCAUUUCGAGUUUCACCGUUUUGCCCAUAACUUCCACAUCCGGAGUCCGAUUUUUGCAUUUUUUAGCUCGUUGAGUAGCUAUUGACAUCCCCCAUCCAUCUAUAUAGGUUCCAACACCAUUUGACUCCAUCAAAUUUUCCAAAAUUUGGAAAGUUUGCCUAGGCCGUCCACCAUAUCAUCUGCAUAGCCACCACCGACCACCGCAACCUAACCCAUUUUGUUCCCCUUAGCAUUUGAGGUUGUUUGAGUUGUGGCUUGUGUCUCCUAAGGUGUUUCGGCUACUUAGGGAUGGUAACUUCAACUCCAACACGUGUAUAGCCCAUCAUUCCACUUCCGCAUUGCCGAGUGCAAACCACCACCUCUUUCCACUACCACCAUUUGACAUUUACCUUUGUAGAUUUUGAGUUUGCGAUUUUUCCGUUUCCUAGGGUGUUUUGGCUAACUAGGAAUGGGUCGACAUCAGCAACAUCGCCUCUCAUCAUCGCCAAGGACGGUAACCUCGAUGACACCAUUGUAUAUUCCCUUGCCAUUGCAUUGAUAACCCCUAGCCCAUUUUGCGUCACUUGCCUAUCGAGACUAGCCGUUUGAGUAUUGCCGGCAACGUGACUUGUGCACAUUAGUGAUCAUACUUCCCAUAGCAUCAUACCAUAUCAUCGUGGUGCAUAUAUUGGUAGCAUAUCUUGCGUCACAAGUUUGUUGCCGCAUAUACACAAUUGCUAUCUUGGUUUGUGCAUUAUGCAGAAGUGGCCAUACAAAAAAGAGAAAUAAAGCUUUUAAGCAAAAGAAAGAGAGAAAAGAAGCUUGUAAGCAAGUGCCAUAGCAUCAUACCAUAUUGCACAUAAGAUUGUCAUAUCCGAUCAUCUUGGAUCAUCUUGAGAGAACAUCGGGAACCAUACAUACAUAGCAUACUUGGGAUAGAAAGUAUAUCCAUUUGGCAUCUUGUAGGUUGUGCACAAGUGUCCUAUCCGCCUAUUGAGCAAUCGUGCUAGCGUCUCUCUUGAGUUGUGCAACACGAGCGUUUUCUGUGGAUUCCACAUUUUGUGCUCAUUGCUUGGUUGCACGACCCCAUUUAUCUAUCCGUGUGUGUGUUUCCGUGUGUCAUUCUUUGCUAUUGGUCUACUUGUUUCACUUGCAAAUUUGUGAAUCUCUUUCAACAUUAUUGACUCUUGCUAACAUUUUGCAUCAAAUUUUUGUGCCACUAUCCUCACCGAGCUCCACCAUAAGCUUUACUUGAUAGGUGUGAGUGAACAAGUCCGGUACCAAUUCCACUAUUCUUUCAUUUCACAUUGAGUUAAACGGGAUACAUCCUCAACUUUGGGAAAGGUAACUUCCUAUUGUUUAUCUCAUUUCCUACUGGCAUUUCACCUUCGGUCUACAACAACAACGACGAGUUCGAUGCCACGAACAACUCCAACGACGCCAAGAUGCAAGCUCAAAUGGAGGAGAUCAAAGCCCUCAUCAAGUCCUACAAGCAAUCUUCCUCAUCUUCGAGAAGACACUCACGUGCACAUGUUUCCGAGCUACCAUCUCCGGUAAGAUCACAUCAGCAUCGACACCAUCACCAACAAGAACGUGAAGGUCAAGAGCUCAACACCAACUACCGCUCAACGACUUCACCAUCUCCCUUGGCAUCUUCGCCAAGCGACUUCAAGGCAUCUUUGAGUACGGAUAUACGGCAUCUUCGCCAACAAGAACCUCAAGGCUACGCUCAAGAGAAGCUCCCCAAGCUCAAGUCCACGACUUCCAUGAGCUACUACGACCUCGACACCGACCACAAGAUUCCUUUCUAUGGAACUCAAGAACCCGAGGAGUACCUCGAGUGGGAGCGUUUGAUGGACGACUACCUCAAGCUACAUCAAGUCCCUUCCGAAGAUCAAGUGAAGUGCGCCACAAGAAACUUCCACGACUACGCCUCGACAUGGUGGCUUCACACACCUUCGGAGAGCUACGAGAUGAGUUAGCCCAAGACGAAGAGAGCUUUGCAGCGAGAGCUCGUGCCUCCAACCUACAUGGAACAACUUCGACGCCAAUUGGAGAACACCAUCCAAGGAUCCAAGUCCAUCGACGCGUACUUCAAGGAGAUGAAGAAUGCCUUGCGACGAGACGGCGUGGAUGACCCCAUUUCGAUGAAGUUCCACUUCAUGAUGCGAUUGAACAACGACAUCUCCAAGACUAUCUUCCUCGAGAACUACAAGUCCCUGGACAACUACUACAUUGGUGCUCUCAAGGCGGAACAAGAACUCAUGAAAGCCAAGGCUUCUCCACCCCAAGCACACUUCGCGGCGACCAAGCUGUACGACAAGCAUGAGGCUAGUACCACCAUGAUGUCCAAGCCCGACGAGCUCCAAGACAAUGCUCCCAAGUUCGACUUCACCGCCAUCCCUCUUUGUGGCAUUGAUGACGCCGAGUCUACCUUGACUCUUUUUCAAGACGGUGCGGCGACGAGUACGACUACGGAGACCUUCAAGGACCAAGCUUUGGAGGCGAGCGACAAGGUGGCGAGCAAGGAUGGUGUUUCCAUCUUUGGAGGCGAGAGUGAUGAUGUGCCAUCUUCGUCCUUCAUCCACGGCGACGAUGACGAGAUGAUCGAGCAUGGGAUUUUCCCUUCGGUCAUGGAGGAGAGUGAUGAUGUGCCAUCUUCGGCCUUCAUCCACGGAGACGACGACGAGAUGGUUGAGCAUGGGAUUCUCCCUUCGACCACGGUGACGUAUGAUGACUUGAGUGACUUUUGCCACCAUAUUGAGAGUGAGAGUGACUUCACCACUAGCCCCAUAUAUGACGAGUUGCCCCAAUUCCUAUGUGAGGAGAGCCACAACCCCCACCACUUGAGUGAGAUGAGUGACUCCACCAUAUGCGACUUUGAGUGCACCUAUUUUGAGGGAGUGAGUGAACCACCACAUAGAGAGAGUGUGAUAGUUGAUAGGUCUCGUGAGGCCAUUUGCAUUUCUAACAACUUGACCUCUACCUCUAUUGUGUCUUCUCAUUUGGUGCUAGGUCCCAUUUAUGAUGACGCGCCGAUCCUCGACGACUUCGUCCUCCCUUUGGACAAGACGAUGGCCAUGGUGGAAUAUGAUGCACCCCCCACAUGGUUCCAUCAAGAUGAAGAUGACCACCAUUUGGUCUUUCCCACCUCACCUACACCACUUGAGUGGAAUGAAAAAGGUAACAUAGGUGAAGGUGAUGCUCUAGUCCCACUAGUGGACAUUCUUGACAUUGAUUGCUUGCAUGAUGUUGAUCCACCUAGUACCAUGCUUCAUGCUAGUAUGAUUUCCCCAUGUGAUGAUUUGGCCAUUUAUGAUGAGUAUGAUGAUUCUCAUGUGGAGUCUCUUAGUUGUGAUGUCAUGUUACAUAGGAUUUCUUGUGACAAUUCUUUAGGUCACAUCAUGUUUGAUAAUCCGCUUGACUUGUCGUAUGCUAUGCAUGACAUUCACCAUAUGUCAUAUUUGCAAUCUCAUUGUAGUGACUAUGCAUAUGCCAUUCAAAUUAACCCAAUUUGCACUUAUGGCAUAGAUGACAAGCCCAUGGUUAUUGGGAUUUGUUUUUCUUGUGAUGAUAUUGAUAUGGUCCCUUUGCAUCAUUUAUCUCAUAUGCCAUGUCAUGCCCACCUAGCUUCGGAUAUGCAUUGUUUUGGAUGUUGUCCAUUUUCUCCAUAUGAUGUUUCCAAUCUUGCUCAUGAGGAGACCCCCAUAGUUCCCUCAUACAUGUUAGGAGAUUUUGAUCCAUCCCAUCCAUUGCAUGAUCCCAACAAUUGUGUGCACCAUAUGCUCCCCAUGAAUAAACAUGCUAUUGAUGUGCCAUAUACUUGCAUUCUCAAUUUGUGUCCCCAUCGUGUCAUACAUAAUAACUAUUCUUUCAUGAUGGAUGACAUGUUCUUAUACCAUGCAUCAAAUUUCGUUGAGCGAUGCUUAUCUUGUGCUAACUCACACGUGCACAUACACAUCAUGAUGGAUGAUGUGUACAUUUACCACACACACAAUUUAUUUGGUUUGUGUCUCUUUUGUGUAGGUACCCAGGAAUACUUGUCAACCUCGCAAUCCCACGAGUUGACAAAACGAGCUCUAGAGAGCAACGAUGAUUUGGGAUCCCAUGGAUUGUCUUUCCCACCGCUCUCUUCGCGCAAAGACUUAGCGCAUUUCUUCUACAUGGCCCUCACUUGGCUAUGGGUUGUUUUCCAUUACAUAUUAUAUGCCCAUCUUGCCAUGUUCACUUUGCAUGAUAUGCCCAUUCCCAUGCAUUUGUGACCCAUACUUUGCUUUACACAUGAUGAUUGACUCUCAUACUUUUAUGUGUAUUUGCAAGCUUGGUGGAGAUAUUGCUUGUUGUUUCCCUAUUCCAUUUUUGACCCACCCCUAUGAUGAUACUAUGAUCUUGCUUUGUGUUCGUGCUUGUGAUAUGUCAUGUGCAUUGUCUAUCCCUAUUAUUUGCUCACAUGACAUGAUUGCCAUGAUUUACUCUGGUGUGUUGCAUCUUCGCUCCACUAGUUUGCACCACAUGAUUGAUAUGCUUGCUUGUAUUGCAUCCCCCAUGAUUCAUACUUGCUCAUUUCAUGCGAUUGAUGACAACCAUUUCCAUACUUUGCACGUGAUUGCUAUAGCUUCUUGUCACAUAUCUACAUAUGUUGCCUCUCUCAUGCUAGAUCACUUGCCAUGUAUUUAGUGCAACAAUGCUCUUAUUCUUGCUCAUGAGAUUGCCCCCAUAGCAUUCUCACAUAUGAUUGGAGUUGACAUAAUUCUUGUGAAGCAUGCUUGCCUUCCUUCUUUGCACCAUAUGCCUAGUGCCAUGAAUAUUGCCAUUGUUGCAUCAUAUUGUUCAUGCACUUGUGCUACUAAAGGUUAUGUGCAAGAGAUGAGAACCAUCAUGAUGGAUGAUGUGUUUCUCUACCAUGCGCAUAUACUCUUUGUUUUGUUGUGUGCAUGUGUAGGAUACUUGGACUUCGUCUCGACUUCCACUUCAUGUGAGUUGACCAUUCAAGCUCUUAAGAGCGAGCCUCACACAUUCUACCACUACUCGCUUCUACACCGCAUUUGCUUGCGCUUCGGCAUUGUGAAGAAUGCACAAGGACAUGCCUUCAAGGUGACAUCUUUCUUGAGCAUGGAUAUUGCGGAUCAUACUACUUGUGUAGCUUGCACUGUGAGACUUAUUGGUCAUCUUGGACCACUUGAUUGCGCACUUGCUAGAGAUCUUGCUUUGACUUGCCAUUUUCACAUUCCCAUGCAUCAUGAUAUAUAUGCCUUGUGUGUUGCAUCCAAUUCUUGGAUUACUAUCACAACCUAGCUAGUCCAUGCAUUAGAGUGUUGCAUCAUGUCUACCUUUUAUCAGAAACUUGAAUUGGGGAAGACAGAACCCCCCAGAACCCCUCUGAAUUCAACUAGUGCUUACUAAAAAUAUUUUCAAUGAACCUGAAAUGCCCUUCUAAAAAGUUCACCCUCUUUGUCUUGGGUUAGAACCUCUGGCAAAAUUGGUGCACAAUUUUCUAGGUCAACAAAAGGCCAUUGAAUUAAAUCAUAUCUACUUUGAGUUUGGGCAUUUAAACUAUAUAAAAUAUUUCAAAUGCUCAAAUAACUCCAAACUAAAAUGUUCCAUACUGGAUAUAUUCCAACUAGGGACCAUGUGCAGUUUGGUGAUUUUUGGAGUUGCCUAAGUAUUUUUAGAAAUGCAACAAACUUACAGAAACAAUUAAAAACAGAAACAAAUGGGAAAAACCCUUACCUGGCCGAACCAAGCCCCAGCCCAGCUGGCCGGCCCAGCACUGUGCUGGCCCAUGCCAGCCAGCUGCUUCGCCGUCGCCACGCAGGCACAGAGCUGACGCCGGCAAGCGUGAGCUCGCAACGGCGCCAGCUGCUUGCCGCCCGCGCCCCCGAGCACCUGGGUGAGCUCCACGUCGCCGCCCCGACCCCGUGGACACCUCAUUCGCCCCCUGCCUCUCUCCCUCGCUCUCCCGCACCAUGGCCGACGCACCCGCCGCCGCACCCCCGACGUAGUCGCGCCCUCCGUCGUCCUCGUGCUGCACCACCGUGUCCCUUCGCUCCGCCGUCAUCGACUACAUCGAGUAGGCCGAGCCCCGAGCGCUCGCUGGCCCUGUUUCAUCUUCUUCGAGCUCGUCUUCACCGAGCACCGCCACAGAUCCCCUUCGCCGUCGCCGCCGUACCAGCUCGUCCCCGACCUUGCCGACCACUCCGUUGUGACCGCCGUGAGCUCAGCCACCUCCCCAUCCUCCCCGUUUGCCUUCUCGUGCACCGUAGCAACCGCAUGGAGCUUCAUCGCACGCACCACCGACGAGCUCGUCGCCGACGUGCCUCCGGCCAUCCACCGUCCACACCACGGUGUCUAACAUGCUCACCGCAUCGUGUAGAGUCUAACGCCCCACUCCACGCGCCUCGCCGUGCCCCGUAGCCAUGGGUCCAUUUUCAUCCGACUCCGGCGACCGCCGUGGUCGUCGCCGGCGACGUUCCUGGCCACCUCGACCUCAACCACCACCACCAAACGCCGCGACUUGUUCCCGGCUACACGUAGAUGGUCUCCGUCGUCCAUUUGGUCGCCAGAACAUGCUAACCCACUUCCUCCGCCGCGUCUGGCCUCGCCGGCGGCUAGACACCGGCAUGUUUGACCCGUUGACAUUCACUGGGUGGGCCAGGUUGACUCCCCUGAGUCUAUGACAAGUGCCCCCCCCUCUGCUAAUUAACCUAGUUUAGCUCUUACUAAAAUCAGUUAGUUUAAAUAAGUGCUGACAUGCGGGACCCACUGGUCAGUUUGACCUGAACGACCCCUUUGACCACUGACGUCACCCUGAUGCACUGCUGACGCAAUAACCAAUUUCUGGAUUUAUUGUUAUAUAGGAAAUUCCAGAAAUUGUUGCAAACUUCAAAAAUUCAUAGAAAUUAAUCUGUAACUCCAAAUGCAAAGAUUUAUAUAUGAAUUUUGAUCAGAAAAAUUCAAUCUAUCCAUUGGUAAUGGUUUCAUGCAUGUCAGAACAAGUUAACCUUGCUGUUUAAUCAAAACAAGUUAAUGCACUAAUAUGACUAUGUUAAAUGAACUACCAUUUGCAUCUUUGAUUCAAAUGAGUUCAUACCUUUCUGUUCUAGCUUGCAUUAGGCCAGGACACAUUCAUGUUGCCAUGUCAUAGCAUGCAUCAUAUUGUUGUAUAUCGUCAUGUGUUGUUCAUGUUCGGUGUGUUUUCGUGAUAGGUUCUGCCUCCGAGGAUAACCCCGAAUAUCCGUCUGAAGGGCUGUAUCCUACUACCACUACAUCAGGCAAGCAACCCAUUGAUCAUUCCGAUACAAACCCAUGUUCUUGCCUCUGCUCUUGUUUACUGCAUUAAGACAAUGCGAUUCAAACUUUUGUGUGUUGUGGUAGUUGAACCCACUUCCUUUGCAUGACCUGUCAUUGCCACAGUAACUAGAUGAAACUCAGUAGCAUGUGUAGGAGUUGAUUGAGCCAUAUCUGUGUUACCUACCAUGCUAUGCUUGCUAUGCUUAGAGUUGUGUCAGGUCUGGCUCAUUGGGAUGAUGAACUAGAGUGAAAGGUUGUGUCGGUAAUGAAGUGUUGAACACGAUUUGGUAAAGGUAUCGAUGAGAGGCCAUGUAGGAGUACAUGGUGGGUUGUUUCAUUGAGGCCGUCCUUAAGCACUGAGAUCUGUGUGUGUGAUUUAAGAUUCAGCUACUACCACGCAUUGGGCCCGAAACCAAUGGACCCUCUCGACUUAUUAACCACUCUUGUCCUCUGUCCGGGAGUUGCAAGUAGUUUUUGGUGUUUGUAGCAUGAUGGGGGCCGCACGCAGUGCUGACCUUAGGGGUGGGUUGGGUUGCGGUAGGCAUGUGGCACGGUGUAUCGAUUCGCCCGUUUGGUGUCUCGGGAACCAUGUUCACAUCAUUCGGGGCCGUUAGUGGAAACCUCGGCCGGACUCCCUGCGGAUGGAACCCGAAUAGGCGAUAAACCUGGACUAGGGACUCGUGUGUUUAGUCAGGCCGUGGCCGACACCCUCGCUGGGCUUCCGCUUGAGGCUUGCCGAGUACACGUCAUGUAGCGGUGAUAAGUGGUGAGAGCGUGUGUGAAGAAGUACACCCCUGCAGGGUAUAAAACUAUUCGAAUAGCCGCGUCCGCGGUAAAGGACUACUUGGUCACCUAUGCAGUUCAUAGACAAGUAAAUGGAUACUUCUAAAAGCCUCAAGUUAAGUGUGAGUACCGAGGAUGGCCCUCUCGUAGGUUGACAAGAGAGGAUCCUCGGUGGAGUAUUGUGUUGGUGAGUAGUGGACUCGUGUGCGACAAAUGUUUUGCAAGUUGUGUCUAUCGUAGAAUAGCUUAGCCAAGAGUCAAAGCUGGCUUGCUGCAAUAACUCCACUACCUUCUUGAGAAUGUGCAUGUAUGAUAGGAUUCUGUUGUAAGACUUGCUGAGUACCUCUGUACUCAUGUUUGCUUAAAUGUUUUCAGACGACAACACCAACCCCUCCGAUGGGUUCUACGUAGACCUCGACGUUGACGAGUGACUAACCACCCAAGUGGUGAUCCGAGACUUGUGAAGGGCCGAUGUAGAUAGAAAGGCUUCGUCAAGCCCUCUUUCUUUCUAGUGUCUGUACUCAGACUAGUUGCUUCCGCAUGUGCUUGUAUGCUUGUAUGACUUGAGUCUCAGGUCAUGUGACCCCUAUCUGUAUGAACAUGUUAUGUAUGGCUCCUUGGAGCCACUUAAAUAAAGUACUUUGAGUUGUAGAGUUUUGUUGUGAUGCCAUGUUGUAUGUACUCAUAUCGGGCAUAUUGUGUGUAUGUUUGAAAUGCUUGGUAUGAGUGGGAUCCGACAAUCUAGUUGUUUAUCCUUGGCAGCCUCUCAUAUGGGGAAAUGUAGUCUAGUGCUUCCUGAGCGAUAGUAGUCCGCUACAGCCCGGUUCACCGGAGUCCUGCUAGCCCAGUACUACAGCUCUGGACACUUGACUGGACAGCAUGUGUUUCACUUCGUUCCUGUGUCUGUCCCUUUGCGGAAAUGUCACGCGGUGGCAUUCGGAGUCCUGCCUAGCCUGCUACAGCCCGGGUUACUGUUGGGAAACGUAGUAAUUUCAAAAUUUUCCUACGCACACACAAGAUCAUGGUGAUGGCAUAGCAACGAGAGGGGAGAGUGUUCGUCCACGUACCCUCGUAGACCGUAAGCGGAAGCGUUAGCACAACGCGGUUGAUGUAGUCGUACGUCUUCACGAUCCGACUAAUCCAAGCACUGAACGUACGUGGCCUCCGAGUUCAGCACACGUUCAGCUCGAUGAUGAUCUCCGGCCUCCAAUCCAGCGAAGCUCCGGAGAUGAGUUCCGUCAGCACGACAGCAUGGUGACGAUGAUGAUGUUCUACCUGCGCAGGGCUUCGCCUAAAAUCCGCGACGAUAUGACUGAGGUGGAAUAUGGUGGAGGGGGGCACCGCACACGGCUAAGGAACGAUCCAUAGAUCAACUUGUGUGUCUAUGGGGUGCCCCCCCCCCCCCGCCCCUGUAUAUAAAGGAGAAAGGGGGAGGCCGGCCGGCCCCUUGGGCGCGCCAAGGGAGGAGGAAUNNNNNNNNNNNNNNNNNNNNNNNNNNNNNNNNNNNNNNNNNNNNNNNNNNNNNNNNNNNNNNNNNNNNNNNNNNNNNNNNNNNNNNNNNNNNNNNNNNNNNNNNNNNNNNNNNNNNNNNNNNNNNNNNNNNNNNNNNNNNNNNNNNNNNNNNNNNNNNNNNNNNNNNNNNNNNNNNNNNNNNNNNNNNNNNNNNNNNNNNNNNNNNNNNNNNNNNNNNNNNNNNNNNNNNNNNNNNNNNNNNNNNNNNNNNNNNNNNNNNNNNNNNNNNNNNNNNNNNNNNNNNNNNNNNNNNNNNNNNNNNNNNNNNNNNNNNNNNNNNNNNNNNNNNNNNNNNNNNNNNNNNNNNNNNNNNNNNNNUCCGGUUUUCUCCGAAAUCACCCGGAACAAUUUCGGUGUCCGAAUAUAGUCGUCCAAUAUAUCAAUCUUUAUGACUCGACCAUUUCGAGAUUCCUCGUCAUGUCCGUGAUGACAUCCGGGACUCCGAACAAACUUCGGUACAUCAAAACUUAUAAACUCAUAAUAAAACUGUCAUCGUAACGUUAAGCGUGCGGACCCUACGGGUUCGAGAACUAUGUAGACAUGACCUAGAACCAUUCUUGGUCAAUAACCAAUAGCGGGACCUAGAUGCCCAUAUUGGUUCCUACAUAUUCUACGAAGAUCUUUAUCGGUCAAACCGCAUAACAACAUACGUUGUUCCCUUUGUCAUCGAUAUGUUACUUGCCCGAGAUUUGAUCGUCGGUAUCCAAUACCUAGUGCAAUCUCGUUACUGGCAAGUCUCUUUACUCGUUCCGUAAUACAUCAUCUCAUAACUAACUUAUUAGUUACAAUGCUUGCAAGGCUUAGGUGAUGAGUAUUACCAAGAGGACCCAGAGAUACCUCUCCGACAAUCGGAGUGACAAAACCUAAUCCCGAAUUAUGCCAACUCAACAUGUACCUUCGGAAACACCUAUAGAGCACCUUUAUAAUCACCCAGUUACGUUGUGACGUUUGGUAGCACACAAAGUGUUCUUCCGGUAAACGGGAGUUGCACAAUCUCAUAGUUGCAGGAACUUGUAUAAGUCAUGAAGAAAGCAAUAGCAGUAUACUAAACGAUCAAGUGCUAGGCUAACGGAAUGGGUCAUGUCAAUCACAUCAUUCUCCUAAUGAUGUGAUCCCGUCAAUCAAAUGACAACUCUUUUGUCCAUGGUUAGGAAACAUAACCAUCUUUGAUAAACGAGCUAGUCAAGUAGAGGCAUACUAGUGACACUAUGUUUGUCUAUGUAUUCACACAUGUAUCAUGUUUCCGGUUAAUAUAAUUCUAGCAUGAAUAAUAAACAUUUAUCAUGAUAUGAGGAAAUAAAUAAUAACUUUAUUAUUGCCUCUAUGGCAUAUUUCCUUCAGUCUCCCACUUGCACUAGAGUCAAUAAUCUAGAUUACAUGGUAAUGAUUUUGACACCCAUGGAGUCUUGGUGCUGAUCAUGUUUUGCUCGUGAGAGAGGCUUAGUCAACGGGUCUGCAACAUUCAGAUCCGUAUGUAUCUUGCAAAUCUCUAUGUCUCCCACUUGGACUUGGUCCCGAAUGGAAUUGAAGCGUCUCUUGAUGUGUUUGGUCCUCUUGUGAAAUUUGGAUUCCUUUGCCAAGGCAAUUGCACCAGUAUUGUCACAGAAGAUGUUCAUUGGUCCCGAUGCACUAGGUAUGACACCUAGAUCGGAAAUGAGAUCCUUCAUCCAGACUCCUUCAUUUGCUGCUUCUGAAGCAGCUAUGUACUCCGCUUCACAUGUAGAUCCCGCCACGAUGCUUUGUUUAGAACUGCACCAACUUACAGCUCCACCGUUUAAUAAAAACACGUAUCUGGUUUGCGAUUUAGAAUCGUCCGGAUCAGUGUCAAAGCUUGCAUCGACGUAACCGUUUACGACUAGCUCUUUGUCACCUCCAUAUAUGAGAAACAUAUCCUUAGUCCUUUUCAGGUAUUUCAGGAUGUUCUUGACCGCUGUCCAGUGAUCCACUCCUGGAUUACUUUGGUACCUUCCUGCCAAGCUUAUUGCUAAGCAUACGUCAGGCCUGGUACACAGCAUUGCAUACAUGAUAGAGCCUAUGGCUGAAGCAUAGGGAACAUUUUUCAUUUUCUCUCUAUCUUCUGCUGUGGUCGGGCAUUGAGUUUGACUCAACUUCACACCUUGUAGCACAGGUAAGAAUCCUUUCUUUGCCUGAUCCAUUUUGAACUUUUUCAAAAAAAAUUCAAGGUAUGUGCUUUGUGAAAGUCCUAUUAAGCGUCUUGAUCUAUCUCUAUAGAUCUUGAUGAGUAAUAUGUAAGCAGCUUCACCGAGGUCUUUCAUUGAAAAACUUUUAUUCAAGUAUCCCUUUAUGCUAUGCAGAAAUUCUAUAUCAUUUCCAAUUAAUAAUAUGGCAUCUACAUAUAAAAUUAGAAAUGCUACAGAGCUCCCACUCACUUUCUUGUAAAUACAGGCUUCUCCAAAUGUCUGUAUAAAACCAUAUGCUUUGAUCACACUAUCAAAGCGUUUAUUCCAACUCCGAAAUGCUUGCACCAGUCCAUAAAUGGAACGCUGGAGCUUGCAUACUUUGUCAGCACCUUUUGGAUCAACAAAACCUUCCGGCUGCAUCAUAUACAACUCUUCUUCUAGAAAUCCAUUCAAGAAUGCAGUCUUGACAUCCAUAUGCCAAAUUUCAUAAUCAUGAAAUGCAGCAAUAGCUAACAUGAUUCGGACAGACUUAAGCAUCGCUACGGGUGAGAAAGUCUCAUCGUAGUCAACCCCUUGAACUUGUCGAAAACCUUUUGCAACAAGUCGAGCUUUAUAGACAGUUACAUUACCAUCAGCGUCAGUCUUCUUCUUAAAGAUCCAUUUAUUCUCAAUGGCUUGCCAAUCAUCGGGCAAGUCAACCAAAGUCCAUACUUUGUUUUCAUACAUGGAUCCCAUCUCAGAUUUCAUGGCUUCUAGCCAUUUUGCGGAAUCUGGGCUCAUCAUCGCUUCCUCAUAGUUCGUAGGUUCACCAUGGUCAAGUAACAUGACUUCCAGAAUAGGAUUACCAUACAACUCUAGUGCGGAUCUUACUCUGGUAGACCUACGAGGUUCAGUAGAAACUUGAACUCCUCACUAAUUGGUGUAGUUGUCACAGGAACCGGUUCUCGUGAUGAACUACUUUCCAAUAAGGGAGUAGAUACAGUUAUCUCAUCAAGUUCUACUUUCCUCCCACUCACUUCUUUCGAGAGAAACUCCUUCUCUAGAAAGGAUCCAUUCUUAGCAACGAAUGUCUUGCCUUCAGAUCUGUGAUAGAAGGUGUACCCAACAGUCUCUUUUGGGUAUCCUAUGAAAACACAUUUCUCCGAUUUGGGUUCGAGCUUAUCUGGUUGAAGUUUCUUCACAUAAGCAUCGCAGCCCCAAACUUUAAGAAACGACAACUUUGGUUUCUUGCCAAACCACAGUUCAUAAGGCGUCGUCUCAACGGAUUUUGAUGGUGCCCUAUUUAACGUGAAUGCGGCCGUCUCUAAAGCAUAACCCCAAAACGAUAGCAGUAAAUCAGUAAGAGACAUCAUAGAUCGCACCAUAUCAAGUAAAGUACGAUUAUGACGUUCGGACACACCAUUUCGUUGUGGUGUUCCGGGUGGCGUGAGUUGCGAAACUAUUCCACAUUGUUUCAAGUGUAGGCCAAACUCGUAACUCAAAUAUUCUCCUCCACGAUCAGAUCGUAGAAACUUUAUUUUCUUGUUACGAUGAUUUUCCACUUCACUCUGAAAUUCUUUGAACUUUUCAAAUGUUUCAGACUUGUGUUUCAUCAAGUAGAUAUACCCAUAUCUGCUCAAAUCAUCUGUGAAGGUGAGAAAAUAACGAUACCCGCCGCGAGCCUCAACAUUCAUUGGGCCACAAACAUCAGUAUGUAUGAUUUCCAACAAAUUAGUUGCUCGCUCCAUAGUUCCGGAGAAUGGCGUUUUAGUCAUCUUGCCCAUAAGGCACAGUUCGCAAGUACCAAGUGAUUCAUAAUCAAGUGAUUCCAAAAGUCCAUCAGUAUGGAGUUUCUUCAUGCGUUUUACACCGAUAUGACCCAAAAGGCAGUGCCACAAGUAAGUUGCACUAUCGUUAUCAACUCUGCAUCUUUUGGUUUCAACACUAUGAACAUGUGUAUCACUACUAUCGAGAUUUAAUAAAAAUAAACCACUCUUCAAGGGUGCAUGACCAUAAAAGAUAUUACUCAUAUAAAUAGAACAACCAUUAUUCUUUGAUUUAAAUGAAUAACCGUCUCGCAUCAAACAAGAUCCAGAUAUAAUGUUCAUGCUUAACGCUGGCACCAAAUAACAAUUAUUCAGGUCUAAAACUAAUCCCGAAGGUAGAUGUAGAGGUAGCGUGCCGACCGCGAUCACAUCGACUUUGGAACCGUUUCCCACGCGCAUCGUCACCUCGUCCUUGGCCAGUGCUCGCUUAUUCCGUAGUCCCUAUUUCGAGUUGCAAAUAUUAGCAACAGAACCAGUAUCAAAUUCCCAGGUGCUACUACGAGCUCUAGUUAGGUACACAUCAAUAACAUGUAUAUCACAUGUAGCUUUGUUUACUUUGCCAUCCUUCUUAUCCGCCAAAUACUUGGGGCAGUUCCGCUUCCAGUGACCAGUCUGCUUGCAGUAGAAGCACUCAGUUUCAGGCUUAGGUCCAGACUUGGGUUUCUUCUCUUGAGCAGCAACUUGCUUGCUGUUCUUCUUGAAGUUCCCCUUCUUCUUCCCUUUGCCCUUUUUCUUGAAACUAGUGGUCUUGUUGACCAUCAACACUUGAUGCUCCUUCUUGAUUUCUACCUCCGCAGCUUUUAGCAUUGCGAAGAGCUCGGGAAUAGUCUUGUUCAUCCCUUGCAUAUUAUAGUUCAUCACAAAGCUCUUGUAUCUUGGUGGCAGUGAUUGGAGAACUCUGUCAAUGACGCUAUCAUCCGGAAGAUUAACUCCCAGUUGAAUCAAGUGAUUAUUAUACCCAGACAUUUUGAGUAUAUGCUCACUGACAGAACUAUUCUCCUCCAUCUUGCAGCUGUAGAACUUAUUGGAGACUUCAUAUCUCUCAAUCCGGGCAUUUGCUUGAAAUAUUAACUUCAACUCCUGGAACAUCUCAUAUGCUCCAUGACGUUCAAAACGUCGUUGAAGGCCCGGUUCUAAGCCGUAAAGCAUGGCACACUGAACUAUAGAGUAGUCAUCAGCUUUGCUCUGCCAGACGUUCUUAACGUCGUCAGUUGCAUCAGCAGCAAGCCUGGCACCCAGCGGUGCUUCCAGGACGUAACUUUUCUGUGCAGCAAUGAGGAUAAUCCUCAGGUUACGGACCCAGUCCGUGUAAUUGCUACCAUCAUCUUUCAACUUUUCUUUCUCAAGGAACGCAUUAAAAUUCAACGGAACAACAGCACGAGCCAUCUAUCUACAAACAAACAUAGACAAGCAAAAUACUAUCAGGUACUAAGUUCAUGAUAAAUUUUAAGUUCAAUUAAUCAUAUUACUUAAGAACUCCCACUUAGACAGACAUCUCUCUAGUCAUCUAAGUGAUUACGUGAUCCAAAUCAACUAAACCAUAACCGAUCAUCAUGUGAGAUGGAGUAGUUUUCACUGGUGAACAUCACUAUGUUGAUCAUAUCUACUAUAUGAUUCAUGCUCGACCUUUCGGUCUCCGUGUUCCGAGGCCAUAUCUGCAUAUGCUAGGCUCGUCAAGUUUAACCUGAGUAUUCUGCGUGUGCAAAACUGGCUUGUACCCGUUGUAGAUGGACGUAGAGCUUAUCACACCCUAUCAUCACGUGGUGUCUGGGCACGACAAACUUUGGCAAUGGUGCAUACUCAGGGAGAACACUUCUUGAUAAUUUUUGUGAGAGAUCAUCUUAAAAUGCUACCGUCAAUCAAAGCAAGAUAAGAUGCAUAAAGGAUAAACAUCACAUGCAAUCAAUAUAAGUGAUAUGAUAUGGCCCUCAUCAUCUUGUGCUUGUGAUCUCCAUCUUUGAAGCACCAUCGUGAUCACCAUCGUCACCGGCGCGACACCUUGAUCUCCAUCGUAGCAUCGUUGUCGUUACGCCAUCUAUUGCUUCUACGACUAUCUAUACCGCUUAGUGAUAAAGUAAAGCAAUUACAGGGUGUUUGCAUUUCAUACAAUAAAGCGACAACCAUAUGGCUCCUGCCAGUUGCCGAUAACUUCGGUUACAAAACAUGAUCAUCUCAUACAAUAAAAUAUAUCAUCACGUCUUGACCAUAUCACAUCACAACAUGCCCUGAAAAACAAGUUAGACGUCCUCUACUUUGUUGUUGCAAGUUUUACGUGGCUGCUAUGGGCUUAGCAAGAACUGUUCUUACCUACGCAUCAAAACCACAACGAUAGUUCGUCAAGUUGGUGCUGUUUUAACCUUCGCAAGGACCGGGCGUAGCCACACUCGAUUCAGCUAAAGUGAGAGAGACAGACACCCGCCAGCCACCUUUAAGCACGAGUGCUCGUAACGGUGAAACCAGUCUCACGUAAGCGUACGCGUAAUGUCGGUCCGGGCCGCUUCAUCUCACAAUACCGCCGAACCAAAGUAUGAAAUGCUGGUAAGCAGUAUGACUUGUAUCGCCCACAACUCACUUGUGUUCUACUCGUGCAUAUAACAUCAACGCAUAAAACCUAGGCUCGGAUGCCACUGUUGGGAAACGUAGUAAUUUCAAAAUUUUCCUACGCACACGCAAGAUCAUGGUGAUGGCAUAGCAACGAGAGAGGAGAGUGUUCGUCCAUGUACCCUCGUAGACCGUAAGCGGAAGCGUUAGCACAACGCGGUUGAUGUAGUUGUACGUCUUCACGAUCCGACCGAUCCAAGCACCGAACGUACGGGGCCUCCGAGUUCAGCACACGUUCAGCUCGAUGACGAUCUCCGGCCUCCGAUCCAGUGAAGCUCCGGAGAUGAGUUCCGUCAGCACGACGGCGUGGUGACGAUGAUGAUGUUCUACCGGCACAGGGCUUCGCCUAAACUCCGCGACAAUAUGACCGAGGUGGAAUAUGGUGGAGGGGGGGCACCGCACACGGCUAAGGAACGAUCCGUAGAUCAACUUGUGUGUCUAUGGGGUGCCCCCCGCCCCUGUAUAUAAAGGAGCAAGGGGGAGAGGCCGGCCGGCCCCUUGGGCGCGCCAAGGGAGGAGGAAUCCUCCUCCUAGUAGGAGUAGGACUCCUCCUUUCCUACUCCUACUAGGAGGGGGAAGGAAGGAGGAGAGGGGGAAGGAAAGGGGGGGCGCCGCCCCCCUCGUAGUCCAAUUCGGACCAGAGGGGGGGAGGGGGCGUGCGGCCCAUGCUGGCCGCCCCUCUCUCCUUUCCCCUAAGGCCCAUAAGGCCCAAUACUCUCCCGGGGGGUUCCGGUAACCCCCGGCACUCCGGUUUUCUCCGAAAUCACCCGGAACAAUUCCGGUGUCCGAAUAUAGUCGUCCAAUAUAUCAAUCUUUAUGUCUCGACCAUUUCGAGAUUCCUCGUCAUGUCCGUGAUGACAUCCGGGACUCCGAACAAACUUCGGUACAUCAAAAGAUAUAAACUCAUAAUAAAACUGUCAUCGUAACGUUAAGCGUGCGGACCCUACAGGUUCGAGAACUAUGUAGACAUGACCUAGAACCAUUCUCGGUCAAUAACCAAUAGCGGGACCUGGAUGCCCAUAUUGGUUCCUACAUAUUCUACGAAGAUCUUUAUCGGUCAAACCGCAUAACAACAUACGUUGUUCCCUUUGUCAUGGGUACGUUACUUGCCCGAGAUUUGAUCGUCGGUAUCCAAUACCUAGUUCAAUCUCGUUACUGGCAAGUCUCUUUACUCGUUCCGUAAUAUAUCAUCUCAUAACUAACUUAUUAGUUACAAUGCUUGCAAGGCUUAGGUGAUGAGUAUUACCGAGAGGGCCCAGAGAUACCUCUCCGACAAUCGGAGUGACAAAACCUAAUCUCGAAUUAUGCCAACUCAACAUGUACCUUCGGAAACACCUGUAGAGCACCUUUAUAAUCACCCAGUUACGUUGUGACGUUUGGUAGCACACAAAGUGUUCUUCCGGUAAACGGGAGUUGCACAAUCUCAUAGUUGCAGGAACUUGUAUAAGUCAUGAAGAAAGCAAUAGCAGUAUACUAAACGAUCAAGUGCUAGGCUAACGGAAUGGGUCAUGUCAAUCACAUCAUUCUCCUAAUGAUGUGAUCCCGUCAAUCAAAUGACAACUCUUUUGUCCAUGGUUAGGAAACAUAACCAUCUUUGAUAAACGAGCUAGUCAAGUAGAGGCAUACUACUGACACUAUGUUUGUCUAUGUAUUCACACAUGUAUCAUGUUUCCGGUUAAUAUAAUUCUAGCAUGAAUAAUAAACAUUUAUCAUGAUAUGAGGAAAUAAAUAAUAACUUUAUUAUUGCCUCUAGGGCAUAUUUCCUUCAGUUACCGGAGUCCUGUUAGCCCAGUGUUACAGCCCGGAUGUAUACGUUGAUGACCGACAUGCUCGAUGUGACUCAUGUAUGCCUGUCCCCAUAGGUUAGCGCCGCUUUGGGUUCAUGACUAGCCAUGUCAGCCCGGGUUCUCUGUCAUAUGGAUGCUAGCGACACUAUCAUAUACGUGAGCCAAAAGGCGCAAACAGUCCCGGCCAUGGUAAGGCGACACCCGUGGGAUUACCGUGCGUGAGGCCGCAAAGUGAUAUGAGGUGUUACCGGCUAGAUCAAUGUGACUUGGAAUCAUGGUCCAGACAGCAUUGGCAUCAGAGCCGGACUGCCUGUAGGUUCCUAAGCCAAACUGGUCGAUGUCGAGUCUAGAAAUGCUUUAGUUAUAUGUAGGGGAAUUUAUUGUGGGAGGAAACGUAAGGCUCUUUUUACCCCUUUACCUUAUGCCCUCUGAUCUGUGUCAUCCUCUUCUCAUUCUACGUGGGUUAAGGACUAGGCUCUCUUCUCUCUAUCAGGUUCACGUGUUACUAAUCCGUAGUAACUUAUAGGAUUGUUGGUUACCAGUCUCAGUACAGUUCCUACUACUUUAGUAUGUUAUCAGUUGAACCUGAACCUUGAUAUGAUGUUGUUGAGUGGUUUUGCAAUCCGUUGUGAAUGUCUCAAAUCUGCUCCUGAGCAUUUACAGCUGUUAUGUUGUCCAAUUUUCCCUAGGAAUUCUAAUGUCUUUGCAUUGUGGUUGUGCUUUCAGAUGGCCACUCGCGCUCAGAACCAAGUGGUUCGCCUGACGCGGUGCCUCAAUGUGCCCGGUCAUACUGCUAUGUUAGUCCGGGUCAUGAUCGAGACAGGUUACCGUUGGUAUCCCGAAUACAUUGCCGAAGAGCAAUUCCAAGACUUUAAUCAAAGCCAAUACUUCUGCACUGUCAGGAUAUUUCCUUCAUAUCCUGGAUCCACCGAGCCCCUUCACUGCUCCUAUGGACUCGGGGUCACCAUUGAGAUGGCUGUACAGGAUGCGGCCUAUUCUAUGAUGACCAUCAUGCGAGUCAGGACUGGUCUGCUUCGGAACACCGACUUCCGUUAUAUGCCAGCAUCGCUCCCAGGAGCGCAAGGGUAUCUCCAGGCUAUCUAUGCUGAUUCCACCCAUGAGGACUCACUAACUCGCACCAUUGCGGAGAUGCUCGAGGAUAAGGACCGAGAGAAUCAGGCCUUGAGGUUGGAGCUUUUCAACACCUGCGCCGAUCAUUGGGCCACUUUGACUCGGUUUGCACCGGCUGUGCAAGCUGGAUGUAUGGAUAUGAGGGAUCUGUUUCCUGUGAGAUCUGCUCUGCCAGACAUGGUGGAUUGGCGUGAUGUGGGAGGCAUCAUCCCACCCCGUGGUCCCCGUAGGCCAUCGUUUGUUGGUCCAAGACCUCAUCCUAGCCCCUAUGGUCCACAGGCUCCUCAGGACCGUCUGUUCCCGGAUGAUCACGUUGAGCUUCCAAGCUAUGGAGGGGACUUCUAUGAGGACUACUACGGAGCUGUCUGAGUUAGUAGUAGUAUCUUUAGUAUUGUAAUAGUUGUAAUUCCAUCGUCCUGCGUGACCUGUGGAAUAUGACUUAGUGUGUAUCAGUUCCGGAGGUGUAGAAAAAUAAUGUAUCGGAGCUUGGAAUGCCUCCGAUGAGAUGUAACUUCUUCCACCGUAGUUGUACUAUAGUCGGGCUUGUACUAAACUAUGUAUGGUGUGUAUGACUGUUGGUGCAUAUAUGGCAGUUUCUGUAUUACCAUGUCAUACAGAUGAACAUCUCUGCAUUCCUUGUUAUCCAUUACAUUCUGCACUUCCUUGUCCAGAUUUGCCAUCCUUGUCUAAAGCGAUGUCUUGUUUUCCUAGGAUGGUCAACACCCGUAACAACCCUGCUACUCCGGAGCAGGGUGAAGCCAGUGCAGCUAGGAAUGAAAAUCUGCCUCAACCACCUUCUCUGGUCGAAGUUAUGCUGGAGGCAGAGCGAAAUAAGCGUGAGACCAAUCGCUUGCUGGAGCGGAUUGAGCAGAAUACCGCACGCCAGCCGAGGAACGACCUGGUGUCACUUAAUGACUUUGUCAAGCUGUAUCCACCGAAGUUUAAACAUUCCGUCGAGCCCCUUGAUGCGGAUGAAUGGCUUCGCAGCAUUACCCACAAGCUACGUUCUGUCAAUGUGGCCGAAGCUGAUAAGGUUAACUUUGCUACCUAUCACCUCGAAGGCCCUGCUAGCCUUUGGUGGGAAAACUUUGAGGCUAUGCGCCCGGUCGGCCAAAUUACUACUUGGGCUGAAUUCAGUAUGGAGCAUCACAUUCCGGAAGGUCUUAUGGAUCGCAAGCGUGAAGAGUUCUGCAACUUCACCCAGGGUAGACUGACUGUGGAUGCAUACAGUCGCGAGUUUGGAUAUCUAGCACGAUAUGCUCCUAAAGAGGUAUCCACCGACGCCAAGAAGCAGGCAAGGUUCCGCAAGGGACUUAGCCCCGAGCUUCGUCGUGAUCUUCGUCUGCACGAGUGCACCUCCUUCCAGAAGUUAGUCAACAAGGCCAUCAGUGCUGAGACAGGGCAGUCGGACUUUGAAGCUUCACGCAAGCACUCCCGUGACUUUGGACUUCAUCCGGCUGUGCAUCUCAGAAGCGCCGGGUCUGGAUUCCAAGCACUGCUCUGCCACCCAGGUUCACCCCGAGGCCAUCCUUUGACGCGCCUCGCCCCAACCAAUAGUAUACACCGCCCAAGGCCUAUGGUGGCCCCACUGCUAAUGCUACUCCAUGCCCCAAUGUGAUAACUUGUUUCAAGUGUGGGGAGACGGGUCACUACAUUCGUGAGUGUCCCCAAAACAACCCCAACCAGAUUGGAAAGUCUGUUGGCCGUGGCAAGCCAGCAGGAAAGGUGCUCUACGCCAAGCCAGCCACCACUGCCCGUGGCCAUGUCAACUAUGUCUCAGCAGAGGAGACUCAUGAGGAUCCCAACGUCGUUCUCGGUACGCUUCUUGUUAAUUGCCACCCGGCAACCAUUCUCUUUGAUACUGGAGCAUCUCAUUCAUUUAUAUCUGAAAGCUAUGCUCGAUUGCACAACACCACAUUUUGUGACAUGCCCACCUCCAUGGUAAUUCAAACCCCUGGUUCUAAGUGGCAAACCUCUAAAAUCAGCCAUGGAAAUGAAAUCCUUGUCGACAGAUUAGUCUUCCUUGCAUCACUAAUAGCUCUCAAGUCCUCGGACAUAAACAUCAUCUUGGGUAUGGACUGGAUGUCAGCCCAUUACGCUAAGAUCGAUUGCUCCACUAGAACUGUUCAACUCACCCACCCUUCGGGCAAGACAGCCAAUGUUUUGACCCGAGUGUCUAAGCGUCAGCUUUACUCUUUAAAUGCCAACCCCCUUCCAGACCUUGAAGAUAUUCCGGUAGUCCGUGACUUCCCGGAUGUCUUUCCAGAGGAACUGUCAGGUGUUCCACCUAACAGAGAUGUCAAGUUCGUGAUAGACCUUGUUCCAGGAACCAUGCCAACAUCUAGGAGACCUUAUAAGAUGGCACCCCUAGAACUAGCUGAGCUUAAGAAACAACUCGAUGAGUCCUUGCAAAAGGGUUUCAUCCAUCCUAGCUCUUCUCCAUGGGCUUGCCCCGUCCUUUUCGUCAAGAAGAAGGAUGGAACGGAUCGGAUGGUUGUAGAUUACCGGCCAGUCAACUUGGUCACUAUCAAGAACAAGUAUCCGCUCCCCAAGAUCAACGACCUGUAUGAUCAGCUCGCUGGAUCCUCAGUCUUUUCUAAAAUGGAUUUGAGGUUGGGCUACCAUCAAAUCAAAAUUAAGAACGGGGACAUUCCUAAAACGGCCUUUGUUACUCGAUAUGGCCAAUACGAGUACACCGUCAUGUCCUUCGGUCUAACCAAUGCCCCAGCCACCUUCUCUCGGUUAUUGAACUCGAUCUUCAUGGAGUAUUUUGAUAAAUUCGUCGUGGUUUACCUUGAUGAUAUACUCAUCUACUCCAAGAAUGAAGAAGAACAUGCCGAACAUCUAAGGCUAGUGUUGAUGAAACUUUGAGAGCAUUGUCUUUAUGCCAAAUUCUCUAGGUGUGAGUUUUGGUUGCCAGAAGUAACCUAUCUAGGACAUGUAAUCUCUGGUAAGGGCAUUGCUGUCAAUCCCAAGCGAGUUCAAGCCAUCCUUGACUGGACUCCACCUGAAACGGUCAAGCAAGUUCAGAGUUUUGUUGGUUUAGCGAGCUAUUGCCGCUGCUUCAUCGAGAAUUUCUCCAAGGUUGCUAAGCCUCUAACCGAACUCCUCAAGAAAGAUAAAAAGUUCGAAUGGACGCCAUAGUGCGAGUUCAGUUUUCAGGAACUGAAAAGACGCCUGACAUCUGCUCCUGUACUUGUUCCACCAGAUUUCUCUAAGGACUUCGUUAUCUACUGCGACGCCUCGCGACAAGGACUAGGUUGCAUACUCAUGCAAGAUCGUCAUGUGAUUGCCUACGCUUCUCGACAGCUGCGUCCACAUGAGGAUAACUAUCCCACACAUGAUCUACAGCUUGCAGCAGUGGUCCAUGCACUCAAAACCUGGCGACAUUACCUUCUCGGUAAUCGUUGCGAGAUUUACACCGAUCACCAAAGUCUGAAAUACAUCUUCACCAAACCGGAUUUGAAUCUCAGACAAAGACGUUGGGUCGAGUUGAUUACGGAUUACGAUCUAGGAAUAACCUACACCCCAGGAAAAGCCAAUGUCAUGGCUGAUGCAUUAAGCCGUAAAUCUUAUUGUAACAACCUGAUGUUACAACAAAGCCAACCAUUUCUCCACGAGGAAUUUCGUAAGCUUAACCUUCACAUCGUUCCUCGAGGUUUUCUUUCCACCCUGGUGGCGAAACCUACCCUUACGGAUCAGAUCAUCAAGGCACAGAAGGUAGAUCCGGGAAUAUCCCGUAUCAAGAGAAACAUCAAAAGGGAGUUGGACUGUUUCUCCAUAGAUGAUCAAGGUGUUGUGUUCUUUGGAGGCCAUCUAGUGGUUCCCAAGGUAUGCAACCUGAGGCGAUUGAUCCUUAAGGAAGCUCAUGAAUCCCCUCUCACUAUUCAUCCCAGUAGUACUAAAAUGUAUCAAGACCUACGCCAGAGGUUUUGGUGGACUAGGAUGAAGAGAGAAAUCGCUCAAUACAUUACCAAUUGCGACGUCUGUCGUCGAGUUAAAGAAGAGCAUCAACGACCUGCUGGCACCCUGCAACCUUUGGAAAUUCCCGAAUGGAAAUGGGAUAAAAUCGGUAUGGAUUUCAUUACCGGGUUUCCCAGGACCAAGAGGGGGAAUAAUGCUAUCUUCGUUGUUGUCGAUCGUCUUUCCAAAGUAGCCCACUUCCUACACGUUCGUGAGAGUUUAACCGCUAGCCAGCUAGCUGACUUAUACAUCUCCCGAAUAGUGUCUCUUCAUGGUGUUCCAUUGGAGACUAACUCAGACCGUGGAAGUCUCUUCACCUCUCGAUUUCGGGAAAGUUUCCAAAAUGCGAUGGGAACUCGUCUUUCUUUUAGCACCGCUUUCCAUCCUCAAUCAAGUGGUCAAGUAGAACGAGUCAAUCAAAUUCUAGAGGAUAUGCUUCGAGCUUCUGUCAUCUCUUUUGGUAUGAAUUGGGAGAAGUGCCUUCCAUUCGCUGAGUUCGCUUAUAACAAUAGUUAUCAAGCUAGCUUGGACAAAGCUCCUUUCAAAGUUCUCUAUGGAUGAAAAUGUCGAACACCUCUUAACUGGUCAGAAACCGGGUAAAGACAACUCUUUGGCCCGGAUAUGAUCCAGGAAGCAGAGGAGCAGGUUCACGUUAUUCGUGAGAAAUUGAAAACAGCCCAAUCUCAUCAAAAGAGCCAAUAUGACCGCAAACAUACACUAGUAGAAAAGGGGCCAAUGGUCCAGGCCGGUCCAGCCCAUUAGUCCCGGUUCAAUCCAGAACCGGGACCAAUGGGGGCAUUGGACCCGGUUCGUGAGCCCUGGGGGCCGGCCGGGCCACGUGGGCCAUUGGUCCCGGUUCGUCCUGACCUUUCGGUCCCGGUUGGUGGGACGAACCGGGACCAAUGGGCCUCGCUCCUGGCCCACCAACAUUGGUCCCGGUUGGUGGCUUGAACCGGGACCAAAGGCGUCCCUUUAGUCCCGGUUCAAGUCACCAACCGGGACCAAUUAGUUGCCUAUAUAUACCCCUCGCCUGCGAGCAGAGCACUCCCAGUGCUCUGUUUUUCGUGGCUGGCGAGGGGAGAGCUUUGUGGUGCUCUAGCUCACGUCCUAUGCACACAAGGUGUUCGAUGGAAUGCCCGAGCCACACUACUUAAGCUUUCUCCUCUCCAAGCUCGACCUCCAAGCUCCAUUUUCCUUCAUAUUUGUCUAGGUUUAGCGGUUCGUCACGUCCCGUCCCCAUCUUCACCACCGUUGAUCGCCCGCGCCGAUCUCGUCGCCGGCACCACCGUGGUGAGCCUCUUGUUCUUAUCUUCUUUCUGAAAGGAAAAAAAAUUCUUACUUGUAUGUUUAUAUAGAUACUUGUAUAAUUUUCUUACUUUUAUUAUUGCAUCUUAUAUAGUGCGAUGGUUUUGGUAUCCGCCCCCGUCGGCCCUCGUCCUGUCUAUGAUUCAGAUGUGGUAUAUAUAUAUUAUCUUUUCAUAACUAGUGGUUCAUUUAUUGUUUAUGACAAUUAUGCCGACCAACGUGACAUAGAUUUUAUUUAUCUAGGAGGUUGUUGAACCGGAAAUUCCAACCGACCCUAUUGUCGAGAGGUUAAAUUUAGUUGAAGAAAACAAUUUGUUGAAGGGAAAAAUUAGAAAAAUUGAGGAGGAGAAGAUGAUAUUGGAGUUGCAUGUUGCGGAUGUCAUCGAUGAUCACAAGAUCAAGAUGGAUGCAAUGCGCUUGAAGAUUAGAAAGAUUAGAAAAUAUGCCAUUCAUACCGAGGCUUGGUAUCAUUAUGUCGUUGGAUCAGUUGUUACAUUGGUUGCGAUUAUGAUCGUAUUUGUUUUCGCAUUGAAAUGUUUUACAUAGUUUCAGUGUAUGGUUUAAUUAAUUUAGAUGCCCUGCAGAGCUUUAUGUUGUUAGAUGAGAACUAUGUAUGUACUUUGGUUUUAAUGUGAUGAUGAACUUCUAUUAAUUUCGUCACUUAAUUAUCUAUUCAUGAUGUUCUGUAAUGAUUUUUGACACACUUAAUUAUAUAUAAUGCACGCAGAUGAACCGGCAAUGGAUGUACGGUUCAAGACACACCUCCGAGUACAUUAAGGGCGUGCAUGAUUUUCUCGAAGUGCCUGAGGCAACAAGAAGAAUGGUUUUAUGUGUUGUCCAUGCCCUAUAUGUGGGAAUACGAAGUCUUACUCUGACUGGAAAAUCCUCCACACCCACCUUCUUUACAAGGGUUUCAUGCCACACUAUAAUGUUUGGACGAGGCACGGAGAAAUAGGGGUUAUGAUGGAAGACGGCGAAGAAGAAGAGUACGAUGACAACUAUGUGCCCCCUGAAUACGGUGAUGCUACUGAAGAUCAAGAGGAACCAGACGAUGUGCCCGAUGAUGAUGAUCUCCGCCGGGUCAUUGUCGAUGCAAGGACGCAAUGCGAAAGUCAAAAGGAGAAGCUGAAGUUCGAUCGCAUGUUAGAGGACCACAAAAAAGGGUUGUACCCCAAUUGUGAAGAUGGCAACACAAAGCUCGGUACCGUACUGGAAUUGCUGCAGUGGAAGGCAGAGAAUGUUGUGCCUGACAAAGGAUUUGAGAAGCUACUGAAAAUAUUGAAGAAGAAGCUUCCAAAGGAUAACGAAUUGCCCGACAGUACAUACACAGCAAAGAAGUUCGUAUGCCCUCUAGGAUUGGAGGUGCAGAAGAUACAUGCAUGCCCUAAUGACUGCAUCCUCUACCGCGGUGCGUACAAGGAUCUGAACGCAUGCCCGGUAUGCGGUGCAUUACGGUAUAAGAUCAGACGAGAUGACCCUGGUGAUGUUGACGGCGAGCCCCCCAGGAAGAGGGUUCCUGCGAAGGUGAUGUGGUAUGCUCCCAUAAUACCACGGUUGAAACGUCUGUUCAGAAACGGAGAGCAUGCCAAGUUGAUGCGAUGGCACAGUGAGGACCGUAAGAAAGACGGGAAGUUGAGAGCACCCGCUGACGGGUCGCAGUGGAGAAAAAUCGAGGGAAAGUACUGGGAUGAGUUUGCAAGUGAGCCAAGGAACGUAUGGUUUGCUUUAAGCGCGGAUGGCAUUAAUCCUUUCGGGGAGCAGAGCAGCAAUCACAGCACCUGGCCCGUGACUCUAUGUAUGUAUAACCUUCCUCCUUUGAUGUGCAUGAAGCAGAAGUUCAUUAUGAUGCCAGUUCUCAUCCAAGGCCCUAAGCAACCCGGCGACGACAUUGAUGUGUACCUAAGGCCAUUAGUUGAAGAACUUUUAUAGCUGUGGAAUGGAAAUAGUGUACGUACGUGGGAUGAGCACAAACAGGAGGAAUUUAACCUAAAGGCGUUGCUGUUCGUGACCAUCAACAAUUGGCCCGCUCUCAGUAACCUUUCAGGACAGACAAACAAGGGAUACCACGCAUGCACGCACUGUUUACUUGACACCGAUAGUAUAUACCUAGCAAGUUGUAGGAAGAAUGUGUACCUGGGCCAUCAUCGAUUUCUUUCGACCAACCAUCAAUGUUGAAAGAAAGGCAAGCAUUUCAAAGGCGAGGCAGAUCACCGGAAGAAGCCCUCCAUGCGUACUGGUAUCACGUACUUGCUAUGGUAGUGAUUUACACGUAAUCUUUGGAAAGUGUCCCGGCGGACUAGCUGUUCCGAAUGACGCUGAGAAUCACGCACCCAUGUGGAAGAAGAAAUCUAUAUUUUGGGACCUACCCUACUAGAAAGACCUAGAGGUCCGCUCUUCGAUCGACGUGAUGCACGUGACGAAGAACCUUUGCGUGAACCUGCUAGGCUUCUUGGGCAUGUAUGGGAAGACAAAAGAUACAACUGAGGCACGGGAGGACCUGCAACGCUUGCACGAAAAAGUGGGCAUGCCUCCGAAGCAGUAUGAAGGUCCUGCCAGCUACGCUCUUACGAAAGAAGAGAAAUAAAUCUUCUUUGAAUGCCUGCUCAGUAUGAAGGUCCCGACUGGCUUCUCUUCGAAUAUAAAGGGAAUAAUAAAUAUGCCAGACAAAAAGUUCUAGAACCUAAAGUCUCAUGACUGCCACGUGAUUAUGACGCAACUGCUUCCGGUUGCAUUGAGGGGGCUUCUACCGGAAAACGUCCGAUUAGCCAUUGUGAACCUAUGUGCAUUCCUCAAUGCAAUCUCUCAGAAGGUGAUCGAUCCAGAAAUCAUACCAAGGCUAAGGACUGAUGUGGUGCAAUGUCUUGUCAGUUUCGAGCUGGUGUUCCCACCAUCCUUCUUCAAUAUCAUGACGCACGUCCUAGUUCAUCUAGUUGACGAGAUUGUCAUUCUGGGCCCCGUAUUUCUACACAAUAUGUACUUCUUUGAGAGGUUCAUGGGAGUCCUAAAGAAAUAUGUCUGUAACCGCGCUAGGCCAAAAGGAAGCAUCUCCAUGGGCUAUCAAACAGAGGAUGUCAUCGGGUUUUGUGUUGACUUCAUUCCUGGCCUUAAGAAUAUAGGUCUCCCUAAAUCGCGGUAUGAGGGGAGACUGACUGGAAAAGGCACGCUUGGAAGGGACUCAAUUAUAUGCAGGGACGGAUAUUCUUGGUCUCAAGCACACUACACAGUUCUACAGAACUCUACCUUGGUGACCCCGUAUGUCGAUGAACACAAGAACAGUCUGCGCUCCAAACACCCGGAGCAGUGCGACGACUAGAUUACAUGUGAACACAUCAGGACUUUCAGUAGUUGGUUGGAAGCACAUAUCAGAGGUGACAACACUGUUUGUGAUGAGUUGUACUUGUUGUCCAGGGGACCAUCUUUGACUGUAUUGAUUUGGAAAGGAUACGAGAUAAAUGGGAAUACAUUUUACACGAUUGACCAAGAUCAAAAGAGCACCAACCAAAACAGCGGUGUCCGCUUUGAUGAAACAACCGAGAGGGGAAAGGACACAUAUUGUGGUUACAUAGUGGACAUAUGGGAACUUGACUACGGACACGAUUUUAAGGUCCCUUUGUUUAAGUGCAAAUGGGUCAAUCUGUCAGGUGGCAGGGUACAGGUAGACCCACAGUACGGAAUGACAAUAGUGGAUCUGGAAAAUCUUGGAUACACUGACGAACUGUUCGUCCUAGCCAAUGAUGUGGCACAGGUUAUCUAUGUGAAGGACAUGUCUACCAGACCAAGAAAGAGAAAAGAUAAGGAAGCGAAUACAUCAUACGAUGAGCCAAAGUGCCACAUAGUUCUUUCAGGAAAAAGGGACAUCGUGGGAGUGGAGGACAAGACAGACAUGUCUGAAGAUUAUGAAAAGUUUCAUGAAAUUCCUCCCUUUAAUGUCAAGGCUGACCCCAGCAUCCUGAUAGACGAUGAAGAUUAUCCAUGGUUACGGCGCAAUAAGCAAAUGACACAAGCGAAGAAAAAGUGAAGACUUUCUCCCGCAACUAUUAUGAUGAUACCAUGCCAAAUUUGUAACUGACGAGUAUGAUACCAUUGUCCGUUUUGUACAUGCACAUGCUAUGUGGGUCAAUUUAUGAUACCAUGCCAACUUUCAACUUUUUCAGAGUUCAUUUGAAAUGCUUUAAUGUCUUAUGGUUCGGCCCUCGUAAUGAUUAAAAAUAGCAACAAUAAGUAUUUUGUUGUAAGUAGAAACAAAAUAAAAUAAAUAAAGCAAGAAAGAAAACAAAAAAAACAAAAAAAGUGUUUUCAAAUUUGAAAACUAAUGGUACUAACAGAAAGUUUAUAAUUUUCCUAAAACUAAAAGCAAAAAGAAUUGAAAAAUAAAGCAAAAAACAAAAGACAAUAAAUAAUGCAGAAAUCAAAACAAAAAACAACAAUAAGUAUUUUGUUGUAUGUAGAAACAAAACAAAAUAAAUAAAGCAAGAAAGAAAACAAAAAAACAAAAAAAGUGUUUUCAAAUUUGAAAACUAGGGCACUAACAGAAAGUUUAUAAUUUUCCUAAAACUAAAAGCAAAAAGAAUUAAAAAAUAAAGCAAAAAACAAAAGAAAAUAAAUAAUGCGGAAAACAAAACAAAAAAACUGGAAAAAAAAUAAAAUAGCAAAAAUAAGUAAAGAAAACAAAAAAAUGCCUCCUACUGGGCCCCCACGGCCUGAAUACGACUAGAAACCCUACUAUGGGCCAGGAUUCAGGCCCGCAGUAGGCCCAGAAGGCCCAUCAGGCAAAGCAAUAGCAAGUAGGCCCGAAAGCCUGCGGUGGAGAGGAGCUCGAGAGGGGUGCGGCAGUGGGGCUUAUAAACCACUGCACGCCCCUCUCAACUAGCGAGGUGGGACUAAACUUUGGCCCCGACGCGGGAAGCACAGGGGCCUUUGGUCCCGGUUGGUGGCACCAACCGGGACUAAAGGGGGGGGCAUUGGUACCGGUUCGUGGCACCAACCGGUACCAAAGGCCGCCGCUUCCCGCCCUUUGGGCUGCCGAAAAGGAGGCCUUUGGUCCUAGUUGGUGGCACUAACCGGGACUAAAGGGUGCAUUAGUCCCGGUUGAUUUCACGAACCGGGACCAAUGCCUUUGCUAUAUAAGCAAACACUUUGCAAAAUUUCAGAAUCCCAUCGCCAGUUGCCCCCGACGACGCCGACCCUCCUCGACGCUGCCAGGCUGCUCCACCUCGCCGUCGUCGCCGCCACCGCCAAGCCGUCGCCUCCCCGAGCCCGCGCCAUCCUCGUCGCCGGCCUCCCUGAGCCCGCGCCGUCCUCGUCGCCGGUCUCCUCGAGCCCGCUCCCCGUCCCGCCCCCGCGCGCCGCCGCCCCGAGCCCCUGCCCCGUCCUGCCCCCAUGCGCNNNNNNNNNNNNNNNNNNNNNNNNNNNNNNNNNNNNNNNNNNNNNNNNNNNNNNNNNNNNNNNNNNNNNNNNNNNNNNNNNNNNNNNNNNNNNNNNNNNNNNNNNNNNNNNNNNNNNNNNNNNNNNNNNNNNNNNNNNNNNNNNNNNNNNNNNNNNNNNNNNNNNNNNNNNNNNNNNNNNNNNNNNNNNNNNNNNNNNNNNNNNNNNNNNNNNNNNNNNNNNNNNNNNNNNNNNNNNNNNNNNNNNNNNNNNNNNNNNNNNNNNNNNNNNNNNNNNNNNNNNNNNNNNNNNNNNNNNNNNNNNNNNNNNNNNNNNNNNNNNNNNNNNNNNNNNNNNNNNNNNNNNNNNNNNNNNNNNNNNNNNNNNNNNNNNNNNNNNNNNNNNNNNNNNNNNNNNNNNNNNNNNNNNNNNNNNNNNNNNNNNNNNNNNNNNNNNNNNNNNNNNNNNNNNNNNNNNNNNNNNNNNNNNNNNNNNNNNNNNNNNNNNNNNNNNNNNNNNNNNNNNNNNNNNNNNNNNNNNNNNNNNNNNNNNNNNNNNNNNNNNNNNNNNNNNNNNNNNNNNNNNNNNNNNNNNNNNNNNNNNNNNNNNNNNNNNNNNNNNNNNNNNNNNNNNNNNNNNNNNNNNNNNNNNNNNNNNNNNNNNNNNNNNNNNNNNNNNNNNNNNNNNNNNNNNNNNNNNNNNNNNNNNNNNNNNNNNNNNNNNNNNNNNNNCGCUGCAUUGGCUCUGUUUUUUUUUCAUUUUUAUUAGUUUAAUUAUUUUUUUGUUCAUAUAUAUAUAUAUAUAUAUAAUGUAUAUGUGUAUGUAUGUGGCUAUAUAUGUGUAUGUAGAUGUUCAAAAAUUAUUCAGAGCACGUUUUUAUUCAUAUAUGUAUUUUUUGUUCAUAUGUGUAUUAAUGUUUUCAUAUAUGCAAAAGAUAGAUUUUUAGAAAAGUUAGGGUUUUUUUUUCUAUUCAUAGAUUUUUUUGGUGAUAUUAAUUAUUGUAGAAUAUGCAAAUGUUUGUAUAUUCAUAUGAACAAUGCAUUAGGCAAAACCUUUGUUUUUUUUGAAAUUUUUUAUUUGAACAUUUUUUAAAAACAAGCAAUACUAAAAGAAUGAGAGGAAAAAGGAAAAUAAGAAGAGGAAGAAAGGAGAAGAAGAGGAGAGGAAGAAGAGGAGAAAUAAAUAAGAAGAGGAAAAAAGAAGAGGGGAAGAAGAAAGGAAUAGAGGAGAAGAAGAAAAAUAGAAAUUUUCUAUUUUUCUUCUUCUCCUCUAUUCCUUUCUUCUUCUCCUCUUUAUUUUCUUCUUUUUUUUCUUCUUCCUUCUUCCUCUUUUCUUCCUUUUCCUUAUUUUCCUUUCUCGAGGGAGAAGAAGAAAAAGAAGAGUAAAAGAAGAAGAAAGGAAUAGAGGAGAAAGAAGAAACUUCAACACAAGGGGGGGUUACCGAUACCCCCUCCCCGAUAACAUUAUUUUCCCAUGUAUAUGUAUGUCGCGUCAUUGUCGAUAUAACCCCCUCGAGAUAACUUCGACAUGAGGGGCGGUCGAUAUAUAUACCCCCUCUCGACCGUGAUAACUUAUACAACGGCAGCACCCCCCUCGGCCCUCUCGCUCGACCAAAACUCUUGAGGACACCCAAACCCUAGAGAGAAAACGAUGUUGGUCUCCUACCCCCUCCCGCCGCGCCCCUACCCGACAUAUUAACUCUCUCGAGGCCACCCAAAUUUACCAAGUUAAAAGAGCGUUGUCGUCGAGGCCACCCCAAACCCUUGAAGCGUUGUGUCGAGGAGACCCCAAACCCUAGAGAAGCAGCGUCGAGGCCACUAACAUGGAUCGAUCCAUCUGUAAUAAUAAUUGACAUGGUGUAAAUAUUUGCAGAAACUAUGGAGCACUCCCGAGACGAAGAAACAGAAGCGAUGUUGGGGGACAUUAUCGCACAAGGAAGUGAUGAAGUUGCGUCAUUUCUCAACGACACCGAUGGUCAGGAACGACUGGGUGAAGAAGAGGGCUAUGUUCAUGAUGGCUUCGACCCAUUAAUGCCGGUACAAGAAGAGGACUAUGUUCAUGAUGGCUCUGGUGACACAAUGGAGGUACAAGAAGGAGACCGUGCUGACUGCUCCGGUGACCGAACCGAGUCCGGCCAGGUAUAUAUAUAUAUAUUAGUUAAGCCCGUGCUGACUAGUUAAUUGAUGCAUCCAUUGUUUUGGUAUAUGUACACAUAUUAAUUACUCUCGUCUUUCUUCCUUAUAAUUUCUAGCCCUCCGGAUCGAGCACAACUUCGGUAAGAAGACGAAGCCCGAAGAAAAAGUUGAGCUCGGAUGAAAAGUUUGAGAUCAUAGAAAUCGCGCCCGACGGCGAACCGAUUGAACCCAUCCGGACAAGGAAGGCAUUUUCUGCUCAGUGCGGGGUUCUUGUUAGGGACAAGAUCCCGAUCAGCAUCCAUCAAUGGUAUAAGCCUAAGGAGGAAGACCCCGAGGUGUCUUAUGUCAAUGAUAUGCAGAAAGAAGAUCUUUGGACUGAGCUAAAGGCAAAUUUCACCCUACCGCUAGAGGAGGAUCCGGAGAAGCCAGUUAUAGAGCAAUUAAUCAAUUCUUGUGCUCUUAAGAAGAUGGCAACCCUAAUGAGGAGGUGGAGGAAAGAGGUGAACCAGUUUGUCGAGAAAGAUAAGACACCAGAAUUCAUCGGCAAAUAUGAGAAGAUCAAAGAUCACUGGCCCGCAUUUGUGGCCCACAAGACAUCGGAAAAGAGUAAGAAGAUGUCGGCAACAAACAAGAAAAAUUCUGCAAAGAAGAAGCUUCACCAUCGCACGGGGUCAGGUGGCUACCUCAAAGCCCGGCCUAAGUGGUCCAAGGCUGAGCAUGAUCUGCUUGAAAAAGGGAUCGAACCAGAGACAAUGUACUGGCCAGACCGUUGUCGGACUUGGUUCUUCGGGGCUGGCGGAACCUUGGACCCUGUAACAGGGAAGUGCCAGUGGACGGAUGAGCAACUACAAAUACCAGUCAAGAAACUUCGACACUAUAUCGAUGCAGCGUAGCGAGGGACGCUCCUUCCAAACAGGGAGAAGGACGAGCUCACAAUGGCCCUUGGGAAUCCUGAGCACCCUGGAUGGACACGAGGCACGCCAGGCUCCAUUCCAUGGAAGGUUGGUCUUCCGCACACAGGGGGUUACAAAACCCACGAGAGGAGGAAGAAACUGGAGCAGGACCAAAUGCAGGCGCUGCACGAAAGGGUAAUGGGGCUAGAGGAACGAGAAGCAGCAGAUCGCAGCAAACGACAUGCCGAAGCUUCCCCCGAAGCUACCUCGCCAUCUCAGCGGAGAAGCAGCGUGGCUUCCACCGAGCUGCUUCAGCCGGAGCAUGUCUUGACGUCUCCUGCCAGCUAUCCCGUGGAUGGUAUCACGGAGUCUCAAAGUUGCCACAUUAUGACGCAAUGUAUGAAUUUGAAGGUCAAGGCGGCUGUUGGCCAAGUUUAUCCUAGUGGACCCGGCACAACUUAUCACUGCCAGCCGAUUCCAGAAGGAUUUGCUAAGGUGAUGGUGGAUGAAAUAACGGAGGGAUUUGAGGACCUCCUGCUUGAGCACCCUACCGGUGAAGGGGAGACUAGGCUGGGUUCUGCUCUGAAGACUCCAUGCCUAUGGCGGAAGGAGCUCAUCAACCUUCCGAACUGGACGCCUCCGCCUCCUCCUCCUCCUCCGGCGAGUCAGGGCACUCCGCCUCCUCCACCGCCUCCUCCUCCGGCGAGUGAUGAUCAGGGCACACGUGGCAGCACUCCGCCUCCUUCUCCGCCUGCGCCGGCGCGCCCGAGCAGCCAGCCUCCUCCUUCUCCGCCUCGUCAGCAAGGGCGAAAGAGACCCGCCGCUGCUCCGGCUGCUCCGGCGCGUCGUAAUCCUUCUCCUCCGCCUCACAAAAAGCAAGCAAAGAAGACAUCCACUCCGUCUGCUCUGUCGGUGUCUAGCAGUACAGCCAAAGGCGGGAAGAAAUACAGAUUUGGUCCUUCUCCGAAGACUCCAGAGAAGUUACCGUACGAGAGGACCGAGGAGGAAAACGCGGAGAUCACGCAGAACGAACUGGAUGGCUGGUUUGCAGGGUUGAAAGCAAAGAGACAUCCACCUCCGGAGGAGAAGGUAGAUCCGGUGAAAGUGAAGCGCACUCUGGCUGCCCUGAGGAAACCGGCAAAGUCUCCGCCGAGAACCAACUAUGAGCGCAUUACUGAACAGACAUAUCUCCAAGCGGAGCAGUCGGGAAGUACUGUCAGACAUCAAAGAGCAAAAGAACGAGCAGCUGCGAAAAAAGUUGACCAGCUCGGCGAACAACCAAACCAAUCGUGCCCCCCGCUCAAUGUGUCUAGCGGCAACAUCGUCGCUAAUGUUCCGGGGAUCAUGGACGGUUAUGGCAAUCCACAAUAUUACCUGCCUGACGAUGCACUUCCUGAAUUCAUGAUGGUGGAAGAACGCAGAUACGAGUACGGGAAGCCUCUCAUCAAAGAUGUAAAAUCUCUAACAACGAUGAUGCGAAGAUUCCAUACUUGGUACAUGAAAACCUGCAGAGAGUCUGGGGGGACGAAUAGUUUGUAUCUACACAUUAAAGAGGAGCACGACCUCGUUGGAACUGAUCUGUUGUGUGUUCCAUUUGAGGAGUUCUUCGCGUUCUUCAAUCAAAUAGCCCUCGAUAAAUUAACGGUCUUUUGCUACUGCCUGUAAGUACUAUUUCUGUCAUUAAGUCUCUAUAUAUAGCUUGGCUUUCAUUACAUGUAUUUAUAAUUAAUUAUCCUCAAUAUAUUAUGCAGAUUGAAGAUCGUCGAGUGCAAAAAAAUGAAAUCUAUGAUAUUGGGUUCAUUAACACAAAUAUCAUAGAUGUAUUUCUGGUUGAAAAGCACAUCGAAGAGGCCGAGGACAACUUGCUACGAUCAUUGAUCAAAAAUCAAAACAAAGAUACCAUACUCUUUCCUUACAACACCAAGUGAGUGUUACUGAUCAUUUGCAUAUUCGGUUUCCCUUAUUACUCGAGCGAGGUUAUAGUAAUGUAAUUGAUGAGUUAUGCAUGUGUGCGCAGGUACCACUAUAUUCUUCUGGAGAUUAAGCUUGAGCGUGGACUAGUAACCGUCUUAGACUCGAGACGGAAAGAUCCCAGCACCUAUGCGGACAUGACUGAAAUGCUCAGCAAGUAAGUUCAAUCGAUCAUUAUCGCACCAUAGCGGCAACUUUUUGUUCAUUUCCUGAUAUCUCAAGUAAUAAUAAUUAUUUUCUUUGUCUUGCAGGGUUUGGAAACAGUUCACCACAGUAGCUCGGGGACUGCCGAAGGAGCUGCGAUAUAUAUACCCGAAAGUAAGUACUACUGGCUAGCUAGUUGUGUGCAUCUCCUGUUGAUUCUAUAGCUAUACUUUCAUCACAUUUAUAAUGCUUCAUUAUCAGUUUGAUAGACCUCUAUUUCUCGUAAAGUGCUUGUGGUAGGAACAAGGGAAUGAUUUCUAUAGAUACUACGUGUGCGAGUUCAUCUACAACGCGACUUUGAAAAAUAAGCGGGGCUACUCUCAAAGACAAUAUGAAGUGCGUAAGCAAUUAAUAAUAUUCACAAUUUCUGUUGAGUUUCAUUCAUAUAUAUAUAUAUAUAUAUAUAUAUAUAUAUAUAUGUAUUAAUUAACCCCCUUCUUCAAAUUAGACGUGGCAGAUGCGGAAUGAACUCCUAGAACCAGAUCGCAUGAAAGGAAUUCAAGAGGAAUUGGCGGGAUUCUUUCUUGACCACGUCAUCAAUAAAGCCGGAGAAUACCAUGUGGAACUUGAUUUCAAAUGCUAGGGGACUGUAAUUGAGAGAUCUUAUAUAUUGUACAUGUUGUAUGUAGCCAGUAGCGUCGGACAUACAUGAUACAAAAACUUGUUGUUUGACCAAUCUCUCGGAGAAGGAGACGUCGAUCGAUCACUUCUCUCGGUAUGCAUGACGAACUUCUGUACUUAAUGGUUUCCUUCAUUUUCUUACUAGCUAGCGUGUCGAGAGCCUCUCUAUGUAUAGUACGUAGCGUCGACCAAGCACGGACAUAAGAGAGGACACUUCUCUCUAUUAAUUAGCUAGCUAACACAAUAUAUGAAACACCUAAAUUAACCCCCAAAACCNNNNNNNNNNNNNNNNNNNNNNNNNNNNNNNNNNNNNNNNNNNNNNNNNNNNNNNNNNNNNNNNNNNNNNNNNNNNNNNNNNNNNNNNNNNNNNNNNNNNNNNNNNNNNNNNNNNNNNNNNNNNNNNNNNNNNNNNNNNNNNNNNNNNNNNNNNNNNNNNNNNNNNNNNNNNNNNNNNNNNNNNNNNNNNNNNNNNNNNNNNNNNNNNNNNNNNNNNNNNNNNNNNNNNNNNNNNNNNNNNNNNNNNNNNNNNNNNNNNNNNNNNNNNNNNNNNNNNNNNNNNNNNNNNNNNNNNNNNNNNNNNNNNNNNNNNNNNNNNNNNNNNNNNNNNNNNNNNNNNNNNNNNNNNNNNNNNNNNNNNNNNNNNNNNNNNNNNNNNNNNNNNNNNNNNNNNNNNNNNNNNNCCCCCUGCCUGGGCUCGGCGCGUGGAUGCCUUUUGGUCCCGGUUGGUGCCACCAACCGGGACCAAAGGCCCCCCUGCCUGGGCUCGGCGCACAGGCCACGUGGAGGACCAUCUAUCCCGGUUCGUGUUACAACCGGGACUAAAGGGGGGAGGUAUUAGUAACGACCCAUUAGUCCCGGUUCAUGAACCGGGAGUAAAGGCCCUCACGAACCGGGACUAAUAGGUGUUUGUCUACUAGUGAUAAGCCUAUGACUUAUGAAGUUGGUGAGAAGGCUUACCUUCGGGUUACACCUUUAAAGGGAACCCAUCGAUUCGGUAUCAAGGGCAAGUUGGCCCCUUGUUACAUUGGACCCUUUUGCAUUCUUGCCAAACGAGGGGAAGUUGCCUACCAGUUGGAACUACCUCCACAUCUUUCUAGAGUUCAUGAUGUCUUCCACGUCUCUCAACUCAGGCAUUGCUUCUCGAAUCAUAUCCGCGAAGUAGACCAUGAAACGCGUGAUCUCCAAGAAAAUCUCACUUAUCGAGAAUAUCCAAUUCGCAUCCUUGAUCAAGCCGAGCGUACCACUCGACGCCAGAAUAUCAAGUUUCUCAAGGUUCAAUGGUCACACCACUCCGAUCAAGAAGCAACUUGGGAAAGGGAGGAUCAUCUACGACUUGAGUAUCCCACCUUCUUCCCGAUAGACCCUAAAUCUCGGGAUGAGAUUCUUUUGAGUGGGGGUGAGUUGUCACAACCUAGCUAGUCCAUGCAUUAGAGUGUUGCAUCAUGUCUACCUUUUAUCAGAAACUUGAAUUGGGGAAGACAGAACCCCCCCAGAACCCCUCUAAAUUCAACUAGUGCUUACUAAAAAUAUUUUCAAUGAACCUGAAAUGCCCUUCUAAAAAGUUCACCCUCUUUGUCUUGGGUUAGAACCUCUGGCAAAAUUGGUGCACAAUUUUCUAGGUCAACAGAAGGCCAUUGAAUUAAAUCAUAUCUACUUUGAGUUUGGGCAUUUAAACUAUAUAAAAUAUUUCAAAUGCUCAAAUAACUCCAAACUAAAAUGUUCCAUACUGGAUAUAUUCCAACUAGCGACCAUGUGCAGUUUGGUGAUUUUUGGAGUUGCCUAAGUAUUUUUAGAAAUGCAACAAACUUACAGAAACAAUUAAAAACAGAAACAAAUGGGGAAAAAACCCUUACCUGGCCGAACCAAGCCCCAGCCCAGCUGGCCGGCCCAGCACUGUGCUGGCCCAUGCCAGCCAGCUGCUUUGCCAUCGCCACGCAGGCACAGAGCUGACGCCAGCGAGUGUGAGCUCGCCACGGCGCCAACUGCUUGCCGCCCGCGCCACCGAGCACCUGGGUGAGCUCCACGUCGCCACCCCGACCCCGUGGACACCUCAUUCGCCCCCCUGCCUCUUCCCUCGCUCUCCCGCACCAUGGCCGACGCACCCGUCGCCGCACCGCCGACGUAGUCGCGCCCUCCAUCGUCCCCGUGCUGCACCACCGUGUCCCUUCGCUCCGUCGUCAUCAACUACAUCGAGCAGGCCGAGCCCCGAGCGCUCGUGGGCCUUGCUUCGUCUUCUUUGACCUCAUCUUCACCGAGCACCACCGCAGAUCCCCUUCGCCGUCGCCGCUGCACCAGCUCGUCCCCGACCUCGCCGACCACUCCGUUGUGACCGCCGUGAGCUCAGCCACCUCCCCAUCCUCCCCGUUUGCCUUCUCGUGCACCGUAGCAGCCGCAUGGAGCUUCAUCGCACGCACCACCGCCGAGCUCGUCGCCGACGUGCCUCCGGCCAUCCACCGUCCACACCACGGUAUCUAACAUGCUCAUUGCAUCGCGUAGAGUCUAACGCCCCACUCCACGCGCCUCGCCGUGCCCCGUAGCCACGGGUCAAUUUUCACCCGACUCCGGCGACCGUCGCGGUCGUCGCUGCCGACGUUCCUGGCCACCUCGACCUCAACCACCACCACCAAACGCCGCGGCUUGUUCCUGGCUACACGUAGAUGGUCUUCGCCGUCCAUUUGGUCGCCGGAACGUGCUAACCCACUUCCUCUGCCGCAUCUGGCCUCGCCAGCGGCUAGACGCCGGCGUGUUUGACCCGUUGACGUUGACUGGGUGGGCCAGGUUGACUCCCCUGAGUCUAUGACAAGUGGGCCCCCCCCUCUGCUAAUUAACCUAGUUUAGUUCUUACUAAAAUCAGUUAGUUUAAAUAAGUGCUGACAUGCGGGACCCACUGGUCAGUUUGACCUGAACGACCCCUUUGACCAUUGACGUCACCCUGAUGCACUGCUGACGCAAUAACCAAUUUCUGGAUUUAUUGUUAUAUAGGAAAUUCCAGAAAUUGUUGCAAACUUCAAAAAUUCAUAGAAAUUAAUCUGUAACUCCAAAUGCAAAGAUUUAUAUAUGAAUUUCGAUCAAAAAAAUUCAAUAUAUCCAUUGGUAAUGGUUUCAUGCAUGUCAGAACAAGUUAACCUUGUUGUUUAAUCAAAACAAGUUAAUGCACUAAUAUGACUAUGUUAAAUGAACUACCAUUUGCAUCUUUGAUUCAAAUGAGUUCAUACCUUUCUGUUCUAGCUUGCAUUAGGCCAGGACACAUUCAUGUUGCCAUGUCAUAGCAUGCAUCAUAUUGUUGCAUAUCGUCAUGUGUGGUUCAUGUUCGGUGUGUUUUCGUGAUAGGUUCUGCCUCCGAGGAUAACCCCGAAUAUCCGUCUGAAGGGCAGUAUCCUACUACCACUACAUCAGGCAAGCAACCCAUUGAUCAUUCUGAUACAAACCCAUGUUCUCGCCUCUGCUCUUGUUUACUGCAUUAAGAUAACGCGAUUCAAACUGUUGUGUGUUGUGGUAGUUGAACCCACUUCCUUUGCAUGACCUGUCAUUGCCACGGUAACUAGAUGAAACCCACUAGCAUGUGUAGGAGUUGAUUGAGCCAUAUCUGUGUUACCUACCAUGCUAUGCUUGCUAUGCUUAGAGUUGUGUCAGGUCUGGCUCAUCAGGAUGAUGAACUAGAGUGAAAGGUUGUGUCGGUAACGAGAGUGAAGUGUUGAACACGAUUUGGUAAAGGUAUCGAUGAGAGGCCAUGUAGGAGUACAUGGUGGGUUGUUUCAUUGAGGCCGUCCUUAAGCACUGAGAUCUGUGUGUGUGAUUUAAGAUUCAGCUACUACCACGCAUUGGGCCCAAAACCAAUGGACCCUCUCGACUUAUUAACCACUCUUGUCCUCAGUCCGGGAGUUGCAAGUAGUUUCUGGUGUUUGUAGCAUGCUGGGGGCCGCACGCAGCGCUGACCUUAGGGGUGGGUUGUGUUGCGGUAGGCACGUGGCACGGUGUAUCGAUUCGCCCGUUUGGUGUCUCGGGAACCCUGUUCACAUCGUUCGGGGCCGUUAGUGGAAACCUCGGCCGGACUCCCUGCGGAUGGAACCCAAAUAGGCGAUAAACCUGGACUAGGGACUCGUGUGUUUAGUCAGGCCAUGGCCGACACCCUUGCUGGGCUUCCGCUUGAAGGUUGCCGAGUACACGUCAUGUAGUGGCGAUAAGUGGUGAGAGCGUGUGUGAAGAAGUACACCCCUGCAGGGUACAAAACUAUUCGAAUAGCCGCGUCCACGGUAAAGGACUACUUGGUCACCUAUACAGUUCAUAGACAAGUAAAUGGAUACUUCUAAAAGCCUCAAGAUAAGUGUGAGUGCCGCGGAUGGCCCUGUCGUAGGUUGACGAGAGAGGAUCCACGGUGGAGUAUUGUGUUGGUGAGUAGUGGACUCGUGUGCGACAAAUGUUUUGCAAGUUGUGUCUAUCGUUGGAUAGCUUAGCCAAGAGUCAAAGCUGGCUUGCUGCAAUAACUCCACUACCUUCUUGAGAAUGUGCAUGUAUGAUAGGAUUCUGUUGUAAGACUUGCUGAGUACCUCUGUACUCAUGUUUGCUUAAUUAAUGUUUUCAGACGACAACACCAACCCCUCCGAUGGGUUCUACGUAGACCUCGACGUUGACGAGUGACUAGCCACCCAAGUGGUGAUCCAAGACUUGUGAAGGGCCGAUGUAGAUAGAAAGGCUUCAUCAAGCCCUCUUUCUUUCUAGUGUCUGUACUCAGACUAGUUGCUUCCGCAUGUGCUUGUAUGCUUGUAUGACUUGAGUGUCAGGUCAUGUGACCCCUAUCUGUAUGAACAUGUUAUGUAUGGCUCCUCGGAGCCACUUAAAUAAAGUACUUUGAGUUGUAGAGUUUUGUUGUGAUGCCAUGUUGUAUGUACUCAUAUCGGGCAUAUUGUGUGUAUGUUUGAAAUGCUUGGUAUGAGUGGGAUCCGACAAUCUAGUUGUUUAUCCUUGGCAGCCUCUCAUAUGGGGAAAUGUAGUCUAGUGCUUCUUGAGCGAUAGUAGUCCGCUACAGCCCGGUUCACCGGAGUCCUGCUAGCCCAGUACUACUGCUCUGGACACUUGACUGGCCGGCAUGUGUUUCACUUUGUUCCUGUGUCUGUCCCUUCGGGGAAAUGUCAAGCGGUGGCAUCCGGAGUCCUGCCUAGCCUGCUACAGCCCGGGUUACCGGAGUCCUGUUAGCCCAGCGUUACAUCCCGGAUGUAUACGUUGAUGACCAACAUGCUCGAUGUGAUUCAUGUAUGCAUGUCCCCAUAGGUUAGCGCCGCUUGGGUUCACGACUAGCCAUGUCGGCCCGGGUUCUCAGUCAUGUGGAUGCUAGCGACACUAUCAUAUACGUGAGCCAAAAGGCGCAAACGGUCUCGGGCCAUGGUAAGGCGCCACCCGUGGGAUUACCGUGCGUGAGGCCGCAAAGUGAUAUGAGGUGUUACCGGCUGGAUCAAUGUGACUUGGAAUCGGGGUCCUGACAAUUACUUGCUCCUAUCAUAUGUUUGGUUGCAACAAUGUCACUUCUUCACAUAUGCCAUGUCCCAUUGCUUGUCUCAUGCUUGACUUCAUUGCCUCACACAUGAUGAACAAUUGCUCUUUAUAUUGUGUUGAGUGUUACACUAUAUUCACUACAUCCUAUGCACGUUAUGUUUGGAUUGUCUUGCACUUGACCCAUGUGUUUAGACACUUCAUUUUAUUUGGUGUUGUGAAUCCUUCCUAUGCCUACCAUAGACCUUUCAUUGAGCAAUUUGUGAAUGCUUGCUAUGACCUCGAGGUAGAUGCUUAUGCUCUUGUCACACAUAUUUGCAUCUCUACCUCACAUUUACAUGCUUGUUCCCAUGAUAUUUUUGCUUGUGCUCGAUUGAUAUGCUUACAUGCCAUGUCACAAUCCUUUGUCACACCCUAUGCUAUGCUUGAUGACAACACUUGUUUGGUGAAUCACCUCUUGAAUGCUUGGUUUUGCACGAACGCAAACCACAUUUGUUUUUCCACGGGUUUGUUCUAUUUGCUCCUUUUGAAGGAAUCACAAGAUGGUGCGACACUGGAGAGUGCCCACUUCGAGCUACUAGACGAUGAGUGCUUGGUGAUCGACCACUUCGAUAUGGCACCGCCAUCUCUUUCCUAUGGUGAUUUGGUUUUCGAUCCGAGGUCGAAUCCUUCUCAAGGGGGAGGGGAUGAUGCGGAGCAUCCUAUGGACAUCACCAUGUCAAGAGUCCAUUCGGCAAGUGACACGUGCGACAUCUACUUCUCAUACAUAAAGGUGAAUCUUCUCCUUUACACGUGUUCACUUGACCCCUUCGAGGAUGGUAUACUACUUGACACUUCUCCCGUGUGCAUGCAUAGGUAUUGUCAGAGCUUUACGGAUGUCGAGGAGUGCAAGCGCCAAGGAACGACUACACCGUCCGCGAGGGAAGCAUGGAAGAGAAGGAGGAAGAGAACCUGGUGUUGGGGAACGUAGUAAUUUCAAAAUUUUCCUACGCACAUGCAAGAUCAUGGUGAUGAUAUAGCAACGAGGGGAGAGUGUUGUCUACGUACCCUCGUAGACCGAAGCGGAAGCGUUGACGCAGCGUAGAGGAAGUAGUCCUACGUCCUCCCGGUCCGACCGAUCCAAGCACCGUUACUCCGGCACCUCUGAGUUCUUGACACACGUACAGCUCGAUGACGCACCCUCGAUCUCCAAUCCAGUAGAGGCUCCAAGGGGGAGUUCCGUCAGCACGACGGCGUGGUGACUAUCUUGAUGUUCUCCUGUCGCAGGGCUUCGCCUAAGCACCGCUACAAUAUGACCGAGGUGUAAUAUCGUGGAGGGGGGCACCGCACACGGCUAAGGAACGAUCAAUGAUCAACUUGUGUGUUCUAGGGUGCCCCCUACCCCCGUAUAUAAAGGAGGGAGGGAGGAGGUGGCCGACCCAAGGAGGGGGCGCGCCAUGGGAGGAGGAAACCUACUCCAAGUAGGUUUCCCCUCUUUUUCCUUAUCUUAUUUGGAGGGGGAAGGAAGGAGUACUAGUAGUAGGAAGGAGUACUAGUAGUAGGAAAGGAAGAGGGGGAAGGAGAAAGGAAAGGGGGGGCCGGCCCCCCUCCCCAAUUCGGAUUGGGCUUGGGGGGGCGCGCCCCCCUCCCUUGCUCCUUCUCCCUUCCUCCUACAUGGGCCCAAUAAGGCCCAUAUACCUCCCGGGGGGGUUUCGGUAACCUCCCGGAGCUCCAAACUCUUCCGGAACCUUUCCGGUGUCCAAAUAUAUCCGUCCAAUAUAUCGAUCUUUAUGUAUCGACCAUUUCGAGACUCCUCGUCAUGUCCGUGAUCAUAUCCGGGACUCCGAACAAACUUCGGUACAUCAAAAUACAUAAACUCAUAAUAUAACUGUCAUCGAAACCUUAAGCGUGCGGACCCUACGGUUCGAGAACGAUGUAGACAUGACCGAGACAUGUCUCUGGUCAAUAACCAAUAGCGGGACCUGGAUGCCCAUAUUGGUUCCUACAUAUUCUACGAAGAUCUUUAUCGGUCAAACCGCAUAACAGCAUACGUUGUUCCCUUUGUCAUUGGUAUGUUACUUGUCCGAGAUUUGAUCGUCGGUAUCCAAUACCUAGUUCAAUCUCGUUACCGACAAGUCUCUUUACUCGUUCUGUAAUACUUCAUCUCAUAACUAACUCAUUAGUUAUAUGCUUGCAAGGCUUAUGUGAUGAGCAUUACCGAGAGGGCCCAGAGAUACCUCUCCGACAAUCGGAGUGACAAAACCUAAUCUCGAAUUAUGCUAACUCAACAUGUACCUUCGGAGACACCUGUAGUACUCCUUUAUAAUCACCCAGUUACGUUGUGACGUUUGGUAGUACCCAAAGUGUUCCUCCGAUAAACGGGAGUUACACAAUUCUCAUAGUUACAGGAACAUGUAUAAGUCAUGAAGGAAGCAAUAGCAGAAUACUAAACGAUCAAGUGCUAAGCUAACGGGAUGGGUCAUGUCAAUCACAUCAUUCUCCUAAUGAUGUGAUCCCAUUAAUCAAAUGACAACACAUGUCUAUGGUUAGGAAACAUAACCAUCUUUGACUAAUGAGCUAGUCAAGUAGAGGCAUACUAGUGACUAUAUGUUUGUCUAUGUAUUCACACAUGUAUCAUGUUUCCGGUUAAUACAAUUCUAGCAUGAAUAAUAAACAUUUAUCAUGAUAUGAGGAAAUAAAUAAUAACUUUAUUAUUGCCUCUAGGGCAUAUUUCCUUCAGUCUCCCACUUGCACUAGAGUCAAUAAUCUAGUUCACAUCGCCAUGUGAUUUAACACCAAUAUUCAUAUCUGUAUAUGAUUAACACCCAUAGUUCACAUCAUCAUGUGACCAACAUCCAAAGUGUUUACUAGAGUCAAUAAUCUAGUUCACAUCGCUAUGUGAUUAACACCCAAAGAGUACUAAGGUGUGAUCAUGUUUUGCUCGUGAGAGAAGCUCAGUCAACGGGUCUGUCACAUUCAGAGCCAUAUGUAUUUUGCAAAUAUUCUAUGUCUACAAUGCUCUGCACGGAGCUACUCUAGCUAAUCGCUCCCACUUUCAAUAUGUAUCCAGAUUGAGACUUAGAGUCAUCUGGAUCGGUGUGAAAACUUGCACCGAGAUAACUUUUACGACGGGCUCUUUUAUCACCUCCAUAAUCGAGAAAUAUUUCCUUAGUCCUCACUAAGGAUAUUCUUGACCAAUGUCCAGUGAUCUACUCCUAGAUCACUAUUGUACUCCCUUGUCAAAUACAGAGCAAGGUAUACAAUAGGUCUGGUACAUAGCAUGGCAUACUUUAUAGAACCUAUGACUGAGGCAUAGGGAAUGACUUUUCAUUCUCUUUCUAUUUUCUGCUGUGGUCGGGAUUUGAGUCUUACUCAAUUUCAUACCUUUGCAACACAGGCAAGAACUCUUUCUUUGACUGUUCCAUUUUGAACUACUUCAAAAUCUUGUCAAGGUAUGUACUCAUUGAAAAUCUUAUCAAGCGUCUUGAUCUAUCUCAAUAGAUCUUGAUGCUCAAUAUGUAUGUAGUUUUACUGAGGUCUUUCUUUGAAAAAACUCUUAUUCAAGUAUCCUUUAAUGCUUUGCAGAAUAAUUCUACAUUAUUUCCGAUCAGCAAUAUGUCAUUCACAUAUACUUAUCAGAAAUGCUGUAGUGCUCCCACUCACUUUCUUGUAAAUACAGGCUUCACCGCAAGUCUGUAUAAUACUAUAUGCUUUGAUCAACUUAUCAAAGCGUAUAUUCCAACUCUGAGAUGCUUGCACCAGUCCAUAGAUGGAUUGCUGGAGCUUGCACAUUUUGUUAGCACCUUUAGGAUUGACAAAACCUUCUGGUUGUAUCAUAUACAACUCUUCUUUAAUAAAUUCAUUAAGGAAUGUAGUUUUGACAUCCAUUUGCCAAAUUUCAUAAAAUGUGGCAAUUGCUAACAUGAUUCGGACAAACUUUUAAGCAUCGAUACGAGUAAGAAAAUCUCAUCGUAUUCAACACCUUGAACUUUGUCAAAAACCUUUUUUCGACAAGUCUAGCUUUGUAGAUAGUAACACUACUAUCAACGUCCGUCUUCCUCUUGAAGAUCCAUUUAUUCUUAAUGACUCACUGAUCAUCGGGCAAGUCAAUCAAAGUCUACACUUUGUUCUCAUACAUGGAUCAUAUCUCAGAUUUCAUGGCCCCAAGCCAUUUCGUGGAAUCUGGGCUCAUCAUCGCUUCCUCAUAGUUCGUAGGUUCAUCAUGGUCUAGUAACAUGACUUCCAGAACAUGAUUACCGUACCACUCUGGUGCGGAUCUUACUCUGGAAGACCUACGAGGUUUGGUAGCAACUUGAUCUGAAGUUUGAUGAUCAUCAUCAUUAACUUCCUCACUAAUUGGUGUAGGAAUCACUGGAACUGAUUUCUGUGAUGAACUACUUUCCAAUAAGGGAGAAGGUACAAUUACCUCAUCAAGUUUUACUCUCCUCCCACUCACUUCUUUCGAGAGAAACUCCUUCUCUGGAAAGGAUCCAUUUUAGCAACGAAUGUCUUGCCUUCGGAUCUGUGAUAGAAGGUGUACCCAACAAUUUCCUUUGGGUAUUCUAUGAAGACGCACUUCUCCGAUUUGGGUUCGAGCUUAUCAGGAUGAAACUUUUUCACAUAAGCAUCGCAGCCCCAAACUUUAAGAAACAACAGCUUAGGUUUACUGCUAAACCAUAGUUCAUACGGUGUCGUCUCAACGGAUUUAAAUGGUGCCCUAUUUUAAAACGUGAAUGCAGCUGUCUCUAAUGCAUAACCCCAAAACGAUAGUGGUAAAGAGACAUCAUAGAUCGCACCAUAUCAAAUAAAGUGCGGUUACGACGUUCGGACACACCAUAACGAUGUGGUGUUCCAGGUGGUGUGAGCUGUGAAACUAUUCCACAUUGUUUUAAUUGAAGACCAAACUCGUAACUCAAAUAUUUGUCUCCGCUAUCAGAUCGCAGAAACUUUAUUUUCUUGUUACGAUGAUUUUUCCACUUCACUCUGAAAUUCUUUGAACCUUUCAACUAUUUCAGACUUAUGUUUCAUCAAGUAGAUAUACCCAUAUCUGCUCAAAUCAUCUUGUGAAGGUCAGAAAAUAACGAUACUUGCCACGAGCCUCAACACUCAUUGGAUCGCAUACAUCGGUAUGUAUUAUUUCCAAUAAGUCAGUAGCUUGUUCCAUUAUUCCGGAGAACGGAGUUUUAGUCAUCUUGCCCAAAAGGCACGGUCCGCAAGCAUCAAAUGAUUCAUAACCAAGUGAUUCCGAAAAUCCAUCUUUAUGGAGUUUCUUCAUGCGCUUUACACCGAUAUGACCCAAACGGCAGUGCCACAAAUAAGUUGCACUAUCAUUAUUAACUUUGCAUCUUUUGGCUUCAAUAUUAUGAAUGUGUGUAUCACACGAUCGAGAUCCAACAAACCAUUUUCAUUGGGUGUAUAACCAUAGAAAGUUUUAUUCAUGAAAACAGAACAACAAUUAUUCUCUAACUUACAUGAAUAACCGUAUUGCAAUAAACAUGAUCAAAUCAUAUUCAUUCUCAACGCAAACACCAAAUAACACUUAUUUAGGUUUAACACUAAUCCCGGAAGUAUAGGGAGUGUGCGAUGAUGAUCAUAUCAAUCUUGGAACUAUUUCCAACACACAUCGUCACUACACUCUUAACUAGUCUCUGUUUAUUCUGCAACUCCCGUUUCGAGUUACUAAUCUUAGCAACCGAACAAGUAUCAAAUACUUAGGGGCUACUAUAAACACUAGUAUGGAACACAUCAAUAAUCUGUAUAUCAAAUAUACCCUUGUUCACUUUGCCAUCCUUCUUAUCAACCAAAUAUUCAGGGCAUUUCCGCUUCCAGUGACCAUUUCCUUUGCAGUGUAAACACUCAGUUUCAGGCUAUGGUCCAGCUUUGGGCUUGUCUUUCCACUUGAAGUUCCCUUUCUUUCCCUUUGCCCUUCUCUUGAAACUAGUGGUCUUGUCAAUCAUCAACACUUGAUGCUCUUUCUUGAUUUCUACCUUCGUCGAUUUCAACAUCACGAAGAGCUCGGGAAUCAUUUUUUCGUCAUCCCUUGCAUACUAUAGUUCAUCACGAAGUUCUAGUAACUUAGUGAUGGUGACUAGAGAAUUCUGUCAAUCACUAUCUUAUCUGGAAGAUUAACUCCCACUUGAUUCAAGCGAUUGAAGUACCCAGACAAUCUGAGCACAUGCUCACUAGUUGAGCGAUUCUCCUCCAUCUUUUAGCUAUAGAACUUGUUGGAGACUUCAUAUCUCUCAACUCGGGUAUUUGCUUGAAAUAUUAACUUCAAUUCCUGGAACAUCUCAUAUGGUCCAUGAUGUUCAAAACAUCUUUGAAGUCCCGAUUCUAAGCCGUUAAGCAUGGUGCACAAAACUAUCAAGUAGUCAUCAUAUUGAGCUAGCCAAACGUUCAUAACGUCUACAUUUGCUCCUGCAUUAGGUCUUUCACCUAGCGGUGCAUUAAGGACAUAAUUCUUCUGUGCAGCAAUGAGGAUAAACCUCAGAUCACGGAUCCAAUCCGCAUCAUUGCUACUAACAUCUUUCAACACAGUUUUCUCUAGGAACAUAUCAAAAUAAACAUAUGAAAGCAACAACGCGAGCUAUUGAUCUAUAACACAAUUUGCAAAAUACUACCAGGACUAAGUUCAUGAUAAAUUAAAGUUCAAUUAAUCAUAUUACUAAAGAACUCCCACUUAGACAGACAUCUCUCUAGUCAUCUAAGUGAUCACGUGAUCCAAAUCAACUAAACCAUGUCCGAUCAUCACGUGAGAUGGAGUAGUUUCAAUGGUGAACAUCGCUAUGUUGAUCAUAUCUACUAUAUGAUUCACGCUCGACCUUUCGGUCUCCGUGUUCCGAGGCCAUAUCUGUAUAUGCUAGGCUCGUCAAGUAUAACCUGAGUAUUCCGCAUGUGCAACUGUUUUGCACCCGUUGUAUUUGAACGUAGAGCCUAUCACACCCGAUCAUCACGUGGUGUCUCAGCACGAAGAACUUUCGCAACGGUGCAUACUCAGGGAGAACACUUCUUGAUAAUUAGUGAUAGAUCAUCUUAAAAUGCUACCGUCAAUCAAAGCAAGAUAAGAUGCAUAAAGGAUAAACAUCACAUGCAAUCAAUAUAAGUGAUAUGAUAUGGCCAUCAUCAUCUUGUGCUUGUGAUCUCCAUCUCCGAAGCACCGUCGUGAUCACCAUCGUCACCGGCGCGACACCUUGAUCUCCAUCGUAGCAUCGUUGUCGAUUACGCCAUCUAUUGCUUCUACGACUAUCGCUACCGCUUAGUGAUAAAGUAAAGCAAUUACAGGGCGUUUCCAUUUCAUACAAUAAAGUGACAACCAUAUGGCUCCUGCCAGUUGCCGAUAACUUCGGUUACAAAACAUGAUCAUCUCAUACAAUAAAAUAUAGCAUCACGUCUUGGCCAUAUCACAUCACAACAUGCCCUGCAAAAACAAGUUAGACGUCCUCUACUUUGUUGUUGCAAAUUUUACGUGGCUGCUACGGGCUUAGCAAGAACCGUUCUUACCUACGCAUCAAAACCACAACGAUAGUUUGUCAAAUAGACUCCGUUUUAACCUUCACAAGGACCGGGCGUAGCCACACUCGGUUCAACUAAAGUUGGAGAAACAGACACCCGCCAGUCACCUGUGUGCAAAGCAUGGCGGUAAAACCAGUCUCGCGUAAGCGUACGCGUAAUGUCGGUCCGGGCCGCUUCAUCCAACAAUACCGCUGAACCAAAGUAUAACAUGCUGGUAGGCAGUAUGACUUAUAUCGUCCACAACUCACUUGUGGUCUACUCGUGCAUAUAACAUCAACGAAUAAAACCUAGGCUCUGAUGCCACUGUUGGGGAACGUAGUAAUUUCAAAAUUUUCCUACGCACAUGCAAGAUCAUGGUGAUGAUAUAGCAACGAGGGGAGAGUGUUGUCUACGUACCCUCGUAGACCGAAGCGGAAGCGUUGACGCAACGUAGAGGAAGUAGUCGUACGUCCUCCCGGUUCGACCGAUCCAAGCACCGUUACUCCGGCACCUCCGAGUUCUUGACACACGUACAGCUCGAUGACGCACCCUCGAUCUCCAAUCCAGUAGAGGCUCCGAGGGGGAGUUCCGUCAGCACAACAGCGUGGUGACUAUAUUGAUGUUCUCCUGUCGCAGGGCUUCGCCUAAGCACCGCUACAAUAUGACCGAGGUGUAAUAUCGUGGAGGGGGGCACCGCACACGGCUAAGGAACGAUCAAUGAUCAACUUGUGUGUUCUAGGGUGCCCCCCUACCCCCGUAUAUAAAGGAGGGAGGGAGGAGGUGGCCGGCCCAAGGAGGGGGCGCGCCAUGGGAGGAGGAAACCUACUCCAAGUAGGUUUCCCCUCUUUUUCCUUAUCUUAUUUGGAGGGGGAAGGAAGGAGUACUAGUAGUAGGAAGGAGUACUAGUAGUAGGAAAGGAAGAGGGGGAAGGAGAAAGGAAAGGGGGGGCCGGCCCCCUCCCCAAUUCGGAUUGGGCUUGGGGGGGCGCGCCCCCCUCCCUUGCUCCUUCUCCCUUCCUCCUACAUGGGCCCAAUAAGGCCCAUAUACCUCCCGGGGGGUUCCGGUAACCUCCCGAAGCUCCAAACUCUUCCGGAACCUUUCCGGUGUCCAAAUAUAUCCGUCCAAUAUAUCAAUCUUUAUGUCUCGACCAUUUCGAGACUCCUCGUCAUGUCCGUGAUCACAUCCGGGACUCCGAACAAACUUUGGUACAUCAAAAUACAUAAACUCAUAAUAUAACUAUCAUCGAAAACUUAAGCGUGCGGACCCUACGGUUCGAGAACGAUGUAGACAUGACCGAGACAUGUCUCUGGUCAAUAACCAAUAGUGGGACCUGGAUGCCCAUAUUGGUUCCUACAUAUUCUACGAAGAUCUUUAUCGGUCAAACCGCAUAACAGCAUACGUUGUUCCCUUUGUCAUCGGUAUGUUACUUGUCCGAGAUUUGAUCGUCGGUAUCCAAUACCUAGUUCAAUCUCGUUACCGACAAGUCUCUUUACUCAUUCUGUAAUACUUCAUCUCAUAACUAACUCAUUAGUUAUAUGCUUGCAAGGCUUAUGUGAUGAGCAUUACCGAGAGGGCCCAGAGAUACCCCUCCGACAAUCGGAGUGACAAAACCUAAUCUCGAAUUAUGCUAACUCAACAUGUACCUUCGGAGACACCUGUAGUACUCCUUGAUAAUCACCCAGUUACGUUGUGACGUUUGGUAGUACCCAAAGUGUUCCUCCGGUAAACGGGAGUUACACAAUUCUCAUAGUUACAGGAACAUGUAUAAGUCAUGAAGGAAGCAAUAGCAGAAUACUAAACGAUCAAGUGCUAAGCUAACGGGAUGGGUCAUGUCAAUCACAUCAUUCUCCUAAUGAUGUGAUCCCAUUAAUCAAAUGACAACACAUGUCUAUGGUUAGGAAACAUAAUCAUCUUUGACUAAUGAGCUAGUCAAGUAGAGGCAUACUAGUGACUAUAUGUUUGUCUAUGUAUUCACACAUGUAUCAUGUUUCCGGUUAAUACAAUUCUAGCAUGAAUAAUAAACAUUUAUCAUGAUAUGAGGAAAUAAAUAAUAACUUUAUUAUUGCCUCUAGGGCAUAUUUCCUUCACCUGGCCGCUCCAGAACGAGCGGUACUACCGCCCACUCCAAGCGGUACUACCGCUGAGGCCACCCAAGAGGCACUACCGCCCAGCAUCCGCCCUACUACCGCUCAACCCGACAAACUCCAGUGAUCGAGCGGUAUAAGCCCGGUACUACCGCCCCUCCAAGCGGUACUACCGCUCAAGCGGUACUACCACCCAUGAGUCCGGUACUACCGCCCUGCUUGUGAGCAGCCGCGGGCCUUUGGCCUUGUAUCCCUCUCCCACUUACCCCUUCGUGGCUUAGACUAUAAAUAGACCACCUCCACCUCCUUUCUAGGGUUAGAACAGAUUGAGCUUAUUUUGAGAUAGAGCUUUACUCAUCCAUACGGAUCUACUCCUCGUGAGAGACUGCGGCCUCUUCGGAGAAGAUCGAUCUUGGAUUCAAGACCCCUCGUGGGAAGAUCCGUCUAGGAUCAUCAAGACCUCCUCUUGGAGAUGAACCUUACCUUGUAUCUUUCCCUUUGUUGUUCAUGUACCCUUGUGGAUCUUGUGUGUUUGAUUGUCUAGUGGAUGUGUGAUUGGACUUGUUCUUGAGUGUUUCCCCUUGUGAUUUCUCUCCGUUCUUCCCUGUGUUCUUCGUGUUCUUCGUGGGGAUCCACUCCAAACGUGAAAAAUCGGCCUCUAGGGUUCUACCCUACAUCAUCAUCCUUCAAAAAUAUGGAGGGCCAUUAUUGACGGAAGGGAUAUUAUAUGGCGCAAGGUAUAAUCAGACGCAUCGGGGAUGGAGCGACUACACACAUAUGGGAUCACAACUGGAUUAUGAUGGAAAGCUAUAAGAGGCCAAUAACUAAGUUAGUGCAGAACCCCCCUCAGAAACAUUUUAUGUAUACACGUUAACAUUUCCCAGAUAUAUGAUUAAUAUUUUUGGAAAACUUCUAUUUUUUAUGUGUACUUUUUUAUACAUUUUGUAAUAUCAGAAAUAGUUUUUAUAGAAGGUUUAACAUUUUUCAAAUACAUGAUUACCUUUUUGUAAACUUAUAUUGUUUGACGUUUACUUUUUUUCAUAGACAUAGUGAGGGGUUAUAUCUAAGGAAUAGGCCCAAGUACAUGUAUGGCACAACCAAAUGCCCAUGUUAAUCAAGGAUGUUCCACAAGACAAAUGGGGAAACACACCAAGGCCAAUGGAGCUACAAGGCCAAGGCAUCGGAUACAAGGGGAGAGUCAACUAUGUACAGUCGGAUUACACAGCCCUUAACAGACAAGACUCAUCAGUUGGUCCACUAUUGGAAUCAGGUCAUUUGCCGUCAGCCCAGAAUAGACGCGAAGACUUUGCCGUGAGCAAGUUGACGACAAACACAAUCAGCAAAGACUAUAUCGGCAGAGAGCUAAUUUGACGUCAACUUUUCAUCGCGCUGAUGACAAAGACUUUGCCGUCAAUUAAACUAUGUGUUUGUAGUCUGUAGAGAAAACACAAACGGCAAAGAAAUUAAAAAAAUGGUCAUUUUAAAAUAAUUUUUAGAAAUCUAUAUACUGUUUUUUAAAAUGUUUAAUAUGUACCAAGAAUUAUUUCGUAAGUAUACAAAAGAUGUAUAACGUGUAUGAAAAUUACGUAGACAUCAGAACAUAUUAUAGAAAUGUUAAUCUUGUAUUUAAAAAUUUUAAAUACACAUGCAUAAAAAUGUUUUUGAUGUACAUAAAAAAAUUGUACAUAGUGUGUGAACAAAGUAUGCAUUGAAAAAACAAAAAUCUUGUUGGAAAAAAAUCUCGUGUUGUAUACGAAAAUGUAAAAGGUGUAUGAAAAUAAUUAGAUAUAUGUUUAAUGAAAAAAGGAAAGAAGGCGCAAAAAAUCCGAUUAACACCAAGAUAGGAACAAGAAAACCUGAAGAAGACCAUUGAAAAAAAGAAAUGAAUACAAGAAAGAGGAAGAAAAACAAAAAAAAUGAAGAAGCUGAUGCAGAACAGGGAACUUAGUGAAAACGAAUAAAAAUUGAUGAAAACCGAGAAGAAAAACAAGAAAACUGAAGCAAAAAUUAAGAAAAAUAUGUAAAAAAAAUGAUGAAACAUUGCGAAACAGUGAAAUACUAUGAAAACCAAAGGAAAAAAAGACUCAAAAAUAAGAACGUACAGCAAGCGAAUGAACAACAACUGAGUGAACGAGCGAACAUGCGAGAAUACGUUAAUUGUCUGGCCCAUACUUGUGGAUUCCAGAGGCGAGCCAGAAUAGGCGAGAUAUAGCUAUGACGAUUUGAUACCCUUCAUAGCUUCACGAAUGCUAUAUCUCGCUCACAGCGAAAGUAUUUUUUGUCUGGCCUGAAGGUGAAAGAAUAGCAUCAGGUCGCUGUAAGUUUUGUGAUCCUACAAUCAGAGCUCGAUAAGAUUAAAAUUCAUGUUUCUGACAACCAGUCAUUCGCUCACUCAAUUCCACGUACUAGUUUGGUUAGGUUUUUUUUUCAUUUUUUUCUGUUUUUUAUUUCUUCACUGGCUUUCUUUGGUUUUUUUAUCGGUUUUCUUUGUUUCCUUCACGUUUUACUCUUUCUUUUCCUUUUUACUGGUUUAUCUAUUCCUUUUUUCUUUGUUUCUUUCUUGGUUUUCUUUGUUUUUUCUUUCUUUUGAUGUCAACCUUUUUACAUACACAUUCAACAAUUUUCGUAUACAUCAGAAACAUUUUAUGUAUACACGUUAACAAUUCCCAGGUACAUGAUUAAUAUUUUUGGAAAACUUCUAUUUUUUAUGUGUACUUUUUGAUACAUUUUGUAUAUAUCAGAAAUAUUUUUUAUAGAAGGUUUAACAUUUUUUAAAUACAUGAUUACCUUUUUGUAAACUUAUAUUGUUUGACGUUUACUUUUUUUCAUAGACAUAGUGAGGGGUUAUAUCUAAGGAAUAGGCCCAAGUACAUAUAUGGCCCAAGUACAUUUAAUCAAGGAUGUAGUCCACAAGACAAAUGGGGAAACAGACGGGGGCCAAUGGAGCUACAAGGCCAAAGCAUCGGAUACAAGGGGAGAAUCUACAGUCGGAUUACACAACCCUUGACAGACAAGACUCAUUAGUUGGUCCGCUAUAGGAAUCGGGUAAUUUGCCGUCAGCCGAGAACAUACUCAAAGACUUUGCCGUCAGCAAGUUGAUGACAACUUUUCAUCACGUUGAUGACAAAGACUUUGCCGUCAAUUAAACUAUGUGUUUAUCGUCUAUAGAAAAAACACAAACGGCAAAGGAAAGCACCUUUGCCAUCAGCGGCUAAUCUGCAUGUGUCUUCAACAAGACUCGUCUUGUCACUAGCCUCAAACAUCACAGAUGGAAAAGAAAUUUUUUAUUUUAAAAAAUCUGCGUCGACCACCCUACUUCGCACAUGUAGCCACCGCCUGGCCGCGCUCGCUGAUCACCCACAAGUGUAGGGGAUCUAUCGUAGUCCUUUCGAUAAGUAAGAGUGUCGAACCGAACGAGGAGUAGAAGGAAAUGACAAGCGGUUUUUAGUAAGGUAUUCUCUGCAAGCACUGAAAUUAUCGGUAACAGAUAGUUUUGUGAUAAGGUAAUUCGUAACGGGUAACAAGUAACAACAGUAAAUAAAGUGCAGCAAGGUGGCACAAUCCUUUUUGUAGCAAACGACAAGCCUGGACAAAUUCUUAUAUGAAGGAAAACGCUCCCGAGGACACAUGGGAAUUAUCGUCAAGCUAGUUUUCAUCACGCUCAUAUGAUUCACGUUCAUUACUUUGAUAAUUUAAUAUGUGGAUGGACCGGUGCUUGGAUACUGCUCUUUCUUGGAUAAGCAUCCCACUUAUGAUUAACCCCUAUUGCAAGCAUCCGCAACUCAAAAGAAAUAUUAAGGUAAACCUAAUCAUAGCAUGAAACAUUGACACGGCACAUUAUAAAGAGUUCAACCCAAAUUUUGUAGUAACACUAUUAUAUUUAAAUAGUGAUUAUUCCAACACAUGGAUAAUUAAUUAAGGCACCAGGUUGCGCUUGUGACCAGGAAAGACAAACUUAUGAACUUGCAAGCAUGACAAUCAGAUCGACAUCCACACAAUGUCAAUAUGAACAUUGUCUUGAUACAACUUUAUUUGUAUUUUAUUUCAGAAUUUAAACAACUAGUUUGGGCGGGUCACACACGACGUUGUGUGACACUUUAUUUGUCACCGCUGCAUCGACAUAUCCAUCGACUAAACAACGGUGAUCCAACUAUAUAUUACUAGAGACCUUUCCUUAUCAGUAGGCACCAACUCCAGUGCCAACGCCAAAUGGCACACUAGUGGUGGUCCUAUACAACGGCACAUUGACACGGCACAUCAUUGGCAGGGUACGGAGCGCAAUGGAAGUCAUCACCUCAAGCUGAGCUAUCUGGUGUGGCUGCAAAAAGGUACCCUGUGCCAAUUGUUGUUGUUGAGGUUGUUGCCCGAGUUGCUGCUGUGACUGCUGUUGGGGUUGGGAAACGCAUUGGCCCAACUGUUGCGGUUGCUGCUGCUGAGUUUGGAUGGAACCCCGAACCUGUUGUUGUUCUUGCAGGACGAUGGAGUAGAUGAUAGCACGGAUUGCCUCAUAGCGGGAUUGCUGGGGGAUUUGCGGCAACUGCUGGCAACAUUGUUGUUGCAUCACAUGGCAACUACUCUGCUGCAACAUUUGCGACCUAGCAAGACUUUGUGGCAUUGCCACAGGGCUGCAUUGCUGCUGGAGGAAUACCUUGCAUGGGUUCAGCUGCUGCAAGAUAGAUGGAUGAACAAAUGGUAUUUGUUGUUGCGGUAGAACUAGUUGUUGUUGUUGUUGCGAAAAUGAUGGUUGUUGUGGUAGAAUUGGUUGUUGUUGUUGUUGUUGCGAAAAUGGUGGUUGUUGCGGUAGUACUGGUUGUUGUUGUUGUGAAAACGGUGGUUGUUGUUGUGAAAAUGGUGGUAGUUGUUGCUGCGAAAAUGAUGGCUGUUGCGGUAGAACUGGUUGUUGUUGCUGCGAAAAUGGUGGUUGUUGCUGUGAAAAUGGUGGUUGUUGUUGCUGUGAAAAUGGUGGUUGUUGUUGCUGCGAUAAUGGUUGUUGUUGUUGUUGUUGUUGUUGUUGUUGUUGUUGUUGUUGUUGUUGUUGUUGUUGUUGUUGUUGUUGUUGUGAACAUGGUUGCUGUUGUGGAAAUUGUUGUGGUUGUUGUUGGAUGGGUUGUUGUGGUUGUUGGUGCGAUAAUGUUUGUUGUGGUGGUAAUGGUUGUUGCUGCGAUGGUCUCUCCAAACCAGGGAUGUGGCUAUUCUCCAUUUGUGCAAUGGCACUUGUCGCCGCAACGGCGAGGAGGGCAAAGAUGAGGAAGGUCUUCAUGGUGGACUAGUGUUAACUAGUAUUUCCUGGUUUUGAUGCUUGUGUUUGUGAUGAUCUUUAUACUUCAUGCCUAUUUAUAGUAGCCAGGGCACCACCUCUUUUCUUCUUUGCAUUAGCUUUAAUAAUUCUGUUUGGAUGCAUCUAAAAUGAUUUUUGAUACAGUGUGUUAGGUUGCACUAGCUACACGCAUACUUUUGGAUUGAUCAUCAAAGUUUCUUUUUAGUUGUGCAUAUGAUCAUACACAAAGUAUAGAAAUCCUGAUGCUUGCUAAAGAUGACUUGCCUUAUUCACUUUACAUGUCACACACUUAUCUGUAUAGUAUCACUUUUGCAACCGAGUUUGGAACCUUGUAUAGGUUGUCAGCCAUAAACAAGAAAGGCAAAACUUGUGUAGGACUAAGUUGCAAUCGUGUGUGGGCUGUUAAGAUAUGCUCGAUUGUUAAAGCCUUGCGUCUGGAGGGUUCUUCUAGACUCGGUUGCUUUUCAUAAAACUAACUUUGUAUUUUCCUCUAAGAUGAUAAGAUGAAAUGACGCCUGUAGAGCAUGACAUGACUCAUUGAAUUCCCUUUACACGUAAAGGAUGGUAAUUGCUUACAAGCUACUCCUACUAGCAUAUAUCCGGUCCUAACUCUAGACACGUCAUCACCAGUUCCAUCUUUUUUUUUUAGAUAAAUCAUCAGUUCCGUGUUUUUUUUUUUUGAGACAAUCAGUUCCAUCUAUGUUUUUUUUUGAGAGAAAUAGUUCCAUCUAUGGGUGAAGGAUUUUUUUGGGGGCAAAUGAUAGAUGGGGCUGGAACAGAGGCCCCAGCCUGGAACGAGAGAUUAGGCCCAACGUAAGCGAUGUGUGUGUUAGGGCACCAAAUUCGAACUGGGCUAUAGUUUUCGGAGGCCCCAACGUCAGAAGCCCAGCCCACACUCCGCCGAUCUGCGUCGUCUUCGUCUCCCCUUCCCCGUCCUCCUCGCCGGCCGGAUCGCUCGCCGGCGCACGACGUCUCCCGGACCCCACCGCCCGCGGCCGCUCCACGUACGCGCGCGGCGGCGGAGGCGUCGGCCUCCCUCCCACCCUCCGCAUCCGGCCCCCCACCACCACCGCCACCGCCACCGCUCGAGGUACCCACUCGUUCCCCUUCCCAUUCCUCCCUACCCUCAACCUCUCUCGUAUCCUCUUCUAACAGCUCUUUUUACUUCCGUUGCAGAUGGUCUCUGAGCUCCCCCGUCGGCUGCGCGCCGUAGGCCUCCCCUCCCGGUCGACACAAGGUAUCGAUCCUGUCCGUCCGUCUCUUCCAGCGAUUCGAUUCACAUGAAUUCGAGAGGCGUGCCCAUCUCCAUGCUAGCUGCGUGGAUCAGGAGGGUCAGGAAGCAGAAUUCAGAUGCCUGACAGUGACAUACUACUACAUUUGUGGCUUUGGAAGCUGAGCAACUCCGUGCUUUAUGUGGAUGUCACUUCAAGUAAUCAUCAAAUUUCCGCCUACGCGCGCUACCCAGGUGGAGUGGAGGAGAAGCAGUUGGCAUGGGCAUUCCGUUUCUCUCCCAUGUCUGAGAAGAAAGUUCGUCUCCGGUGCAGCGAUAUCCAAGUUAGUUACAGCAUCCAGUCAUCUAUAUAAUCUCAGUGUUUAUUCUGUUUUGUACUGUCGUAUUUCAUAUGUGCAUCAGAGCAAAUGUGCUUUCUAGAGGCAUGUUGCAGCUGGCCGAGUCCCAGAUCUCGUUUCAUGUAUAUGGCCAUAGGCAGCGAUCAAUAAAAGGGUACUGGAAUUGAUCUUCUAACGUCACUGUUGUUUCUAGCUCCCUGUCUUUGUUUUUGUUGCUUCCGUCGUAUGGUUGCAAAGUUAGGCUUCAUCUGAUUUUAGUUAGUUAAUCUGAUCUCGUUAACCUGAUAAAGAGAAUUCCACCCUGCCCUUUAUUCCGCUCUUCACUGUCUCACAAUAAGGGAACAUAUUAAGCUCACCAAAUUGUGUCCCUCAAAAAUAAAAAAUAAACUCACCAAAUUGUAUCACAGGAGAUUGUCAAGUUGUGUUUUAUCAUAUCAGUAUAGUAAGUGUAUCAUUUGUCCAUAUCAACAAGGGAUAGUCAUCUGCCAGCUUAUUAUGCUCAUCUCUGAGCUCGAUCAUGCCCUUCAAUGUUAGUUAGAGGUGUCAUUAAAACAGGACAAGAAAUUAACCACUUUCCACCGGGUCUUCUCUCUUGAGCAGGAAGCAUGUGAUGCAUUCAAGAUUCGAUGAAUUCACGAAAACCAAUAUCGUGGUCCUCCCUGUGCAGCAGGUACCUGAGAUGAAUUGUAUUUUGUAAGUGCUCUGUAUGCGUGCUGUCAGCCGGCAGUGGAGGUAAUUGUUUAAUUUGCAUUCCUGCAACUUCUUGUAUUUGUAAAGAAAAUUCUUACUAUUUGCUGAGUGCACAGCCAUUGCAUUGUCACUUUUGAAAAACCGCAUUGGAUGUACUGAGAUAAAUAAUAGUAUAAUCUCUACUUGCAUACUACGAACGAGAAAUCUUCAUUCUGACUUGCAAUAAGGGAGUUUGUUUAGCUGUGCCUUAUUAGGAAAUGAAGAUACCCCCAGCUGUUAACGUGGUAUCCAAGCUAUCCUUAUUAUAUGUCAGCUCAAAAGGAAUGCCAAGUGCCGAGCUGUUGUGAGAGUUGAUGGUUGUGAUUGGUUACCAAAAAUCAAAGUCACCCACUCAAGAGAGAAAGUCAAUGCUCACGUUGGCUUCCAUUUUUCUCACACGCAAACCAAACACAUCUUGCUCACACCAUUAUCUUCUCCAUUUUGCACUGUGCUUGUGCUAAUCUGUGUAGUAUUGUUGGCAAUUUGGGAUAUGUUGGUCUCGCCAGGAGGCCUGUGCUAAUCUGUGCUAUUUCUGAAAAUAUGCUCCCCUAAUCUCCAAUUAUAUUAUGCGUAAAACCAAAAAGGUCAGACUUCUUGAGAACAUGCCAGUGCUGAUUUGUGUUUUUCCUGCUGAUAUGCACUUUAGUAUAUCAAAAUGUACACUUAAUUAGAUGUUUUAAUUUUAAAGUCACAGUUAGAGAGAGGGACAGUGCACCAACCAGCUGGUGCAAACGAAUGACCUGUGUGACGACCUGAGCGUAUUCUUGAAAAAGAAACCCGAAAUACCACCUAGAUCCAUCCACCAUUAUUGCCAGUGUUAAAAAAAAAUACAGGCGUCUUCUGGGCUCUAAAAGCCAUUUCUGGGUCUUAUCUCUUGAAGAAGCAUUUGAUGCAUUUAAGAUUCAACCAAUUAAGAAAACCAAUGUUCUGGCCUUCCAUCCGUGGCAGGAACUCAGAGAUGAAUUGUCUUUUGCACAAGUAUGCUGACACACGUCUAGUCAGUCGAGGUAAUUUUUGGAUUUGCAUUCCUGUGACCUCUGGUAUUUGGAAAAAGUAAAUCAUAUUUGCUAAGUUCACAGCCAAUGGAGCGAAAAUUUUGAAAAACUGCUUUGGAUUUACUGGCAUAAAUAUCUAGAGAGAAUUCCUUAUUAGACACUCCCUUAAAAUCAUGUUCCUUAUUUGACACUAGAAAAAAUUUCUUCCCUAUAUGACCUAUAGUCUUAAUUUCUUUCCCUAUAUGACACUCUAGUGCAUUUUGUUCACGUGAAAAGACCAUUUUACCCAUAUGUAUAAUGUGACCGCAAAUAUGUACAAGAUAAUAGUUGUUCCAAAAAAAUCAGUCGAGUUAUCCAUAUGUGACAUCAUAUAUGCUGGUAUUGUCAUGUCAGUCGAUUUACUAUUGUGCUAAGAAAUCAUGACCGAGGCCUUCGAUGGUUCAUGUGCUAAUUGACCUCAGCUAGUUGUCUAUACGUAUUUGUGUACAUAUACGUGGCCAGCUUGCCGGCCGGAGCGUAGAUAUUUAAAUACGUACGCGCACCCUGACGAUCAAGCGAAUACAUGUAUUCUAGCUUCGUAUGACCCGGUUCAUAUACAUACGUAUGUUGGCUGCACCGAACCGGGCCUACAUUCGUGCUAGCACGCAACUUCCUUCCAUACUUGCAAAUACGUGCACAUGCACUAAUGGCAUGCACGUAGGCGAUCACGGAAGCACACACAAAAAUGCUUAAAAAAUUCAUUCAUUUUUAAGAAUGCAUUUUAGUGUUAAAGCACACGUACAAAAGUACGUCAAACAAUCACACUCACAAACCAUACCGCAUGAACUAGACCCACAGCUGAAUACGUUCUAAAUACAUUGGAUGCAUGCGCUCAGGUAUACAGAAUACACAUGCAUCCCAAAAAAGACCAACGGAGGAGAUAACAUGUUCAGCUGUGCUCACUCUUAGAAACGAUUUUUUCCUAAUUAGGCUCAAUGCUACAUAUUUCUGGUCACAUUAUGUACAGGGGCAAAAAGGUCUUUUCACGUGUACAAAAUGAACUAGAGUGUCAUAUAGGGAAAGAAAUUAAGACUAUAAGUCAUAUAGGGAAGAAAUUUUUUCCCGUGUCAAAUAAGGAACACAAUUUUAAGAGAAUGUCAAAUAAGGAAUUCUCUCAAAUAUCUAAUACAAUGACCCACUUGCAGAAUUCAGCUGCGUAGCCUGACAGUGAUGUACGUACAUUUGUGGCUUUGCUAGCUGAGUAACUCUGUGCUUUAUGUGGAUGCCACUUCAAAUAAGCAUCAAAUUUGUGCCUAUGCGUGCUAUGCAGGUGGACGAGAAGCAGUUGGCAUGGACAUUCCUUUUCUCUCUGAUGUCUGGCAAGAAAGUCCGUCUUCUGUGCAGCGAUAUCCAUGUUAGUUACAAUAUCCAAUCAUCUCUAUAAUUAUAAUCUCAGUGUUUAUUCUGUUUUGUAUUGUCGUAUUUCAUAUGUGCAUCAGAGGAAAUGUGCUUUCUAGCUAGAGGCAUGUUGCAGCUGGCCGAGUCGCAGAUCUCAUUUAUAUGGCCAUAGGCGGUGACCAAUACAAGGGCACUGGAAUUUAUCUUCGAAUGCCACUGUUGUUCUAGCUCUUUGUCUUUACUUUUGUUGCUUCUGUUGUAUGGCUGCAAAGUUAGGCUUCAUCUGAUUUUAGUUAGUCAAGCGAUCUCGUUAAGAUGAUAAAAAGAAUUCCACACGAUGACACGACCCUUUAUUCCGCUCUUCACCGUCUCACAAUAACGGAACAUAUUAAGCUCAACAAAUCGUAUCCCUCAAAAAUAAAAAAGCUCACCAAAUUGUAUCGCAUACUCAUACAUAUCUUUCAUCGUCAAAUAACAGGAGAUUGUCAAGUUGUGUUUUAUCAUAUCAGUAUAUUAAGUGUAUCUUUUGUCCAUAUGAGCAAGGGAUAAUCAUCUGCCAGCUUAUUAUAUGCUCAUCUCUGAGAUCGAUCAUACCUCUUCAAUCUUAUUAGAGGUGUCAUUAAGAAAUGACAAGAAAUUAACUACUUGCCACCGGGUCUUCUCUCUUCAGCAGGAAGCAUGUGAUGCAUUCAAGAUUCACGAAAACCAAUAUUGUGGUCCUCCCUAUGCAGCAGGUACUUGUGAUGAAUUGUAUUUUGUAAGUGCACUGUAUGUGUGCUGUCAGCCAGCAGUGGAGGUAAUUGUUUAGCUUGCAUUCCUGCAACUUCUUGUAUCUGGAAAGGACACUCUUACUAUUUGCUGAGUUCACCGCCAAUGUAUCUUCACUUUGGAAAAACUGCAUUCGAUGUACCCACAUAAAUAUAUAAUAUAAUGAUGAUCUAAUAGCAAAUUAUAUGGCCAUAGGCAGUGAUGAUCAAUAAAAGGGCACUGGAAUUUAUCUUCUAAUGUAUACGUCACUAUUUUUUUAGCUCUCUGUCUUCAUUUUUGCUUCCUCUGUUGUAUGGUUAAAAAGUUAGGUUUCAGCUGAUUUUAGUUAGUUAUAAGCGGAUCUCGUUAAGCUCUUUAUCUUUAUUUUUGCUGCCUCCGUUGUAUGGUUAAAAAUUUAGGUUACAUCUGAUUUUAGUUUGUUAGGCGGAUCGCGUUAAACUGAUAAGAACUCCGUAUAGUCCUUUAUUCUGGUCUUCACUGCCUCAAAAUAACAGAACCUAUUAAGUGUCGAAAUUGUAUCUCACAAUCAUACAUAUCUUUCAUCGUUGAAUAACACAAAUUAUCAUAUCAGUACAAAAGUAUAUAUCGUUUGUCCAUAUGCACAAGAGAUAAUCAUCUGCCAGCUGAUUAUUCUUAUCUUUGAGAUCCGAUCCUGUACUCAAUGUUAAUUAGGGGUGUCAUUAAAAAAGACAAGAAAAUAACCACUUGCCCUCGGGUCUUCUCUUGUCAGCAGAAAGCAUGUGAUGCAUUCAAGUUUCAAUGAAUUCACGAAAACCAAUAUUGUGGUCCUCGAGAUGAAUUGUAUUUUGUAGGUGUACUGUAUGUGUGCUGUCACCCGUCAGUUGAGGUAAUUGUUUAAUUUGCAUUCCUGCAACCUCUUGUAUGUAUUCGGAAAGAAAAUUCUUACUAUUUUCCGAGUUCACAGCCAAUCCAUUAUCACUUCCGAAAAACUGCAUUGGAUCUACUGACGUAAAUAUAUAAUAGAGUGAUCUACUUGCAAUAUUAAGAACGAGAAAUCUUCAUUCUGACUUGCAAUAAGAGGGGUUAGUCUAGCUUUUUCCUGCUAAUAAAUGAAGGUACCCAUUACUGUCACCAGUUAAUGUGGUAUGCUAGUUGUCCUUAUUAUAUAUCAGCCCCAAAAAAGAAUGCCCAGUGCUGAGCUAUUGCAAGAUCGGAUAGUUUGUGAUUGGUUCCCAGAAAUCAAGCUCAUGCACUUGGCUCCCAGAAAGUCAACACUCACGUUCGCUUCCAGUUUCCUGACCAGCAAGACGUGCUUCUGCUAAUGUAGGCUUGUGCUCCAAAAUUCCCCAUCAAGCUGGCUCCUGCUCCCCCGAAUCCUACCCCCACCCAUCCAAAAGCUUCAAGAUCUCACAGAAAUCUCACAACUUCCGUUCGUCGGAGUAGAGCCUUCAAACAGCCCCGCCCACACAUCCACGCGGCGGCUGCUGCCAUAACUUCACCGGAGUCGCCUUCUCCUUCCGCGCCACGUCACCGGUGCCGGCCAGGCUCUGAAUCUUCUGCUGCUGCCGCCGAUACGAUGCUGGAGCUGGCAUCGACAUGCUUGUGAGGGCCACUUCUUCCGUGCUGUUACUGUGCUGCUGGUUCUGGGUGCUGCUGAUCAGGGGCAAGCUCGUGAAGGUAACUAUGCCUGCAAGAUUGGGAUUUUACUUGUAAUUCGUUCAAGAUCUACCUAUGAACGUCUUGCUCACACCAUUCUCUUCAUUAAUUUCUGCAGUGCACCUGUGUUGGAGGAGUUUCCUCCGAGAGUUCCAAUGGCAGAGCUGGUGGUCACCAUGGCGCUCCGGCCACUGGUCGCCAUGCUCAGGGACAAGGCGUCCAGCUAUCUCCUUGACCAGUACAAUGUGAUGGAGGGAAUGGAGAAGCAGCACAUGAUUCUGAAACGCAGACUUCCUAUCGUCCUGGACGUCAUCACUGACGCCGAGGAGCAGGCGACAGCCAACAGAGAAGGGGCGAAAGCCUGGCUCCAGGAGCUCAAGAGAGUAGCCUAUGAGGCAAAUGAAGUCUUCGAUGAAUUCAAAUAUGAAGCACUUCGCCGUGAAGCCAAGAAGAAUGGACACUACAAAAAGCUUGGAUUUGAUGUGAUAAAACUCUUCCCCACUCACAACCGUGUUGUCUUCGUUCAGAGAAUGGGUAGCAAGCUUUGCAGGAUUCUGGAGGAUAUCAAUGUCCUCAUUGCAGAGAUGCAUGACUUUGGGCUGAGGCAGACAUUUUUGGUGUCUAAUCAGUUGAGGCAGACACCAGUGUCCAAGGAGUGGAGACAGACAGAUUACGUCAUCAUCGACCCACAAAAGAUUGCCAGCAGAUCCAGACAUGAAGAUAAGAAUAAUAUUGUUGGUAAACUACUUGGUGAAGCUAGCAAUGCAGAUCUCACAGUAGUUCCCAUCGUUGGAAUGGGGGGCCUUGGCAAGACCACAUUAGCGCAACUCAUAUACAAUGAACCUGAAAUUCAGAAGCAUUUUCCGUUGAAGCUCUGGGUCUGCGUCUCUGAUACCUUCGAUGUGAAUUCGGUGGCUAAGAGUAUAGUUGAAGCAUCCCCCAAGAAAAAUGAUGAUACAGACAAACCACCACUGGAUAGACUUCAGAAACUGGUCAGCGGGCAAAGGUAUCUCCUUGUAUUGGAUGAUGUCUGGAAUAGAGAGGUUCAUAAGUGGGAAAGGCUGAAGGUCUGUCUUCAGCAUGGCAGCGUGGGUAGUGCUGUGUUGACAACAACCCGUGAUAAACAAGUUGCUGAAAUUAUGGGUGCAACUAGAACCUACAAUCUCAAUGUUUUGAAGGAUGACUUCAUAAAGGAGAUUAUUUUGGAUAGAGCAUUCAGUUCAGAGAAUGAAAAGCCUCCCGAGCUACUCGAGAUGGUUGGUGAGAUUGUGAAGAGAUGCCGUGGCUCUCCUUUAGCUGCAACUGCACUGGAUCUGUACUUCGUACCAAGAUCAGCGUGGAAGAAUGGAAGGCUAUAUCAUCUAGAAGCAGUAUUUGCACUGAGGAAACUGGAAUUUUGCCAAUACUCAAGCUUAGCUACAACGAUUUGCCAGCACACAUGAAGCAGUGCUUUGCUUUCUGUGCCAUAUUCCCCAAGGAUUACAAGAUUAAUGUGCAGAGGCUUAUCCAACUAUGGAUCGCAAAUGGCUUUAUCCCUGAACACAAGGAAGAUAGUCUUGAAACCAUUGGACAACUUAUUUUUGAUGAGCUUGCUUCAAGGUCAUUCUUUCUGGAUAUAGAGAAGAGUAAAGAAGACUGGGAGUAUUAUUCCAGAAAUACAUGUAAAAUCCACGAUCUUAUGCAUGAUAUUGCAAUGUCUGUUAUGGAAAAGGAAUGUGUUGCUGUGACUAUGGAUACAAGUGAAAUUGAGUGGCUUGGAGAUACUGCUCGGCAUUUGUUUUUAUCAUGUAAAGGAACAGAAGGUAGUUUGAAUGAUUCUUUGGAGAAAAGAUCUCCUGCCAUUCAAACACUGAUAUGCCAAAGUCAUAUGCGAAGCUCAUUGAAGCAUCUGUCAAAAUAUAGCUCUUUGCACGCCUUGAAGCUCUGUAUUAGAGGCAAAGAAUCAUUUCUUCUGAAAUCAAUGUAUCUGCAUCACCUGAGGUACCUUGAUCUCUCAAACAGUUCUAUCAAAUCACUUCCUGAAGAUAUAAGUAUUCUAUAUAACCUUCAAAUGUUGGACCUUUCCUACUGUUGUUAUCUUUAUCGACUUCCAAUGCAAAUGAAGCAUAUGACUUUCCUCCGUCACCUCUACACUCAUGGAUGUCAGAAGUUGAAGAGCAUGCCUCCAGAACUAGGAAAACUCACUAACCUGCAGACGUUGACAUGGUUUGUGGCAGGAGUUCCUGGCCCUGAUUGCAGUGAUGUUGCAGAGCUGCAGCAUUUAAACCUUGGUGGUUAUCUAGAGCUACGUCAGAUAGAGAAUGUUAAAGAAGCAGAGGCAAAAGUGGCAAACCUUGGAAACAAGAAGGAUCUCAGAGAACUGUCAUUAAGAUGGACUGAGGUUGGCGACAGCAAGGUGCUCGACAAGUUCAAACCUCAUGGUGGGCUGCAGGUUCUGAAGAUAUAUUCCUAUGGAGGAGAGUGCAUGGGUAUGCUGCAAAACAUGGUUGAGAUCCAUCUUUUUCAUUGUGAAAGAUUGCAAAUUUUGUUCAGAUGCAGUGCAAUCUUCACUUUUCCAAAACUGAAGGUGCUUAUGCUAAUACAUCUGUUGGAUUUUGAGAGAUGGUGGGAAAUAGAUGAGAGGCAAGAAGAACAGACAAUAUUUCCUGUGCUUGAGAAGUUGUUUAUUAGUAAUUGUGGAAAGUUGGUAGCAUUACCUGAAGCACCAUUGCUGCAAGGACCUUGUGGUCAAGGUGGUUAUACAUUGGUUUGCUCAGCAUUUCCUGCCCUAAAGGUGCUCAAAAUGAAAAACUUGGAGAGCUUUCAGAGAUGGGCUGCAGUGGAAGAGACUCAAGGAGAACACAUACUGUUUCCUUGUCUGGAGGAACUAUCAAUUGAGAAAUGCCCAAAGUUGACGGCGUUACCUGAAGCACCAUUGCUUCAAGAACCAUGUAUUGAAGGUGGUUACAGAUUGGUACGCUCAGCGUUUCCUGCCUUAAAGGUGCUCAAAAUGGAAAACUUGGAGCGGUUUCAAAGAUGGGGUGUGGUCGAAGGGACAUUGUUUCCUCAGCUUGAGAAACUAUCAGUUCAGAAGUGCCCCAAGAUGAUAGAUUUACCAGAGGCACCAAAACUCAGUGUCUUAAAAAUUAAAGAUGGUAGGCAAGAGAUCUCCGAUUUUGCAGAUAGAUAUUUUUCUUCAUUGACCAAACUGAUAUUGAAUCUAGAAAACACAGAAACAACAUCAGAGGUUGAGUGCACUUCAAUUGUAUCUGUGGACAGCAAGGAGAAAUGGAACGAGAAAUCCCCUCUUACAGUGAUGGAGCUAAGAUGCUGCAACUCAUUCUUUGGACCAGGUGCACUAGAGCCGUGGGACUAUUUUGUACACCUUGAAAAGUUGGAAAUUGAUAGAUGUGAUGUGCUUGUCCACUGGCCAGAGAAAGUGUUCCAAAGCUUGGUAUCCUUGAGGACAUUAGUGAUUACAAGCUGCGAAAAUCUGACUGGAUAUGCACAAGCUCCUCUUGAGCCAUUGGCAUCCGAAAGGAGUCAGCACCUGAGAGUUCUGGAGUCUCUUUGCUUAGAAAACUGCCCAAGUUUAGUAGAGAUGUUCAACGUCCCGACAUCUCUCAAGAAAAUGUAUAUUAAUGGGUGCAUUAAGCUUGAGUCCAUAUUCGGCAAGCAGCAGGGCAUGGCUGAGUUAGUCCAAGGAUCUUCUAGCAGUGAGGCAAUCAUGCCUGCAGCUGUAUCAGAGUUGUCAUCCUCACCCAUGAAUCACUUUUGUCCAUGCCUAGAAUAUCUACAGUUAUCUGAUUGUGGAAGCUUACCAGCGGUUCUACAUCUGCCUCUGUCCUUAAAGACCUUAGAAAUUUAUAACUGCAGUAGUAUUCAAGUCCUAUCAUGCCAGCUGGGUGGGCUCCAGAAACCAAAAGUCACUACCUCCAUAAGCAGAAGUCCUGUCAUGCCAGAGCCACCACCACCAGCAGCAGCUGCUGCAAGAGAGCAUUUACUUCCUCCCCAUCUCGAAUCUCUAGUAAUACUGAACUGUGCUGGCAUGUUGGGUGGGACUCUCCGUCUGCGUGCACCCCUCAAGAGACUGCGCAUUAUUGGCAACAGUGGGUUGACAUCGCUGGAGUGUCUGUCAGGAGAGCACCCCCCAUUGCUGGAAGUCCUUGAUCUUCAAAAGUGCAGUACCCUAGCUUCCCUGCCGAAUGAGCCGCAAGUAUACAUGUCUCUCUGGAAUCUUGAAAUUAGAGGCUGCCCUGCUAUAAAGAAGCUCCCUAGAUGCCUGCAGCAGCAACUGGGCAGCAUUGAUGACGAGUACAAAGAACUAGAUGCCCAUUAUGAAGGUAUGCUUGGAGCACGUCCUUCUAUCUUUGCCACAUUUAAUAAACAGAUGCAGUCAUCCAUUCCAUUAAAUCUACCACGCCAGCAUGUCUGUACAAGUUUGUUCUCCAUUAUUUUACUUUCGAAUGUUACAUUAGUUUGUAUGUGUUUGUUCUGACGCCAUUUGCAAUAUGUGCAGUGAUGGCACUUAAACCGAAGACAUGGAAGGAGAUGCCAAGGCUAGUCCGUGAGCGGAGGAAGGCCGCUCGAGAAGCCAAGGAGCGCCAGCAAUCCGCCAUGCAGGAGUAAACAGGUUGGAAACCAUGUAGAAAGGGCAUGGAUUCCAAUUGCUCUGAACAAUGUACAAGAUUAUGUCGUGACUGUAAUCAAUCGGCUUUGUUGAGCUUUGGCCUCUACCUAGUUCAGAUAUUUGUAAUGCGAAUCAAAUGAAUCUGCCCGGUUCAGUAGAAGUUAGGAUAAUAUACUCACAUGUGUGUCUGUGAGCUAUCUAUCGUAUCUAUCUGUUUUUGCUUUGCUUAGUUAACUGCGAAGACACUAGCCUUUAAUUGUUCAAUAAAGUUUUUCAACUGUGGCUUUUAUCUGUCGAUUUUCGUGGUUGACAGGCCUAAUCCCUGAUUGUUGCUCUUCUCUGCUCUGCUCUGCUAGGGGAAUGAGCUGUUAUUGCUUCUGCAACUUAACUGUGCCGCAGUCCGCUCUCCGUCGAGAACUGUCAGGGCCUGCGGUGUAGGGCGGCUGCUGCUUGGCGUCGAGUGGAGCAUAUCUGAAUCAACAUCCUAGGCUGAGACCAUCUCAUCUUGAUCUGGUUUGCUGUUGUCCAGUCAAGCGAGGAAACACAGGGAAGAAACAACAUAGAAAGGGCAUGGUAGUUUAUUUUAUUUUGCUUCAGAAACUGUACCAAUUUAUGUCAUGAUUGUUACCUGCUCCGUUAAACUCUGACCUUGAUCUUGUUAUUAAAGAUUCAGACACUUGCCUCGUUUAGUAGAAGCUGGGGUACUUGUAAUGUGUGCCAUAUAUAUUUCUAGUUUCAGCCAUUUCCAUAUCAAGUACAAGCUCGGAAAGGCUUAGGUGGUCUGUGAACUUUCUGGCCCUGCUUGCUUGACGCAAGUUUUACAGACAUAUAAAACAUAAGUUUAUAUAUAUAUAAUAUACAGUUAAGCAGCAGUUUCCUCGCAUGUAAGAUGGUUAAGUAGCAGCCGCAGGUAUCAGUCAGUCCGGUACUUGUUGAAUGGGAUCGACAGUUGAAUUGCUCUGCUCUGCUGCAAAACUCUGUGUUUGCCUGUGGAGGAAUGAAUAUUUCAGUUUCAGAAUUUGUGAGCUACUCCUAUUUAGUUUCUAGUCUGGUUGUGGUACUAUCUAGUUUCAGCACUGUUUAUUUAGUUUAGAAGAAAUUUACUGUUGACCUUUUUAACGUGUUUACAACACGUGCUAUUUGAAAUAUAAUUCUUUUUUUACCUGUUUCGAUACUUGUACAGAUCAAGUAGUACAAGUUGGGAGGAAAAAACCUCAGGUCCGUGAACUGUUUGGUCCUGUCUGUCUGUACAAAAUCAAGUUUGUUCGCUGUAGCCAGUAUAGUGUUGUAGAUAUCUGAAUAACUUGGUGUCUGCUUACGAGAGCAGAGGACGUGGAUGGAUGUUUGCUGCCGGCUGAUGCUGCAGGAACCGAAAGAGCCUUCUCAGUAUGCACUUCAAUGAAGAAGCAACGGACAGAUGUUCAGAUACAUCCGUUUGAGCUGACCGCUAUUUCUGGACGGAGGGAGUAUUAUGUAAGAUUUUGUGUACUUUCCCUUUAUUACUUUUGGUGCAGCUUCAGUUGAUGGUUUGCAUGCUCUUCUUAAGGAUUUACAUUCUCUUAGUGUCUUUGUUUCGUAUGUUUCUUUAGAGCCUCCUGUAGUUAAUCAGGCACUUCUCUGCUUUUAUAGACUAGUGUUAUUAUUGGUUUAUUAUUCAUGUUACUUAGGAAUUAGGGUCAAACAAGCACCUCCUGCUCUGCUGGUAGCUAGCUUAAUUCCCAGGUUUGGUAUAUAUCUAUGUUGUGAUGCAUACUCAUGUUUGUGAGCUAGUAUAUAUCUAUUUUCAGUGUCGUUUAAUGGUUCAGAGAGUGGGCUGUAACUUGUUCAGAUACUUUGUGUUAAACUGUAGAAUUGACCUGCUGCAGUAAUUUUGACAGCUGAGGUGGGAUGAGCUGCAUAUCAUUCUCUGAUUGGGAGUAACAGGUUGUUGUUGUUUGGUUCUGAUGUUGCUAAGCUGUGGUGGUGGUCACAAUUAUCUUCCUAAUCCGGCAAAUGGCAGUCCUGCUGUUCUGGUUAAGUUGACAAAGCCUGUCAAUGAGAUGUGCAUAUACAAGUCUGAGUGCUCCAUAUUUCUAGCAAAACCAUGCUUCCUUGCCGGUUGCCAAGCCAAUCGUGGCGCCCCCGCUAACGUCCCUGUUACCGGUUAUGUACGGUGAGUAAUGGAUCAAAACUCCAAUGCGUGUAACACUUUGCUGGUCUCAUAUUACCAAAACUGAAUCAAGCCAUCAACUCUUCAUCUACACAUUUCUUUUGUUCUAUUUCAGAGGGGGAAAAUAUCCAUUUUCUUAGUGUUUGUUACCUCUGAGGCCUCUUGUAGCCAGUGAGUGCUCUGCUUCUGUACCACUGUUUGUAAAUUGUAAUGCUCCACAAAGUCCGUCGCUGUCGCCAUGGGAGGCGACCAUCGCCACCGAAACCCCUAUUUCUCUGGUAUGCCUGUACUAGCGGCUAGUUAAAAUCAGGCUUUUACAUUCCUAUAUGGUUUUCCAUGUUAAGUGAAAGUUGGGAAAAAGCCUCACGUUUGUCAACUCCAUAUGGUCCUGUUUAGCAGAAGCUGAUAGACUCACAAUCACAUUGGCGCAUAGUGGAGACACUGGCCUUUAACUUGUUGACAUUCUUUUUUUUAAAACAGUUAUUUUGUCUGCUUCAAUACCAGGGAGAUUCUACUAGUAUUAUUUGGAAUGCUCCACAAAGUCCCCGUCGCCGUGGCCCAUGGGUAUCUGCUGCACCUGAGGGGAGAGCCCUCUUUCCCUGUGAUGCCUGUACUAGUAUAUAGUUUUUCCGUCCCAUAAUGUAAGACGCUUUUUGACACUAGUGUAGUGUGAAAAAAGCGUCUUACAUUAUGGGACAGAGGGAGUAGUUAACAUCAGACUGGACCUUAUUUGUUCAUUCUUACUUAAUUAGCAUGAAAAAAAUAGUUAAUUAACAUGAAUAACGUGCUCUGUUGGGAGAUGUUUAACCACUUCGGUCGUCUGUGUUAACCAGCAACUCCUGCAGAGUAGAUCAAAUUGCAUGCAUAUGGGUACUGUUUUGCAUUACAUGAGUUGCUUGUUUCUAAACACCAAACAUUAGUAGCUAUACUUGCGUGCUAACCUGAUUGGUUCUUUAACCAUGCUGCUCUGUUAAAUGCAUGUCCUCCUAUGUCUUAUUCUUACGGUAGGCAAAUCUCAAUCAUAUGCCAGGCUAGGUUCGAGCCUUUUCUCGGGCUCGGCCAAUGCCUUUUCUUUAGAAAAAUGUCAAUCAUAUGCCCAUGCGUACAAAAGGUAGUAUUAUUGGACUUGUCUCCGUACACGCAUGCUUGGGUCGGUGGAAUUAACUUUAAUCAAUUUAUCAAGGACGAAUUUAGUUAGUCAUUUUCAUCUUUUAUUAACCCAGAACAUUCAUCUUACAUCCUGUUACAUUGUUAUGUAUGCCUAGUACUUAUAUUUCAGCAUGCUCUCGUACUUGUGCAAUGACUAGGUUAGCUUGGCACAUGUUGUUUAUUCAGGCUGCUGCAUAACCUUGUAUGACCAGACUAGAUUAAUAUUCCCUUUGCUAAUUUCAAAAUUAAUUCAAUUAGAUUGUCAUCAACCAACGUCUGAAGUAGUAUAUGUCUGGAAUUAAUCAUGCUAUUUAAGUUUGGUUACUCGUUUGGGCAGGUGAAAUAGUUACUAAUCCAAUUCUCAAGUAAUUAGUAUACUAUUUAACCUAUGUAAACGGUUUCCGCAAGUAACAAUUUGUUGUAUUCACAAUCCAGCUUCAUUCGAUGGUUUGCAUGCCUGAAUUAAGCAGCGGUGCUCUUCUCAAGAGCUACUAGUGGUUUUUUAUGUUUGUACUGUUUUAGCAGCGCAUGUGUAUGUUAGAGUACUAUAUCUAUAACCAUGUACUCUUUUGUAUUUACCCUAUUGUAUAAGGGGUUUCCUACAUAUUUCCUACACCUAUAUACUGGUCUCUUUUUUAAAAUUUUGUUUUGCAAGAAUACAAGUUGCAUAUUUUCUCCAUUCCAAAAUAUUUAUCUUUCUAGACAUUUCAAAUGGACUACAAUAUACGUAUGUAUGUAGACACAUUUUAGGGUGUGAUUCACUCAUUCUCCUUCGUACGUAGUCACUUGUUGAAAUCUCUAGAAAGACAAGGAAUGGAUGGAGUAAGAUGUUAUUAGAGCCCUAGGGUUUUUUCUCGCAUGCUCAACUAGUGCUUUUCUAAUCCAAUUCUCUUUUUUUUUGAAGUUAACCGCAUGUUUCAUUAAUCACAAAUAAGGUGAAUACAAGCACACACGCGGAACCGACCAGAAAGGGUCAAAAGACAACACGUGUUCACAGAACUUUGCAGAAGAAACUCAUGUAAUCCUGCAAUUGCCAUCACCGCCAGUAAGUGUCAUCGGACUCGGAGGAAAGCCAUAGCCCAGAAAGGCGUUGUGAUUCGAUGAAGAAAGCCGCCGCCGUCAAGGCCUUUGUCGCUCUGUUGCGUCGACUGGGGAUCGUCCCCACCCUUCUUGAGACUCGAAGCCAUCGUCAGCCGUCGACAUUGUCGAGGCCGAACGACAGAUAUGCCACCAUCAAUAUAUCCUCAAGCCCAGAUCUAAAACCAUAAUUAUCUCUUGUCUACCAGUGACACCUCCUGGGACGAUGGCCACCGGCUAGAGACCUAAACCCACAUACCGAAAGGGUCUAUAGGAGACUGAGCCAAUCGGCUCCCCGACACCGCAAUGGAUGUCGUCAAAGACGAGACUGGACCCAUCGUCAAAAGUGACGCCGCCCCACACAUGAAGCCUAUCCUAUCUACGGUCGGACCAAAACCAUGGGGUCCCUGCCCCCUCCAGUCACCGGAGAAGGCGACGGAGGAGGCAGGGACGAACGGCGUUGCCCGUAGGAACGAAGGUGGCAGUUGUGUUUGCCUUCCCUGUCACCUCUCUCAAGAUCCAAUUCUUGCGUCACCUGCUCCUCCCACUAGUCACUUCCGAAGACCCCGCCGAUCUACGGGCUCAUCUGCUGCCCCUUGGUCCCGUCGGGAUCCUCUAGUGCUAGCGCGUGGUGCGCGUGAGCUCAACACACAUCUCACGUUGCGAAGAGCUCAAUUUGCAUGUUAUGUUGGUAGCCACAACCGAAUUACUCAGUACUUGCAAAACGCGAGGAAUGCUUCCUGAAUGACUUGCUCAACACAUGUCCCUCCCAUUCCUCCAUUUCUUUUUCAUGAAAAGAGCUAACAAACACAAGAUAUAUACACGUCCUAUAUAUAUACCCCUGCCUUAGGUUGUGAAAUAGACUGGGGAUAUAAAUUUAAAUUUGCUUAUCCAUCUUUAGUUAUCUACAAUAUUGGAGGAAAACAAAAUGAUCAUGGUAGCAUCUAAUUGGUUUAUAUUUAUACUAACUUGUAAUGGAUGAUGCUUGGGUGGCCAAGAUAAAAAAUUCUCCCACUUUUUCCAUCAUCCAUUUCCGUCAAUUUCUUGAGCUUUGGGCCACUAUCCGAAAAUUUAUCCUUGUGGAGGCGGAGGACGAUAUUUCUUGGAAGCACACAACGAGCAGAAGGUGGAGUCCACCUGCAAGGAUCAGUUUCUUGGCAUGACUCGUUCACCUAUGGAACAAUAGAUGUGGGAAACUUGGGCUCCUCCUAAGGUGAAGUUCUUCACGUGGGUGCCCAAAUUGUUGUGUUCGCCCAUUUUGCAAAAGGGGGCAAGAAUCAAUUGACCACCUUCUUGUCAAGUGUCGGUACAUCCUUAGGCUUUGGGAAUGAUCAAGUCUUGGCUAGAACUUGGCCACUUGGAUACUUCCACAUGGCACUUGCGAAGCUCCCUCAAAGAUUGGCGGAUUGGUCUAUAUCUAAAGCUUCUCUACCAAAUAGGAAGUCCAUAGCAUCCUUAAUGAUCCCCAUCUCAUGGUCUAUAUGAAAUGAGAGAAACACACGUUUUUCGGUAACAAAGGGUCGCCUCCGACAAUCUUACUAGACAACAUCAAGAAAGAGGCCUUGCUUAGGGUGGCUAUGGGAGCUAAGAAGCUAGGGACACUCAUGUUGGGAGAGUAAUUCCUUUGCUGUAAGAAGGGGUGUAUUUGUAAAACAACCAAACUAUUCCACAUGUGUUAUCUAAUAUAUUAUGCAAGCCUUUUGCCUCCAUUUAAAAAAUAUAGUUUUUUUAGUUUGCUAACCACAUUUCCCAUGUGGUCUGGCCACGUACUGAUAGAGGUCAUCGAACACCGUGUAUACUCAUAUCGGAUCGACCAACUCCUUAAGCGAGGAAAGGCGCUGGAGUGGGCAGCUGUCAGCUCCCACCACCUCCUCAGCUUCUUGAUGUUAUCUGUCAUCUCGGUUAUGAAGUCACAGCCACCUGGGGGAGUGCAUCACAAACUUGGGGGGCUUGGCAUUGACAAAUGUGACGACUCGCUCACCAUGCGACUUGCGAAGACCCACCGAGUGUUUGGGCCCUGAACGCCAAAUAUUCCAUGAGUCCCUCGCCGUGAUCCGGAUGUAGCAUUGACACCAGCCAAGGGGAUCGGGAUUCGGGUUUGCCGCCAAUAAAGCAGCAACCUCCCUCGAAGAAGACGUGGAGUUACCGUUGAUUAGUUACUGUUUACUUUCAUGGUAAAGUUGUUUCGGCUAGCUCACCUACGUACUUAUACCAGCCGUGGCGUGGCUGGGUCCUUUACUUCUCUUGAUGAUCAUUUCCCUACCUUGUAGCAGAAGAACAUACACAGUAUACGCAAUAGACAGCAUGGCCCUCCUCUGGUGGCCUUAUCCCUACGUUGUGAUCCAAAAUUACUCUGUUCCAUAGCUGAAAUUUGCCACUGUUGUAUUGAUGUAGCAGGAAACAGAGUUGGAUUGCCACUGUUGGUAUGCAAUAGACUAUAGGCGUCAUGUGGCUGUUAGAGUAAUCUUGAUUAGUCAUCUGGUUUAUGUAAACGUUUGGGGUCCCAAGCUAGCUAGUCGCGUGAGGAAAGCUAGUACUAGUUCUGGCUACUUAGAUUAGGUGUCCUAGUGUACUGCUAACAGUGUGUCAAGUAGUAAGAGUCGCGUUAGGACUUGUAUACGAGUCGAGGUGUUUAGGUAGUAUUUCCAAUACGUGUAGGAUAGGGUUUGUGUAAGGUCGGUGGCUAGCUUAUAUAUAUGCAUCACGUCAUCAGUUCAAAGAUUGUAUCAUGGAGAAAACAAGAAAAUAAAAAGAGGAAAAAAGAAAGGCACAACAUGAUCCUUUGGCAAAAGUUGUUGUGUGUGCGUGUUGUCGUGAUUUGAUGUGAUCGAUCAUGUGGGCGAGUUCCAACCGUGGCUUGCCGCAGAAUUGGGAACAUGAUUAUAGACCAUGGAUGGCCGCACUAGUUCGGGCAUUGGAGAUUUCACGGUUUUGGUGACCAAAAUGUGCAAGUCAGAAGAGCGGGUACCUAGAUGACACCCUCGGAAUAAGUUUAGUAACCUUCAACAUAAUUGAUAGGUCUGAGCUGACAUACUAACAAUGAACUCGUCUAGAUGAGUAUUCUUGCUCUUGUAAUGGUGAUUUAAGUUUUAUCUUUCCAGCGCGGAAGAAUCGAUCGGUCCUUUUAUGCCAAGGGAAAAUGGUAAAUUUAGACUGUUCCAUUUAUGGAUCUAAUCAGUUUGUCUAAGUGUGGACCAUUCCUUUCAUUCCUUAUUUUACAUUUUACAAGAAUGCAAUCUCUCUCUCUCUCUCUCUCNNNNNNNNNNNNNNNNNNNNNNNNNNNNNNNNNNNNNNNNNNNNNNNNNNNNNNNNNNNNNNNNNNNNNNNNNNNNNNNNNNNNNNNNNNNNNNNNNNNNNNNNNNNNNNNNNNNNNNNNNNNNNNNNNNNNNNNNNNNNNNNNNNNNNNNNNNNNNNNNNNNNNNNNNNNNNNNNNNNNNNNNNNNNNNNNNNNNNNNNNNNNNNNNNNNNNNNNNNNNNNNNNNNNNNNNNNNNNNNNNNNNNNNNNNNNNNNNNNNNNNNNNNNNNNNNNNNNNNNNUCUUUCAUGAUGGAAUGGACUUGGAGUGAUGGUACACAGGAGAGAACUAGUGUACCAUGUAUACUAAGUUCUACUUGGAAGUUGGAGACGAACAUAAACAUGCAAGUAUGAUGAUCACAUGAUUCUGUUGUACUCAGUCACAUGAUUAAAUAAACAUUUCUUGAAUGACUUGCUCAACACAUAUCCCAUGCUAACAAUUUAUUUUUUCCUUCCUACAAAGGAGAUAUUAAAAGCAAGAUGUAUAGAAGUUCUAUAUAUACUCCACCAUCUUGGGAUGUCAAUGUGAGUGUUGUAUCAAUUUAGAUUUGCUCCCCUCUGAAUCCGACCUAGGCCCAUCUAAAAUAUUGGAGGAAAACAAAUACAUGUAUCCUCUCCUCGCUCGAGUGGUAUGAGUCCAUUAGCCCCACCAUUCCCUUUCUGACGGGAGUCUGUGUCUACACAAUUGGGGGAUGUGUCAACAUCAUCGCAAUCCGAAGCCGCACCGGAAGUUCACAGUCAUCAUUGUCAACGCCUUGGCUAUCAAUGAGGUUAUAGACAUUACCUUCUGCACCUUGGCCCUCAUAAAGGGGCACAGAGGCGCAACAUGCAAAAGUCUUAGAAGGAAGACACACAUGCUUCGAUAUCUGUGUUGCCACAUGAGGUUCGAAGGAUGGUUCAUGAACAAAUGUAUCAGUUUUCAUAGGAUUGUUUUCCAGAAUUUUAGUGCGUUAAAUUUCAGAGACUCCGGUUAAUAUAAGAAUCCCUAUUUCGAAUACAUCGAGAAGGAGAUGUAUUGUUGAUAGGUAGUCCCGGACCCACCUGUAAUAAGUGAUUAUUUUAUCAAAGCACUCGAAAGAAAGCAGCCUUUCUGUUGUUCCCCAGGUGACAGAUCGGCUGCGGCACCGCGAGGUUGUUGCAUG
rnacentral:lncRNA from 1 species